AGUUUUGAUCGUUACAAGGCUUCACCGCCUUCAGUUUCUUUCUCACCAUCCCCAACACAUUCGGAAUCACAUGCUUUGGUUUCUAACCCAAGCUCUCGCCGUGCGCCACCUAUGAGCUUACCUCCUCAUCCUCCUGGGGCAUCUCUACCUCAUAAGAAGAAUACAAACUUUGAUGAGUAUUGGCCUUCCCCUAAUUUUUCUGCUUCCCCUUCGCCAUCCCCAUCCCCUUCCCCCUCACCAUCACCUCCCAUCCGCAUUCCUGGGGGUCAUCUGUCAAAAGCUCUUUUACGUUCUGAAAGUGCUCCUGUUAACAUACCUGUCCGUAAGCUUGCUGGUUCCCCUGCAUUGUCCUGCAAGCAAAAUCUGCCACCAUCUCCUCCCCUUAAAAUUUCAAGAGCUGAUAUUUCUUGGACUGAUAAUAAUAUGGGUCCCAUGAAAUCUGGCGCAACUAUCGAGAAGGUAUUUCAUAUAUGCCUCAUUGGUAUGAUUUGUGAUUCCAACCCUAUCUUGUUUUUCUCCUUGGAAUUUACUUUCUUUUUGUAUCUUAUAGCUGUUCUCUUUCGGGAAAGGAGACGGUCAGAAAUAUUCUGGAGUGAACUCACCCAGAACUUCAUUUUUCAGAAGCUCCAGUAGGUCUAUACAAGAUGAUUUUGAUGACUCUGAGGUUCCUUGUCCAUUUGAUGUGGAGUAUGAUGAUAUGGACCCUGGUAGCAGGUAAUGCACGGGACUCCUCAUAUAAAUUGUAUUUUUUAGAUUAACCCUUUUUGCAUCACUGUCAAUAGCUCAUACAAUUAAUUUACAUAUUUUUCUUUUUAACUUCGAAGUUAUUUUUAUCCAGAUUUCUUGAGGAUUUGACACUUAAUUAAUUGUUCUUGUGUAUUUUAAAACGUGGCAUCAUUUUUUUUUUUUUUUUGUAUUAACAUAAUUGGCUCAGGACUUGAUUUGGUUGCUUUAACUUACCCUAGAGUAAUUUGGUAAAGGUCAUUUAAGCAAGCCAUCAUGUGUAUGCUAAGACUAAUAAUUGCCUUUUCUGUUUGAAUUUUGUCUUGAACUAGUUCUGAUCUCAUAAGACUGGAUGUUAGCAAUUGAUGAACUUACUAGGAAACUGAAUAAUUGUUUUUAAGCAAAGAGAUUGUGCAUUAGAAACUUCAAUACCUUGCUGCUAGGAGUCUAAGUAGUGGCAUUUCUGGUUCAAGAAUCGGGAUAUAUCAGUUAUGAAGAGUUUCCAAAUAAAGUUUGUUUUCUAUUUUUGAGCAAGCCACCCUGGCUGGCAUUAAACAUUUUCAAUAUCUAGUCCAGGUAGUACCUGUAGUGAAAUAUCUGUUUCAGGGAUUGGGAUAAGUAGUGGUCUAUCAAUCUAUGGAGAGUUGCCAAUUAAACUUUGCUUUCCAGUUUUGUGAAAGAAAGUAAGAAACUUCACAGUAUUAUAAAUUUAGAUAUAUCAGGUAGUCUGCAAAAUUUGUUUUCUAGUUUUCAGAAAGACAGCCUGGCUGGUUAACUUUAAAAUGUUUAAUAGAUAUGAAGUUGGAUUGUAUAACCAUUCUGAAGUUUCUUGUGCCAGUUGAAUUUAUUAGCAAGCGGUGGUAACUGCUAAUCAUACUUCAGUUGUUUCUUGUAAUGCGCAACCAGUAUCAGUGAAUGAAUCAUAUUUGUUUUGGUAUCUUCAAUUUUAACGUAGUUAGAUUAACAAUGUAGAACUGCAGGAACAUGUCUUUAGGUCACAUGGUAGGAUUGGGGCCGAUUUCUGUGCAUGACUUGGCCCUUAUGUUUGAGGCAGCUGAAACAACAGCUGUCUCACUUUUUAUCUUUUGAUUGGUGAGUAAAUUAAAUUAAUAUAAAGAUGGGUGAUUAAGAGGAGGCCAAAAAAAAAGAUGGUUGAUUAAGAAUGAUUUGUUAAUGACUAAAGGAUAUGGUGGUUGCGGCAACGUUCUAUGCAUCCUUCUUGCUUGUCAGUAAUUUGAUUUGUUCAGUUUCUUGAGUUAACUCUAAAAUUGCAACUAAAUGUAGUCGAAUGGCUUGUGUCAGUUGCAUUUGCAGUAACUCUGAUAAUCCUUUAUUAAAACAUGGAACUUUAUCAGUCUGUAUUGCUUUCCUGUAAUACCAGACACAACAAACUGCUUGAAGGAUCAAACAUCAUUUUGUGACUUUGAUUUAUUUUAUGGCAUACUCAGAUGUAUACAUGAACAAAGUAUUCGUAUAAUAAUUUCUACUAGUUAGCUUCGUAUUUAUAAUUAUUAUAUAGGGUUAUGUUUGGUAUUCUUAUGAUAUUUAGAUUUAGGGAAUAACUUGAAUAUUUAUUUUAGUUUCUAGGAGUUUUUGAAAUUGAGAUGUUGGGAUUAUAGAUAAUGGAGAUUUUCAUAUGUGGGCUAUCAGAGUUGGAUUUUUUCUUCUUUAUUUCUCCCUAAGUUCAUCUAUUUCCCUCCUUCUGUUUUUAUUUGAUUCUCCAGUUUCUCUCUUUCCUCUCCUGUUCUUUAUUAGCCUACUUCACGUUUUUGAGGUUCCAUGAAAUUACCAUGGGUGAAGAAAUCCAAAUGUUCUAAAGGUAAUUUGAACAUUUGACAUUCUCUUUUCUGCAAUUGUUAGCUCAAAAUGUUCCCUCAAGAAAAUCCUUUAAUCAUUAACUUAAGCAGGAUUGUUAAUCGAAAAUGAGUCAUGGAAUUCAUAUCCAAAGCCACAAUGAGUCAUUUUAAGAUUUUCUGAUAUCGGAGCACCUUAUACCCUUUGUCACGGUCAUUAUCUUAAUUGUCAGGAAAGAAAUUGCUGUUUUUCUUUCCCUGAAUUAUUUGGGUAAACUGAAUUGGCCUGCUUUGCAUACUAUGUAGGCCCGAGUCCUAUGAUAGAAGAGGAAAUCCAUCUGAUCCAAAUGAGGCAGGGUUGUUUAUGAAUAGAAAAUCCCAAGAUGCUGCGGUUGGUGCUCUUGUACAGAUGCUGAAGAAAGCCCCUCCACUUCGCCAAGACAUCCCAAGUUCGAUAAAUUUUUCAGAAGCCUCGAGGCCAGAAAUGUGGAAUAACAACAUCCAAGAGCAAAACCAGAACACAGAGGCUGUGACCGUUGAACAUGAUGCUUCUUCAAUUAUUACAUCUUCUAGGCUUGUCGCAUCAAUGACAACGGCAGAUGCAUUAGAGGAACUUCGGAGUUACAAAGAGAUGAAAAACUUGUUGCUUAGUGAAGGUGGUAAGUCUUGCAUAUCUGCCAAUUUAACCUCUGGGGCUAAACAUUCUGGCGAAGGUACAUGAGAAUGAUCAACUUAUGUGAUAUUGGUAUAGUUGCAGAUAUGUAGAGCGCUAUGGUUUGAAAGACUACUACUACAUGCUAUACAGCUGAAGCCAUUUUCCUCUUUUUGUGAUCAUAGGAGUAUAUAUAUACAAUAUAUGUGUUUUUGGUUAAGAUUUAUGUUAACAACAGAAGGGUUAUCUGUUGGCCCCGAAAACUUUGUAAAAAGCACUUUUGUCUCUGAUCCUAAGUAACAUAAUUGCACAUAAUUUUAGAUGUUGGGUAAGGGUUGCGCAUGCUUUGAUAUACAGGCUUGCUGAUGCUGUCAUUUCUGUUAUUUUGCUUUUCUCCUUUGUUUCCCCUCCCGCAUAUAGAUUUUCAGUAGAAUGCAGCUUGAGUUUCUAAUACAAAUGGGUUUAAUACGGAUAUAUUUACCUGUUUUAGAAGGGUUUUUCUGUAAAAGUUAUAUUUGAAGUAUGAUAACCAGAUAUAUUUGGAAGAUUAUAAUUCUAUAGGCAUAGUAAUUUAUUUAACCCUCCAAUAACAUUUUAGCUUUCAAUUCGACUUUUUAUCUUUUUCAACUUUUGAAAUUAAGUUUUUUAUCAAAUCAUUUUAAAAAUUAAUGUUUUUUAACUUUAUUGAUGUAAUAUACAUGGUUUGCCACAUAGAUGACAAGUUAUCAUUUAAUUAUUUUUUUAAAAAUUCAUAAAAAUUAUAAAUUAUUUUAAAAAUUUUAAAAACUUAACUAAAUGUUGACAUCAUGGGCGAAUUCAGGGGAGUUGGCAGGGACUCGGUCCCCCCUAAAAUGGAAAUUUGUUCAUGUAAGUCUUUUAAAAUUUUAAAUUAGUAAAUGUAAAAUUGUACUUUGGCCCUCCUUAAAAAUGAUAAUUUUUUUAUUUAAUUAUUUAAAAAUUAUAAAAAUAUAAGUUAUUCAAAUGGUGAAAUUGUACUUUUAUAUUGUAAAAAUUAUAAUUUAAUUUCGACUCUCUAAACAAAUUUCCUGGCUUCGCCUUUGAUGACAUGUCAUCCAUGUAACAAUUCAACUAUAUGUCAUAUUAGUAAAGUUAAUAAACAUUAAUUUUACAUCCAUUUUGAGAUAAUUCGAUAAAAAAAAUGAAAAAUUAAAUAAAAAUUAAAAUAAUAUUUUUUUUUAUAAAUUUUUAGAGCUAAAAGAUUCAUUAUACAUGAAAUGAAGCCCCUUGUCUGAAUGAAUGUUGCAUUUAUCCCAUUCCUUUUGUCAAUUAAUUUGCCAUUCCCAAAUCUCUUGAUAUCCUCUAUAAAUGUCAUAUAUAUUUUUUGUACCGUCCAAUAUCUGAGCCAAAAUAUUCACUUUAUCUUUGAAAAUUCCCACCGUAAGGUUUGUCCUUUUUGCAUGAGAUAAUGCCUACCACAAAUAAUGUCCCUUGUUGCAUGUCUUCGAACCCCACUGUUUUACCUCCAUCAACGCGUGCUAUUCUUGCUGUAAUGAUCACAUAUUUCUUGUUGUCUUAUUUCAUGGAAAUUACCAACGUCGCCAUAGAAAAGUGUGUAGGUGGACUUGACCAAGACUUUUCUUCGCAAGUGGAGUGCAAGGCUAAAAGUGUUAGGUUUCUUUCUAUUUCAUCGGAAUGCAAGCUUCUCACUCUUCUUUGGUAAAUUAACAUUUGGGUCAACUAAUUUUUAAAAGGUAAAUAAUGUAAUAAUGUUAAUGGAUUGUCGUAUUUUGAUUUCUCGUUAAUUAAUUUUCAUUAACCCCUCGAUAAAAUGAUGUCGUGAUACGUUAACCCUCAACAAUAAUUUUAUAAAUAAUACAAAAAAAUAUCAAUUUUAUUUUAUAAAUCUUGAACAUCAUAAUUUAUUUUUUAAAAUUAUAAAAACUAUUUUUUUUGAAAUUAUAAAUAUACGAUUUUUUUUAAAUCAUAAUUUUUUUAAGAGAAGAACUGAUGGUAUUGUACUAUACGAGCAAACCUAUGUUUUCUCUCAAUGAUCAUCGUCAAGGACAACACAGUUGUCAUCCAUUUAUCUAUUAUCUAACGUAAAGUUAUCAUACUUUUAAAGUGAGUUUAGAUGGGCUGUGCGUUUACCUGCGGUUAGUAUAAAAACAGCAGUGGCGGUGGGAUUAGAUACUGUAGCGAUACUGUAGCGUGAGACAAAAAGUAAACUAAACGCACUGCACCCAAUCGCCCAUCCAAACCCACCCUUAAUGGUUAAAGGAUGAAAUUUUAAAAGUUCUAAAAGUAUUUGAAAGUUUUUUUAAAAAUAAAAAAUUAUUAAAAAAUGUAAAUCUAAAAUAAACUUAGACAACAAGAUAUUUAGAUUCAUUUGAAUUUAUACAUAUGUUUAUCCUGUGAAAUAAAAAAAUAUAAUUUUUUAUAUGAUUAGCAUUUUAAAAUUAUAAAAAAAAUAAAAUUAUUAAAAUACACAUUUUGAGUGAAUGGAGAUAAAUGGUCGUCCCAAUUCAUUUAUAUCUAGACAUUUAUUUGUGAUCUAGAUUCAUUACUCAAGUGAAAGAAAAAAAAUCAUUUUUUUGUAUUAUUAUUUUUGAAAUUUUAAAAAUUAUAUUACAUUUUUUUUAAUUUUUGAAGACACAUGUCACUAUUCUAUUGAUUGUCAAUACAAAAAUUAAUUGUGUUUAACAAGCGAGCAACAUUAAUGACUCAAUAUAAACUAGCCAAACUAAUAGGAACAUGACAGAUGUCGUGAUUUGGUAUUAUUUGGAGUAAGCUAGGAUAAAAUGAUAGUCUAAACACUAAAAUGGACUAAAAUAUAAAUUGAAAAUAGUUGAGAGGCUAAAUUAUAAAUAAAGCCAUAUCAUAAUUAUAUUUUCCUAGAAAAUGAAUAGACAGCAAUAAAUAAUUUAUUUAUCAUAUAAAUACUAUUUUGUAAUAUUACUCAGAUGUUGAUAAACUACAAUAAAUGAUGAAUAAGCGUUAGGUGAAACGAUAAAACACAUUACACUUUUCAGAAGAGAUGCAAAUUUAAAUUUGAAAGGCAACAAUGUUAAAAGGAAUAAUCACGAAUCUCAAAUAUAAACUGUAAAACGAAAAUUUAUUUGGUUACGAAAUUGUACUAAUUUAUGUAUUUAAUUUUUAAUUAUAAUUUGAAAUACUUAAGUAUUCAUAAUAAAGAAUUUUUGAGUCUUAGAUCUAUCAAUACAAAAAUAAAUAAUUAUUUGAUGCAUUGAUAAUAAAUAAAUAAACAAUCAACUUUCAUAAGUUUCCAUUUUAGGGUAUAAAAAAUAAAAAUAUUCAUUUUAAGCAUUGUUAUUAAAAAUUAUUUUUAAUUUACUACUGUUAAAAAUCGUUUUCAUUUUAAUCACCCGUAUUAAUUUAAUGUUAUUAUAUACUCGUUUUAAUCACUCAACUUUAAUAAAUUUUUAUUUUUGAUCACUUAUUUUAUUUUUUUAAUUUUAAUUUUUUCAAUAAAAGAAAAAAACGCAGGUUUAUAGGGAACAACUUAGGUUUUUUUACAAGGAAAACUAAUUUAUCUUUUUAAUGUCAUCUAUUUAUUUUAUUUUUUUAGAAUUAAUUUUAGUUUUUCCUAUAAAAUAAAAAACUUGAGAUUUCACAAGAAAUUAUUCGGGUUUUUAAAGGAAAAGUUUGGGCUUUAGAAGGAAAAAAUCAUUUUUAUCUUUUCAAUUUUCUCUAUUUUUUUCUAGAAUUAAUAUUAAUUUUGUUUCUUGGUAAAAGGGAAAAAAUUGAAGUUUAUAGAGAUUACAUGGGUUUUUAUAGCGAAAACUAUUGAGUAUGCCUCAUAUUUUAGUUAAAUUUGAGAUAUAAUCUUCCAAUUAAAUUUUGUUUAUUUGUUUCAGUCGAACUUUGAUUAGUCUAAAUUAUUUUAUUAUUAUUUGACCUACAAAUUAAGCCUAUAAAAAGGUUCUAUUACAACAUUAGAAAAUACACCCAUUAAAAUAUUAGAACUUAUAACAUUUUUGGAGAAUUUUGUAUUUACAUUUUAAGGGUUCUUUGUUUUCAGGUUUAGUUUUUAUUUCAAUCUUUUGUAUUCUUCAUUAUUUUGCCAUUAUAGUAAAAUUAUAUUUGCCCAUGGUUUUUUAUCCUCUUUAGAGGGAUUUUUUCACGUUAAAUUUGUGUGUCUAAUUUCUCAAUUUCUUCCGCUAUCUUUACUUCUUCGUUGCUUAAUCAGGUAAAUCCCCAACAAAAACUUAUAGGGAAAUUUAUUUUAUAUUUUUAAUUUCCUUUUUUCUCUUUUAAAAAAAUUAAUUUUAGUUUUUUUUCCAAAUAACAAGAAAAAAUAGGGAUUUUUCUAGUGAAUUACUUGGGUUUUUACAAGGGAAAAUAAGAGUUUGUACAAUGAAUUGAGUUAUAUUGAAAAACUUGGGCUUAUCUCGCAAAUGAAUAACUCAAUCCCUUGUGAAAACUUAAGUUUUUUUCUUUUUAUGAAAAAUAAAAUUAUUUUUAAAAAAAUUAGUGAGCAAAAUGAAAACUUAUUAAAGUUGGGCGAGUAAAAGUAGUGUACAAUAACAUUGAAUUAAUUGUGGGUGACCAAAAUGAAAAUGAUUUUUAAUGGCAAUGCCUAAAAUAAAAGUGGGCUUUAAUGGCAAUACCUAAAAUGAUUUUUUCUUUUUAAUUUUUUGAUGGCCAAAAUGAAAAUUUAUGAAAGCUUAAUGACCAAUUGUGUAAUUACCCAAAAAAAUUUAUAAAAAAAAAACAUAACGUGUUUCUAUAAGAAAGUUGUCUACAUUUAAUUAAUACAUGGGUAAACUAGCAUUCUUAUUGAGACUCGAACUCAUAGGGAAGAAAAUACAGUUAUGGAUGGAAUCAAAUAUGUAGUAGUUACAGACAAAAGUAUUCAGUUAUUGGUGAAAAAUCAAUAUACUUCUAAUGUCAAAUCAGAAUCAACAAGGACAGAAAUAAAGCAUUGGGUUGAACUCUUCUUUGGUGUCAAGGUAAUAGCUAUGAAUAGUCAUCAACUCCUCAGAAAGGGUAGAAAAUGGGACCUAUUACGAGACAUACAAUGCAUUACAGGCGUAUGAUCAUUACGCUUCAACCGAGUUAUUCUAUUCCACCUCUUAGAACAAAAAGAACUUAAAUCAAAAUACCUAAUAGUGUGGCGAUACAUUUAUACAAAACUUCUACCUCGGGCACACGCAAUGGAGCCGUAGACAGUCAAGUGAAAUCCAAUCUACGAAAUAAUUUGAUCUAUGGAUAGCAUCGUUGUAGUAAAGGUCGUAAUGCCAGAGGAAUCAUUACCGCAAGGCAUAGAGGGGGAGUUCAAAAGCGUCUAUACAGUAAAAUUGAUUUUCAACGAAAUGAAAAAGACAUAUAUGGUAGAAUCGUAACCAUAGAUACGACCCUAAUCAAAAUGCAUACAUUUGUCUCAUACACUAUAGGGAUGGUGAGAAGAGAUAUAUUUUACAUCCCAGAGGGGCUAUAAUUGGAGAUACCAUUGUUUUUGGUACAGAAGUUCCUAUAAAAAUGGGAAAUGCCCUACCUUGAGUGCGGUUUGAACUAUUGAUUUACGUAAUUGGAAGGAACCAAUUAGGUUUACGAUGAAACCUAAAAAUUGAUCACUGAUCCAAUUUGAGUACCUCUACAGGAUAGACCUCAACAGAAAACUGAAGAGUAACAGCAGUAAGUGAUUGAGUUCAGUAGUUCUUCAUAUAAAUUUAUUGACUCUAGAGAUAUAGUAAUAUGGAGAAGAAAAAAUUAUUUCAAGCACCGGCAGAACCAGAAGCGCCCCUUGUUUCACAUUUCAUUUGAUGGUCAGAGGCGAAUUGAAAGCUAAGCAGUGGUAAUUCGAAAGGUUUCCCGGGGGGAAUAAAGAUGUCUCCUACGUUACUCAUAAUAUGUGGAAGUAUCGACGUAAUUUCAUAGAGUCAUUCGGUCUGAAUGCUACAUGAAAAACAUAAGCCAGAUGACGAACCGAAAAGACCUAGGAUGUAGAAGAUCAUAACAUGAGUGGUUCGACAGAUUUGGAUUCCUAUAUAUCCACUCAUGUGGUACUUCAUUAUACAAUAGAUAUCAUCAUCUACAUACAGAAAGUCGUAUGCUUUGGAAGAAGCUUGUACAAUUUGGGAAGGGGUUUUGAUUGAUCGAUCAAAAAGAAGAAUCUACUUCAAUCGAUAUGCCCUUAGGCACGGCCAUUCAUAACAUAGAAAUCACACUUGGAAGGGGUGGACAAUUAGCUAGAGCAGCGGCUGCUGUUGCGAAACUGAUUGCAAAAGAGGGGAAAUCGGCCACAUUAAAAUUACCUUCUGGGGAGGUCCGUUUGAUAUCCAAAAACUGCUCAACAACAGUCGAACAGGUGGGGAAUGUUGGGGUGAACCAGAAAAUUUUGGGUAGAGCCGGAUCUAAAUGUUGGCUAGGUAAGUGUCCUGUAGUAAGAGGAGUAGUUAUGAACCCUGUAGACCAUCCCCAUGGGGGUGGUGAAGGGAGGGCUCCAACUGGUAAAAAAAACCUGCAACCCCUUAGGGUUAUCUUGCACUUGGAAGAAAAGUAGAAAAAGGAAUAAAUAUAGUGAUAAUUUGAUUCUUUGUCGACAGAGUAAAUAGGAGAGAUUAUUUCUUUCUUCGUCUUUACAAAAACAAAAAUAUAUAUUUUUAAAGUAAAAAAAAUGGCGCGUUCACUAAAAAAAAUCCUUUUGUAGCAAAUCAUUCAUUAAAAAAAAAUCGAAAGGCUUAAUACAAAAGCGGAAAAAGAAAUAAUAAUAAUAACUUGGUUCAGAGCAUCUACCAUUAUACCCACAAUGAUCGGCCAUACUAUCGCUAUCCAUAAUGGAAAAGAACAUUUGCACAUUUAUAUAACGGGUCGUAUGGUAGGACAUAAAUUGGGAGAAUUCGCUCCUGUCGAAACCACUUUGAAAAAUCAAAAUUUUUGUUAUCGACUUUUUUAAAAUGAAAAUUUGGGAGUCGCCACCGAUCUUUUAUUGAGGUGUGAUCGGAUCACCUUGAAAAUAAUUUUAGGUCUGCGAAUUUUGAGAAAACAAGUUCGGGAGUCGGUUACGCACGAGGAAGGGUUAGGACCCUCGUGACGCCCAAAAUGGGUAUCGAAUUGAUUGUUUAAUGUCUUAAUGUUGAAACUUUGAAAAGCUUUUAAAAUACGAUCCUUCCCCUCUCUUAUUAGUGCUAAUUUUAUAAAAGAUGCAUGGAUAAAUCGAUGCGGAUACCAAAGACCUUCUUGUCUCAGAGUAAUAAAAUGACACACCCAAUACAUUAGGGCACGACAUUUUUAGUCCUCGAGAAUAAGUUGUCUUUUGAUUUCAAAACUUGUGGUGAAAUUUAAAAAGGGUAUUCAAUUGCUUUAAGUCAGAUGAAGAAUCGAAACCCAAUACAUUAGGGCACAAUUCCUCAAAAUUUCAAGCGUUGAAUGUUGCCCUUAUUAUUUUUUUAAAAAUCUUCAUUUUUGAGAAAAUGACAUGUCACAUCCAAUGCAUUAGGACACGACGUAUCAAAUUCCCGAGAAUGAGUUUUUUUUUGGUUUAUGUGUUUUAAUUGAAGAAAAUUUUUGAUUAUUUAAAUUCUACGAUGAAAAUUGGAACCCAAUACAUUAGGGCUCAAUUCUCUUGAGGACUCCAAAUUUCAAGUAUUGCGUUAUUUUGGAAAGCUUCUUGGAUAAAAAUGCUUUUGACGUUUGAAUGUUAUGAAAUGUAAUCUUUUGAAUAAAUCAAACAAUGGAAGAAUAACAUACAACACUAAAUAGUAAUUCAUAAAUUGAAAUGCACACCGAUGAACAAUAAGUAAUUAAUGAACCAAUAAUAUCGUACUUAUAAGGACAAUAGUUACAUGCAAAUACUACAUUUAAAAGCUAAUGAAUUAAAAUCAAUAAUAUACACACAUAUAUUACAUAUAUGAAAGUAUACAUACAAAAAAAUGUAUACAUAUACAUGUAUGAAAAUUUGAAACAAAUCAAAAAUAGUGUUUAAAUAAAUACCACAUAAAUUAAUAGUAUCUAAAUAAAUCUUAAAGAAAACCAAAAUACAUAAAACAAUAUAUGUAUUAAUUUGAACAAAUCAUAUGUAAAAUGAUAACCUUAGUAUAAAUUAUAAUAUAUAUAUAUCCAUAUAUACGAGGGGUUGAAAUAAACAAAAUAUAUAAUAAAACGUGGUUUAAAAAUCAAUAAUAAAAUAAUUUUAAAUAAGUAAAAAGAAUAUGACUAUGAGUUUUAAAUGGCAAAUGUAGGUUGAUUUGGAGCCAUUAGUAUAGGAUAAAAAAUUUUAAUAAUUUAAUAUAUAAAAUAAUACACGAAACGACCUAACUCAAUAAUUUUUAAAGAAAAUCGAAACAACAUGUAAAAGUUUAAAAUGAUAUAUAAGGGAAAUAAAAAAACAUUAAAGAUAAACAGAGAAGAAGGAAACAAAUUAAACUAACUCACAUGCAUAUGCUAAAUAAGAAAAAUAUGAAAAAUAGUACUUAAUUUAAAACAUUGGACAAUAAGCAGUCAGAUAAAUUAAUAAAUAAAGUUUAAAAGAAGAAUAAAACAAAAAUAUUAAACAGAUUAAUAAAUCAUAAACGAAUUAAAACAAAAUGGAGAGCCUGAGUGUGAUGCACGAAUGACAUGGGGGCCAAGUGGGAAAUAUUCCCUAUUCCCAAAACGCAGCACCUUUACCAUGGACCAGAGCAACAUCGAGUCAAACAUAUGGGACCAAUUAGAAAAUAAAGAAGGAUCGGAUUGAAACCACGAAACAAAACAGAGGGACCAGUGGCGCAAAUAGGCCAUUGAAGUGAAACGCGCGGAUCCUUCCUUAGGGUCGGGUCACCGCGCGGGUCACAGGCCUUUAAACGGCUCCGUUUUAAAUCCGGUGGUCAAAACUAAAACAAAAACUAAAAAAAAAAACUUAACCUAACAUUUUACCUCUUUUUAAAAAAACUAAAAGCUCUCUCUCCCUCUCGGCGCCGCUCUACAGUUCAUCGCCUCAUUCAAAGGCUCUCCGAACCACGCCCCAGACUCCGAUGACAACGGAGAAGGAGCAACAGGUCCAAUCGAGAGGUAAGCCUUCCUUCUUACUGCUUUUAUUUUCUAUAGUAAACACACAAAAGAAAAAAAGAAAAGAAAAAAAACUGCGUAGAAGAACAAAAAGGAGAGGGUGAACCCAGAAAUCACAUUUUUUUUUGGUGUUUUUGUAUUCUGAUUGCAAAAAAAUAAAAAUAAAGUUACAACCUAUUCCUGUCUUUUAUAGUCUCUAUUUACAAGAUAUAAUGACAAAAAAAAGAUAUCACCCCGUUCUGUCCCUUUUCAUUUUCUCUCUCUGCUCCUUUUUGUAUGCUGUUGGAGUCUGUUGCAUUGCUGGUUUGUGCGUCUUUUGCAGGUACGGAGUGCAGGGUCUGCGGCGUGGCAUGUACGGAUGGGCGCGGCCACGUGCGUAGAGAGUGGCUCGGGGAAGGCGGCGGCUGAAGACCCCAGAAACCCUAGGGUUUCUGCUUGUUUCAAUUCUGGGCUAGGGGUAUCGGGCCACUGUAAUUGGGCCUCUUGGGUUUAGGCCAGUUGGGCUAUCAGGUAUUUAGACUAGGAUUUGGGCUUGUACUGGGCCACUUAUUUUUUGGUAAACUGAUUUGGGCCAAUUGUAAAUGGACUGUUUUUUGGACUGAAUUUAUUUAUUAUUUUCUUUGUUUUUGAUUUGAUUUCUUUUUUCUUUUUUUUUUAUUCAGAAUAGGCCCCGAGCAAAUUGGGCCUAUUACAGCACCUACUAUAAAUUUUCACGGACAAGCAAAAAAUGAUAAGAAAUCUCGUCGUUAAUAUUAUUAUAAUUUAUUAUAAUAAAAAAUAGAGAUUAAUUAACGAAUUCAUUAUCGAGAGGUAAACUUUAUGAUAAAGAUAAAGAAACACAAGAGGAACCCAUAUACAACUUCAGAUGAAGUAUACGCUUUAGGUAAACAUAUAUGUAUGUUUGCUCACAAAGCACAAAGAAUAAUUGAUUAGAUUCGUGGACGUUCCUACAAAGAAACACUUAUGAUACUAGAACUCAUGCUUUAUCGAGCAUGUUAUCCCAUUUUAAAAUUGGUUUAUUUUGCAAUAGCAAAUGCUCGUCACAAUAGGGGUUUCAAUGAAGCGAGUUUAAUCAUUAGUAAAGUCGCAGUAAAUGAGGGAACUACUCUGAAAAGAUUAAAACCUCGAGCUCGAGGACGAAGUUAUCUGAUAAAAGACCCUCUUGUCAUAUAACUAUUGCAUUGAAAGAUCUUGAAUUUGAACCAUUUGACAGAUAUAUGCUGCGCCCAAAACCAAAAAACAUCGGAUGGCUAGGAUGGCUAAAAAAGGGAUAAAUAAGAACACAAAUAUGACAUAUCCUAAUAUAUAGUAGUGGAGGAUUAUGAGACAAAAAAUAAAUCCACUUGGUUUCAGACUUGGUACAACCCAAAGUCAUCAUUCUCUUUGGUUUGCACAACCGAAAAAGUAUUCUGAGGGUCUACAAGAAGAUAAAAAAAAAAGAGACUGUAUCAAGAAUUAUGUACAAAAAAAUAUGAGACUAUCUUCUGGUGUCGAGGGAAUUGCAUGUAUAGAGAUUAAAAAAAGACUGGAUCUAAUUUAGGUGAUAAUCUAUAUGAGAUUUCCUAAAUUAUUAAUUGAAGAUACACGAAAACUCGAAGAACUACAUAUGAAUGUGCAAAAAUAACUUAAUUGUAUGAACAGAAAACUCAACAUUACAAUUACAAGGAUUGGAAAUCCUUAUGGGCACCCUAAUAUUCUUGCUGAAUUUAUAGCCGGACAAUUAAAGAAUCGAGUUUCAUUUCGAAAGGAAAUGGAAAAGGCUAUUGAAUUAACUGAGCAAGCGGAUACAAAAGGAAUUCAAAUACAAAUUGCAAGGCGUAUCGACGGAAAAGAAAUCGCAAGUGUCGAAUGGAUCUGAGAAGGGAGGGUUCCUCUACAAACCAUUGGAGCGAAAGUUGAGUAUUGCUCUUAUAGAAUUCGAAUUAUCUAUGGGGUAUUAGGAAUCAAAAUUUGGAUAUUUAUAGAAGAAGAAUAGAAAAUCCCAAGAUGCUGCCGUUGGUGCUCUUGUACGGAUGCUGAAGAAAGCCCCUCCACUUCGCCAAGACAUCCCGAGUUCGAUAAAUUUUUCAGAAGCCUCGAGGCCAGAAAUGUGGAAUAACAACAUCCAAGAGCAAAACCAGAACACACAGGCUGUGACCGUUGAACAUGAUACUUCUUCAAUUAUUACAUCUUCUAGGCUUGUCGCAUCAAUGACAACGGCGGAUGCAUUAGAGGAACUUCGGAGUUACAAAGAGAUGAAAAACUUGUUGCUUAGUGACGAUGGUAAGUCUUGAACCUCUGCGGCUAAACAUUCUGGCAAAGGUACAUGAGAAUGAUCAACUUAUAUGAUAUUGGUAUAGUUGCACAUAUGUAGAGCGCUAUGGUUUGAAAGACUACUACUACAUGCUAUACAGCUGAAGCCAUUUUCCUCUUUUUGUGAUCAUAGGAGUAUAUAUAUACAAUAUAUGUGUUUUUGGUUAAGAUUUAUGUUAACAACAGAAGGGUUAUCUGUUGGCCCCGAAAACUUUGUAAAAAGCACUUUUGUCUCUGAUCCUACAUAACAUAAUUGCACAUAAUUUUAGAUGUUGUGUAAGGAUGGCGCAUGCUUUGAUAUACAGGCUGUCAUUUCUAUUAUUUUGCUUCUCCUUUGUUUCCCCUCCUGCAUAUAGAGUUUCAGUAGAAUGAAGCGUAAGAGUUUCUAAUACAAAUGUUUAAUACGGAUAUAUUUACCUGUUUUAGAAGGGGGUUUUUUUUUUAAAGUUAUUUUAGAUAUAUAUGAAGUAUCAUAUCCUGAUAUAUUUGGAAGAUUAUAAUUCUAUAGUCACUUCUUUGACUCUCCAACAUUAUAAGAAAAAACAUUACAAAAAAACAUUGUAGCACAAAAAAAAUUAAGAUAAAUUAGUAAAAAUUAGAAUUCUAGUCAACUGGUAGAAUAUCCAUUCAACUGAUGCUUCUUUUUUCUGUCAAAUUAGAAAAAUGAAAUUAAAAGACAUUAUCAAAGAAAACACCAAGCUUGCUUGCUUUUUUUUUUUCUGAAAUAAUGAUUAAUUUCAAAGUUGAUUAAAAAUAAUUAUUAUAAUUUUGUUUUGUUUUGUCUACCGCAUCAAGCUGGCAUUAAGAAGGAAAUAUAAAUAUAUACUUGAUGCCCAUCUCUGACACUUAUUUGAAAGGUUAAGAUUCACUCGUUACUUUUUCAUCUACUAAUAUCUAAUACAAUGAUGAUUAUUAUUUAAAUGUGUAGAAUUUAUCUAUUAAAUGUAAAAAUUAAAUUUAUAAAUAAUGAUUAAACAUGCAUUGAAUAGUAAUAGAAUAAAAUCAAGCCCUUUUUAAAUGCAUGUUGCAUUGAUCCCAUUCCUUUGUCCAUUAAUUUGCCAUUCCCAAAUCUCUUGAUAUCCUCAAUAAAUGUCAUUAAGUUCCAAAUGAAAAUAAUUUUUUUUCUUUACAAAAAUAUUAACAUCAUCUUUGAACAUUCCCAGCGUAAGGACUAAAGCCUCUCCUUUUUGCAUGAAAUAAUGGCUUACAGACCACAAAUAAUGUCUCUUGUUGCAUGUCUUCGAACUCCACUGUCUUACCAAAUGAGAACAGUCGCUCUUGGUUGUGAUCCAUUAACGCGCAUGCUAUUCCUGUUCCAGCUCGGCCUCGCUUCCUUGUAAAUGGGUAACAACACUACUCUCACGGUCCGUAAGUCCCCAGGGAAAUAAUGAUCACAUAUUUCUUUUUAUCCUAUUUCAUGGAAAUUACCAACGUCAUUAUUGAAAAGUGUGUAAGUGGAAUUGACCAAGGUAAAAGAAAAUGAGAAUAAGAGCGAGAGUUUUCGAUUAGUUUAAUGAUGCGAAUAGAGAUAAUUAUAAAACAACAAUUUUAACAAUUUAAUGAUUUAAAUGAAAACUUUUGAAUAGGUCAGUAAUUAUUUUGUAAUUUUUUAAAGUUGAGUGAUCAAAAUAUAAAUAAAUAAAACACGUCACAAAUUCCUGAUCCAAUUUGUAAAAGUAAAAAAUCUACAGUUAAUUUAGUAGAUAAUAAUUCACAAUACUUAGAACUAUUCAUAGCCCAUCCCAACCCAUAAAUAAGAGGAUAAUAAGUUUCAGUGUACUUGAACUCACCGUCCUCCUGCAUUGACAACAAUGUCCAGGUCAAUCGAGCUAAAACUCAAUCGGCUAUGGGAAAAAAUACAUUACUUGAUAUAUAUAUUGUUUGAUAUCAUCUAUACUAUAUAUAAAAUGGUCAACUAAGUUAAUAACAUGAAUCAAUUCGACACCAACUCAAUUAUGAAAUUAUUAAAAUAUCAUUACUUUAAAAUGUAAUUAAUAUUAUUAUAAUAGUUCUUUUUCAUACUUUUAUAUAAUAUUUAAAAUAAAAUAACCGAAAAACAUUAUUUAAGAAUCAAAUAGAAGACCAAUAAAUUUAAAUAAAAAUCUCUUAUCACUCCACCCAUAAUCAUUUUGUUGAAAUAAUUAUAUAUAUAUAUAUUUAAGGGAAAAUAUUUGGUACACAGUUAGUAAAGUUUUUAUACUCUACAAGUAGGAUUAGGGAUUUGACAAAUAUUUUAUAAGAGUAUAGUAAAAUAUUAAAAAAUAGAAAUUAAAAAAAUGUAUAUCAAAAUUUUAAAAUUACUUAUAAAAUAAAAAAUUUAUAUUGUUAAUGUACCAAAUAUUUAGCUUAUUUUUAAUAUAAAAUAUUUGCUUUAAAUUAUAGGUGUAAAAUUAAACAUGAUAAUAAAACCAAAAACUAUUGCUUUCAAAUUGAAGAAAAUAAAUGACUAUGUGGCCACAACUAGACCUGUCCAUGGUCCAGGCCGGGCCGGGUUCGGGCCAGGCCCAGAAAAAAUUUUCGGCUCGCCUCCUAGCCCGGGCCCGACCCGGCCCGAAACAUGGGCCUGAAAUUUUGCCCAGGCCCGGCCCGGGAAAAAUAUCAUGAGCCCGGCUCGGCCCGGCCCAUUUUUUAAUAAACAUUAAAAAAUUAUUUUAAAAAUAAAAAAAAUAUUUUAAAAGUAUUUUAAAAUUAAAAAAUAAAAAUAAAAAAUAUAUAUUUAUUAUAUUCGGGUCAUGGACAGGUCUAGCCACAACCAUCAUAGACUCUAAGGCAUUAAAGGUAAUGAACAUGGUAGCAUGCAUGGUAGAAGAUGAGGAAUGCCCAACUUCCUUUUUGUUUACAAGUGCUUUUUCUUAUUUUUUAUAUUUAAAUAAUAAUAAUAAUUAAAUCUUAGUUUUAUUCUCUCUAACAUGUCUAAAUUUAAAUCUUAAUUUUUAUCUUUAAAUUUUUAACAUAAUUAGUCUUUAUAUUUUUAUAAUGUUACUAAUUAGUUGAAAUAGUUAAUAUCGUUAACUUUUUUAUUAAAACAUUAUGUGGUUACAUAUAACUCAGUCUUUGCAGAAUGUCAACUAAGCCCAAAACAUUCUCAAACAUGGAAACUGAAAUACUCUAAAUAUUCAAUUCAAGGUUGUAUAAUGCAACCAGGGCUAGUGAUACACGAGCGGAUGUGUGUUUUACAUCAAGAAAGAAAACAUCGAGCAAAUCAACUCCCUCCACUUGAUUGUCACCCUUUGCGAACAACCUUGCUUUAAACACUCUAUUUUAUCUAAAACUUCUACAAUCUGAAAUCUGUGAUUCCACCGAACUUCUCGAUAUCGAAUUUCGUUGUCCCCAUUUCUGAACAGGUUGAUUGCAAAAUUUGAACCGAACUCUAAUACCAGUUUGUUGGGGAUUGACCCAUGUAAAUAAUGGGAUAGUAAAAGUGGAGAAGAAUAAACACAAAUAUUUUACUUGAAAAACUGUCAAAGAGGAAAAAACCACGAGCAAAGGAGGUAUCAACUUUUUACUAAACAAGUAAACAAACGAGAGUACGAUAUGGGGAAAAGAAAUCUAAUUGUACUAAAUGUACAAGUCCAAACCCCAAAAGCAAAUCCCUAACUCUCAUAAAGAAAACUUGAAAAUAAAACUCUAACUCUUACAGAGUUUUCUGAAAAAGAGGUAUAGAAUUCUUUCCAUAGUUACCACGAAAACUCUCACCAAAACUCAUCUACGACUACUAUAUCUUGUCACCCCUCAAAAGAAAAGUAUUGUAGUACUACAUCUUUAGUUUUCUUUUUAAUUGGUCUCCCAAAACAGGGAUAUAAGACCCCUUCAAAUAGGCAAAGAUUAGAGAUCUAAUCAUACUAAAAUAUCCAUGGAGUAAUCAGAGUUUACUGGAAAAAGAUAGUAGAGUUCAAUUGGGAUAAGAAACCCGAUAUAUAUGGGGAACACGUUGCAACGUUCUCAUUCGCGUCGUCCGUCAUCCCAAUGUUGGGAAGUUUCUUGUUGUAAUGUCGUCGUCUGUUUGGCCGAAAAUACGAUGCAAACCCAAAAAAUCUCUACCUUGACUCGUAUUUACCAUCCCUUCUUCUCCAUGCCCCGUCACGGGCCAAACUUGAUCUUUGUUGAAUGUUAACCAAGCCCAAACCAUUCUCAAACUUGGAAACCGAAAGACUCCUAGUCUUCAAAUCAAGGUUGUAUAAUGCAACUAGGGCUAGUUAUACACGGACGGACGUGUGCUUCACAAUAAGAAAGAAAACAUCGAGGAAAUAAACUCCCUCCACUUGAUUGUCACCCUUUGCAACCAACCUUGCUUUAAACACCCUACUUUAUAUAAAAUUGCUACAAUCUAAAAUCUAUGAUUCCAUCAAACUUCUCAAUAUUGAAAUUCGUUGUUGCCAUCCUUGAAUGAGUUGAUUGCGAAAUCCGAACCAAGCUCUCAUACUAGUUUGUUAGGGAUUGACUCGUGUCAACAACGAAAGAGUAAAAGCAGAGAAGAACAAACACAAAUACUUUAAGUGAAAAACAGUCAAAGAAGAAAAAACCACGAAAAAAAUAAGUAUCGACUUUUCACUAAAUGAGUAAACAAAUGAGAGUACAAUAUGGAGAAAAUAAAUCUAAUAUUACUAAAUCUACAAACCCAAACCCCGAAAACAAAGCUCUAACUCUGAUAGAGCAAAUUCAAAAAAAAAACCUAAAUCUCAUAUAGUUUUCUCAAAAAGGGUUAGAAAAUUCUCUCCAUAUUUACCACAAAAACUGUCACCAAAACUCAUUUGCGACUACAUAUUGACGUCCCCAAAAGAAAAGCCUUUAAUCGCCUUUUUAAUUGGUUUUCAAAAAUAUGGAUGCAAGUCCCAUUAAAAUAGGCUAAGAUUAGAGGUCUAAUCAUACUAAAAUAUCCCUAGAUUAAUCAGAUUUUAAUUGGGAAAAUAUAGCAAAAUUUAACUGUGAGAAGAAACCUGAUUUAUGUGGGGAAAACAUCGUCACGUCGCAACGUACCCAUUUGCAUUGACACUAUGUUGUCCAUUGUCGUAACGUCGAGAAAGCUUCUCAUCGUGCUGUUUGUUUGGCCGAAAAUAUGAGGCACACCCCACAAAUCUCCACCUUGACUUGUAUUUACCAUACAUUCUUCUCUAGACCCUGUCACGAGCCGAACUCAAUCUUUGCAGAAUGUCAACAAAGCUUAAACCGUUCUCGAACUUGGAAAUCGAAAGACUCUUAAUCUUCAAAUCAUGGUUGUAUAAUGCAACCAAAACUAGUGAUAUACAAACAAAUGUGUGCUUCAGAACAGGAAAGAAAACAUCGAGCAAAUUAACUCAUUCCACUUGGUUGUCACCCUUUGAGACAUACCUUGCUUUAAACACUCUACUUUAUCUGAAAUUGCUACAAUCUGAAAUUUUUGAUUCCAUCAAACUUCUCAAUAUCUAAAUUCGUUGUCGUUAUUCCUGAACAAGUUGGUUGCAAAAUCUAAAUCAAGCUUUGAUGCCAGUUUGUUGGGGAUCGACCCGUGUAAACAACGAGAUAGUAAAAGUGGUGAAGAACGAAUACAAAAAUUUUACGUGAAAACUGUCAAAGAGGGAAAAACCAUGGGCAAAAGAGGUAUCAACUUUUCACUAAAUGACUAAACAAGCGAGAGUAUAAUAUGGAAAAAAAACCUAAAUGUACUAAACGUGCAAACCCAAAUCCUGAAAACAAAACCCUAACUCACAUAGAGCAAACUCGAAAAUAAACCCCCAACUCUCACAGAGUUUUCUUAAAAAGGGGUACAAAAUUCUCUCCAUAGUUACCACGAAAACUAUUACCAAUACUCAUCUGCGACUACAUCUAGUCGCCCCUAAAAGAAAAGUCAUGUAGUACUAUAUAUUUAAUUGUCUUUUUAAUUAGUCUCUCAAAACAGGGAUACAAGACCCCUUUAAAUAGGCUAAGAUUAGAGGUCUAAUCAUACUAAAAUAUCCCUAAAGUAAUCAGAGUUUAACUAAGAAAAGAUAGCAGAGUUUAACUGGGAAAAGAAAUCUGAUUUAUGUGGGGAACACGUUGCCACAUCGCAACGUCCCCAUUCAUGUCGUCACGACGUCGUAACCUUGGGAAGCUUCUUGGCGUGACAUCAUCGUCUAUUCAGCCGAAAGUAUGAGGCAUACCCCACACUUUGUAAAUUUGAAAUUUAGUUCAUGUAUUGCUAUUUUUAGGAAUUUCGUGUAUCUACAUUCUAGAUUUCAAACCAGGUCCAAUUAUUAACAUUGUUAAAGGUUUUUUGUUAAAUUUUUUGGUGUGACAUUUUGAAAUAAAAAAAAAAUUACUCACUUGAUAGCCAUGUAACUAAAACAAUGAUGUUAUGAUAAACCUAAAUUUAAUAAAAGAAAUUAGCAAUGUUAACAAUUAGACUUGUAUUUUUAAAUUAGAAAAUAAAAGACUAAAUUCCUUAAAAUAAAAAGUAAAAGGAUUCAAUUCAAAAGAUACUAAGAGUAUAAAAUGUUAUAUCACAUUUUAACUUAUAUAAAUUUAUUAAAAUCCCCAUAUCAUUAUAAUAAAUUAUGAAAAAUAUAUUAUAAAGCUGGACAUAAACACAAAAUAGAUAACAAUUAUUUUGUAAAUUGAAUUUUAAUAAGAAACAAUGCAAAAAUGUUAAAAAGUAAUAGAAUGAAAUCAAACCCCUUAUCUGAAUAUAUGUUGCAUUGAUCUCAUUUCUUUGUCAAUUAAUUUGACAUUCCCAAGUCUCUUGAUAUCCUCUAUAAAGGUCAUUAAGCUCCAAAUGAAAAUGUUUUUUUUUCUUUACCGUCUCCUGUUUCAGCCAAAAUAUUAACAUUUUCCCACCGUGAGGGCUCUUGGUUGUGAUCCAUCGACGCGCAUGCUAUUCCUGUUCUAGCUGGGUCUCCCUUGCUUGCAAAUGGAUAACACUACUCGCCCAGGGAAAUAAGGAUCACAUAUUCCUUUUUUUCUUCUUUCAUGGAAAAUACCGACAUCACUAUUGAAAAGUGUGUAGGUGGACUUAACCAACACUUUUCUUGGCAAGUGAAGUGAAUGGCCAAAUGUCUCACACGUUUCUUUCUAUUUCAUCGGAAUGGAAGCUUCCUCAAAAAAAAAAAAGACAAAUGUUUUUUUUAAUUACAUUGGGUUAACUAAAUUUAAAAAAAAUCAUUACGUGUUUUCGAAAAUUCUCUAAAUUAUUAGUAAAUUUACAUUUUAAUCACUCAACUUCAAAAAGUUAAAAUACUGGUCAUUGAACUAUUCGAAAUCUUUUAUUUAAGUCACUGAGUUGUUAGGUUUUUUUUUUUAAGUUUAACUAGCGAGUUACAAGUGACGAUUUAACGAUCGGUACGAUGGAUCAGUAUCUAUCACUAAGUAGAAGAACAUAAUACUUUAGAUCCAAAUCAAUUUGAUUGUCAAUAUCAAAUGUAAAGGCCCAAUUUUGCCCGGACCCAGAUUACAAACAAUAAAACAAAAAAAUAAAUAGAACCAAAAAUAAAUAAUAAAAAAGUCCAAUCCGUUUACACAAAAAAUAGGCCCAAAUAGCCCAAAUCAGUAACCUAAUGGCCCAACGGCCCAAAAACUUAAAUUUUUUUCAGAUUGGUUUCUAGCGCCACACCCCCUGCCUUGGCACGCACGCUGCCCGAGUGCCUCGUCUCGAGGCCUGAUGCACCCCUGCCUCCAUUUGCACCAAAAUAGCAAGGGUCUCCCCCUCCAUUGACUCCGCCACCUGCAAGAAAAGAGCAAAAAAGGACAGAGACAACAGACGCAAAACAGUAGUGAAACAGAAAUAAACAGUGUAAUAUUGGCUAUAAAGGCCAUGAAAAUAUAUUGUAAUUUUUACCAGGAAGCAAUCAAAACAAAAUAGAAAGAAAAAUUCUAAAAGGUGGUCCUUUUAUUUUUUUACUCUAUUUUUAUUUUAUUUUUAAAUAAAUAUAAAAUAAAAAGGGAGGUCGAAAACCUACCUGGCCCUUCAUGUUCUGCCGCCAUGAGUGGCCGAGGAUCGUCAUCUCCGAUGAAAGAUGACAUCUUUCGGGUAAAAGGGUCUUCAAAACCCAGAAACCAAAAGCUUUUUUAGGGAUUUCUACUAUUUUGAUGAGUUUUUUUUUAAAAAAAAACCCAAAUUGGGUUCGGGGAACCAAAAGGCCAAAGAACAGCCAUUUUUGCGUUUUCUGGCUUCAAAACGAGAUAUAAGUAACGAUCAAUUGGUGUUUAUUCUCGUUUUUAAGGAUUUAAGGCAUUGUGUCCUAACUUACGGGACGUGAUCCUUUUUCUCGAUUAACUUGAAAUAAGCUAUUUUCGCAAAAAUUGCUUUAGUUAGAUAGUGCCUUAAUACAAAAAGGAUUGUGUUUUAAACUCUUUUCAAAGUUUCAAUUAACGAUACUAAGACAUUAAUUAAUCAACUAGGUACCAAUUUUGGACAUUACGAGGGUGAUAUUCCUUCCUCAUGUGUAACCGACUCUCGAACCAAUUUCCUGAAUUUUGUAGACCAAAAAUCGUUGUUUUAGUAAAUCAAACCGUUUAUUAAAACGACCAAAUUACGAGGUGAUCCGAUCACACCUCAUAAAAAGGAUUGGUGGCGACUCCCAUUUUCGUUUUUUAAAAAUAAAAAGUCGAUUUAAAAAAAAGGGGUUUCAAUAUCAAAGAUCAGAUAAUUGCAUUGUUUGGAUUUUGAUUUGCAGAUUCGUGACAUUUAAAGUUGUUUAAUGAAAAGAAAUUAAAUUGUAAGAGAGAAGAGGAGUGGGAGCUUUCGAUUGAAAAACAUACAACAACGAUUUAAUAACCCAAUGACUUAAAUGAAAAUUUUCAAAUUAUUUAGUGAUCAUUUUGUAGCUUUUUAAAGUUAAGUGACCAAAAUAUAAAUUUACUAAUAAUAUAAUGACUUUAAAUAAAAUUUACCCUUAAUAAAUAAAUAAAUCACCGAAGGAAUUCCUGAUCUUAUUUGUGAAAGUAAAAGACCUACAAUUAAUUUAGCAGAUAAUAAUUCACACAAGAAAUGGUUUUAAAUUCCUGAAAAGAAAAUUGAGCGCCAGAAUUAAUUAAUCGAAGACUUCUGUUCCAAUUGGGCGGCGACUUGACCAGAACUUUAUUUGCCGGGUAUUCCCACAGGGAAGUCUUGCUCUGGCUUGCUGCCCAAAGUGUUGAACAUAUAGAAUUAAGGUUGUCUUGCAUACACACUGGUGGAAUUGAAUUUGAUUCCGCGAAUUGAGUAAAAUAUCCCUGUCCGUAGUUCCAGCGGAUUGUCUUUUGUCUUGCAAACCCCUUAUCCUGUACUCCCCUAUUCUUGAAAAGACCACUAUGCACCUUGACUUCUGGCUUUUCGUUCUUCCUGCUGCAGCUGUUUAGCUAUAUGCGUCUCCUUUUUGAAGGAUUAAUUAGAUGUCUCUUCUUUUUUCAAGCAAAAGCAAAAAGCAUCAACUUCCUAACGAAAUGUCGUUGGUCAUGAAAUAGUAUCUGCUUUAUAUUCAUACCGAUGUAGCUGUUAAUUUGAGUACAGGCAAUAUUUUUAUAAGGGGAGUGAUUCAAAACCAUUAAGGGAAUUGGAUUUUGGGCUUCAAUCAUUUUUUGGGGAUGUGUUCAGUCUUUGAAGUUGAAUUAUGGGACAUUUUUUACGGGUUGAGUCUUUUACAAGAUUAAGGCUUAAGCAAAUUAUCGAUUCAUGAGAAUAGCCUUGAGGUAGUUCUUGCUUUGCAAAUGAGUUUUAUAACUAGUUCGAGAUUAGCAUUAGUUAGGCGGAUCCAACAAAAGCUACAAAAUUUCGAGCAUUGAGAGAUCAAACAUGUUCCGAGAGAAGUUAACUUAGUCGCAAAUCGAAUUGUCAAGAUGGUGUCUGUGGAGAUAGAGGGAGUUAAUGUUUUGACAUUUACUCUUAUACGAAUCUUUUAAAAUUCCUAGAAAGUGAUAAAAUUAAGAGUAAACUAUUAAAAUAGUCACUUUUGUUUGCCUCAGGUUACAUUUUAGCCGCUUAUGUUUGAAAUGUUACGUUUUAGUCACUUACAUUAUCAUGUUGUAACAUUUUAGUCACUAAGCUAUUAAUUUCCAUUAACAGUGUAACAGUAAGCUGAUGUGGCACAUUAAAUCAUCAUUUCAAACAAAAAUUUUAGGUUAAAUUAUAAAAUUGGUCCCUAUAUUUUUUCAUUUUAAGCAAUUUAGUUCUUUUCUUUUAUGUUCUUUUAAUUUUUUUUCUUUUAUUUUCCAUUCUUUUCUACUUCUCUCUCUGUUUUCCUCCCUUCUCCAUUUCUUUUAAUAUAGUUUUUUUUUAUAUUUUUCAUUUGUUAAAAAUUAGUUCCUAUACUUUUUUUUCUUGAACAAUUUAAUUUUUUAUUUUUAUUUCUUUAUUUGUUAAAGCAAAUUAUCUUUGAUUACAUACUCUGUGUGUAAACCCAAAGAUUGUUUUUGAUCAUUGCAAGAUGAAUAAAAUCGAUCUUAUUGCAUUAAUCAAUACCAAUUCUUCUUCAAUAUAUAAUAGAACACCAAGCUAAAUUCUACCAAAGACAUUAAUUUGUUUACCAAAUUGGUGCCAAAAACUAGAAAUCAAGUUAACUCUAAUGGGAUAAGAAGGGUUAACCAAUAUUAUGAAAAUCUUGAUUGAAAUAUCUGGUCCAAGCAAUUCUAUAAAAUCACCAUAAUAAUCCAUUUUUGGAUCCUUUGUAUAGCAUCAACAAUAAGUGUAAAAUAUCAAAAACCCCAAUUCACAAAUGUUUACAAUAAGCAAAAAAUAAAAAAAAAUCUUUAUUCUGGAUUUUCAUUGAAGAGUAAUACAAAAUUGUUACCCUAAGUUGAAAAUAUAUUAAAAAACUAAUCAAAAGGAAGAUUAAACAGAACGUACAAGAAACACCCAAGAUCAAAAUAAAAGUAUAGAGACUAGUUUUAACAAAUGGAAAAUAUAGAAAAACUAUGUUAAAAGAAACAGAGAAGGGAGUAAAACAAAGGGAGAAACUGAAGAGAAUGGAAAAUAAAGAAAAAAAAGGAAAGUUAAAAAAUUUUGUAUUGAUCUUCAACGAAAACCCAAAAUUGUGAAAAAAAUAAAUUGUUCAAAAAAAUAAAAGUACAGGGACUAAUUUUAAUAAAUGGAAAACAUAAAAAAACUAUGUUAAAAAAAUAGAAAAGGGAGAAAAUAUAAGGAGAAACAAAAGAGAAUGGAAAAUAAGGAAAAAAAUGUUAAAAAAAUUAAAUUGCUCAAAACGAAAAAGUAUAUGAAUCAAUUGUAUAAUUUAACCUAAAAUUUUUAUAAAUUUUUAUUUAAAAUGAUGAUUUAAUAUGCUACAUCAGCUUACUGUUAUAUUGUUAACGACAAUUAACGGCUCAGUAACUAAAAUGUUACAAUACGAUAACGUAAGUGACUAAAAUGUAACAUUUCAAACAUAAGUAACUAAAAUGUAACCUGAGGUAAACAAAAGUGACUAUUUUAAUAGUUUAUCCUAAAAUUAAUGGUGGUUUCGAUUGUAUUAAUGUAACAAAAUCUAUUAAGCUUUGUUUAUUUCCCCCCAAAAAAUAUUAAACUUUUAAUUAUAGGAUAGGUAAUUUUUGAAUGUUUCUUUUGCUUUUUUAUCUUCAAUAACUCAUAAAAUUAUGGGAAAGAUUACAUGAUAUAUAUACACACAAAAUAUAUUAUAAAUUUAUUAAAAUCUCCAUAUCAUUAUAAUAAAUUAUGAAAAGCUUGACAUAAACACAAAAUAGAUAACAAUUAUUUUGUAAAUUGAAUUUUAAUAAUAAACAAUGCAAAAAUUUUAAAAAGUAAAAAUAAAUAUUAUAAAUAUAAUACUAAUUUACAACAUAAAUAUUUUUUUUCAAAAUCAAUAUUUACUCGAAUAAUAUAAUUAAAUUCAAUACAUAUAUAUUACUAAUUUACAAAAAAAAUCUAAUAUAAAUUUAACCCUUAAAAGUUAAUAAUUUUAAUUUAUUAAACAACACUUUAAUAAAAUCCCCAACUUUAAUCAAAAUGAAAGAAAAAAAAUUAGUAUUUUCUUUUCCUUUUUUUUUUUUAAAAAAAGGAGGUAUUAUUAGUAUUUACAUUCAUAAUCAUCUAAAGUAUGUUUUCGACAGAGUCAAUGAAAGUAAAUAAACAUAUAAAACACAACACCUUCAAUACACCGACUCUUAUCCAAUAUGAUGAGCAUUUCUUUUAUUCGUUCUUGCAAUGUUAGGAACAACGACCAACAUAAUAUCGUCAAUGCUUAAGAGUGUAUGAGAUAUGGCCGGAAGUCUGCAGAAGGGAAAAUGAUGUUAGAAAACGAAAAACUUUCUCAUCCGGACAUGAACUAUUUUUAGUUUACCCUUAGGCUUAACUAAGCAAAUUCAGAGGAGGGCUUCUUCUCCCUUAUCUCCUUGCUUACACCCCAACCUUAGUUAUGGCACAUGUACCGUCAAAUAUUAUUCUCUUGCUGUUCCUUCUGGUUUCUUUCCAUGUUAAUGUCAUAGCUGAAGAAGACGAGGCAAACAUUAUCAAACCCGGUUCUUCACUUUAUACCGGAAAACAGCCUAGUUCGUGGGCCUCACCUUCGGGGAAUUUUGAAUUUGGUUUCUACCGGCAAGGAGAAGGAUAUGCGGCCGGAAUAUGGCUUGUUGGUCGACCAGAAAACACCAUUGUCUGGACUGCAAAACGAGAUGACCCGCCUGUCUCCUCAAAUGCUACUUUGGAAUUCACUACACAAGGCGUAUUGCUUCUUCGGACUGAGGACGGGGUGGGAAAUGUCAUUGCGAAUCUGUCCGGCGUGCAACUUGUUGAUUCUGCUUCGUUGCUGGACACCGGGAAUCUAGUGCUCUAUGAGAACAGGUCUGUUGUUUGGGAGAGCUUUGAUAUCCCGACCGACACAAUCUUAGGAGGCCAGAAUUUAAGCCUUUACAGUGAGUUGAUUUCCAGUGUGUCAAGUUCAAACCACUCAACUGGCCAUUAUCAUUUGCUCUUGAAGUCUGGUGGGCUUGUAGCCAAUUUAAAUAUUUCUUCUGGAGCUGCCUAUGAGUACUGGGUCUUCCCUAAUGGCUUUUCUUCCCCCGUGUUGAAUCUCAAUGAAAGUGGCGUUCUAGCACUGUAUUCAUCACAAAAUUUCGACCAAGAAAAUGUUUUGGCAAGCGGCUCGACAACUGGGAACGGAACAAUGAUUAUCUAUAGAGCAACCCUUGAUCAUGACGGUGUUUUCAGAUUGUACUCGCAUCAACUUGAAAGCAAUACUAUGUCAAACAAGUGGCAGAAUUUGGAUGAUGAAUGUGAGGUUCCAGGUCGGUGUGGGUUGAACAGCUACUGCUCCACCAGCAGGGGUAACGAUACUGAGUGCUAUUGCUAUCCUGGUUUCAUAUUUAUCGACGAGAAUGCCAAAUUCCUGGGCUGCUCUCAGAAUUUCACUGUAGAUGGGUGCGAGACUAAGAGAGAUGUAGUGAUACACCACAAUAGCACUACCUUAGACAAUGUGUCUUGGGCUGGUAAUCUUUAUUCUGUGAAGCGUAAUCUGGAGAAGGAAGACUGUAAGAAAGCUUGCGAGGAUGAUUGCUCCUGUGGUGGAGCUCUCUAUAGCCCAAAUCACUGUAGCAUGUAUUCAUUACCGCUUAAAUAUGGUAGAAAACAUGUAAAUAUAACAACCACAGCCUUCAUCAAGUUGAUUCCGGGUAGCACCAUUAGCCCCCCACCUGAAAAAAGUCAAAUAUUGAUAAGCGAAGGAAACCAAAGCCUCAUUUUAACUAUGGGAUUAAGUUUGGGUUCCGUUGCAAGUUUGUGUUUUGUGAUUGCAAUAUGUAGCUUCUUGUUAUACAGGCAUCGAGUCCAAAGUUAUGAGAAGCUUUUAGACAGUAAAAGUUCAGGAUUUGCCGAGCAAUUUACACUACGAUCAUUCACUUUCAAUGAGCUAGAUGAAGCAACACAAGGUUUCCAAGAUGAGUUGGGUAGAGGCUCAUUUGGAGCGGUUUAUAAAGGAACUUUGCCAGGGGAUGGUAAAAGUAUUGCUGUUAAGAGAUUAGGAAUGGUUAAGGAAGGAGAAAGGGAUCAGUUUCGAACUGAGAUGACAGCCAUUGGAAGAAAUAACCACAGGAACUUGGUCCGAUUGCUUGGAUUUUGUGUGGAAGGUUCAAGGAAGUUCCUUGUUUAUGAGUACAUGAGCAAUGGCUCACUAGCGGAUUUUCUAUUCAACAGGAAUGAACGCCCGGUUUGGAAACAGAGAGCCAGAAUAGCGUUGGACGUGGCUAAAGGUAUCCUUUAUUUACAUGAAGAGUGUGAGGUGAGUAUCAUCCAUUGCAACAUCAAGCCCUGCAACAUACUCUUGGAUGAUUCAUUGACUGCAAAGAUUUCGGAUUUCGGAUUGGCAAAGCUAUUGAGGCCUAAUCAAAGAAGCAGUACAAGUGGAGCAGCAUGGUACUCGGCACCUGAAUGGCAAAACAGUGCAGUGUUAUCGGUAAAAGUUGAUGUAUACAGUUUCGGAGUGAUACUGUUGGAGAUGAUAUGUUGCAGAAGCAACAUAGAAGUAGAAGGUCGCAGUGCAGAUGAGAUACUGCUUUCAACAUUUGUAUACAAUUGCUUUGUUGGGGGAGAGUUGAAUAAGCUCGUGGAAGGUGAAGAAGAAGUGGACAUGAAAAUGGUGGAAAGGUUUGUGAAGGUGGGGCUUUGGUGCAUUCAAGAUGAUCCAAAUUUGCGUCCACUCGUGAAGAAUGUGAUCUUGAUGCUAGAAGGAACAAUGAAUGUACCGAUCCCUCCAUCUCCAUCACUUCCCCAUGUUACUAAUUAAUAUUUUUAACUUUGAAGUUGGGUUUAUUUUAAUUAUGUUUUUCAUGUAAUUAAUAAUAAUUAGAGGAGUAAUUUUUAAAAUAAAAUUUUGGAAACUAUCUGGUUGUUACAAAGAAGGACAUUUUAUGUUCUAUGCAUCAAUUAUCAUGUGAUAAGUGAAAGGUCUCUAAUCUAUACAUCAUUUAUAAUAUUAAAAGUAUACAUGGUUUUUUCCAUUGUUUUCACUUAUGUGUUGUGUUGAAAAAUUAAAUGUUAACAUCUUAAAUACUUACAAAAUCAAUGUGGUAUGUUUGUUAAAUUUAAGUAUAUGAUUAAAUUGUUUGAUAAAGGAUAGCUUUAGGUGUGUUUCUAAUAACUUUAGAGCUCUAAACAAAAUCUUUAAAAAAAUUAUCUUUCGGUCUCACUUGCCUAGAUAUUCCUUUAGGGGCAUUACUUCCUAACUUUUUAGGCCUACUCAAUUUAGUUCAAUUUAGUUCAAUUUAUUAUAAUUUAGUCCUUUUUUUCCAAAAAUUAGCUUACCUACAUUUCCAUCAACCAAAUCCUUUUUUAGGUUUAGCUAUUUAUGCUGCAAAUAAAGAGAAUGAACAUGGAAAUGAAAAGCAAACAAAACAUUGAAGUUAAGAAAAAAAAUGAAAGUUUGGAUUUUUUUUUAUGCAAGAAAACUUAAAGAACAUAAAACUAAAGGCAUUCAACAAGGAAAUCUAAAGCAAUAAAUAGAAAAGGAAUAAACUUUAACAAAUUUAAAGUAAAAGAAACUGAAAUGCAUUAAACUAAAGUUAGAAAUGUCUUACAGCUAAGGUAUAGGGAUUGGAAGUGCAAAUAAACUUAAGCUAUAGUAAUAACUAACUUAACUACCACUAAGAACAACUAAGAACAGCUAAAAUAAGAAAGAAAAUUGUUGGGAAAUGUAAAAUCUACCGCUAAAGAAAUGAAAAUAAAAAAAAAAACCCUAGAGAAAGAAGAAUAAAAGCUAAGAGAAAACCUAGAGAAAACUAAGGCUAAAACUAAACUAAUGUGUGUCUCCUCUCCUCAGCCAAAAUUGGUUAUUUUAGGCUGAAUGCUAAUGGUACUUCGUUGCCAAAAUUGCCCUUACAUGGGCCUUGGGUGAUUGGUGGAUCAGGUAGAAAAAGACUACUCUUUUUAUCCAAUUUUGUCCCCCUCACAAUGUUGGUGUCACGAUACCUAGAAGAGGAUAUCUUGACUCCUCAAGUAGUUUCGAACCUUAGGGUCUUCUUUGAGGGUGGAUAUCGUGAUACCACUAAAAGGUGGUCUCCCAUCUUUCCAUACUGUUGGAGGCAUUGCGAUUUCAAGGUAUGGGAAUAGAGAUACAUUUUCCUUUGGUGUUGUUUUCGCUCGUUUUCAACCUCAGCACGUUCUUACACCACUCAACCAAAUGUUAGGCCCCCCAAUAGUACUAUUGGCCAAAUCUGAUCAUAAAAUGAGUAAAAAUAAGACAUUUACACUUAUUAACUUAAAAUGUAAAAAGUACGAAAAAGUAUGAAAAACGCUAUUUUGCUCGAGAAUAAGGUCCUUAAGUAUAUCGGCAAAGUCUAAUUUUCCAUAUAAAAUUAUGGUAGAUCAAACUCCCCCACAUUUAACUCUUUGCUUGUACUCAAGCAAACCAAACAUGCAAAAGAAAAGACGACUCUUGGACUAAAUCAGACAAUUAAGUCAUAUAUCUGUAAAACAUCAAACUCGUACGGGAACUGCCUCACAUGCAACUUAAGAGUGAUAUCUAGAUAACUUGUUUAUUCUUAAUACAAACAUAAUUAGUUCACUAAGUUAUAAUGUUAAUAGAUGUAGAGGCAAUGAAAAUUAACAUAUGUACAAAUGUUAUCCAUCAAAAUAAAUUAUGCUAAUUGCUCAUAGUUACUUAAAAAACAAAUUGGUCAUAUUCGUUCAAACAAAUGUAGACUAUUUACAAAUUAUUAUAUUGGUGACAUAGAUUGUGUUUAGUAAUGCCUUUUAGAAGUACUUUUGAUAUGAAAAACACUUUUGAAACAAAAAGAAUGCUAAACAAGAUAUUUUUUGCUGAAAUUUUUUGCUUUCAAGAGUACUUUUGAAAAAAAAAGAAACUAAAAUUUUUAAUUUUUCUUCUCCCAAAAACACGUUCAGUGCAUAAUUACUUUUUUCACCUCUCUAAUAAUAUAGUACUUUCUCUUCUUUUUUUUUCUCUGGUGCUUAAUUACAAAUAUAUUAAAAUUAUUAAUUAAAAAUAAAAAAAUAUUUUUAAAAUAAUACAAAUGUGUUAAUAUCUAAUUACAAAUAUUUAAUGGUUAUUUGAGUAUGGCCGGUAAUUUCUUUGCAGCAGAUACGGGUGCCAAACAGUCGAGGAUUCGGCAUGAGCUUCACUUGUUGAAGAAAGGUAAUCUUUCUAUUAAGGCGUAUGUUGCUCCGAUUAAAGAUUUGUGUGCUAUGUUAGAUGCUUCUGGAUCUCGUAUCUCUGAUGAAGAGAAGGUCGAAGUGGUGCUGGCGGGGUUGCCGUCGAAAUUUGAGGCGGUUAUCUCCUCUGCUCGAUUGUCGUCUACAGUUUUGCCGUUACAACGCUUGGUGGAUGCGUUGGUUGAUUGUGAGAGUCGUCACGAACAAGUGUUCCAGGAAGUCAGUUUGAACGCGAACCUUGUUGAGGAUGCACCGUCGGUUGAAGGAGUCAGUCGUGGAGGCCGUGCGUCUGUUCGUGGACGUGGUAGAACGUUCCGAUCUCGCAUACAAUGCCAGAUCUGUAGUCGAUUUGGUCAUGUGGCUCAGAAGUGUUACUAUCGUUACCAUAGAGACUCGAGUGACUCAUCCGUGGUGCCGUCGGUCUCUCAUCAAAAGACUCAGUCGGGUGUUGAGAGAGCUAAUUUUGGACUGGGUGUGCAAGAAGAAGACGAACAGUGUGUGGCCCCUUAUCACAAAAGUCAAAGAACAAUUUAUGGUCAAAAUAGAAAUGGUGGUCAAAAUUGGAGUAAUGGCCAAAGUCAAAAUAGAAAUGGUGGUCAAAAUUGGGGUGCUGGCAUGCAAAGUGAAAAAGUGGCACGUGGGCCCCAGGUGUCUUUUGCAAAUGAAUAUGGCAGGCCAUUUGGAAACAAUUUUCAAUCAAAUUUGCGUCAGUAUGGUAAUGAUGAUGGGCCUAUUUUUAAUCAAAAUGGGUUUACUAGUAAUGCGCCACUGGACCUUGAUAAUGGGAAUGGCAGACGUGUGUUGCAAGGGCCGAAUUUGAUAAGUUCUUCACAUGGGCCGACUGUUGGCCCAAAUGCAAAUGGGGUUCCGUCUUCUAAUUUUGUUCAAGUUGAUCAGAGUGAUCCUAGUUCGCCUGAACCGAUUGGAGUCGAUCGGGUUAUGCGAGUUACCAAACCGCGUGCUCGGGUUUAUACUGGGUUCGAACCCUGUAUUGGACUUCCCCGGCUAGGGGACUUACAUGCAUCUAAUUAUUCUGAUUCUUCGGUGUCCGGCUCUCAUGUCAACAAUGCUCAACUUGGGUUCGGUACUGGUCAUGAUGAUCCGUAUGUUCCAAUGUAUGGUGGCACCACAUCUUGGUAUCCUGACUCGGGGGCAAGUCAUCAUGUCUGUCGCGAUGUGUUUGCUUUACGUGAUGUCUCGCCAUAUUCAGGUACGUCAUCUCUUUUAAUGGGCGAUGGUACUCCUGCGAUAAUUUCGUCAAUUGGUACUGCUAUUUUUUCUACCCAGUAUAAAUUGUUACGACUAUCAAAUGUUUUAUGUGUGCCGAGUAUACGAAAAAAUCUCUUGUCUGUCUCACAGUUUUCUCGUGAUAAUGGUGUGUUUUUUGAGUUUCACCCUACCUACUGCGUUAUUAAGGAUAUGGUGACACGGGAGAUAUUGCUGACGGGCCGCAUUCGUGAUGGUUUAUAUCAGUUUUCUAUACCAGUGGUUUCUACUUCACCUCCGACUGCUCCAUUUGUUGCUCAUUCGCAAGUUCCGCAUAAUGUUUCGACUACUUCUGUGUUUGCUUUAUGGCAUAAUCGUUUAGGCCACCCGUCAACUUCUGUGGUAAAAAAUAUUCUAAAUAAAUGUAAUGUUGUUUCAAAUAAAACUAGUCUGGAUGGUAUAUGUACUGCAUGUCAAAAAGGCAGGUCACAUAAGUUGCCUUUCUCCCCUUCGACUACUAGCUAUCAUCCUUUUGAGUUGGUCGUGUCUGAUCUUUGGGGUCCUGCACCCGUUGCAUGUGGUGAUAAGAGAUAUUAUGUUUCGUUUAUUGAUAUGUGUACCAGAUUUACUUGGGUUUAUCUUUUACGUCAAAAAGCUCAAGCAUUAGAAUGUUUUACUAAUUUUCAACAGUUGAUUAAGACACAGUUUGGCAAGUCUAUUAAGCAGUUUCAGAGCGAUUGGGGAGGUGAAUACCGUGGGUUUACAUCUGUCUUAGAAUCUCAGGGGAUCAUACAUCGACUGACCUGUCCGUAUACUUCCGAACAAAAUGGAGUAGCUGAGCGAAAACAUCGUCACAUUGUUGAAAUGGGGAUUACGUUGUUGGCUCAUGCAAAUUUGCCUAUGGAAUACUGGGGGUAUGCGUUUUGUUGUGCGGUUCAUCUUAUAAAUCGACUUCCCACAGUUGUACUUCAGGAUAGUUCUCCGUUUAAGGAACUGUAUGGAAGCGAUCCGACCUAUGAUCAUCUUCGAGUGUUUGGUUGCUGUUGUUAUCCUUACUUACGUCCGUUUGUGGGUCGUAAGUUGGAAUUUCGGUCUCAGCCGUCUAUUUUUUUGGGCUACAGUCCUCGUCAUAAGGGGUAUCAAUGUCUUUUACCAGAUGGUAAGGUUAUAAUUUCAAGGCAUGUGGUCUUUGAUGAGCAGAGGUUUUUGUUUGCUGAAACUAGUUCAGACAAUUUUGUCUCAACGACCAGUUAGACUAGUUCGACAGUUGUUCCUCUCGUGUGGCCAUCUUUCUCCUCAACUCUUGAGCCAUGUAUGAUGGCACCGUCUGUACAAGGGGUGCUGUCUCAGUCUACUGAUCCUGUAUUAGAUGUUAGUGUGGAGCAGCCCCAGUCUCAUGAUCCUUCAGCUGAUGUUAGGACUGGGUCAGGUAGUUUUCCAGCUCAUGAUUAUUCAGCUAAUGAUGGAACUGAGUUGAGUGAUCUUCCAGCAGAGCGUGGCUCGGGAUCCUCAGGUGAUACCAAUGCUCCCUCUUCGUCUAAUAUGGGACUGUCUGCAGGUGUUUCGUCGGUAUCUGAUAGUCCGAUUAAUAGGACACCUGUGGGCAAUAUUCACCCAAUGGUCACUCGCGCUAAAGCAGGGGUUUACAAGCCUAAGGUUUUAAGUGUUGAAGUUGUUGAACCAACUACAAUUGAAGAAGCUCUGGCUACUGUUGAGUGGCGCACUGCUGCGCAAGAUGAGUAUGAUGCUCUUAUGCGUAAUUCCAUAUGGGAGCUUGUUCCUGCUCCAUAUAAUCGUAAGGUCAUUGGGUGCAAAUGGUUGUUCCGAGUCAAGAAGAAUUCUGAUGGUACUACUGCUCGAUAUAAGGCUCGCUUAGUUGUAAAAGGUUGCUCUCAAGUUUCGGGUUGUGAUUUUAAGGAAACGUUUAGUCCAGUGGUUAAACCGGCUACUAUCAGGGUUAUUUUGUCUAUUGCUGUGUCUAGGGGGUGGUCGCUUCGGCAAGUGGAUGUGAAUAAUGCGUUUCUAAAUGGUGACCUUGACACUAAAGUUUUUAUGCAUCAACCUCCCGGUUAUGUUCAAUAUGGCUCAGAUGGCAGACCUUUGGUAUGUCGUCUGAAGAAAGCGUUGUAUGGUCUUCGUCAGGCUCCUCGUGCCUGGUUUGAAUGGCUAAAAGGAUUUCUAGUCUCUGUGGGGUUUGUGGUUUCAAAGUCUGAUGCUUCUUUAUUUGUUCGAGUUGUACCAGCUUCAACGUUGUAUGUGCUUGUGUACGUUGAUGAUAUUAUUAUUACUGGUGAUGUGCCUUCUGUUAUAGAGUGGUUUGUUAAAUUGCUGAAUAGUGAGUUCUCGCUUAAGGACAUGGGUGAUCUUCAUUAUUUUCUUGGGAUAGAGGUUAAUCGUUCUUCGUCAGGUUGUCUUCAUCUUUGUCAGAAGAAGUAUAUACGUGAUAUUCUUAUAUGUUGUUCGAUGGAGAAUGCAAAGAGUGUUCAUACACCGAUGGUUAGUUCCUCUGUUAUGACUCGUGAUGGUGGUGAGCGGUUACAGGAUCCGACUGAAUACAGGAGUCUUGCAGGAGCAUUACAGUAUGUCACUCUUACGCGGCCUGAUGUUGCCUAUGCUGUUAAUCGAAUAUGUCAAUUUAUGCAUUGUCCUACUUCCAUUCAUAUGACCGCUCUGAAGCGCAUUUUGAGGUAUUUAGGUGGUACGAUUGAUUUUGGAAUUGUGUUUCGUUCGUCCACCAAUUUGUCCUUAGUUGGAUAUGCUGAUGCAAACUGGGGAUUAGAUUUUGAUGACCGGAGGUCCACUACUGGAUACUGUGUUUAUUUCGGACAUACACCUGUGUCAUGGUGUACGAAGAAACAACAGGUUGUUGCUCGGUCUACUGCUGAGGCAGAAUACUGAAGUCUUGCCGCAGUUACUUGUGAGGUUACGUGGCUUUUGUCGCUACUUCAAGAAUUACAUGUUCAGUUUAAUAGUGUUCCCCAUAUUUGGUGUGACAGUUCUGGGGCGGUUGCAGUUGCUGCGAAUCCUGUUCUUCAUUCAAAGUUUAAGCAUGUUGAGUUAGAUUUAUUUUUUGUUCGUGAAAAGGUUGCCGAUGGCACUGUUGCCGUUGGAGAAGUUCCAGCGUGUGAUCAGGUCGCUGAUGUUCUUACUAAGCCACUUUUGUUGUCGAAUUUUACUCGUUUUCGGAGUUUUCUACGGGUCUUGCCUGUGGGGAAGAUGGAUGAAUAUUAGAGAAUAGAAGUAGUUAGUCAGUUAGUGAGGUUGUUACUCAAUUUAGAACGUCUAUAAAUACUGUACAUUAAGAAUUAAGAAGUAAGAAAUUUGAAUAAACAAACAAGAAGUUUAUUCUAUUAUUCUCUACAUUUCACUCUCUGUUUGGAUAGAUAUUUUUAUUUUUUAGCUAGUUCUUUCAUUUGCUAACAAAAAUUAUUAGUGGUAGAAGAAGUGGCAAGAUCAGUUUCAACUACUUCACGCAUGAAAAUAAAACCUCAGAAAAAGCUUGAGAAACCUACAUUAAAUUUAUCACCAUUUUUCCUCAUAAAGUUGUCUAUAUAUAUCAAAAUAUAAAAGGAUAUGUUAUUAGAAAUGGUGGUAUUUGAUUAUACAUUUUAGUAUAGGAUUUAGGAAUGAGAUUUUGGUAUAUAAAAAAACCUAAUGAUUUUCCAUGAAAAUAUUGAUAUUCCCUUAGAAAUUUUGGUAUAUAAUAAGAUAUUUAAAGAUGUGCUUUUAGAAAUUUUAAUAUUUCGGCCGAUUGAGUCAUAAUUCGAUUGACAUACACAAUGUUAUUAAUAUAUAUAAGAGGACGUGGGUUCGAGUGUAUCCUCCUAUUUAUGGUUAGAGAGAGGCUAUGGAUAGUUCAAGCUCAACCUAUUAAGAAUAUUAAUAAGAAAUAAAUAUUAUUAAAUUAUUUUUAUUUAUUUUAAUAUUAUUAUAAAUUUAAUAUAUUUUAUUUAAAUAUAAUUAAAAAACGAAUUUAUGAAAAAAUGAUUAAAAUUUUCAAAAAAAGAUGAUUGUUUAUAAUUAAAAAACUAAUUACGUAAUAUUAUUUUAUUAAUAUUUUAAAAUUAUACUUUUUAGUAUUAUCUAAAAGAAAAAGAGAGAAGUAAACUAAAAAAGGAAAUGCCGUGUUCGCAACUACAUCCUCCCUCCCAUUGAAAAGGAAAAAUUAUUAGAUUGAGCCUUGGAGUUCUCACCGCCUAAAUUAUAAGUCUAAUCAAUUGAAGUAACACACAUCAUGUAUUUUGUUUUAUAAAAGAAAUUGUAUGAUACUAUAGUUUUACGUUAUUUUAUUUUGUUAAUAAGUGAAUGAUAAAUCAUAUGUUUCUCUUAAUUUUUAAAUUUUAAAAAAAAUUAAAUUUAAUUAAAAAUACUAAAAAGUUAAAGAAAAAAAUCUAAUUUUUUAUUUUUUUAUUAAAAAGAGAUAAAAAUAAGGUGUAAUUAUGGAAUUGGAAAUUUUGAUUUAUGUCUACGAUGAUAUAUAUUAAUUUAAUUGAUUAGACGUAUAGUUUAAGUGGACAGAAGGAUUUAUGUAAUAAUUUCUAGGGUUUUUUACUAAACUAGGCUAAAAAAAUUUUUUGUACUGAAAUAGGGUGUCAGAAAAAUUAUUUACGAAAAUGGGUUAUUUUUUGCAUUGGUACCCAUCUCAGAGGCGCCAAUCAAUAAAAAAUUAUUAAAAUUUUUUUAAUGGCGCCUAUUAGAUAGGCGUCAAUGAAUAUUUUAUAUUAAAUUUUUUUAUAAAAUAUAAUUAAAUUUUUUCUCGGGUCAAUAUAUGACUCGUAUAAUACAUAGUAGUGGCACCUAUCUCAAAGGCGCUAAUGGUGAUGCCUAUCUGAGAUGCGCCAUUAGUAGUGCCAUGUUGAGAGGCGCUAAUGGUCUUAUUUUAUAUAAAAUUUUAUUUCAAAAAAUCAAUAAAAUUACAUUAUAUAAAAGUUACAUUAUAUAAAAAUUAAAUGAGUUAACAACAACUAUAUGAUUAAAAAAGUCAGUUAUAAUUAGACUUUUAAUAAAAUGAUUUUUAAUUUUUUUUUAUAAACUUAUAUGUUAAACUCACCAAAUACUAAACUAAAUACAACAAUUUAUAACUUAAUCCUAAAUUGCUAAUAAAUUAAAUUUUAAAUAAUUACAAACACAAAAAUUUAUAACAUAAUCCUAAAUUACUAACAAAUUAAUUAUAAAAUAAUUACAAUAUUCUUACAAAAUUACAAUAUUCAUACAAAAUACUAAUCAAAAACUAUAAAUACAAAAUUAAUUAUAAAAUAAUUAAAAUAUUCAUACAAAAUUACAAUAUUCAUACAAAAAAUUACAAUAUUUAUACAAAAUUACCCAUUGGCGCCUCCCUAUGAGGCACUUUUAAUGGCGCCUUCUUAUGAGGCACAACUAGUGGCGCCUACCUGAUAGGCGCCACCCGACCUAUUUUCCCCUUUGACCCGUUGACUAUAUUUUCAUCUAUAUUUUUAUUUAAAUUUUUUUAAAAAAAUAAAAAAAUAAUAUUUUAUUAAAAAUAAAAAAAUUUAAUAAUUUUUUAUUCAUUAGCGUCUCUGAAAUAGGCACCAAUGAAACAAGUAAUUCAUUUUCGUAAAUAAUUUUUCUGAAAUCCUAUUUCAGUACAAAAAAAAUUACCCUAUUUUAGUAAAAAAACCCUAAUUUCUGCAUUCAAGACGUACGUUUACUCUUUCGAUAAAGGUAAGUCAGGUUACCUGUCUUUUUCCGCGCAAACCCUGAUUCCAGACCUCGGCCAUUUUUAAUUUGGGUACUUGUAAAAUAAUUUCUACAUCAGUUCCAAAAAUAGAAGACAGAAAUACAAUAAUUCCUAUGGCAGCCGUGUGGUCUCUUCUCAUGCUCCUUUCUUCGUUCUUUGCGGCUAGAGGAGUUGACGACAAGCAUUCAAACGGCACCAUUGGGCUGGGAUAUUCGCUUUCUCCCUUAACUCCACCCACCUCAUUGGCUUCGCCUUCUGAUCGUUUCGCAUUUGGUUUUUAAAGUGAAGGCAAUGGCUUUUCAAUUGGAGUUUGGCUGGAGGGCAAUAGAAAGACAGAUAACAAAGUUGUAUGGACAGCUAAUCUGAAAUAUUAUUAGAGCUAUUAAAUCAAAUUAUCAAUUUCUAAUAAUAUAAAUAUAAAUAUAAUUAAUAAAUAGUGAAAUUGGUCAUCCAAGGCUCAUUAGCAUGGUGUAUUUUUCUUGUUUAAACCGGGGUUUGAAACCAAACUUUUCCUCAUAGGAUAGAUGGGGCGAUUCAAGUGAGAUUCAAUGUAAAUUUAACUUUCUAUUCACUCGUUGAAUUUGGGCAAUUCAGAGGAUCACCACAACUCAUCUCUUCUCGAUAAUCCAUACAUUCCUUAUUAAUGUAUGGUAUAAUUGUGUAUGGUAAAACUUAAACAUAAAUACUUAAAAGAAUUUAAACUUAUGUCUUAACGAACAAACCAAAAACAAGAAAUCAUGGUAUUAAGUCUUCUUAAAAUGAUUGAUUUAGUCUAUCUUGAUUUCAAUUUCUUCAUUUGCAUUUACUUUUUGUUAUUUUCUAAAAAUUCACUUUCAAAUACCAAUUAAAUAAUUUAUUGAUAUAUUUUUUAAAUUUUAUAAUCUUUUAGACUUCAGCCAUUUAUUAUUUCGUCACACUUAAAAAAUAGAAGAGAGAAACGCCAUAUUUCCCAUGGCUUGGGUGUGGGCUCUUCUCUUGCUCCUUUCUUCUCUCUGCGUGAAGCAGUCAAGCAGCAUCAUUUCGCUGGGAUCUUCGCUUUCCUCGGCCACUCAAUCCAUCCCAUGGCGUUCCCCUUCUGGUCGCUUUGCAUUUGGCUUUUACAGUCAAGGCGGUGGCCUUUCUGUUGGAGUUUGGUUAGACGGCGGAGGAAAGAACGAUAACAAAGUUAUAUGGACAGCUAACCGUGAUGACCCGCCGCUCCAUGCAACUGCUACUCUGACACUAAACGAGAAAGGUUUGCUUCUUUCGAGCGGUGUGAGCGGAGAAAAUAAAGUUAUUGCUUCUCCAAAUGACUCGGCUGUCAGUGUCUUCUCUGCCUCCAUGCUAGAUUCAGGCAAUUUUGUGCUCUACAACAAAGUCAAUCAUACCAUUUGGGAGAGUUUCGAGCAUCCUACAGAUACCCUUUUAGGUGGUCAGGCUCUAUUAACUAAUCACGAGUUGAUCUCCAGUUCUUCAGAAAAUGAUCACUCGUCCGGAAGGUUUCAUCUACGUAUGCAACUAGAUGGGAAUCUCGUUCUAUACCCUCUAAACGUCGAUGAUGCUGCUACAACUGCCUAUUGGGCCACAGGUACUAAUGGUGUGAAUCUUUCACUCCGAUUAUUUCUUAACUCGACAGGCUUCCUACAACUUAUCAACAACACUGAUUCCUCCAUCUACCUAGAAAUUAAUUAUAGAUUUUAUCAAGAGGUGAGCUACAAUGAUCACAACGAGAACACCACCACCACCAGCAACGACGGUAUCGUUCACAGUGCAACCCUUGAUGUUGAUGGAAAUUUCCAGUUAUAUACUCAUCAAUUUGAGCCAAGUGGUGGGUUUCGAACUUCCCGAGUGUCGCGCGCGUUGAAGGAUUACUGUAAAGUUGUAGGCUUUUGUGGUAUCAAUAGCUAUUGCACGUUUAAUGAUGACAGAGCUUACUGUGCAUGCCUUCCCGGCACUGAUUUUAUCGAUCCUCAACGCGAUACCCUCGGCUGCAAGAGAAAUUAUAGUGAAGCACAUUGUAAAGGAGGGAAGGACAAUAUACCCCUCUAUAACAUCACUCCAUUGCAAAAUAUAGUCUGGACUACAGGUAUAUUUUACAGUGAAGAGCUAAUGUCCAUGAGUGCCUGCAGCCAAACAUGCUUGGAAGACUGUAAUUGUGAGGCAGCACAGUUUAGCGGUGGAGUUUGCAGGAAACAAAAGCUUCCACUAUGGUAUUUGCUACGACAAGAAGGUGAUAAUGACGUGAGUUCCACAGUUUUCUUGAAGAUGGGAAUCAGAAGCCUAGAAGCAGAUGACGGUACUGUUCCCCAUGAAUUAAAGCCCCAAAUCAAACGGAAAGAUCCGACGCUGAAAAUUCUUCUUUUAACUUUCAGUCUUGUCGCAUGUUCAUGUGCUUUGCUUGCAAUCUCUGGUGUAUUCAUUUUUAAAUUUCGAGUUCUAAGAUACAAAAGGCUGUUGGAAAUUGGAAAUUUGGGCCUAACAGGAGAGCUUACGUUGACGUCGUUUUCAUACAAUGAACUCAAGAGAGCAACGAAUGGGUUUAAAGAAGAGUUGGGUAAGGGAUCCUUUGGAGCAGUCUACAAAGGGUCCUUAAACAGAGGAAGAAAUUUGAUUGCUGUAAAGCGAUUGGAGAAGUUAGUGGAAGAAGGAGAAAGAGAGUUCCAAGCAGAAAUGCGAGCAAUUGGCCGAGCUCACCACAAGAAUUUAGUUCGACUGUUGGGAUACUGUGCUGAGGACUCCAAGAGGGUGUUGGUGUACGAGUACAUGGGCAAUGGCUCCCUUGCUGAUCUACUGUUCAAGUCAAGACAGCGCCCUGAUUGGGAUGAAAGAACAAGAAUAGCCCUGGAUGUAGCUAGAGGAAUCCUCUACUUACAUGAGGAAUGUGAGACCCCAAUCAUUCACUGUGACAUAAAGCCGCAAAACAUAUUGAUGGAUGAUUAUUGGAGAGCUAAAAUUUCGGACUUCGGGCUGGCAAAACUGUUGAUGGGGGAUCAUACAAGGACCUUCACAGUAGUGAGGGGAACUAGAGGAUACAUGGCCCCAGAAUGGCAUAAGAACAUUCCAAUAUCAGCGAAGGCUGACGUUUACAGUUACGGAAUUGUGCUAUUGGAAACUGUGUUUUGCAGACGAAACUUGGACACCACUGUAUCAAACCCAGAGGAGAUCAUUCUGUCGAUUUUGGUGUAUAAAUGUCUGGUUGAAAAAAAGUUGGAUAAGCUUGUGCUUGGUGAAGAAGUAGAUAAGAAAAGCUUGGAAAGAAUGGUGAUGGUGGCACUUUGGUGUAUCCAAGAUGAACCAGCACUUCGUCCUUCCAUCAAGACUGUAGUGAUGAUGCUGGAAGGCAUUACUGAUAUAUGCAUUCCCCCAUGUCCAACUGCUUCCUCCAUAUAAUUCAAGUCACGACCUAACAAUCAAUCAUCUCACUCGGAGUGUUCGUGUAGUUUAUGUUACGUAAGGACUGCGUCAUGUUUGUAUUUCCUCUGGCUUGUAAUAAAUUUGUAAAAUGCUUCCUGCAGCAGUGUUCUCCCUUCAUUUGUAGGUUUAAAAAUUGUGUUCGAGUUAUCUAAUCAUAUAGUAGUUGUAUGUAAUAACUGAGUUUUACUGUAAUUUCUAAUUAAUAAUCUCCUAUUGCUCAAAAUGGUAAAAAACUUGCAAAAGGGUCAUGUAAGCAAAGCCAUCAUGUGUAUGCUAAGACUAAUAAGUCCUUUUGUCUUGGACUUGUUAUGAUCUCAUUAGACAGGAUGUUAGGAAACUGAAUAAUCAUUUUUAAGCAGAGAGAUUGCAUUAGAAUAACAGCGUCCAAGAGCAAAACCAGAACUCAGAGGCUGUGACUGUAGAACAUGUUCCGGUAAAGGUACAUGAGAAUUAUCAAAUUAGGUGAUAUUGGUAUAUUUGCACAAAUGUGCAGUGCCUAUGGUUUGAAAGACGACGACGACGACUACUACUACAUGCCAUACAGCUGAAGCCAUCUUCCUCUUUUUGUGAUCAUAUGAGUAAAUACACAAUACAAAGUUUUGGGUUAAGGCCCAGAAACAAUACCAACAAUGCCCAUUCAUGGCAGCCCAUCUAUACAACUAGGAAGGAACUAAUGACCUAGAAAAAUGGUUAAAUUUCAAUUUAAUCCCUCUACUAUGCUUAAAUUUGACAUUGAAUCUCCAUGCUUUGGCCCUUUUAUUUUUGUAAUGUUAUUAAUAAGUCCAAAUAACUAAUAUAAUUAACUUUUCAAUUAAAAUGUUAUGUGUUUAUAUAUAAUUUAAAUGUCCUAAGGGUCUCAAAGACGAACACGUCUUUUCAUUUUUUUUGGAUUUGUCUUCUUUCCUUUUUUGACAUAAUAAGGCAAUGAUCAGACUUCAAUUUUAGCUCCUAUAGUAUGUUGAAACUUGAUAUUUGAUUUACACACUUUAAUUUUUUGACAUAAUUUGGUACUUCUAUUUUUAUAAUGUCAUUAGUUAGUCUAAAUACUUAAUAUUGUUAACUUAACGAUAUUAAGUAUUUUAAUCAGAAUGCUUACAUCAAAUUUUCUUAAGAACACCAUGCCAACAAAAAAUGUAUUAUUUUAUAAUGAUGAGUUCAAAUAGGUGAUUUUAAGAAAAAAAUUUCACAUAAACAUUUUCAAUGUUAAUUUUUAUUGUUAUACGACUACCAAGUGAUUUUUUUUUUAAAUUUCAAAAUGUCAAGCCAAUGAAUUUAAUAUAAAAAUUUUAAUUGUGGUACAACUUGACCUAAAAGCUUAAACCCGAAAAGUAUAGGGACAAAAUUUUUAAAAAUAAAAGUAGAGGGAUUAAAUUCCAAAUGUAUGAAGUGUAUAAGAACUAGUAUAUUCUAACUUUCAAGGUUUUACACCAUUUCUUUUGGUCGAAACCAAAAUAUUUACCAUUAGUAGCCGUAACUAAUCUCUUUCACCGCAAGUGCUCUCUAAAAAAAUAAACAGUUGGUGAUGAAAUGUGAUUCAUUCACAUUAAUUAUGCAUUUUUUUUACUCCAUUCGAGUAUAAAAUUAAAAGGUAAACUACACAAACGAUCAAUCAACUAUAAAAAAAUUUUAUUUUAGACACAAAAAAUAAAAAGUACGUAAUUUAGUCACUCGUAUUUUAAUCACUCCCAUUAAAAUGGAAGAUGGACGUCCACGUGGAAUUUUUUAAAAAUUAUAUUAAUAUUUAAUAAUUUCCGACUAAUAAAUUUUUUCCACGUCUGAAAUUCUUUUAGCCUAAACCUAAGCUAAUAGUGAAACCAAGGAAAGAUUUUCUUCAUUCUAGUGCUAGAAAAAGAAUUGCAGUCACCCUUUCCCUUUCUCGUCCAAUCUCAGCCUCAACCACCUCCCUCUCUAGUUUCUCAUGCACUGCUUUGGCUUCCUUGAUGUGCCUCAUCCCGGCUUGCCACCCCAAGCUUUUUAUAGUGGAGGUCAGUUUGGGGGUGGCUCUUUACCUCCGGGGGCUCGGUUUUAAAAUUUUUAAAAUAGUAAAGGUAAAAUUGUAAUUUAGUCUUUCUAAAAAUGAUAAAAUUUUGAUUUAAUCUUUUAAAAAUUAUAAAAAUAUAAACUAAUUAAUGUUGAAAUUAUUUUUUUACUAUAUAAAAAUUACAAUUUAAUUUUAACCCCUUAAUUUUUUUUUUCUAAAUUUGACACUGUUAUAUAGAUUACCUAAAACCUAAAUUAAAUGAUAGGUUAAUUUUAAAAUAUUGUUUAUUGUUAAUACAAAAGGGUUGGGAGGAAAGAUAACAUAAAUCAUACUCCACCUUUGCACUAUAUAUUAUACAUGCUUUCUUUAUCAUCAUAAUUUGACAGAUAUAAUACAAAGCAAGUCAAGUCAAGUCUUGUGAAAUAUUGAUAGAAUAAAGCAGGCUUUGUGGGAGACUUAUUUGGUUAUGGUUUAACUUAACAUAUGCUUUUGGCUUGGAGUGAAAUAACAUAAGAUUUGAUAUUUUAUAGCUUCUUGUGGAUGAUAUUAUUAACCAUAUGGCGUGGACGGUAGGCUAGGGAAUUUUUUACUCUUUAUGUCAUCUAUAUUUACCAUUGAUAACCACAAUAAUUUAUUUUUUAAUAAAAACAUGACUUAUAAAAUUUCAACCACUUCACAUUAAAAUAAAUCUGUGGUAAUUUAAAGAUUAAAAGAUGUUAUAUAUUCAAAUAAGAAUUAAAAGAUAGUGUUGGUUUGAAUAGGUUACAAGACAUAAGCAAAGUGUUAGGAAGAAGUGACUAAAUAAGUGGAUAUUUUUUCAAGCUCUAUGGUAACAGAAAUAUAAUAGGAGAUAACAAAAAGUUUACUUACACAGCUCGCGGAGCCUAGCUCAGUGAGAAGUAUCCACUAUCUCCAAACACUUACAGCAAAUGACUCUAAAUUUAUCACACCCAAGUGACAAUUUCCUCACUUUUGUACCUUUGAAUACUAAAACCCUCGCCACUAAAUUCACCCCUGUGAACUAAGCAUGUAAAACCACAACCCAAAGGUUUUACAAUCAAAUGCACUCUUAGAAAUAAUGCUCCUCACUUGAACAGAUUAAGUGCUCUCGAUUCUCGACCAUAAUCCUACACAAGUCUCUCAAUUAUAUAGAGUUGUUCGAGACUUGCUAACAUAAAAAAGAUCUAUAACAAUCUCUAUAAAACAAUCACUAUAUAAGUUGAAUAAAAUAUAAUAAUAGCAAACAAGGUAAACUAGAACGGUUGGUAAACAAGGACUGUUGGUAGAUAAGUUGAAUAAAAUAUAAUAAUAAAAUAUAAGUCUUUAAGGGAUUAGAUAAGUAUGAUUCGAUUCGAUUCGAUCCAACCCUCUUUAUACAUUUCCUCAAAUGAUAUAAGCUUCAUUGGUGGGCUAGAUACGAUCCACAAUCUCAAAAUAACCAAAAUAUCUAGCUCAGUAAAUUGCCAACAACUCAAAUAUGGAAAUAGCCUAAUCUGUUGUAGUUGGCCAGGGAGUGGGCACUCUCUUAGACACUUCUUCAGUUUUUCUGUAUUUUCAACAAUCUCCUCAUUUGGAAAUUUUUUGAACAAAGCACAAACAAAGUAGAAAGCUUAAACAUAAACUAACAACCCGCUCCCUCUUAUUAUAUUUCAUUUUAAUCCAACAAUAGUGAAUCAUGAAAAAUAUAUGCAACCAAAGUAAUCAUCAUUUAUUCACCAAAUGAAAUCCAACCAUUAGAAGUAGAAAAAUCAAGAAUCAAACCUCCAAAACCAUAAGUUCCAAAAAACAACAGUAACAUCAAUGAAUUUGAUGCAAAAUAUGAAUCUCCCUUAUCACCAGUAGCUUCCCCUUACUCUCUUUCUCCCUCUUUUUGAUCAACAAGAUUGCCAACUUAUUCUUCGUUAGGAAGGUAUAUUAGAUUAUCACAAAAAGCCUUUUGCCUAUUUAUGAUCUUCUUCAUAGUCUUAGCUUAAAUAAGGAGUCUGGUAAUGUGCCUAUCAUUGGCUUCAAUAAAGGAUGUGAAAUCCUCAAUCAUGAUUUUAUGAAUAUCAUAGGGAAUAACCUUGGGGCCUGGAGAAGUUGGCACUUCUUCUUGCUCAACAUCAUCAUAUCAAAAUUACUUUCCCUUAACAGCAACAUCUCAUCUCCCCCUCAGUAGACCCUAUUAUAUUUAGACAAUAACAAUUUAGGGCCUUCCUCAUCAUUGUAGGGCUAACUUCAUACCAUUCUCCAUAUAUAAAUACCUUUUAAUGUAACUUACUAUUUUUGUUACUUAAUACUUUACAACAAAUUAACAUAAAACUUCAUAACAACAUUGCAAACACAUGACUUGACAUAACUUAUUGAUCUUAACAAACCACUUUUUCCAAUAAGUACAUCUAUGCCAUGACCAACAAACCCUUCAAAAAUAUGAUAAUAGGUUGGAUGAAAUGAUUUGGUAUCAAAGUAUAAUUGGUAAAUUGUGUAAUGUAUAUGUUUACGUAAUACUAAAGCCUAGAAAUGAGUAUUUGUGUAACUCUUAACUUUGCUAAAAUGACAUAAUUGAGAUAUUGGUUUGGUUGUUUAGGUGUAGCAAAAUGGUACCUUUUGGAUCUUUUGGAAAUAGAAAAUUACGUCGUGACGAGGAAUUAACAAUAAGUUGCAUCAUGACUUGGAAACCCCAAUCGUGACGUCAACUCGAUAGUUUGCAAACUUUAUAUUUUGGUCCUAAUUCGACCUCAAGUUAGAAUAUAUAUGAGCUUUCGUAAGCUCGUAUAAGACUUGAAUAUUAUUGAAAAACAUAUUGUGAAAGCGUAAUGUAGUCAGUAGCAUGUGAAAAAGGUUAAAUUGGAUCGGUGUUGCUUUGACAACAAAAGUGGCAUAUAGAGGGGUGCUCCUAGAGGUUGUGCAUUGGAGUUUUAGCCAAACCACAAAUUAUUUGAGAUUUAUAGUCAAAAUUAUAAAUGAGAUUGUUAAGUAGAAAUUUUAAAUGAUGUAUGUAUUAGUAUCAAUUGAUGUGUUUAGUUAAUCUGCUGGAAAGUGAAUUUUAAAUAAUGUUAGUCAGUUAUCCAGAAUUUGUAUCAUCCGGAACCUGGAUUCGGUGAGCGGGUCAGGAAUUGAAUGUUACAUAAAGUCCGUGACGAAUGCACAAAUAACAUCCCAUGGAGGUCAAUUGAUGAAAUUGGGCUCAUUCGACCCAUUUGAACUGACCCAAUUAGUAGAAACGUGGAAAAGCCCAUAUACUUGAAGCCUUGGUUGCCUAGUGAAACACUUAAUGAAAAUUAGGGUUACCUUGGUAAAUAUGACAAGUAAUCUUAUAAGAUAUAUAAUCCGAUAAGACUUGAUUAUGUAAUAUUAAGGGAUUGUGUAAAACCUUUAAGGAUCUCAAUUGUAGGUAGGUUGGAAUCUUGAUCGUCGAUGUAAUUUAAUCUGUACCAUAGGAUUUGGGGGAGUUUAAAUAUAAAUAGAGGCCUUCCCCCCUCAUUUGUAAUCAUUCAGCUGUAAUCUUUCAUAGUAUUUGAAUACUGUUGAGAGCAUUUACUAAAACACUUGACGUGUUUUUUUCUUUCUUGUGACUUUUCUAUUCUUUUGUUGCUUUUUCGUUUUAAGUUGCUUCCACUUUAUUUUCGAAGCGUUGGAGCAUUUUAUCGAGAAUUCUUACUUUAUGAGAGUUUGGCUGAUAAAGUUCUAGCCCCGUGACAAAGACAGCUACCCCAAACAUCCUUCCAAAAGUUAGUGCUACACCCAUUGGCAAUUGAUGAAUGAAUGUUGCACAUAAUAUCAUCUCAAACUCUUGCAAUGGACCACCAGACAUGAGAAGUAGCUAGCCGAUUAGUAUUGGCUGGACAUGUUUCCACCAUGUUAUAUUUAGAGUGCAAAAUUUGAACCCACAAAGCUUAUUUGUUGGUCAAAAUUGUGAAGCCCAAUUUUAUUAGGAACAAAAUGUUAUUUACAUUCAAUUUUCAAAUACCUAAACCUCGUGCUCAUACGAUUGGCAACAUGGGUUCCAAGAUACAAGAGUUGGCUUCUUCAAUCAAUACCCUCUUAAAUAAAGCUUCUAACAAUGUUCUCAAUUUCCAUACAAAUACCUAUAGGGAUCUUAGUAAUUCGCAUGUAAUAAGAAGAGAUUGAGAAUAACACUGGCUUAGCAAGUGUAACACAAGCCGCUAACGAAAGAAAUCUAGCAUCCCAUCCAUUAACCGCUCACAAACUUUCUCAACAAUAAAACGAAACGUAUCUUUGGUAACCCUUUUAUGAAAAAGUGGAAUACCCAAGUACUUUCUCAAAUUUGAAACUUGUUAGAAGCACUGGGUACUUCACCAUGUUUUAGUAUAUGAGUUAGCAAUAGACUAAUUUCAAUUGGUAAUUUUUAGCCACUCACAUGGCUUGUUUCAAGAAAAAAGGAAAAUUUUCUGUUUAUUUUGAAGAUGUCUUUUUUUUACUAGAGUUUUUACUCAUCUUUCUAAUUUCAAGUGUAAAUUUGCACUAGCUAUUCUUUAUUUUAGUCUAACUAUUUAAUACAUAUGGAAUAAAUGAGCCUUUUCCUUAUGUUCUUACAUGAGAAACCAAAAAAGUCAUAAAUGAUUAAUAUACUAUUUGAUACUUUAUUUUGGCUUCAAUGUUCAAUUUCUACCUCAAAAAUUUUUUUUGUCUCAAUUUGGUAUCUGAGUUUGGAUUUGAUGUUCACUUUAUUACGUAAUUUUUUUCAAUUUCAUACUUGAGUUUUUUUGUCACACACCAAAAUUGGCCUAGAAAUUUUGAGGAUUGAUUAAAUGCUGAAGUUACCUAUUUUAUGUAAUUAAAUUGGUCAAUUUAUGAGAAUGCACAACUGAUUUUUCCAUGUUUAUAUUGAAUUUUAUACAGGGGUGCAAUUUGGGCUAAAUAGAAGAAAAAAAAAGGGGAAACAAUUGGAUUAGAUUGAAGGAAGGAGCAAAAGAAGGCGGGCCGAAAUGGAAUUUUGAAAAGUUGUAAUUAGUUGAAAUUUUCUGAUCGACUUAGUAAGAGAAUAUGUAGGGAUUUAUUUUGAUAUUUAGGAUCAUGGGAAUAUUUUUUCCUUGAUUUCAUGCAUUUUCUAUGGAUAGCUUUUAAUCAGGAAUAUUUGCACAAGCCACAAGUAUAAAUAGGUGGUAUUAUGUUCAAUUCAUCAUCAAGCUUUCAUCUUUUGAAUAUGCUCUUUCAUUCCUUCUCACAAAUUUAUUUGUUGUCAUUGGUUCCUUAUACUUUCAUUAAUUUCCAGCUUUGGAAAUAUUGCACUGGAUGCCAAACCCUGCGUCACCAACCUACACCCCUCCACUUACAUUUUCUUUUUCAACCCUUUUUCAUUCCCAGUAGGCUAAAACCAUUCCAUACCCAAUUAAAAAUUUCAGCUACACACUUAAACCACGCCACCCACUUUUUACCCAUUUCAACCUUAUUUCAUUCAUCCAACCCUCUCCAGAUAUGCCCAACUCCAACAUGCCCCAAACAUUAGUCAAUUAAACCCCUUUCAGCCUUAGGUCGGUGUUAACCCCGUCAAAGACCCCUGAGUUACGAACCCAAGCAACUUAACUUCUAAUUUUCAGUAUUUACUAUUCUUUCGGAUUAAGAGUAUGACUUCAUCAACUCACAAGUCAAAUCAACACGAAGCCAAAAAAGACGUCGUUUGAGUUAGUGUGGUUAGACGUACAGUUGGAAUUUCGAAAGGAUCGAUUGUCUAAUUUGUUUUCUGUGAACACAUUGACGUGCCAAGUGGGGAUUGCCCUUUAGUUCCGUCAAGGGAAGUAGUAACCAAAUUUAAAUGUCCCACGCAGUUGAGGGUAUUGGUUCGAUCUAGGCUCUUCUAGAACGCAAAGCUGUCGGAGUUCUAAAUCACGAACAUUUCGUGGGUUGUUCGAUCAGCAAGGGUUAGUUAUAGGACGUUCCAUAACUAAUUUAUAUAAGGAAGAGUUGGUGUCUGAGGCGUCCUUGGUAACUUUAACUAGCUUAUUGGAAAAGAUGAGUUCAUCUAAUUUCGAGGAUCGGUUCAAAGACCAAAAAAACCCGUGCCUGAAGCUGAGCUAAAUUUAAUUGAUUUUUCUUCAAAUUUACUUAACUAUUUUUUUAUUUAAUUGUCUUCAGCUUUUACUUUUUACUCUGUUAUUUCAGGUUUCAUAUUUUAUCCCCCCGAACUUCUUGGGCAAAAGACCUGCCCAGACAUAAAUCUGGUCGAGAGAGAAACAAUUUUCAGUAAACUCAGUCUCUGAGGGAUCAACCGUACUCCCUAUACUGCUUAAAUUUGCAAAUUAGACGUGGGAUUAUAUUGGUGGAAUCGACAACCAUCAAGGGUAAAUUGGGAAUUUUGGCUCAGAAUAGGUUCAGAGAUUUUGAAUUGUGGUAACCUGAAAUUAUUUUUUACUGUAUUUUUUUUAAAUCAAGUCAAUUUUUUAAAAUAGAAAGAAAAAUUCUAAAAGGUGAUCCUUUUAAAUUUUUACUAUUUUUAUUUUAUUUUUUAAAUAAAUAUAAAAUAAAAAAAGGGGGUCAAAAACCUACUUGGCCCUUCAUGUUCUGCCACCGUGAGUAGCCGAGAACCAUCAUCUCCAAUGAAAGAUGACAUCUUUCGGGUAAAAGGGUCUUUGAAACCCAGAAAACGAAAGGUUUUUUAGGGAUUUCUGUUAUUUUGAUGAGUUUUUUUUUUUAGAAAAUAACCCCAGAUUUGGGUUUGGGGAACAAAAAGGCCAAAGAGCGGCCAUUUUUGCAUUUUUCGGCUUCAAAACAAGAUAUAAGUAACGAUCAAUUGGUGUUUAUUUUCGUUUUCGAGGAUUUAAGGAAUUGUGUCCUAACUUAUGAGACGUGAUCCUUUUUCUCGAUUAACUUGAAAUAAGCCAUUUUCGGAAAAAUUACUUUAGUUAGAUAUUGCCUUAAUACAAAAAAGAUCGUGUUUUAAACUCUUUUCAAAGUUUCAAUUUACGACACUAAGACAUUAAUUAAUCAACUAGGUACCAAUUUUGCGUGUUACGAGGGUGCUAUUCCUUUCUCGUGCGUAACUGACUCCCAAACCGAUUUCCUGAAUUUUGUAGACCAAAAAUCGUUGUUUUAGUAAAUCAAACUAUUUAUUAAAACGAUCAAAUUACGAGGUGAUCUGAUCACACCUCAUAAAAAGGAUUGGUAACGACUCCCAUUUUCGUUAUUUUAAAUAAAAAGUUAAUUUAAAAAAAAGGGGGUUUCAACAUCAGAGAUUAGAUAAUUACGUUGUUUGGAUUUUAGUUCGCAGAUUCGUAAUAUUUAAAGUUAUUUAAUGAAAAUAAAUUAAACUGUAAAAGAGAAGAAGAGUGAGAGCUUUCGAUUGAAAAACAUACAACAACAAUUUUAAUAACCCAAUGACUUAAAUGAAAAUUUUCAAAUUAUUUAGCGAUCAUUUUAUAACUUUUUGAAGUUAAGUGACCAAAAAUAUAAGCUUAUUAAUAAUUUAAAAACUUUAAAUAAAAUUUACCCUUAAUAAAUAAAUAAAACACCCAAGGAAUUCCUGAUCUUAUUUGUGAAAGUAAAAGAUCUACCAUUAAUUUAGUGAAGACGUAGUAUAAUUGAAGUCUUCUGCUUCAAUUGGGCGACGACUUGACCAAAACUUUAUUUGAAGUAUUAAUUAUGAAGUACUUGACCAAAACUUGACCAAAACUCUUACGAAUCUUUUAAUAUUCCUUGAAAGUGACAAAAUUAAUGGUGCUUUCGAUUUUAUUAAUGUAACAAAAUCUAUCACCCAAGAAAAUAUUAAACUUUUAAUUAUAGGAUAGGUAAUUUUUGAAUGUUUCUUUUGCUUUUUUUAUCUUCAAUAACUCAUAAAAUUAUGGGAAAGAUUACAUUACUUGAUAUAUAUACACACAAAUAUAUUAUAAAUUUAUUAAAAUCUUCAUAUCAUUUUAAUAAAUUAUGAAAAAAUAUUAUAAAGCUUGACGUAAACACAAAAUAGAUAACAAUUAUUUUGUAAAUUGAAUUUUAAUAAUAAACAAUGCAAAAUUUUUAUAAAGUAAAAAUAAAUAUUAUAAAUAGAAUACUAAUUUACAACAUAAAUAUUUUUUUUCAAAAUCAAUAUUCACUCGAAUAAUAUAAUUAAAUUCAAUACAUAUAUAUUGCUAAUUCACAAAAAAAAAAUCUAAUAUAAAUUUAACCCUUAAAAGUUAAUAAUUUUAAUUUAUUAAACAACACUUUAAUAAAAUCCCCCAACUUUAAUCAAAAUGAAAGAAAAAAAAUUAGUAUUUUCUUCUUCUUUUUUUUUUAAAAAAAGGAGGUAUUAUUAGUAUUUACUUUCAUAAUCAUCUAAAUUAUGUUUUCGACACAUUCAAUGAAACAAUUACACCAAGUAAAUGAACAUAUAAAACACAACACCUUCAAUACACCGACUCUUAUCCAAUAUGAUGAGCAUUUCUUUUAUUCGUUCUUGCAAUGUUAGGAACAACGACCAAAAUAAUAUCGUACCAAUGGUUAAGAGUGUAUGAGAUAUGGCCGGAAGUCUGCAGAAGGGAAAAUGAUGUUAGAAAACGAAAAACUUUCUCAUCCGGACAUGUACUAUUUUUAGUUUACCCUUAGGCUUAGCUAAGCAAAUUCAGAGGAGGGCUUCUUCUCCCUUAUCUCCUUGCUUACACCCCAACCUUAGUUAUGGCACAUGUACCGUCAAAUAUUAUUCUCUUGCUGUUCCUUCUGGUUUCUUUCCAUGUUAAUGUCAUAGCUGAAGAAGACGAGGCAAACAUUAUCAAACCCGGUUCUUCACUUUAUGCCGGAAAACAGCCUAGUUCGUGGGCCUCACCUUCGGGGAAUUUUGAAUUUGGUUUCUACCGGCAAGGAGAAGGAUAUGCGGCCGGAAUAUGGCUUGUUGGUCGACCAGAAAACACCAUUGUCUGGACUGCAAAACGAGAUGAUCCGCCUGUCUCCUCAAAUGCUACUUUGGAAUUCACUAGACAAGGCGUAUUGCUUCUUCGGACUGAGGACGGGGUGGGAAAUGUCAUUGCGAAUCUGUCCGGCGUGCAAUUUGUUGAUUCAGCUUCGUUGCUGGACACCGGGAAUCUAGUUCUCUAUGAGAACAGGUCUGUUGUUUGGGAGAGCUUUGAUAUCCCGACCGACACAAUCUUAGGAUGCCAGAAUUUAAGCCUUGACAGUGAGUUGAUUUCCAGUGUGUCAAGUUCAAACCACUCAACUGGCCAUUAUCAUUUGCUCUUGAAGUCUGAUGGGCUUGUAGCCAAUUUAAAUAUUUCUUCUGCAGCUGCCUAUGAGUACUGGGUCUCCCCUAAUGGCUUUUCUUCCCCCGUGUUGAAUCUCAAUGAAAGUGGCGUUCUAGCACUGUCUUCAUCACAAAAUUUCGACCAAGAAAAUGUUUUGGCAAACGGCUCGACAACUGGGAACGAAACAAUGAUUAUCUAUAGAGCAACCCUUGAUCAUGACGGUGUUUUCAGAUUGUACUCGCAUCAACUUGAAAGCAAUACUAUGUCAAACAAGUGGCAGAAUUUGGAUGAUGAAUGUGAGGUUCCAGGUCGGUGUGGGUUGAACAGCUACUGCUCCACCAGCAGGGGUAACGAUACUGAGUGCUAUUGCUAUCCUGGUUUCAUAUUUAUCGACGAGAAUGCCAAAUUCCUGGGUUGCUCUCAGAAUUUCACUGUAGAUGGGUGCGAGACUAAGAGAGAUGUAGUGAUACACCACAACAGCACUACCUUAGACAAUAUGUCUUGGGCUGGUAAUCUUUAUUCUGUGAAGCGUAAUCUGGAGAGGGAAGACUGUAAGAAAGCUUGCGAGGAUGAUUGCUCCUGUGGUGGAGCUCUCUAUACCCCAAAUCACUGUAGCAUGUAUUCAUUACCGCUUAAAUAUGGUAGAAAACAUGUAAGUAUAACAACCACAGCCUUCAUCAAGUUGAUUCCGGGUCGUAGCACCAUUAGCCCCCCACCUGAAACAAGUCCAAACCAAAGCCUUAUUCUAACUAUGGGCUUAAGUUUGGGUUCCGUUGCAAGCUUGUGUUUUGUGAUUGCAAUAUGUAGCUUCUUGUUAUACAGGCAUCGAGUCCAAAGUUAUGAGAAGCUUUUAGACAGUAAAAGUUCAGGAUUUGCCGAGCAAUUUACACUACGAUCAUUCACUUUAAAUGAGCUAGAUGAAGCAACACAAGGUUUCCAAGAUGAGUUGGGUAAAGGCUCAUUUGGAGCGGUUUAUAAAGGAACUUUGCCAGGGGAUGGUAAAAGUAUUGCUGUUAAGAGAUUAGGAAUGGUUAAGGAAGGAGAAAGGGAUCAGUUUCGAACUGAGAUGACAGCCAUUGGAAGAAAUAACCACAGGAACUUGGUCCGAUUGCUUGGAUUUUGUGUGGAAGGUUCAAGGAAGUUCCUUGUUUAUGAAUACAUGAGCAAUGGCUCACUAGCGGAUUUUCUAUUCAACAGGAAUGAACGCCCGGUUUGGAAACAGAGAGCCAGAAUAGCGUUGGACGUGGCUAAAGGUAUCCUUUAUUUACAUGAAGAGUGUGAGGUGAGUAUCAUCCAUUGCAACAUCAAGCCCUGCAACAUACUCUUGGAUGAUUCAUUGACUGCAAAGAUUUCGGAUUUCGGAUUGGCAAAGCUAUUGAGGCCUAAUCAAAGAAGCAGUACAAGUGGAACAGCAUGGUACCCGGCACCUGAAUGGCAAAACAGUGCAUUGUUAUCGGUAAAAGUUGAUGUAUACAGUUUCGGAGUGAUACUGUUGGAGAUCAUAUGUUGCAGAAGAAACAUAGAAGUAGAAGGUCGCAGUGCAGAUGAGAUACUGCUUUCAACAUUUGUAUACAAUUGCUUUGUUGGGGGAGAGUUGAACAAGCUCGUGGAAGGUGAAGAAGAAGUGGAUAUGAAAAUGGUGGAAAGGUUUGUGAAGGUGGGGCUUUGGUGCAUUCAAGAUGAUCCAAAUUUGCGUCCACUCGUGAAGAAUGUGAUCUUGAUGCUAGAAGGAACAAUGAAUGUACCGAUCCCUCCAUCUCCAUCACUUCCCCAUGUUACUAAUUAGUGUUUUUAACUUUGAAGUUGGGUUUAUUUUAAUUAUGUUUUUCAUGUAAUUAAUAAUAAUUAGAGGAGUAAUUUUUAAAAUAAAAUUUCAAUGUUUAUCAUUUUGGAAACUAUCUGUUGUUAAAAAGAAAAACAUUUUAUGUUCUUUACAUCAAUUAUAAUAAUGUGAUAAGUGAAAGGUCUCUAAUCUAUACAUCAAUUAUAAUAUUAAAAGUAUACAUGGUUUUUUCCUUUGUUUUCACUUAUGUGUUGUGUUGAAAAAUUAAAUGUUAACAUCUUAAAUACUUACAAAAUCAAUGUGGUAUGUUUGUUUAAUUUAAGAGAUAUUGCAAUUUAGUCUAAUUUAUUACAAUUUAGUCCUUUAGGGACAUUACUUCUUAACUUUUUAGGUCUACUUAAUUUAGUCUAAUUUAUUACAAUUUAGUCCUUUUUCCAAAAAUCAGCUUACCUACAUUUCCAUCAACCAAAUCCUUUUUUAGGCUUAGCUAUUUAUGCUGCAAAUGAAGAGAAUGGACAUGGAAAUGAAAAGCAAACAAAACAUUGAAGUUUAAGAAAAAGUAUGAAAGUUUAGAUUUUUAUGCAAGAAAACUUAAAGAACAUAAAACUAAAGGCAUUCAACAAGGAAAUCUAAAGCAAUAAACAGAAAAGGAAUAAACUUUAACAAAUUUAAAGUAAAAGAAACUGAAAUGCAUUAAACUAAAGUUAGAAAUGUCUUACAACCAAGGUAUAGGGAUUGGAAGUGCAAAUAAACUUAAGCUAUAGUAAUAACUAACUUAACUACCACUAAGAACAACUAAGAACAACUAAAAUAAGAAAGAAAAUUGUUGGGAAAUGUAAAAUCUACCGCUAAAGAAAUGAAAAUGAAAACCCUAGAAAAAGAAGAAGAAAAACUAAGAGAAAACCUUGAGAAAACUAAGGCUAAAACUAAACUAAUGUGUGUCUCCUCUCCUCAGCCAAAAUUGAUCAUUUUAGGUUGAAUGCUGAUAGUAUUUUGUUGCCAAAAUUGCCCUUACAUGGGCCUUGGGUGAUUGGUGGAUCGAGUAGAAAAAGACUACUCUUUUUAUCCAAUUUUGUCACCCUCACAAUAUUGGUGUCACGAUACCUAGAAGAGGAUAUCUCGAUUCCUCAAGUAGUUUCGAACCUUGGGGUCUUAUUUAAGGGUGGAUAUCAUUAUACCACUGAAAGAUGGUCUCCUAUCUUUCAAUACUGUUGGAGGUAUCACGAUUUCAAGGUAUAAAAAUCGCGAAACAUUUUCCUUUGGUGUCGUUUUCGCUCGUUUUCAACCUCAGCACGUUCUUACAUCACUCAACCAAAUGUUAGGCCCCCCAAUUGUACUAUUGGCCAAAUUUGAUCAUAAAAUGAGUAAAAACAAGACAUUUACACUUAUUAACUUAAAAUGUAAAAAGUACGAAAAACUAUGAAAAAACACUAUUUUGCUCGAGAAUAAGGUCCUUAAGUACAUCGGCAAAGUCUAAUUUUCCAUAUCAAAUUAUAGUAGAUUAAACUUCCCCACAUUUAACUCUUUACUUGUACUCAAGCAAAACAAACAUGCAAAAGAAAAGACGACUCUUGGACUAAAUCAGACAAUUAAGUCAUAUAUCUGUAAAACAUCAAACUCGUACGGGAACUGCCUCACAUGCAACUUAAGAGUGAUAUCUAGAUAACUUGUUAAUUCUUAAUACAAACAUAAUUAGUUCACUAAGUUAUAAUGUUAAUAGAUGUAGAGGUAAUGGAAAUUAAUAUAUGUGUAACACCCCGAACCCGAGUCCGUCACUAGAUUAGGGUUACAAGGCAUUACCAAACAAGUCAUAGCUCAAAAUAGACAUUUAUUUCAACUUAUGUUCGUAAAUUAACCCAAUCAAUACAUUUAGCCCGUUCAAAUUUCAUAUCUCAAAUCACCCAUACUCAUCUCAUUUGUGUUUUUUUCAAAAAAAUUAUUAUCUAAGCUUAAACUAUUAUAUAACGUAUAUCAUGUAUAUUAUAAUUACUGUGCAGUAUCACCUAGCAUAUAAACUCCAACAUAUUCGGCCUAAAUAAUCUCAACAAAUGGUCAUGUAUGAAAUUUUUAAACUUCAUAAUCAUGCACUCAAAUUACAAAUUUCAUAAUCAAGCCAAACCACAUUUAUUUAUUUAUUCACCUCAUGAAUUAUUCAAAUAGCAUACUAAUCAAAAUUUAACCAUUCACACGACCUAGUAACGUAUAUUUUUACACAAAACCAUAUUUAUAAAAAAAAAAGAGAGACCAAAUACACCACUUCAUUCAUCAUGCGAUUAUGCGCUUAUGAUCACUUUAUUUGUAACAGCCCAAUUUUGACCUUAAUCGGAAUAGUGGUUUCGGGACCACAAAUCCGAGUCUAUAAAAAAUACAAAAUAAAAAAAUAUUUUAAUAUUAUUUUGUGUGUUUAUGAUGUGUGAAUUUACAUGUGUGAAAGUUUCAUGAAAUAAUUUUAUUGUUUGGGUGCUUAAUUUGAGAAAAUGGCAUAAUCGCGUAAAAUAAAAAAUUUGAUGGUUAAAUAUGAAAGUGCCUAAUUUUUGUCAUGUUUAUAAUUUGGAGGUUUUAUGUUGUAAUUUAGCCAAUAUUUUGAGGUUUUAUGUUGUAAUUUAGCCAAUAGUAAAUGUAGUGGACGGCAUGAUCACUACACCAAAGCAGGCUUUUAGUGGCACCUUUAGUGGCGUUUUAACAAAAAACGCCAGAAAAAAUCGAGCAUUAGCGGCGUUUUUAAGAAAACACCGCUAAAAUAGGAGCAUUAGCGGCAUUUUAAAUAACACGCCGCUAAAAAGAGCCAUUAGCGGCGGUUUUAAUAAAAACGCCGCAAAAAAGCCAAAGCAAAACGACGGCGUUUUCCUACUUUCGGGUCUUUAGCGGCGUUUUUUAAUAAGUGCCGCUAAUUCUAUGGGCUUUUAGCGGCGUUUUUGUAAAAGCACCGCUAAUGCUUUGGCCUUUAGCGGCGUUUUGUGAAAAAACGCCGCUAAUGAUGGGUCUUUAGCGGCGUUUUCUGGAAAAGCGCCGCUAAGGACAUUUUAUCUUAACUAGUUUAUUUAUAUUAAUUAAAUAAAAUUCAAUUUAUUUGUAAUUGAAUAUUUAAAAUCUUCAAAAAAAAUAAUAACAUGUGGAAAUAAUUUGAAAUAAAAUAAAUGAAAAAUUAAAAUACUAUUAUUUAAAAUAAUUUAAAGUUUUUUGGGUACAUGAUUAUUGAUUGUUUUUUAAUUUAUAUAUUAAAUAAUUUCUUAUAUAAUCGUAAAAGAGAUAGUAUUAAUAUUAAAAUAUUGAAUUAAUUAUCACUGUAGUUUAGGGUUUUUGGUUUAAUUUAGGGUAUAUAUAUGAUUAUUAAUUUAAGAUUUAAGGCCGGUUUAGGAGUUAUUAUUUUAAGGUUAAUGUUUAGGGGUUAGGAGUUAGACGUUAAGCGUUAAUAGUUAAGGAUUUAGGGUUUAGGGAUUCAGGGGUCAAGUUAGAGUUUUGGGUUUAGAUUAAUUAGUUUUUUAAUUUAUAUUUUAAAUAUGUUUUUAUAUAAUUGUAAAAGGGAUAAUAAUAAAUUUGUUUAAGGUUUUUGGUUUAGGGUAUAUGAUUAAUUUAAGAUUUAAGACCGGGUUAUGAGUUAUUAUUUUAAGGUUUAGGGGGUAUGGAUUUAGGGAUUAUGGUUUAAGGGUUGGGGUUUAAAGGUUUGGGGUUUAGGGAUAGACGUCAGGGGUUAAGAAUAUGAUUUAGGUUUUAGGCCGAAUUCAGGGGUUGGGUUAGGGUUUUAGGUUUAGAUUAAUUAGUUUUUGAAUUUAUAUUUUAAAUAUUUUCUUAUAUAAUUAUAAAAUAGAUAUUUAUGACUUUGUUUAGGGUUUAGGGUUUAGGGUAUUAAUUUAAUAUUUAAGGCCAGAUUAGGAGUUAAUAUUUUAAGGUUUAUGGAGUAUAGAUUUAGGGAUUAAGGACUAGGGAUUAUGGUUUAAGGGUUGAUAUUUAAGGUUUAGGAGUUAGGGGUUAGGGGUUAGACUUUAGGGGUUAAGAAUUAUAUGAUUUAGGGUUUAGAGAUUCAGGGUCAAUUUAGGGUUUUAGGUUUAGAUUAAUUAGUUUUUGUAAUUUAAUUACAUGUAUUGAAUGGUUAAAUUAGGAUUUAAGGUUAAUUAUUGAUUGGGGACUUAAGAUUUAUUAAAUGAUAAAAUUUUAUACAAUUAAUUAAUGCUUUUAUAUUUAAAAAUUUUAAUCUAAACAAUUUGAUAUAUUUAAAUAUUAGUUUAAAUAGAAUUAAUAAAUAAGUUAUAAAAGUAAUAGAUUGAUAUAUAUACGAAUAUUUAGGUAUAAUUAUUUAUUUUGGAUAUAUAGGACCACAUUAUAAGAAAUAAAAAACAUUAGCAGCGUUUGGGUAGAAACGCCGCAACUAUGUACCCAUUUUUUUCAAAACGGCGUCGUAUCCAUUUAGAAAUUUAAUUUAAUUUGUGGCAUUUUAUGGGAAAAUGCCAUAAAUAUGUAUUUUAAUUUAUCAAAACGGCGUCGUUUCAGAAGAGUACUGUAAUCUAUCAGUGGUGUUUAUGCUAGAAACGCUGCAAUGAUAUUUCAAAAUGUCACCGUUUCACUUCAGGACUUGACAUUUUAGUGGCGUUUUUCCGGAAAACGCUGGAAAUAUGAAUUAAAGUUUCUUAAAACGGCACUGUUUCUUUUCAGUAAGUUAAUUUUUAGUGGCGUUUUUGAUAAAAACGCCGCAACUAUACAUUGAAGGUUCUUAAAACAGUGCUAUUUCAGAAUUUAAUUUUGGCAAUUACGCAGGACGACAUUAUAAGGAAAAAAAACAUUAGUGGCGUUUGCAUAGAAACGCCGCAACUAUGUACCCAUUUUUUUCAAAACGACGUCGUUCCCAUUUAGAAAUUUAAUUUAAUUUGUGGCGUUUUUUGGGAAAACGCCGUAAAUAUGUGUUAUAGUUUCUCAGAACGGCACCGUUUCAGAAGAGGAGUGUAAUCUAUUAGUGGCGUUUAUGCUAAAAACGCCGCAAUUAUGUAUUAAUGUUUUUCAAAACGUCACCGUUUCUCUUCAGGACUUGAAAUUUUAGUGCGUUUUUUCGGAAAACGCCGGAAAUAUGAAUUAAAGUUUCUUAAAACGGCACUGUUUCUUUCAGUAAGUUAAUUUUUAGUGGCGUUUUUGAUAAAAACGCCGCAACUAUACAUUGAAGGUUCUUAAAACGGUGCUGUUUCAGAAUUUAAUUUUGGCAAUUACGCAGGACCACAUUAUAAGGGAAAAAAACAUUAGUGGCGUUUGCAUAGAAACGCCGCAACUAUGUACCCAUUUUUUUCAAAACGACGUCGUUCCCAUUUAGAAAUUUAAUUUAAUUUGUGGCGUUUUUUGGGAAAACGUCGUAAAUAUGUGUUAUAGUUUCUCAGAACGGCACCGUUUCAGAAGAGGAGUGUAAUCUAUUAGUGGCGUUUAUGCUAAAAACGCCACAAUUAUGUAUUAAUGUUUUUCAAAACGUCACCGUUUCUCUUCAGGACUUGAAAUUUUAGUGGCGUUUUUUGGGAAACGCCAGAACUAUGGAUUAAAGUUUCUUAAAACGGCACCGUUUCUAUUCAGUAAGGUAAUUUUUAGUGGCGUUUUUGCUAAAAACGCCGCAAAUAUAUAUUUAAGGUUCUUAAAACGGUGCUGUUUCGGAAUUUAAUUUUGGAAAUUAUGGAAGCAAUAGCGGCGUUGUUUCCUUAAAACGCCGCAAAUCUGUAUACUUUGUCUAAACGGCGCCGUUUCUUUACACGUUGUUAAACAUCAGUUUCAGUCUAUCGAUUUAGUAUCUGAGAAAGAAGGAAAAGAAAAAAACACAGAGUAAGGCAGAGUAGAGAAUCGAAAGGAAAAGAAAAAAAUAGAAAGACCAAAAUACAAAGAAAAAAAAUCAGAGGAGAACUCAGAAAUCAAAAGAAACAAAGCAAUAGUUGAAUCGAUCUACACUCUGUUAUCAAAGCUGCGGAAUUUUUGUUUUAAAGGUAACCCUUUUUCCCUCAAUAAUCGAUCUACAUUUAGGGUUUUCUUUCAGUCAAUUUGGGGAUUUUUUUAAUCUAUAGUUAAUCUUCUUUUUUUUCUUUUUGCAUGUUAGGGUCGAUAAUUUUGUAGAAAAAGUUAUGCAUGUUAGGGUUUGUACUCCAUUUGUGGGGAUUCUAUUUCACUGUUUAUUAGUUUAAUUCAGGGUUUAACUUCUAAAGUAUACCUGUUUUCUUAUUUUGGUAUCUAAUUAUUUUGGUAUAAUUCUUAUUUUGGUAUCUAAUUAUUUUGGUAUACUCAAAUUUCCAAUUUGGUUUCCAUUAUUUUUAUUCGUUUGAAUGUCUUUGACCAUUCCUCUAGCUAAUCUGCAGCAGAAAAUAUCAUCAUUUCAUGUUUAUUGAGAACUGUUUCUUAGCAUAUGUUGCAAAAUGAUGGGUUUGUUAGUGGCUUUUUUAAGUGCAGGACACAAAAGGGAAAAUCUAGCUAAAUUGAAUCUCAAAAUUAACCAUUCCUCUAGCUAAUCUGCAGCAGAAAAUAUCAUCAUUUCAUGUUUAUUGAAAACUGUUUCUUAGCAUAUGUUGCAAAAUGAUGGGUUUGUUAGUGGCUUUUUUAAGUGCAGGACACAAAAGGGAAAAUCUAGCUAAAUUGAAUCUCAAAAUAAUAAUGAAGUUAUUAUUAUGUUUAUUGAAACCCAAAUUUCUAUGUAUUCAACUCAACAAGUGUUAGGAUGCUGCUGCAGAUUAAAUUUCUAUGUUUAUUUUACUUGGAUUUUGAGUGAUCCACGAUUGUGGAGAUAAUGGAAUGUGUAUGCCUUUUUUAAAAAAAUAAUAUAUUUGAAGAAUAAUAUCUUGUAUUAAUUCUUGGGUUUUGUUUUCUAGUUUGUUUUCUAGUCUGUUUAGCGAUAUUUUCUGUUUUCUGUUUUGCAAAUACCUGUUCUGUUUAUUUGUCUAGUUUUGCGAUAGCAAAAUAUAUUAUUUAAUAAUAGAUCUUGUUUAUAUUUAGUUAAAUGUAACAAAUUUUAUCUUGUGGGUUAUGAGACUCAAUGCUGCUUUGCCGAAAUUGUGACUGUAGACAGGCUGUAGACAGCAUCUUAGCUACUGUCAACUGUUCAUAAUUUGUAAAAGAAUGGUUGGUUAGAUCCUAAAUUUAGGCUACGGUCAAAUGUUCUUUGAUGUGAAUUUGAUUUUAGAUAUUUCAUCUGAAUCAAAGUUGUUAAAUAUUUGAUAUUAAUAUUUGGUAUGAAUAAUGAAGUGAAUUUGAUAUGGAAAUAUUUCAUACGGUAAUUCUGAAUAAAUAUAGAGUCAUGUUCUGCCAAAGUCUUUAUGUAUUGUUCUGAUUGUUGUGAUAAUUAAAAUUCAAAUUUAGAUUUGAAUCUUAAUUUAGUUAAAUAUUCUUUUGUUUCCUUCUGUUUUGUUGGUACUAAUUUACUUGUGUGUGUGUUUUUUGUUUUUUUGCAGAAGUUUGCUUCGAAGUUGAGGAAAUUUGAGGUAUUUAUUUCUAUGUUUCCCUAGAUAGUUUUCUUAAAAAAAACACCUCCAAAUGUUUAAAUUUUGGAUUUGGUUAUAUUUUAGCUUUAUCAUUUAGUUAUUUUUUUUAGUUUUAAAACGGAGUUUUAAUUAAGAUUUUUGGUUUUAAAGCUGUGGGUAUCGGUUUUAAUGAUCAUCUUUGCUUUAUAUGUUGCUAGCUCAAUUUGCGUGUAACUUUACAGCUUAUUACAAGUUAUGCUAGUUUUAAAUUAUGCUUGUUAUUUUUGUACGUAUCAUUUACCCAAGAACUAUAUGAGGCAAAUUAUUAAAAUUCAGAUUAUGAUUCUUCAAUCACUUUUUAUAUUUGAGUAAUUGAAUAAAUUAUGGCCGAUUAGUUUAUUCGGUUUAAUGUGAAUAAAUUAUCGAUUUUCGAUUUUAUGUCAAUGAAUAAAUUAUCGACGUUAGAUGUGAUUAAUUGAUUGACUGUCAGUGAAUUGUCAAUGAAUGUCAAUGAAUUAUUAAUAUAUAUAUUUUUAAAAUUUAUAACUUACAUUACGUAAAUAUAUUAAUUACUAAAAUUUACUUAAAUAUAUUACUUAAAUACAUUACUUACUAAAGUUAAAGUAUAUAUUACAUUACUUACAUUACUUACUAAAAUAUAUUACUUAAAUAUAUUACAUUACUUAAAAUUAUUACAUUACUUACAAAAAUUUUUAACUUACAUUACUUAAAUAUAUUACAUUACUUAAAAUUUAUAUAUAUAUUUAAAAUUUAUAUAUAUGGUAUGGAUAUAUAACCUAUAUUACAAUUUUAUUGUCAAUAAAUUUUAUAAUUUUAAAAAUAGUUGUAAAUGUUAUUUUUAAAUAUUAAAACCUAUAUUUUUAAUAUAUCACCCCAUAUAUGGUAUGGAUAUAUAACCUAUAUGUCAAUUUUAUUGUCAAUAUAUUUUAUAAUUUUAAAAAUAAUUAUAAAUAAGAUACAUAAAAGUGUAAUACUUACAUAAUAUAAACUUAUAUAUAAACUUGCAUAACUUACAUAAUAACAUAAUAACUUACAUUAUACAUAACCUACAUAACUUACAUAAUACACAACUUACAUAACUUAAAUAACUUACAUACUGUAACUUUGAUAACUAACAUUAUACACAACUUACAUAAUACAUUACUUACAUAACUUACAUAAUAAUAACUUACAUAAUACACAACUUACAUAACUUAAAUAACUUACAUAACUUACCCGUGCAAUUUAUUGUCAACGUCAGACUUCAAGGAUUAAGAUAUGGACCGAUCUUGGAUGAAUUUGUCAAGGGUAAGCAACGGUUAUCGAAACGGAGUUUGAGACUUUUCUCAAUUUUGCAUUUCAAUAUGCAAGCCAAGAGAACAUGAUUCUUUGCCCGUGUAAGAAGUGUGUCAACAUAAACGGCAUUAUCGCGAAGUUGUAUACGAGCAUCUAAUUGUUGAUGGAUUUGUUCGGGGUUAUAAAAAAUGGCAUUUUCAUGGAGAAUGCCCGCCUAGUACCUCCUCUUCAACGAUGGAUGUAUCUUAUCCUGGUACUGCUUACCAUCAGUCUGUUGGAGGGGAUGAUAUGGAAGGUAUGUUGCGAGAUGCAUUUAAUAUGCACAAUCAUGGUUUUCAGCCGUCAUUCCCAGCUGACUUUAUGGCAUCUGAUGAUUGCAAUGUUGGUGCAAAUGCUUUUACCGAACCGGGAACAAGUGUACCUCAUGAAGAGCCGAAUGCAGAAGCGGUGAAGUUCUACGCGCUACUUAAUGAGAUGAACGAAGAACUAUAUGAGGGAUCGAAAUUUUCAAAAAUGUCUUUCUGCAUUCGUCUUUUCCAGUUAAAAUGUUUGGGAGGGUGGACCGGGAACUCAUUGACAAUGCUGUUAGAGUUUUUGAGAGAAAUGUUUCCGUUUGCAAAAAUCCCUCAGUCAUGCAAAGAUAUGAAGAAAAUAAUAAAAGACUUAGGUCUUGGGUACAACAAAAUCCAUAGUUGCCCGAAUGAUUGCAUGUUGUAUUGGGGCGAUCGGAGAAACUAACAGUGCUGUCAUGUAUGCGGUGAAUCCCGUUGGAUAAAUAGAAACACAGAAGAUGGGAACGACGAUGAAAAUGAUGCACAGCCAAGAAAGAAGUCGGUCAAGAUUUUGCGGUAUUUCCCGCUGAUACCAAGGCUUCAAAGGCUUUUCAUGUCGUCGAAGACAGCGAAGUCAAUGACAUGGCACCAUGAAGGAAGAACCGAUGAUGGAUUUUUAAGGCAUCCGGCAGAUUCUUUUGCUUGGAAAUCAUUUGACAAUAAAUUUCCAAGCUUUGCAAGCGAUCCCAGGAGUGUGAGGCUUGGCCUAGCAUCUGAUGGAUUUAAUCCUUACAAGAUCAUGAGUACAGCAUACAGUACUUGGCCAGCAGUGCUUGUUCCUUACAAUCUGCCUCCGUGGAUUUGUAUGAAGCAAUCUUCCCUUAUCUUAUCUAUGAUUAUCCCUGGAGAGAAAGGGCCCGGGAAUGAUAUCGACAUUUAUUUACAGCCACUUAUUGAAGAGUUAAAACAAUUAUGGGCUGGUGUCGAGACAUACGAUGUGCUGAGGAAGGAGAACUUUAAUUUACGUGCAGCUUUGAUGUGGACCAUUACUGACUUCCCCGCUUAUGCCAAUUUAUCCGGUUAGAGUACCAAGGGUCGCUAUGCGUGCCCUUGUUGUGCUGCACAAACAUGUUCGCAAUGGUUAUACAAUGGGAAGAAGUUCUCUUACAUGGGGCAUCGUCGGUGGUUACCGAAAAAUCAUAGAUUUAGAUUUCAAAGUUCGGCAUUUGACGGUACUGAAGAGUUCAGAUAAGCUCCUUCGCAGACAAGUGGAUCUGAAAUCUUGUUAAUGUUGGAAGAUAUGAAUUUCAGUUAUGGGAAGAUUCAUCAACCGGCAAACACGCAAAGAAAUAGAAUAUCAAAUGAUGAAGCUGAUGAUAACUCCGAUGAAGAGGAUGAUCCUAAAGAGGCGGACUUGUGGAAAAAAAAGAAGUAUUUUUUUUGAGUUGCCUUAUUGGGAGCACCACCUUUUACGACACAAUUUUGAUGUUAUGCAUAUUGAGAAAAAUGUCUGCGAGAACAUUGUCUGUACAAUUUUGAAUGUAGACAGAAAAUCAAAAGACAAUCUUCAGAGUCGACUUGAUUUAGUUCAGAUGGGAAUUCGACCUGAUCUUCAUCCGAAUCCACUUUCGAAUGGUAAAUAUCGGUUGCCGCCUUCUAUUUUCUCAAUGUCGAAGACAGAGAAAGAAGUGUUCUGCAUGGUGUUGAAGGAUAUAAAGGUUCCAGAUGCGUAUGCAUCAAAUAUAUCUCGAUGUGUUAGUGUUAAAGAUCGAAGACUAUAUUCGCUAAAAUCACAUGACUAUCACAUCUUGAUGCAAGAUUUACUGCCAGUUGCUCUACGAUGUUGUAUUUCGAAGAAGGUAACGUCUUGUAUAAUUGAACUAUCCAAUAUAAUGAAAGCCAUUUGUGGCAAAGUUUUGGAUGUUCAAGAACUUCAGAAGGUACAGGACCGAGCCGCUUUAACUUUAUGCAACAUGGAGAAAAUCUUCCCACCUUCCUUCUUCACUAUUAUGGUUCACUUGAUAAUCCAUCUCCCGCAUGAAGCAAUUCUUGGCGGACCCGUUUUCUAUCGAUGGAUGUAUCCCAUAGAAAGGUGUUAAUUACAAUUUUUAAAAUUUUCCUUCAUUCACCUAUAUGCCUUUAGUUAUAACUUUUGAUAAUGUUGUAUAUCGUGUUUAGGUUCCUAUCCAAAUUAAAGUCUUAUUGCCGCAACAAGCGUUAUCCAGAAGGAUCGAUUGCUGAAGGCUACUUGGCAGAGGAAUGUAUGACCUUCUGUUCAAGAUAUUUGGAAGAUAUUGAAAUAAGGUUGAACAGACCAAAUAGAAAUGCUGGACUCACGGAUCAUAACUUGGCCGAUAAUUAUUUGUUCCAAAGUUUUGGAGAACCAAUCGGUAAAGUUGAAAUUACAGAAUUAGAUGAUUUAUCGUGGGUACAAGCACAUCGAUAUGUUCUAUUUCACCACGAAUCAAUGGAACCUUUACGCAAGUAAGUUCUAGAAAUUUGACCCAUUUUCUAUCAACUUAAAAUUGUGCGUGAGUCUAACAAACUGAACAUAUUUUACACAUAGUGAGUACAAACAAAUAUUGAGAUCUCGUUCGCGCUCCCGAAGAACACAACAUCGAGAUAUCAAUAAGUUGUUUACAGAAUCUUUUCAUGAAUGGUUAAGCCAAACGGUAUGUAAUUGGAGCUUUCACUGACAAAUAAUAAUAUUUACUCAAAACAUUUUUAAUUACUCAGUUUACUUUCCAUUCAAUAGGUUUGGAGUGGGAAGAACGUCACCGAUGAAGUUAAAUGGCUUUCCCAAGGUCCAAAUCGGGUGGUUAAAAGAUAUAGUGCGUUCCUCAUCAACGGAUUCAGAUUUCAUACAAAAUAUCGUGAGAGAUUGAGGAGAACGCAAAAUUGUGGAAUAGUUGUUAAUUCCUCAAUUACAAGUUAUGCUAGUGCUAGGGACAAUAAUCCUGUGGAGGGAAAUGUGGAAUAUUUUGGACUUCUUGCCGACAUAAUUGAGUUGGAUUACUACGGCAAAUGGAAAGUUGUCUUAUUUCGAGGUGAUUGGGCCGAUGUUAAUACUGCACGUGGAAUUAAGCAAGAUCAAUUUGGUUUCCUAAUGGUAAACUUUGCUCGAUUGAUUCACACAAGACAACAAUUGAUUGAUGAGCCGUAUGUAUUUUCUUCUCAAGUCAAACAAGUUUUUUACUCAAAAGAUCCAACUGAUGAGGGUUGGUAUGUUGUACUCCGUAACAUCCCUAGAGACUUGUUUGACAUGGGCAGUGGAAGUAGAGAUGGCAUUGACGACAGAACACAAACUUUGCCAUUUCCAGAACAGAACUUAAACGAAAACAUCCCUAGUACUAGUACACAAUUUCAAUGGGUCCGCCAGGAUACGGAUGAAGUUAUUUACGAAUUAUAAAAUGUAGUAAGCUUUUACGAUUAUCUAAUUAUAUUUACGGAUGAAUAUAUUUCAACUAUUUUAUAUGUGACCCAAUUGUUGUAAUUGUAUACUAAGUUUUCAACUAAUUUAUUUGUAUUGCAGAGAAAAUGCCUAGAAGAAAAGUACGAGAGCACCGCAUUGUUCAAGGUACUCCAAACUCCGAGGAAACAAACAGCACUGAACAACAGACUGCUAUUGGAUCUUCGAAUGUUCCGGUUACACCUGAGGAACCUAUAGAAGUUCAAAGUAAUUUAACAUUUAAUUUACAUGUGUGUUUACUUCUUGUUUGUUUUUUUUUAAUUUCGUAUAUUACAAUACUUUUAUUUUUCAGAUGAAACUGGUGGGACGCGGAAAGGUCGCGGACGUACGGUACUGAGCGAUUUAUACGAGCUAGAUCCAGUCGAGUGUGUCCAAGUAUCCAGUAAUAGCUUUGGUCAGCCUGUUGGAUCAGAAGCUCGCCUUUUAGUAGGAUACAUGGGCAUUCUAGCACGAAAUGCAAAUAUGUUGCCAAUUAACUUUGAGUCAUGGCAUAAAGUGCCCGAGAGUAACAAGAACCAAGCUCUCGAUAACAUUAAGGUAACAAAACGUGUAUGUCAUUUAUAAUACUUGGGUUUAAGUUUCGUUUACAUUUACUUUCUUAAGUUGUGUUUUUUGUAGACGAGAUUUGCUCUAGAGGUCUUUGAUGCUUAUGUAAAGAAGGCAUUGGGAAAAAGAUGGAGAGACCAUAAGAGCACUUUAAAGAAAGACUAUUUUAAGACAAAAACAACACUCGGUGAGAGAUUACAAAAUGUCCCGCCGGGAAUGCUGAGGUACCAGUGGGAAGAGGUCGUUAGAUUUUGGACUUCGAAGAAAGGAGAGGUAUGUGUAACUUAUAAAAUUUUGUAAUUAUUUUAGUGUAUAGUAUUUACUAAUUAACAUACUAAUAAUUUCAUAAUGUAGGAUCAUGGACGAGUUGGAAGAAAUAGUAGGCAGAAACAAAAAUUCACUCACACAACUGGGUCGAAAAGUUUUGCGUGUGUAGCUCAUGCAGAGGUAUUUUGAAUUUUUUAAUAUUGGCAGAUAUUUAUUACUUUCUAUCAAUUAAUAUUUUUACUAUUGUAUUGUAGGAACUGUCGUCCGGUCAAAAAGUUGGACGCCUUCAACUUUUUGACAUUACACAUAGGAAGAAAGAUGGAAACCCUAUGACUCCUGAAGCUACAGAAAUUAUGGUACGUUUGCUUAAUACAAUUUCACUUGUUUUAAUUAUUUAUAGUGUUUAUUUUCUAAUGGUUUAUUUCAUUUAUUGUAAUGCAAAUAUUGUUAAGUUAUGUUGCAUUGGGUUUUUUUAAUAUAUAUUGCCCUAACUAUGUGAUUUAUUUUUUAGGAAAAAUUGGAGGAUAAAAAGGCGGAGUACGAAGCGAUUGCUUCCAGUGAUAGCUCUGUCCAUAUUGACGAUAUUGAUAACCGGAUUAUCACUGAAGUUUUGGGUCCUGAAAGGUAUGGUCGGGUUCGAUUUCAAGGAUCUUUUGUUAACCCAUCCCAAUAUUUUGGAUCUAGCUCGCAACAAUAUAUGCCUUUGGGGAGUCGAGCUGAAGCUGAAGUUCAGAGGUUAAGAGACCAGAUGACUCAAAUGCAAGCGACAACAACUGAGCAAAUUACACAACUUAAAGCGGAGGCAACAUCGAGAGAAGCUGAGGUUCAAAAAAGAUAUGAAGAACUCCAGCUACAACUUAAAGCGGAUGCAGCAGCGAGAGAAGCCGAGGUUCAAAAAAAGUAUGAAGAACUCCAGCAACAGCUUAAAGCAGAUGCGGCAGCGAGAGAAGCAGAGGCUGCAACGAGGGAAGCAGAGGCUAAAGCGAGGGAAGUAGAAGCUGCAACGAGGGAAGCAGAGCAGCGUAAAAAGUUCGAUGAACUCCAGCAGCAGCUUCAGAGUAUGAUGAAGAUGUUUCAGCAGUCGCAACAGCCGCCGUCUUAGACUAUCGUGUAAAUAUAUUUACAUUUUGACAUUUAAUUAUCAUUUUAACUUUUAACAUUUUUGUAAGAAUAAUGCGAAUUAUUCUUUAUUUAAUGUUAUUUAUUAUAUUAUUUGUUUAAUAUAUAGAUUUAUUACUUUUGGCUGGUUUAGAUAUGAUUUCUUCUAAUUUGUUUUUACAGGAGGGCUGAAAAUAUAAAAAAAAUUAUUUUACAAAUCUGCCAAAAUUAGUGGCGUUUUUUAAAAAAAUGCCACUAAAGAGAAGGGUCUUUAGCGGCGUUUGUGUAGAAAGCGCCGCUAAAGAUAAAGGUCAUUUACGGCGUUUUUGGAGAAAGCGCCGCUAAAGAAAGGGGUCUUUUUGCGGCGUUUCUGGAGAAAGCGCCGCUAAAGACUAGGUUCUUUAGCGGCGUUUGUGAAAAAAGCGCCGCUAAAGAUCAGGUUCUUUAUCGGCGUUUGUGAAAAAAGCGCCGCUAAAGGUCCUCGUCUUUAGCGGCAUUUUUAGUAAAAAACGCCGCUAAAGUUAGCGACGCCUUCUUUAGCGGCGUUUUUCCUGGCGCUUCUAAAAGCGCCGCUAAAAGUAUUUGCGGCGCUAAAAAGCGUCGCUAAAGGCUUAAAAAAGCACCGCUAAAAGCCUGUUUUGGUGUAGUGGAUGGUUUAUAUAUAUAUAGUUUUUAUAUAUAUUAAAUGUAAAGUAAAAUAAUAAUAUUAUAAUAUAAUGCUAAUAAAAUAAAACAUAAAAUAAAUGAAUCAUGCAUUAUUUUCAUCCAUAGCCGAAACAUCAAAAGAAAAAGUAAGAAAAGAAGAAAGCUAGGUUCGGCCAUUUUGUCCUUUGAUUUAGGUAUGUGUUUUGUUCGGUUUUUGAUCAUUUUUAUGUUUUUGAGAUCGUUGCUUUGAAUACUUCAAAACCCAUGUCUUAAUUUUGUGAAUUGUUGAUGAUUUUGAAAUGUGCCAUUGAUGAAUGUUUGAGUUUCAUGAUGUUAGUUGAUGAAAUAUGAAAUAUAAGUGUUAGAUUAACAUGUUUUGUCUUUGAAUUUUUGGUGAAUUUCAGUAAUUAGGGCUAAAUGGAGAAAAUAAAUUUUUCAAUGACUAUAAUGUGAAAUAAAUAAAAUGCAUGAGCUUGUAUAGACACUAGGAAUAUUCGGCCCUUAAGGAGUGUAGUCAAAAUUUGUGUAUUUUGUGUUUUGAGCAAAAAGGAUUAAAUUGUAAAAAGUGUGAAAUGUUAGGGGCAAAAUUGUAAUUUUCCCAUUUAUAUGUUCUUAGACUAAAUUGAAUGAAAAUAUGUUUAAAUGAGAUUUAUUUGAAUAUGUUUAGAUCAAGAAACCAAGAAAUCGGAUUUAAAUCGGGGGAAAUCGAAAGUAGUUGAGUAGCCGAUCUAUUAGUCGAUGGCAUCCGAGGUAAGUUAUUAAGCAUAUAUAUAAUUGUAUCGUUUUAAAAUCAGCUUAGUAUCUAAGUAAAUAUGCUGAAUUGAAUAGUAUAUAUAUAUGUAGUGAUAAAAUUAUUGAAAUAAGAUGUAUUGAGUUGUUGACUUCCGACACUAAGUGUGCGAAUUUAAUUGUAAAGCACUAAGUGUGCGAGUUUAAUUGUAAAGCACUAAGUGUACGAGUUUAAUGGCAAAGCACUAAGUGUGCGAGUUUGAUUAUUGAGCACUAAGUGUGCGAACUUAUUAAAUAUUUUCGAAUAACUAUUAGUAUUGAGUAUUUGUCUUAUUGAGAAAUCAUGAUUAUUAAAAUGAGUAAAUACUUGGAAUUCUUGAGUAAUAACCAUUAUGGUUGUAUUUACGGUUAAGCUUUGUAGAUAUUAAACCUAUGUGGUGAUUAUAUUUGGAAUCAUAUAUAUAUAAUAUGAUUCUUUAUAUUACAUGAUGAGGAAAUGCAUAAUGUAUAUGGUCUUGUGUUUAAAUUUGAAGAAAUGUUUAUGGUUGUGUAAUUAUAUUGAUUUUAGUUAAAUCAUAGUAAUAAGUGAAUAAUUAUCUUAUGAUAGGGUAAGCUAAAGGUAAGAUGAUUUAGUAGUAUGAAUUGGUUGAAUAUUAUUUGAGAUAUCGGUUUAAAUAGUAGAGUUUAUUUGAUUAUAACUUACUAAGCUAAAUUAGCUUACAAUGUGUUGGAUAAUUGUUUUGAUGUAUAGAUUUUGGUGAUCGCUACGUGUUAGGGGAUCAUCAGCUAAGUUCGUCACACUAUCGAUAAUUUCUUUUGGUAUUUUGCUAAAUCGUUCUCAAAUAUAUGGCAUGUAUAGCAUAGUUAAAAUAUUGAUUUUGGAACCAAUGUGUAUAUGAAUUUAAAAGCCAUGCGAAAAUGGCUUAUCUCUUUUGGUUUGAAUUCGGUAUUAAUGCAUGUGCUUUAAUGGUCCAAAAUGUGGUAUAUGUUCAUGUAAUUUUUAUGCUUAAAUGCUAUCCAAUUUGUUGUAUUUAUGCUGCCCAAAUUGUUGUAUAUAUGCUGUCCAAUCUUGAUGUAAAAAUGCUGCUCAAUUUGGUAUAUAUAUGCUGCCCAAAUUGUUGCACAUAUGCUGUCAAAUUUUUAUGCUAAAAUGCUGUCCAAUUUGUUGUAUUUAUGCUGCCCAAAUUGGUGCAUAUUUGCUCUCAAAUUUUUAUGCUAAAAUGAUGUCCAAUUUGUUGUAUUUAUGCUGCCCAAAUUGUUGCAUAUAUGCUGUCCAAUUUUUAUGCUUAAAUGCUGCCCAAUUUGUUGUAUUUAUGCUACCCAAAUUGUUGUAUAUAUGCUGUCCAAUUUUGAUGUAAAAAUGCUGUUAAAUUUGGUAUAUAUAUAGGCUGCCCAAAUUGUUGUAUAUAUGCUGUCCAAUUUUUAUGCUAAAAUGCUGCUCAAUUUGAUUGAUAUAUGUUGCCCAAAUUGUUGUAUAUAUGCUGUCCAAUUUUUGGUGUGAAAAUGCUAUCUAGUUUGGUAUAUGAAUGCUGCCCAAAUUGAUGUAAAAAGGCUGUCCAAACAGGGUAGACUACCUAUGUUGUAAUAUAUAGUAUAGUUAGUAAAUUGAAAUGAAAUAUGUGUUCAAAUAAAUGUUUGGUUAUAUGUUUGAUUUAUGAUAUAUAAUCAUAUAUGUUUGGAAAUGUUUUAAGAAUUGGAAUGAUAUUAAAAUUUGAUUAUGUAAAUGAUAAUGAUAUGGUUGAAUUUUUGAAACAUGGUUAGUAUAUGAAAUUUGAUUAAUGAUGCAUGUUGAUUUUAAUUGGUUAUGUGAUUAUAUAUAUAUGGAAUUAAAUUUUGUGGCUGAGUUGGUAUAAUUUAUGAAAAAAAAAAUUUGAGUUGGGUUUUUGACCGGUAAUGCCUCGUAACUCAAAUCCGGCGACGGACAUGGGUCGGGGUGUUACAUUUGAUUGGUAUCAGAGCUACGGUUUAGUCGAUUCUAGGACUGACGUAGUGCGUAUGAGUCUAGCUAUACAUGCCAUAUUUUAUAUUGAGAUAGUGUGAUGACUUCUGACAUCUACAAAUGUGUUUUCGUAUAGUAAUGGAUCCCGAUCGAACUGUAGCGGAUGAUGUCGAGAGUGUAGCACCUACUCCCAUGCCAGAGACGGAGUCGGUUGAUUCUCGACCGAAUACGAGCAACCAUGGUGAUGAGACUAAAGAAGCCUUCUAUACUAUGAUGAAUGAAUGGUUUACACAAUAUAUCCGGACAAAUCCGGCUGUUCAACAACCUCUGACCCCGAUUAACCCACUUCCGAUGCCUGUGGUACCUCCGACUAUCGAUCCUAUGAGAUUGAAUAAACCUCCUGUUGAUAAGAUAAGAAAAUAUGGAGCUGAAGAAUUUAGGGCCACAGUUAGUGAUGAUGCGGAACGGGCUAAAUUUUGGCUCGAUAAUACCAUUCGUGUCUUCGAUGAAUUAUCCUGUACACCUGAUGAGUGCCUGAAAUAUGCGAUAUCUUUGUUACGAGAUUCAGCUUACUAUUGGUGGAACACUCUAGUUUCGAUUGUUCCGAAAGAGUGUGUCACUUGGGAUUUCUUUCAGACAGAAUUUUGCAAAAAGUAUAUCAUUCAACGAUUCAUUGAUCAGAAACGCAAAGAAUUUCUCGAGCUAAAGUAGGGUCGUAUGACUGUAUCUGAUUAUGAGCGCGAGUUUGUGAGACUCAGUCGAUAUGCCCGAGGAAUGUGUUGCGACUGAGACUACUAUGUGUAAAAGAUUCGAGGCAGGGCUGAAUGAAGACAUAAAAUUGCUUGUCGACAUACUCGAAAUAAAAGAGUUCGUAGUACUCGUCGAUCGAGCUUGCAAGGCUGAAGAACUCGGCAAAGAGAAAAGAAAAGCUGAGUUUGAAGUUAGUGAUUUUCGCAAGAGAUCAGUGAGUAGAACUUUUCAGACGGCAACAAAGAAGUUCAGAGAUGUUAGUAGCUGAUCUAAGGCUACUGCCGAGCUUUCUAUACAAGAACGACCACCAAUGAGUUCAAGAGGCACCUUAGUUGCUAGUGUUGGUAAUACCUGACUAAAUAAACCUGAGUGUCAGCAGUGGGGUAAGAGACAUGUUGGUGAGUGUUGGGGCAAGUACAACAAUCGAGUUUGCUAUAAAUGUGGGUCGAAAGAUCAUUUUAUUCGGGAGUGCCCAGAGUUUACGGAUCGAAAUUUGACUCAGAAUACGAGAUCGGGCAACACAGCAGCUCGGGGUAGACCACCUAGGAACACGGGUAAUGUGAGUGCCAGUCAGAGAGGUACUAAAGAUACGGCCGUUAGAUUUGAGGCUUGCGCACCUGCCAGAACCUAUGCCAUUCACGCACGUGAGGAGGCUUCAUCCCCAGACGUUAUUAAUGGUACUUUCACUCUCUAUGAUACUAAUGUUAUUGCACUGAUUGAUCCUGGUUCGACUCAUUCAUAUGUGUGUGAAACUUUAGCAUUCAGUAAGACUUUGCCUGUUGAGUCUACUGAAUUUGUGAUUAGAGUAUCAAACCCCUUGGGUCGGUGUAUGUUGGUUGACAAAGUGUGUAAGAAUUGUCCAUUGAUGAUUCGAUAUUUAUGUUUUACGGCUGAUUUGAUGUUGUUGCCAUUUGACAAGUUCGAUAUAAUUUUGGGUAUGGACUGGUUGACUUUACACGAUGCUAUGGUUAAUUGCAAAAGGAAGACUAUUAAUUUAAUAUGCCUAAAUGACGAGAUUAUUCGGAUUGAAUCUAAUGAUCUGAAUGGUUUAUCGGCAGUGAUAUCCUCUAUGUUGGCUCAGAAGUAUGUGAGAAAAGGUUGUGAAGCUUAUCUUGCAUAUGUUCUUGAUAGUAAAGUGAUAGAAAAGAAGAUUGAAUCAGUACCUAUUGUAUGUGAGUAUCCAUAUGUGUUCCCUAAAGAAUUACCGGGUUUGCCACCUAUUCGAGAAGUUGAGUUUGGGGUUGAAUUAGUAUCAGGGACAACUCCGAUUUUGAUAGCUCCAUACAGGAUGGCACCUACAGAAUUAAAAGAGUUGAAAGCGCAGUUACAAGAGCUGACAGAUAGAGGUUUUGUACGACCGAGUUUUUCUCCUUGGGGGCACCAGUUCUAUUUGUGAGAAAGAAAGACGGAACGAUGAGAAUGUGCAUUGAUUAUCGGCAACUCAAUAAGGUGACUAUAAAGAAUAAGUAUCAGUUACCACGAAUUGAUGAUUUGUUUGAUCAGUUGAAAGAGGCUACUGUGUUCUCGAAGAUAGAUUUGAGAUCAGGCUACUAUCAGUUGCGAGUUAAAGACUCUGAUGUGCCAAAGACUGCCUUCCGAAUGAGGUACGGACAUUAUGAGUUUCUUGUUAUGCCUUUUGGACUUACUAAUGCACCUGCUGUUUUCAUGGAUUUGAUGAAUCGGAUCUUUAGACAGUAUCUAGAUCAGUUUGUAGUAGUAUUCAUAGAUGAUAUUCUAAUCUACUCCCGUGAUGAGGUAGAGCAUGUCGAACAUUUGAGACUUGUGUUACAGACUUUACGAGAUAAACAGUUGUAUGUAAAAUUUAGUAAAUGUGAGUUUUGGUUGCGUGAAGUCAGUUUCUUGGGCCAUGUUAUAUCGGCAUCAGGUAUUCAGGUUGAUUCAAGCAAGAUUUCGGCUAUACUUGAUUGGAAACCUCCGAGAAAUGUUUCAGAAGUUUGAAGUUUUCUGGGACUUGCCGAUUAUUAUAGACGGUUCGUAAAAGGAUUCUCUAUGAUUGUGACCCCGAUGACAAAGCUACUACAGAAAGACGUUAAGUUUGAGUGGUCAGAAAAGUGCCAGAAAAGUUUCGAUCAGUUGAAAGCUCUUUUGACCGAAGCUCCAGUAUUAGUUCAGCCAGAAUCGGGUAAAGAGUUUGUUAUCUAUAGUGAUGCAUCUUUAAAUGGUUUGGGCUGUGUUUUGAUGCAGGAAGGCAAAGUUGUAGCCUAUGCCUCGAGACAGUUAAAUCCGCAUGAAAAGAACUAUCCGACGCACCAUUUGGAAUUGGCCGCUAUUGUAUUUGCAUUGAAAAUAUGGCGCCACUAUCUGUUUGGCAAAAAAUGUCAUGUUUAUUCCGAUCACAAAAGCCUGAAGUACUUGAUGACUCAGAAAGAUCUGAAUUUGAGACAGCGCCAAUGGUUAGAAUUGCUAAAAGAUUACGAGCUUGUGAUUGACUAUCAUCCGGGAAAGGCUAAUGUUGUUGCUGAUGCCCUAAGUCGAAAAUUACUAUUUGCUUUGCUUGCAAUGAACACACAUAUGAUUAUAUUUGAUGAUGGUGCGAUAGUAGCUGAAUUGAAAGCAAAAUCGUUACUUGUUCAACAGAUUUGUGAAGCUCAGAAAGCUGAUGAUGAUUUAAUUGCAAAACGAGCUCAGUGUGACUUAAAUGUUGAUUCAGAGUUUCUAGUUGAUGCUGAGGAUUGUUUGAGAUUCAGAAACCGAUUAUGUGUUCCAAGAAAUUCAAAGUUAAUUCAGGUGAUUUUGAAUGAAGCUCAUAAUAGUCGAUUUUCUGUUCAUCCGUGUAGUACGAAAAUGUAUAACGAUCUGAAACAGCACUAUUGGUGGCAUGGUAUGAAACGAGACAUUUCUGACUUUGUUUCGAAAUGUUUAAUUUAUCAGCAAGUUAAAGCCGAGCAUCAGGUACCAUCUGGGUUGCUUCAGCCGAUCAUGAUACCUGAAUGGAAAUGGGAUCGAGUCACGAUGGAUUUUGUAUCCGGUUUACCGUUGACACCGAGCAAGAAAGAUGCAAUCUGGGUUAUUGUUGAUAGGUUGACAAAUUUGACACACUUUAUUCCGAUUCGCAUAGAUUUUUCGCUCGAUAAACUUGCGAAAUUGUAUGUUUCACAAAUUGUGAGGUUGCAUGGUGUACCUAUUUCUAUUGUUCCGGACAGAGACCCGAGAUUCACAUCGCGGUUUUGGAAGAAAUUACAAGAUGCUUUAGGUACGAAACUACAUUUUAGCACAGCUUUCCAUCCGCAAACAGAUGGUCAAUCCGAGCGAAUCAUUCAGAUACUUGAGGAUAUGUUGAGAUGUUGUAUUCUUGAGUUUGAAGGUACGUGGAAACGAUACUUACCUUUGAUUGAAUUUUCUUAUAAUAAUAGCUUUCAAUCUAGUAUCAAACUGGCACCUUACGAGGCUUUGUACGGUCGUAAAUGUCGUACUCCAUUGUAUUGGACUGAGCUCAGUGAAAAUAAGAUACACGGGGUUGAUUUGAUUAAAGAGACUGAACAGAAAGUGAAAGUGAUUCGGGACAGUCUGAAAUCAGCAUCGGAUCGUCAGAAAUCCUAUGCGAAUUUGAAAAGAAAGGAUAUAGAAUUUUAGAUCGGGGACAAAGUGUUUUUGAAAGUCUCGCCAUGGAAGAAAAUACUCAGAUUUGGUCGCAAAGGUAAAUUAAGUCCGAGAUUCAUUGGACCGUAUGAGAUUAUAGAGCGUAUCAGGCCAGUUGCUUAUAAAUUGUUGUUGCUAUCUGAGCUAGAAAAGAUUCACAAUGUAUUCCAUGUUUCGAUGCUUCGUAGAUACAGAUCCGAUCCUUCGCAUGUGAUUAGUCCGACCGAGAUUGAAAUUAACUCUGAUAUGUCAUAUGAAGAAUAACCGAUUAGCAUUCUGGCUCGUGAGGUUAAAGAAUUAAGAAAUAAAAAAAUUUCGUUAGUCAAAGUACUUUGGCAUAAACAUGGACUUGAAGAAGCAACUUGGGAGUUAGAAGAUAUAAUGAAAGAACGUUAUCCAAACCUAUUCACCGGUAAGAUUUUCGGGAACAAAAAUCCUUAAGGGGGGAGAGUUAUAACAGCCCAAUUUUGACCCUAAUCGGAAUAGUGGUUUCGGGACUACAAAUCCAAGUCUAUAAAAAAUAUAAAAUAAAAAAAUAUUUUAAUAUUAUUUUGUGUGUUUAUGAUGUGUGAAUUUACAUGUGUGAAAGUUUCAUGAAAUAAUUUUAUUGUUUGUGUGCUUAAUUUGAGAAAAUGCUUAAUAGCGUAAAAUAAAAAAAUUUGAUGGUUAAAUAUGAAAGUGCCUAAUUUUUGUCAUCUUUAUAAUUUGGAGGUUUUAUGUUGUAAUUUAGCCAAUAGUAAAUGUAGUGGACGGCAUGAUGGUUUAUAUAUAUAUAGUUUUUAUAUAUAUUAGAUGUAAAAGUAAAAUAAUAUUAUUAUAAUAUAAUGCUAAUAAAAUAUAACAUAAAAUAAAUGAAUCAUGUAUUAUUUUCAUCCAUAGCCGAAACAUCAAAAGAAAAAGUAAGAAAAGAAGAAAGCUAGGUUCGGCCAUUUUGUCCUUUGAUUUAGGUAUGUGUUUUGUUCGGUUUUUGAUCAUUUUUAUGUUUUUGAGAUCGUUGCUUUGAAUACUUCAAAACCCAUGUCUUAAUUUUGUGAAUUGUUGAUGAUUUUGAAAUGUGCCAUUGAUGAAUGUUUGAGUUUCAUGAUGUUAGUUGACGAAAUAUGAAAUAUAAGUGUUAGAUUAACAUGUUUUGUCUUUGAAUUUUUGGUGAAUUUGAGUAAUUAGGGCUAAAUGGAGAAAAUAAAUUUUUCAAGGACUAUAAUGUGAAAUAAAUAAAAUAUAUGAGCUUGUAUAGACACUAGGAAUAUUCGGCCCUUAAGGAGUGUAGUCAAAAUUUGUGUAUUUUGUGUUUUGAGCAAAAAUGAUUAAAUUGUAAAAAGUGUGAAAUGUUAGGGGCAAACUUGUAAUUCUCCCAUUUAUAUGUUCUUAGACUAAAUUGAAUGAAAAUAUGUUUAAAUGAGAUUUAUUUGAAUAUGUUUAGAUCAAGAAACCAAGAAAUCAAAUUUAGAUCGGGGGAAAUCGAAAGUAGUUGAGUAGCCGAUCUAUUAGUCGACGACAUCCGAGGUAAGUUAUUAAGCAGAUAUAUAAUUGUAUCGUUUUAAAAUCAGCUUAGUAUCUAAGUAAAUAUGCUGAAUUGAAUGGUAUGUAUAUAUAUACAUGUAGUGAUAAAAUUAUUGAAAUAAGAUGUAUUGAGUUGUUGACUUUCGACACUAAGUGUGCGUAUUUAAUUGUAAAGCACUAAGUGUGCUAGUUUAAUUGUAAAGCACUAAGUGUACGAGUUUAAUGGCAAAGCACUAAGUGUGCGAGUUUGAUUAUUGAGCACUAAGUGUGCGAACUUAUUAAAUAUUUUCGAAUAACUAUUAGUAUUGAGUAUUUGUCUUAUUGAGAAAUCAUGAUUAUUAAAAUGAGUAAAUACUUGGAAUCCUUGAGUAAUAACCAUUAUGGUUGUAUUUACGGUUAAGCUUUGUAGAUAUUAAACCUAUGUGGUGAUUAUAUUUGGAAUCAUAUAUAUAUAAUAUGAUUCUUUAUAUUACAAGAUGAGGAAAUGCAUAAUGUAUAUGGUCUUGUUUUUAAAUUUGAAGAAAUGUUUAUGGUUGUGUAAUUAUAUUGAUUUUAGUUAAAUCAUAGUAAUAAGUGAAUAAUUAUCUUAUGAUAGGGUAAGCUAAAGGUAAGAUGAUUUAGUAAUAUGAAUUGGUUGAAUAUUAUUUGAGAUAUCGGUUUAAAUAGUAGAGUUUAUUUGCUUAUAAUUAGCUUACAAUGUGUUGGAUAAUUGUUUUGAUGUAUAGAUUUUGGUGAUCGCUACGUGUUCGGGGAUCGUCAGCUAAGUUCGUCACACUAUCGAUAAUUUCUUUUGGUAUUUUGCUAAAUCGUUCUCAAAUAUAUGGCAUGUAUAGCAUGGUUAAAAUAUUGAUUUUGGAACCAAUGUGUAUAUGAAUUUAAAAGCCACGCGAAAAUGGCUUAUCUCUUUUGGUUUGAAUUCGGUAUUAAUGCAUGUGCUUUAAUGGUCCAAAAUGUGGUAUAUGUUCAUGUAAUUUUUAUGCUUAAAUGCUGUCCAAUUUGUUGUAUUUAUGCUGCCCAAAUUGUUGCAUAUAUGCUGUCCAAUUUUGAUGUAAAAAUGCUGCUCAAUUUGGUAUAUAUAUGCUGCCCAAAUUGUUGCACAUAUGCUGUCAAAUUUUUAUGCUAAAAUGCUGUCCAAUUUGUUGUAUUUAUGCUGCCCAAAUUGGUGCAUAUAUGCUGUCAAAUUUUUAUGCUAAAAUGCUGUCCAAUUUGUUAUAUUUAUGCUGCCCAAAUUGUUGCAUAUAUGCUGUCCAAUUUUUAUGCUUAAAUGCUGCCCAAUUUGUUGUAUUUAUGCUACCCAAACUGUUGUAUAUAUGCUGUCCAAUUUUGAUGUAAAAAUGCUGCUCAAUUUGGUAUAUAUAUAGGCUGCCCAAAUUGUUGUAUAUAUGCUGUCCAAUUUUUAUGCUAAAAUGCUGUUCAAUUUGAUUGAUAUAUGCUGCCCAAAUUGUUGUAUAUAUGCUGUCCAAUUUUUGGUGUGAAAAUGCUGUCUAGUUUGGUAUAUGAAUGCUAUCCAAAUUGAUGUAAAAAGGCUGUCCAAACAGGGUAGACUACCUAUGUUGUAAUAUGUAGUAUAGUUAGUAAAUUGAAAUGAAAUAUGUGUUCAAAUAAAUGUUUGGUUAUAUGUUUGAUUUAUGAUAUAUAAUCAUAUAUGUUUGGAAAUGUUUUAAGAAUUGGAAUGAUAUUAAAUUUUCAUUAGGUAAAUGAUAAUGAUAUGGUUGAAUUUUUGAAACAUGGUUAGUAUAUGAAAUUUGAUUAAUGAUGCAUGUUGAUUUUAAUUGGUUAUGUGAUUAUAUAUAUAUGGAAUGAAAUUUUGUGGUUGAGUUGGUAUAAUUUAUGAAAAAAAAAAUUCUGAGUUGGGUUUUUGACCGGUAAUGCCUCGUAACUCAAAUCCGACGACGGACACGGGUCGGGGUGUUACAUUAUUUGAGCAAAUUUCUUUCACCUAUAUUGAAACAUAUCAUACCAUCACGAACCUAUUCACAGUAAUUCAACCUUAAGUGAUUACAAUACUAACAUAUACAUUUACCUUCACUAAUGAAUAUCCAAAUUCACGUACACAUCAAAUACUAACUUUCAAAUUAUUUCUAAUAUAAAAUUUCCUCAAAUUAUAACACCAAAACAAAACCAUCAAUCAAACAAACAUAAAAAAUGCCUAUUCUUGCAUUGGACAACCGAACUUAUAUAAUCAAAAUUCCAACAAAUAUAUAUAUAUCAUUUUUACAUUACUAAACUAAAUUAUACAAAUAUCCACCAUUCAAUAUUUGUUCCACAACUCAUAUUUCCAAAAUUAGCUAACUAUCAAACCAACUUUUUAAUCUACCUAUCAACUCUCCAUUCCGAUUUAUAAUCAACAUCUCAAUCAUAUAUAUAUAAAUAAAUAGCCUACUUUCAUAAUAGUAUCAAGUUCUAGCCAUAUAUGCACAAACUUUAACAUUAUUACCAAACUAUAUAACCAAACACCAUAUAUAUAUAUAUACCAUGAAAUCUACAUCUAUAAUAAACUAUUGCCAUGACUGGAUAUGCAUAACAUUAAUAUCAAAAUUAAGCCAUUUUUCGCAUGACUAAAUAUCUACAAUUCAAAACCAAGCUGUUAAGUAUGACUCCUAUUUUCAGUCAAAUUUGAGAAAUAAUCUUCUAGUUAAACUCUGUUUAUUUGUUUCAAUCAAACACUGAUUAGUUUAGAUUAUUUUAUUAUUACUAGAUAUAUGAAUUUAACCUAUAAAUAGGCUCUUUUACAACCUUAGAAAAAACCCCAUUUAGAGAUUAGAACUCAUAACACAUUGAGAGAAUUUUGUGUUUACGUUUUGAAGGUUCUUUGUUUUUUCGAGGUUUGGGGUUUAGUUUUAUCUUCAUCUUUUGUACUCUUCGUUCUUUUACCAUUAUAGUAAAUUUAACUUUGCCCGUGAUUUUUUAUCCUCUUUGGAAGGGUUUUUCCACAUUAAAUUUGUGUGUUCAAUUUCUCAAUUUAUUCUGCUAUUUUUGUUACUUGUUGCUUAAUCGGGUCAAUCCCUAACAAGUGGUAUCAGAGCUAGUUCAAUUUUCAUAGAUUAGCCCAUUCAGAUAUGGCAACAACAAUGUUUGAAAUUGAAAAGUUCAAUGGUGAGACAAAUUUUAAUCUGUAGCAAGUUCGGGUGAUGGCAAUUCUAGUUCAAUCUGGUUUGAAAAAGGUUAUUAUCGGGAAAAAGCCUGAGAAUCUAAAUAAAACAGAAUGGGAAGAGCUUGAUGAAAAUGCCUUGUCUGCAAUCCAGUUGUGCCUCGCGAAUAUGGUAUUGCAGGAGGUAUUGAUGGAGAAGACCUCAUCUACCUUGUGGAAAAGGUUAUAAACUCUUUAUGUGACUAAGUCUCUAGCUAAUCGUUUAGUGUUGAAAUAACGUCUAUUUACGUUUCGCGUGAACGAAGGUGAGCUUCUUAGAGAUCACAUCAGUUAAUUCAUUACUCUUUUAAAUGAUUUAAAGAACGUUGAGGUUCAUAUUGAUGAUGAAGAUCAAGCUAUGCUAUUAUUGUGCUCUUUACCCCCUUCAUACAAGUCUUUCAGGGAGACCCUGAUUUAUGGUAGAGAUAAAAUCUUGUUUGAAGAUGUGAAGAGUCAUUUGUUGAGUAGAGACAAACUCGACAAUGAGCUUCAUUUGGAUAGCAAGGAAGAUAGGCAAGCUUUCGUUUUAAUAGCAUCAAAGAAACGAGACAAAAGGUGUCGCUAUUGUAAAAAGUUAGGUCACGUCAAAGCAGAUUGUUAUAAACUGCGAAAUAAAAGAGCUGUUGAGAGUAACGAGGAAGAUGUAGCUGGUGCUAAUUUGGCCGAUGAAAGCGGUGAUGAUUUCUUAUUAGUGUCAACGAGCGAUAACUCCAAGCUCAAGUCCAAGUGGAUUCUAGAUUCGGGAUGGUCUUUCCACAUGUGUCCCAAUAGAGAAUGGUUCUCCACAUACAGUUCAGUUGAAAGUGGAGUUGUGCGCAUGGGAAACGAUUCAUAUAGUAAGGUAAUUGGUAUUGGUACUGUUAAAAUUAGGAUACAUGAUGGGACGAUUAGGACACUUUCAUAUGUCAGGUAUGUACCUGAUUUAUGAAAGAAUCUCAUCUCCUUGAGUAUUUUAGACUUGAAAAGAUGCAGAAUCAACAUCGAGUCAAGCGACAUUAAAGUAUCUCAUGGAGCUCUCAUUUUGUUAAAAGGUAAAAGAACUGGCAGUCUUUAUAUUCUGGAAAGUUCUACAGUGAUCGGUAAAAUUGGACAUCCCUCGUCCGUUACAGAGUCGAAGUUAACUCGUUUGGAGCGGAGGAAACUUGGUCAUAGGAUGGAAAAAUGUAUGAUCGUUUCGUUGAAGAGAGGUUCUCUUUUGGAUGCAGGUUUUGAAAAGUUAGGGUACUGUGUUCGUGAAAAUCAGACCCGGGUUAGUUUUGAUUUGGUAGUGUACAAGUUGAAGGCUAGAAAUCUUCCAGUUUCUAAGCACAGAUUCGACACAGUUAAUUCCCUGUAUAGUUCAAGAUAGCCUCGUGGCGGGCUUUGUCAAAGAUGGCAUUGAAGAAAUAUGAGUCAAGGUGGAGAUUUGUUAAGUAUGACUCCUAUUUUCAGUCAAAUUUGAGAAAUAAUCUUCUAGUUAAACUCUGUUUAUUUGUUUCAAUCAAACACUGAUUAGUUUAGAUUAUUUUAUUAUUAUUUGACAUAUAAAUUUAACCUAUAAAUAGGCUCUUUUACGACCUUAGAAAAAAACCCCAUUUAGAGAUUAGAACUCAUAACACAUUUAGAGAAUUUUGUGUUUACGUUUUGAGGGUUCUUUGUUUUUUCGGGGUUUGGGGUUUAGUUUUAUCUCCAUCUUUUGUACUCUUCGUUCUUUUUCCAUUAUAGUAAAAUUAACUUUGCCCGUGGUUUUUUAUCCUCUUUGGAAGGGUUUUUCCACGUUAAAUGUGUGUUCAAUUUCCCAAUUUAUUCCGCUAUUUUUGUUACUUGUUGCUUAAUCGGGUCGAUCCCUAACACAAGCCUAUCAAGUAAGACUAUUCAUGCCAUAUGACAUAUAUACAAGUUUUCUUUCAAGGUACCAAAAUAGAUAGUGAUGGUGUGAUGAUGUUCCUCAACGAUCCUGAGCUCGAGCUAGCUUUCAAACAUCUAUAAAAUAACAAAUACACAUACAAAGUAAGCUUGGAAAGCUUAGUAAGUCAUAAGUAAUUAAAUUAACAAACGAACAUUAAUAUGAUUAUUUCAAGUAAGCCGAAUACUCCCAAUCUCAAACACAUGUAUUAUAAUCACAUUUAAACAAUUAGUUCACAAUAUCAUAUUAUACAACAACACCUACCUUUAUUAUCAAACAUUAUAUAAACUUAAACAUACCUGAAUCAUUUAAUUCGAACUCACAUUCGGUUUUACCGUACCAUUGCCCGUUGAACUGUUCGAAAUCAAAUAGGAUACUUAGAUAACUUGGAAAGCUCGUACAAUGCCAACGUCCCAGACGUGGACUUACAUGUAAUCAAAUAUCGAUGCCACUGUCCCAGACAGGGUCUUACGCGAAAUCAUAUACGAUGCCAAUGUCUCAGACAUGGUCUUACACGUAAAUCUCAAAUCGAACCAAUGUCCUAGACGUGGUCUUACACGAGAUCACAUCAAAUUCGGGGACGUUCGUACGGGGCUUUCAAACGUCGUAAUUCGAUCAAAUCGAGCUCGUAAUUAAUUCUCCCAUACUUAUAUCAAAUUCAGCAUUUACCCAAAUAUAUUUAAUAAAUCAAUUCAGCACUUAUAAUUUAUAUAUAUUCAAAAUUAACAGUAUUUAUUUACUUAUGAACUUACCUCGGACGAAGACGAACUGACCGGAACGACUAUUCGACAACUUUUGAUUUUCUUAGAUCCAACUCCGAUUUCUUCUUUUCUUGAUCUAAUAAAUUUAAAUUUGGCUAUUUAAUAACACAUUUCAUUCAAAUUUAUUCCAAAAACACAUAAAUGGACAAUUUACAUUUUAGCCCCUAACAUUUUACAUUUUUUUACAAUUUAGUCCCUAUUUCACAAAACACAAAAUACACAUACUUUAAAAAUAUCCUAGCUUGGCCGAAUAUCCCUAUAGCUCAUAUAAGCCCACAUAUUUCAUUUAUUUCACAUUUUAGCCCCUCAAUUUUUCAUUUUCACAAAUAAAUUCCUAAUUUGGAUUUUUAUAAAAAAUUACUUAAUAAAAUUUAAUAAUCUAUCAACAAAUAUUUAUUUUUCAUCAUCAAACAACAAAAACAACAAUUUCUCAUCAAUGGCAAUUCACAAAAUACACAACCAAUUCAAAAAUUAGGACACGGGCUAAUUAGAAUACGAAGCAACAAUCUCAAAAACAUGAAAAUUAUAAUAAUAAAAAAACCAAGCAAAAUACAUACCAAAUUUUAGCUUCCAAAGUGCCGAAUGCUUAAAACACAAAAUGUGUUCUUUGUUCUUCAACUUUCGGCAAAAACAAAGCCAAACGCAUGGCAUUUUGUGUUUUGUUUUAUUUAAUAUUAUGUUAUUUUCUAAUUACUAUUUUAACCUUAACUAAUUCAUUUAAAAAUCCACUAUCAUAUGUCCAUCAAAGUGCACUCAUACUUUCAUUGGUAUAAUAUCAACAUAAGGACCCCACAUUAGAAAAGCCAUAACAAUAAAGCACUUUAACAAAUAGCUAGCCACUUUUGCAUUUUACGCGAUUAAGUCUUUUUCCACAAUUCGGCACAAAAACGAUAGAAUUAAUUCACGAAAAUUUCACACAUGUCAAUUUACAUACUAUAAGCACAGAAAAUAAUAUUAAAAUAUUUUUCUGACUCGGAUUUGUGAACCCGAAACCACUGCUGACUAGGGUCAUAACCGGGCUGUUACAAUAUGUACAAGUGUUAUUCAUCAAAAUAAAUUAUGCGAAUUGCUCAUAGAUAUUUAAAGAAAAAAGUGGUCAUAUUUGUUCAAACAAAUGAAGACUAUUUAUGAAUUAUUGUAUUGGUGACAUAGAUUGUGUUUAGUAAUGCUUUUUAAAAGUACUUUUGAUAUGAAAAACACUUUUGAAGCAAAAAGAAUGCUAAACAAAAAAAAAAUUUUUGCUGAAAUUUUUGGCUUUUCAAAAUUCAAAAGUACUUUUGAAAAAAAAGAGGAGAAACUAAAAUUUUUAGUUUUUCUUCUCUCAAAAAAAAAAGGAGAAACUAAAAUUUUUAGUUUUUCUUCUCUCAAAAAUACUUUUAGUGCUUAAUUACUUUUUCACAUCUCCAAUAAUAUGAUACUUUCUCUUCUUCUUUUUUUCUCUAAUGCUUAAUUACAAAUAUGUUAAAAUUAUUAAUUAAAAAUAAAAAAUUAUUUUUAAAAUAAUACAAAUGUGUUAAUAUCUAAUUAUAAAUAUUUAAUGGAUAUAUUUAAAUAUUUAAAAUAUUUAAAAUUUAUAUUUCAUAUAAUAAAAUAUUAAUAAUAAGUUAUACUAAUUUUUUAUUCUUACUAAAAUAUAAUAAUAUUAACUAAUUUAAACAUUACUUAAUACAUAUUAAUUGGCAAUUUAUUAACUACUUCACGCAUGAAAAUAAAACAUCGGAAAAAGCUUGAGAAACCUACAUUAAAUUUAUCGCCAUUUAUCCUUAGAAAUGUUGACAGUCCAUAAAGUAGUCUGUAUAUAUCAAAAUAUAAAAGGAUAUGUUAUUAGAUAUGGUGGUAUUUGAUUAUACAUUUUAGUAGAGGAUUUAGGAAUAAUAUUUUGGUAUAUAAAAAUUCCUAAUGAUUUUUCAUAAAAAUAUUGAUAUUCCUUUAGAAUUUUUGGUAUAUAACAAAAUAUCUAAAGACGUGCUUUUAGAAAUUUUAAUAUUUCAGCCGAUUGAAUCAUAGUUCGAUUGGCAUACGCAAUGUUAUUAAUAUAGAAGGAUGUGAGUUCGAGUGUAUUUAAACGCAUUAUCCUCCUAUUUAUGGUUAGAGAGAGGCUAUGGAUAGUUCAAGCUCACCCUAAGAAAUAAAUAUUAUUAAAUGAUCUCUAUUUAUUUUAAUAGUAUUAUAAAUUUAAUAUAUUUUAUUUAAAUAUUUCAAUUAAUUAACUAACUUAAUUUUGUUAUUAUAUUAAACAAAUAACUUAAAAUAAAAUUUAAAUGUAAAAACUAAAAAAUUAAUCAUUAUUAAUUUAAAUGAUUUCAAUAUAAUAUAUAAAUAAAAUUAAAAUAAUUAAAAUCUAACAAUUAAAAGAAAGGAAAUAACUUACAUUAGGAUGAUCCUAAAAGCACGUCUGGUUCGCUGUAAUGGAAUAGAGCUUUAAUUGAAUAGAGCUGUAAUGAAAUAGAAAUGUAAUAGUAAUUCAAUUGUUUGGUUGAAUGGAAUGGAAUAGAACUGUAAUAAUAUUCUUGUGUUUGGUUGAAUGGAAUGAUAUUGUAAUAGCAUAAGGAAAAAAACUAAAAUGACUAGAAUACCCUUAGCAGAAUUUUUUUUAGAUGGAUGAUUAUUGUUAUUGUUAUUGUUAUUAAAUUUUAAUAAGAUUAUUAAUAUAAAUAAUAAAUAAUUUAAUCAUAUUUUAACAUAAUUAUUAUUAAAUAUAAUUUAAUAAAAAAUCAUAAUAUAUAAUACUAUAAAAAUAAUAAUAUAUAACCUACUUUAUUAUUUUUAAACUGCAAUACAUAUUUAACGUGCUAAAAUAUCAUUAGUGAAACAAAUAAUUUAAUUAUUUUACAAUAAAAAAUAAAAUAUUAGAAGUAAUAAAUAACUUGAGAAUUAUAUUUCACAUUCAAACAUAAUAUUCAUAUAUUAACAAAAAGUUACAUGAUUUCAUUAGUUUAUAUGUCAUAAUCCAUAUGUUAUAAAAUUUUACAACACUAGAUUACCUUCAUGUCAAAGCAUUUUAACUUUGAGAUCCAACACUACCAUACAUUCAUGGUUUUCUUCAUUACAAAAGUCAAUUAAGUUCACAUACAACAGCAUUGACUGGAUGAGGUUUCAACUACCCACUAUGCAUAUAUGGUUCUUUUCAUACAUCUAGCUCAUCUUUACAAAAACUGUACAAAGAUAGGAUACCUAAAGUUAAUUAGAAAAUGGUGUCAUCACCACCACUGCCAUCAAGAGUAGUUAGAUUACAAAUACAAGGUUUGCUGGAAGCUGAUUUGGCUGCUCAUUUCCUUUAUCUAGGAAAGUAAUCUUUGUUCCUUUCUUCCACCCUGGCUUCACAUCAAUGGUUAAUAUUUUUGAUUCCUGUGCUUGCUGCCUGUAAAGAUCCAAAGUAUUGUCCGAUCAGCAAGAUCAAAAAUAUAAAGCUACCAAUAAUAAUGUUAUCAUCACAACAGUGUAAUUAAGGUGAGAAUAUCUCAGUUGAGUUCAUAGUUUCAGCAUGAAAACAAUAUGCAAGCAUCGAAAACACAAUAUCAAAGAAGAUGAAAGAAAUAAAGUCGUCAGCCACCAUUUGAUCAAAAAUAUAAUUUAUUGUCUUUAUUUUCCUCUCUUGAGUUCAUAAAAAAAUGCAUGCUGUGAUAGUCAACUUGCAGAAACUAAAAAGUUUAUCAAAAUGAAACUUCAGUCAAGCAAAUGCAAUAGAGGAUCAUGUAUGAGAUGAAGAUUCAUAACCUAAUGCAUUAACUAUAGUUCUUGAGACCUUCAUCUUCCUUGUUGAACCAGUAUAUAGCUCUUCAAGGGUGCAAGGCAAUUUGCUCUCAACUAGGGGCGGUUUCCGAGGUGCAGUUGUCUCGUUGUAACUUCAAAAAUUAUUGUCAGUGCAACCGAAUCCUCUUCUGAACUUCCCUCCUUCAGGUUGGAAUCUUGAAUACCAACAUGGUCCUGUUGGCCCACCAGUGCCAUUUCCAUAGGAUGGUCCACUGCUGCUUGGUGGAGGCAUGCCUUUCAACCCUUCUUCACCAUGCUGAUUGUAAAUUGCUUCUUUGAGGGUCACUCAGGACCUGAAUCACAAAAUUAACUUAAUUCCCCAUAAGAUAUCUAUGAAGAUGACAGAUACUGGCACUUGCAUCUCUCCAUGCUUAUCUAUACUAUAGUGAUCCAGGACAAGUUUGACUCUAUUGUAUUUUUGUAUCAUUAAGCACAUGUUAAGAUCAGAUAAGUCGUCAAAAUAAACAGGAAAACCAUAUUGCAGCAAGCACAACCUGUUCUAGGGCAGUGACUACAUUUUGUUUCGACAGUUACCGGCUCCUCUAUGAUGUACCAAGUCCUGGUUUGGAGCCAGACACCAUAAUCUGCUCUCUAGUAAUUUCUCAAGGUUAAAAUAAACCAUGUUUUGGGACCUCUAACGUGACUACUGUACAAGCCCAUUUGCCCGGGCCCAAUUACAAAAACAAAAAAAUAACUAAACCAAUUAAAGUAACCCACCAGCCCAACUAACCCAAUACCCUUCAGCCCAAACCAAGACCCAAGCCCUAAUACUAAGGGUCAAACUAGGGUUUCAGCUUUUCUGAAACUCUAGUGCUGCCGCACCUCACUUGCCCUGCCACUGCCGUUCUGCUGGCCGCCGCGCACGUCCCAUCACCGCUCACCUGCUCCCAACUGCUCACCUGCAACACGCAACAUUAAGAAGCAAAAAUAGAGUAAAAAGAAAAAGAAAAAGCUUGUAAAAGGCUAUAUAUAAAAGCCAUUAAAAAAUCGAAAUGGGGGGCUUCAUCACUGAAUCGGGGGGCUUUUUCUUUUCUUUUGUAAAAUUUUCAUAUAAAUAAAACAAUCAAAAAAAUAGAUUCAAGGCUUUGAUAUCAGAUUCGCAUUUCUUUUUAUUUCUUUUAUUUUCUUUAUUUCGUACAUUAAAUAGAAAAUAAAAAGGGAAAGAGGACUCACAGGGAACCACCGUGGUUGCGCCGUCGAAGGGCUUCUCCUCCGUCGCCGAUUCGGGUCCGAGAGGGGUUGUGGGUUUCCCUCUUUCCCGCGGGUUGAGAGAUCUGAGAUCUCAAGGAUGCCACACGAUGAGGGUUAAAAACCCCUUUUUCUCGCAUGACUCCGGCCACCGUCCUUGGUGGCGCUGCGAUGGAGAUGCGACAGACGGCGGCGGGGUUCUAAGUUUGGAACCCUAGCAGAGAAAGGGGAAGACCCUUUUGUUUUUUCUUAUGUUUUUUUAAGAAAUGAAAUAGCAGAAAAAAAUUAGCUUUUAUAGGAAUUUCAAAACGGCGCCGUUUUGAGGCCCUCUUGACCCGCGCGGUGACCCGACCCAUGGGGAGGAUCCGCGUGUUUUCGCCAAAUGGGUUAUUUAUGCGCGCAGUCCCUCCUAUUUCACAGCGCAUUACAAUCUGGUCCUAUUUCGUUGUUUUCACUUUUUUGAUUUAGCCCUAAAAUUUUAUUUUUGAUUCAAUUUUAGUCCCAUUAAAGUGCAGCGUUUUGGGACUUUAGGGUAUUUACCAUUUUGGUCCUCCCUUCUUCGGCGCGCGUCCCAAUUUAAUCCUUUUAGUGUUUAUUUAUUUCGAAAUCGCCCAGUAUUUAUGUUUUUAUUUCGAUUUAAUCCCUUUUUAGCAAUUUUAUUGUUUAAUUAAUUAUUAUUAUUAUUAUUAUUAUUAUUAUUAUUAUUAUUAUUAUCAUUACUAUUAUAAUUAUUACUACUAUUAUUAAUUAUUAUUAGCUUUAUUUUCUGUUUAUUUAAUUUGUUACUAUUAUAUUAAUAUAUUAAGUAGUUUUAUAUUAUUUUCAACUUCAUUUUUAUUUAUAUAUAUAUAUAUAUAUUUAUGUAUUAUGCUUGCUCAUAUUUUAUAAUAGCUUACUUUUAUAUAUGCAUAAACGUAUAUAUGUAAAUAUUUUUAUAUAUAUUCUAUAAUUAUAUAUCCAUAUGUAUUUUUAUAUAUUUAAUGAUUAUUAUAUAUGUAUAUAUGUAUGUACACACAUUUACAUGAUUUUUAAAUGUAUAAUAAUUCCAAAACCAUGUCCACUCACACAUUUUUUUUCAUAUUCUCAUUAUUUUAUUUAUAUAUGUGUUUAUAUAUCUUUCAUAUUUGCAUCAUGUUGUUAAUUUUGUUCAUUUAUUUGCAUGUUUAUUAUUGUUUGUUCUCUUUCUUUAGUUCUUAAUUAUUUGUUACCUUGCCCGUAAGAUUAUUUUUAUUAUUUAUUGUUUUGCUUGUAUCAUUUUAUUCCAUUACACCCAUUUUUAUUUAGAUUUCGAAAAAGAAACUUUAGAAAUAAGUAAUAUUUGGUAUUUUGGAUCUUCGAGAGAAUCGAGUCCUGACGUAUUGGGUUUCGACUUUCUUCGUUGAACUUAAAUAACCGAGAUUACUCUUUUAAAAAUGAUAAAAGUUCGUUAUCGAGAAUUCAAUAUAUUGUGUCCUAACGCAUUGGAUGUGACAUGUUUUCUCGAAACGAGGAUUUUUCGAAAUAAAUGUAAUAUUCAAUGUUUAAUAUUUUGAUAAAUUGUGCCCUAACGUAUUGGGUUGCGAUUUCUUCAUUUGAUUUAAACAAUUGAAUAUUCUUUUAAACUUUAUUACACGAAUCUUUUCAAACUCAAGUUUUAAACGAUAUCGGGAAUUAAAAAAGGAUCGUGUCCUAACUUACUGGUCGUGAUCCCUUUUUUAUCCAAGAUAGUUAAAUGUCUUUUGAACAAGCAUUUUCAUUCGCGUAUCGGGAAUUCGAGACAUUGUGUCCUAACUUACUGGAUAUGAUUCUCUUUCUCGAAUAACGUGAAAUAUGCCCUUUUCCUGAAAAUUUUCAACUUUUUAAUACAAGGAUCGUAUUUUUAAAUUCUUCAAAGUUUUCACUCUUCGACACUAAGACAUUAAGUAAUCAACUAGGUACCAAUUUUGGGCGUAUCGAGGGUGCUAAUCCUUCCUCGUGCGUAAUCGACUCCCGAACUCGUUUUUUUGAAUUUCAUGGACCAAAUUUGUUGUUUUAAUAAAAUCAAACUGUUUAUUAAAAACAACCACUUUUCGAGGUGAUCCAAUCACACCUCAUAAAAAAGGAUUGGUGGCGACUCCCGUUUUAUUUUUUAAAACCCAAGUCGACCCCGUUUUCAAUCCAAAAAAUGGUGUCAACAACUACCAUAACUAAUCAGACUAACAAGAUAACAUGGAAAAAUAAAAAAUAGUUUAGAAUCUAAUACAAUAUUGGAAAGAAAAAUCAGACACGUCACUAGGAGUAGUCAGGUCCUAUGUUACACGGAUUUGGGUGAGUAUCGCAUGUGGGUAAACUAAUAAACUGGACUCUGCAAAUGCUAUGCAUUUAGUAUGUUACACGGACUCCCUAUUUUUCUUGAAGUACUUGUGUCUAGCACUCAUGUUUGAAAAAUAGAGAGAAGAUACGACCUUUAAGGAUCCUCCAAAUACAUGAAAAAACUUUAAAAAAUCCAUACAUACUCGUAACCAACACUCAUAUCUGAGUACACGUAACAUAGAUGCAUUUGUAUUUUAUCCCUCUUCUUAUUACCAUUCAUCAAUUUCUUACUCCAAUCUCUAAUUCACUUUCAGGAAAGGCAAGAACAAUAAAGAUUACAUCUCUAACACCAAUAAAUAGCUAUGCUAUUGGAAAAUUAAAAGGCAAAGCAACAUGGCCUGAGCAUAAUCACUCCCAGACUACUAUAGCAACUGAAAAAAUCAGAGCAGAGCUAAUGUGCUAAAAACGAGUUGCAAGUUCUCCAUGAAUAACAUUUAAUUACACGAAUGACAGAGAAGUCUACAAGAGAAGAAGAAAACGUAAGAAAAUUCCAGCACACAGUAUAUCACGAAAGGAAGUGGUUGUUCAAAAUAGCAAGUUCGGUCAAUUAAGCUUAAUUCCAAAACACAAAUGGCCAAAUUCCUUACACUCUUUUUUUUUUCUAAAUCAAUUGUCUCAGCAAAGAUCACAUGCAAGAAAGGGGUUAAAAUAAGAAGUAGAAGUAAAUGGGUACAAAGCAUAUUAUGAUUCCACAUAAAACUUCAGCUCCGACGGAAGAAUGAACAAACUUCAAUCCAGAAUCUAAGAAUUCAACUUUCAGGUAAGCAUUUUUCCUUACAUUUCGAGAAUCAUAAUCACUCAUUCAAAUCAAAUAUGUUUUAGAACACAGAUGUCAGAUUCGUAUAAUUUAGGAGAAAUGAAAAAGUUCCAGCAACAAAGAUUUUAUGUGAAGUAUGUCGGAACCAUCUUUUUGUAAAACAAAAAUUCAGUUGUCAACCUUAAAAAUAAAACUGGAGUCGCCACCGAUCCUUUAUUAAGGUGUGAUCGGCUCACCUAAAACCAAUUUUGGUCUACGAAAUUUGAGAAAAUAGGUUCGGGGGUCAGUUACGCACGAGGAAGGGUUAGCACCCUCGUAACGCCCAAAAAUCGGUACCGAAUUGAUUAUUUAAUGUCUUGGUGUUGAAAAUUUGAAAAGAUUUUAAAAGAAAACUUUUUAUCUCAUGAAUGCAUCAAAAUAAUAAAACAUUCUUAUUUCAAAGAAAUAAAACACCACACCCACUGAGUUAGGGCACAAUAUUUUUAAAUCUUCAAAAUACCGAAUAUUGCCUUUUGCUUUAGAAAUUCUUAUUUCGAGUUAAUAAAAUGUCAUGACCAGUAAGCUAGGACCCGACAUUUUUGAAUUCCCGAAAAUAAGCUUUUACUUGAAAUUUGUGAAUUUAUUGUAAAAUGAAUACUUGGCUUUCUAAAUUCAUCGAAAAAUAAUCGCAAUCCAGUAAGUUAAGACACGAUCUUUCUCGAGAAUCAUGAAUGCCAAAUAUUUUGAAAAUUUAUAAAAUAUGAUGAUUUUAAUGCUUUGACAAAACCAAAAUAUAUUUCCCGAAAGGUAUGUUAAAAGUUAAUGUAUAAUAUGAAACAAGAUUUUAAUUUAAGACCAAUAUGAAGAAAUAUUCACAAAUAUAUAUAUAAGUACAAUAUACAAGUAAAUUUACAAAUAUGUGCAUGCAUACAUUUGACACACCUAUACAAAAAUACAAAAAGAUGGGAUGGAAUAUAUAUAUCAAUCAGAAAAAAAAAUGCAUGUAUGUAUUUGAAAAUCGUGAAAAAUAAAAAAAAUAAAAAAUGUAUAUGUGUAUAUAUUUACAAAAUAAAAUGUAUAAGUAUAUAUAUAAUAUAAAGUAUAUAAAAAUAAGAAAAUAAAAUAAGGAUAUAAGGAAAAAUGUAUGUAUAAAUAUAUGCAUGUAUAUAUUAUAUAAAACAAAUGCGUAUGUGUAUGUAUUUUACGAAAAACAUUUUUUGAAAAUGAAAUUCACAAAAUAUAUAUGUUUUGUAAAAAAUAUGAAAGAAAAAAAUAAUAGAAUAUUAUAUAUAUAUAUAAUGCGCAUGUAAAAAAAACCAAUAUAUGUAUAGAUAUAUAUAUUAUAUAAAAAACGUGUGUAAAUGUAUAAGAAUAAUAGAAAAACUAAAAAAAUUAAAAUAACUAAUGAAGGAUUAAAUCAAAAAUAAAAGAAUUUUAAGGGCCGAAUUUAGAAUUAGAAAACACGCGUAUGGACCUAAUCAAAGAGCGCGCAACAAAUGAAGGACCCAAAUAGAAAUUAAUCCAUUCUCUCAAAACGUUGCGCAGCAUUACGGGCCAAUUUGAAACAGAAGUAAAUUAUGCAGCAAAAUUUAAAAAUAAUAAAGAAAUUAAUUUAAAAAACAUUAUAAAAUAGGAGGACCCAUUGCGCAAAUGACCCAAUUUAAAGAAAAUGCGCGGAUCCUGAGAAACAGGUCGAGUCGUCGGGUUUUGGCCUAUACGAUGUCGUUUUGAGGCCAUUGAAGCAGACCCUAAACGACGACGUUUCAUAGCCCUUAUAAAAGCCAAAUUUCCCUUAAAAAAUUUCAUUUUCCUCUUUGAUUCAGAAAAAUAGCAGAGAAGCACUGCUAGGGUUCCUCUUUUAUGCCGCCGCCACCAAUCGAGGCAUACCACAGCCUCCGUCGAUGCCCCGGUCUCCGAUAGCGACGGAGAGGGGCGCUAACUCAGCGGUUCCGGCGAAAAAGGUAUGUUCGUCCCUUUUCUUUAUAUUUUAAACAAAAAUAAAUAAAAAGAAAAGGAAACUAUAUAGAAAAAAAUAUGUAUAUAUGAAAAAAAAAUAAAAGAAUGUUAAUCCCCAACAAGGUAAAACAGAGGGAAAAAAACACCUUCCUAUUUCAAAAGAAAAUUUGUAUUUCUUUUGGUUUUUUCCUCGGUCUACUCUUUCCCCGUAUUUUAGUAUCUCUUCCCCUCCAAAAAAAAUCCCCCCUUUUACAGAUUUUCCACGGCUUUAAAUAGCCGAAAUGGAAAAAAAAAUAAAGAAAAUAAAAAAGAGAUAUAUUCUAUUUUUUGUUGGCGUAAUUUUUGCUAUUCUGUUUGUGUUUGUUGCUGCAGGUUCUGCUGGAGGAGAACGUGCGCGGAGCGGCAGGCACGACGUGCGGGAGCGGUUGCACGAUGUACGGCGCUUGCAGAGGGGUGGUGCGUAGGGUGAUGCGGCGCUGGGGCCAAAGCUGCUAGCUGCUGAAGGUUCUAGGGUUUAGUUUUGGGCUGGAUCGGUUAUUGUUUGGGUAAUUGGGCUCAGGUGGGUAUUAGGCCUGUAACAUGAGACUGCUUAUUUUUUGUUUUGUAAGGGCCCGGGUAAAUUGGGCUUAUUACUGUUGCCCCUCUUUGCUUGUUGUCGUGUAACGAGAACAGAGCAAAGACUGAAGUGCCCAGUUGUGCCCAGUCUUACUAAGCUUCGAUUUCUUUAGUGCUUUUAUUCUUCAGGUAGCCUUAUUCCUUCCUACUACUUCUUCAGAGGUAUAGGAACUGGUGCUCCAAUCUACUCCACUGAAAUGUCGGAGAGAUAGAAUUCAUACGUUGUAGCUUCUCAAAAAAAACAAAAUUUGCUAUCUUUAAUCUGCUCCACUGCAACCUCAGGGAGAUAAGACUUAUAGUUUCAACUUGUUCUGCUACAACUUAAAAAAUAAAUCUUAACGUGAUCUGCUCUACUGCAACUUCAGAGAGAUGAGAUCUGCGGUUUUAAUCUACCCCAUUGCAACUUCAAGAAGAUAGGGUUGCUUCUAUUUGCUCCACUGCUACUUCAGGAAGAUAAGACUUGUAUCUUCGAUCUACUUCACUGCUGAUACAGGAAGACAAUAUCUGCUUUCUUCGAUCUACUUUGCCACCAGUAUGGGAAGAUAAGAUCUGCUAUUUUUUAUCUACUUCACGCCAAUACAUGAAUAUAAGAUCUACUUUCUUCGAUCUACUUCGCCACUAGUAUGGGAAAACAAGAUCUGCUAUCUUCGAUCUACCUCACGCCAAUACAUGAAGACAAGAUCUGCUUUCUUCGAUCUACUUCACGCCAAUACAUAAAGACAAGAUCUGCUUUCUUCGAUCUACUUCACGCCAAUACAUGAAGAUAAGAUCCGCUUUCUUCGAUCUACUUCAUGCCAGUACAUGAAGACAAGAUUCGCUUUCUUCGAUCUACUUCAUGCCAAUACAUGAAGACAAUAUUUGUUUUCUUUGAUCUACUUCGCCACCAGUAUGGGAAGACAAGAUCUGCUAUAUUUGAUCUACUUCACGCCAAUACAUGAAGAUAAGAUCUACUCUCUUUGAUCUACUUCACGCCAAUACAUGAAGACAAGAUCAGCUUUCUUCGAUCUACUUCACGCCAAUCCAUGAAGACAAGAUCUAUUUUCUUCAAUCUACUUCACCACCAGUAUGGGAAGACAAGAUCUGCUGUAUUUGAUCUACUUCACGCCAAUACAUGAAGAUAAGAUCUACUUUCUUUGAUCCACUUCACGCCAAUACAUGAAGACAAGAUCCGUUUUCUUCGAUCUACUUCACCACUAGUAUGGGAAGACAAGAUCUGCUAUCUUUGAUCUACUUCACGCCAAUACAUGAAGAUAAGAUCUGUUUUCUUCGAUCUACUUUGCCACCAGUAUAGGAAGACAAAAUUUGCUAUCUUUGAUCUACUUCACGCCAAUACAUGAAGACAAGAUCUGUUUUCUUCGAUCUACUUCGCCACCAGUAUAGGAAGACAAGAUCUGCUAUCUUUGAUCUAUUUCACGCCAAUACAUGAAGACAAGAUCUGUUUUCUUGGACCUACUUCACGCCAAUACAUGAAGACAAGAUCUGCUAUCCUUUCUACCUGCUCCACUGCAACUCAGGGAGAUAAGGCUUUAUGAUUUCACCAAUCUAUUCUCUGCGGAACAUGACCAGUAUGAUUUAUUUUAUGAACCUAAUUAUGCCUAGUGAAUAGGAUGUCAUGAUCAAAUGAUAACUAGAUGUGUAUGAAUGACAUUUGAAUGAAUGUAGAAUGUCAUAAAAAUGAUAUUUUAACGCUUGAGUUAUCAUUACUCCAAGUUUAUUAAGGUCUUAUCGCUUAAUGUACUAUAGCGCCUUUAUGCUCCACUGGCGAACCCAAUAAGCACUUGACCAGAUUGCCCCCCACUGUAAACCUCCAAGUUUGAUCCACUGGGAUGCAAAAUUUGUACCAUCUUUCUCCCGUUGUAACCCAAGAGUAAAAAGAUUCAGCCUUUUCUCAAUCCUCUGCUAUCACAAUUCAAGGAUACAGGAUGUGAAACUCUUUGGUCUCUUACACCAUUCCCAGGGUGUCAUGCUAAAUGCUCAUGCACAAAUGAAGAAUUUUCUUCUCCAAGAACAACUUCUUAUUAUUAUUCGGUGAUCCUUGCUUGCUUGCUCAUUGAAGCUUUGUCACCAACACGACAUCUCAUCCUUUUGUUCAGUCAAUUUUUUUGACAACAAAAUAUGAAUGGAUAGUCUUAAUUCGGACUCUUCUUUAUCAGAUUUCCAACCUGGUGCGUUCUAAAUAAUAGUCCUGUUUGAGGUUCCUAUAUUAUUCAGAAACUUCUAGAGUAAUAUGCAAAACUUCCUUUGUGAAAGUUUUAUUAGUCCAUUAAUCAUUAUUCUAAUGCAACUUGCUUGCAAAAAAGAUCAUAGAUAAGAAUAGAGUUGGUUCUGAGCAUAGCUCGAAAUGAAUAAGUUGUCUAAGAUAAUAAAGAUGGAUAAUAAAGAAAUUGAUUUAGGAAUGCAUAUAUUGGAAAUGAAUGAAGUGUUCCAAGAAUAACAAAAAAAUAGUAUAAGGAUUAGGUGCCCCAGUUAUCGCAGCUUGAACUUCUCUGUACAGACUUUCUGAAGACCAUUCUAAGUUUAACAUGUGUUUAGGAGAUCUAUAGUACUUCGUCGAUACCCCAAGAUGUCGCCUACCCUUUUUUGUUGAUUCAGGUAUAGCAAGACCACUGCAUGCCCUACUUUGAUCAGUAUUUGAGCUGCUCUGAUUGCCUCAUGCCCCAUUUUGAUCAAUAUUUGAACCGUCCCACUCGGGUUUUCAACUCAAAUCCCCUUUGGCCUCAAGGUACCCUUUGCGGGUUUUCACCUUGGCCUCUCCAUUUUUUCUCUUUUUUUGAUUUUGAUUUUUAUUUUUUUGGACUCAAAGCACCCUUUGUGAGUUUUCACCUUGGCCCCUUUUUUUUUUUAGAAAUCAAAGCGCCAUUUGCGGGCUUUCACCUUGGUUCCUUCUUCUUCUUAAGCAAAGUAUUUAUUGACUGAAUCUGAGUUUAUAGGACAAGGCAGGUUUUUUACCAUCCAUCUCACUCAAGAUUAAUGCUCCUCCAAAAAAAACCCUUUUUACAAUGUAAAGUCCUUCCAAAUUUGGCAUCUAUUUUCCUCUGAAAUCCUUCUGAAGAGGAAGAAUAUUUUCAACACUAGGUCCCCCUCGUGAAACUCUCUAGGCCGAACCUUUUUGUUGUAUGCUUGCGUCAUUUGUUUCUAGUAUAUCUGACCGUGAUAUCGAGAUUGGGUCUAUUCUGCUUCAUCUAACUUCAGCUCAGCCAAUACCUAGAGAUAAAGAAUUUUGACUUCAAAUGGAUAAAACUGUGGUAAACUAAAGAGAAAGGCGUUGCCUCGGUAAAGAAUUUUCACUGCAUCGUUUAUAAUGUUGAUCUUGGAUAUACUGUAGAUUUUUGAUGUCGUACUGCUGUUCAGAUUACAAUCACAAUGCUUAACCCGGACAUAUCCUGGUAUGACUAUGUGAAGAUAUCUUUGAACUCUUGAGGUAACUCAACAAGGUCUUGUUUUGUUUCUCCGAUUAUGCACAUUCCCUUAAGGUCACAAUCUCCACUGUCUCCUCAGGAGGUAAAAUUUCCUUUCUGCUCUACCAUCCUCAACAAGUCCGGAGAUAAGCUACUAUCUAUGGCAUCUUCAAAGUCAUGAGAUCCCUCUCAACAUAUGUCUCACUCAAAAGGAGAUUCUAAGUCUGUAGCAGCGACACUCAAGUCAUUGAUAUCUGGGGACCCAUAGUAGGUACCAAAGAAUAUACACAAGAAUGUAUGAAUAAUAUGAAUGAAUGAAUGGUUUGGUAGGGAAAAAAUCCAAAAGAAUGAAAGAAUCGUAAAGAAUAAAAGAACAUUUACUCAAAGAUGAUUUCAAUAAUGUAUUUCAUUAAAAAUAAUAAUGCUCAGACACGAGCCUAUUUCACAAAGAAGUUCUUAUUGCUUCUAGGCUAAAAGUAACAAGUGUGUUCUGAACAUUACUCUACCAGACUCUAAAUAAUAUAGGGGUUUCCUUUGCAGUCUCAUUGCUUAUAACACCUCCCAGGCGAAUAUCUAACAAGGACAUUUUUAUUUGUGUCUGCAUAUAUGGCAUCGAUAUGAAAACCUCACACUUCUUCAUACAUUGCAUUCCCUCCAUCAUCCAUCAUGAUUGGGUAGCGGAUUUCCUGCACUAGAUGGGUCACCAAACUUGACAACACCCAUGUCGAUGAGUCUUUCAACUUGCUUCUUGAAGGUAGUGCAAUUCUCAAUUGAGUGUCCUAUAAUUCCUGCAUGGUAUUCACAUUGUGCGUUCACAUCAUACCAUUUGGGAUACGGAGGUUGUAGAGGCUUCACAUGAAAAGGGGAAACAACACGUGCAUCAAAUAAAUUUUAAUACAGUUCCCUAUACGACACCGAAAUUGGCAUGAAUUGGAGCCUCUCAGUGUUUUGUCUUGUACCAGCUUCCUGUCUCGAUGAACUUUGUUGAUUAGUGGCCACCUUUCUUGACUGACUUACAGUAACUGAUUUAGAGUAACCCGUGUUGUUCACCUCAUCCUCUCUUCUCCUUGAGACUGACCUCUUGUUACUCUCUCCAGCCUCGAUCUUCCCAUUUCUUAUGGCAUUUUCGAUCAUCUCUCCAUUCAUAACUAUAUCAGGAAAGCUUUUUGUAGCACUUCCUAACAUAUGCGUAAUGAACGGUGCCUUCAGUGUGUUAAUAAACAGCAUGGUCAUUUCUUUCUCCAAGAGCGGUGGCUGAACUUGGACCGCGACUUCCCUCCAUCUUUGUGCAUAUUGCCUAAAGCUUUCGCUCAGCUUCUUCUCCAUAUUUUGAAGGGUGAUUCUAUCAGGAGCCAUGUCUGCUACAUAACUAUACUGUUUCAUGAACGCUUGGGCCAAAUCCCUCCAUAAACCAAUCGUGGUACGACUCAGUUGAUUGUACCACUUAGAUGCUGCCCUGCAAGGCUAUCCUGGAAACAAUGUAUCAAGAGCUGGUCAUUGUUAACAUAUCCCGCCAUUCACCUGCAGAGCAUGGUGAUAUGAGCUUCUGGGCAGCUUGUCCCAUUGUACUUUUCAAACUCAGGCAUCUUAAACUUAUGAGGGAGUACUAAAUCUGGGACUAAAAUCAGCUCUUUAGUGUCAAUACCUCGAUAACUUUCAGUGACCUCCAUUGUCUUGAGCUUUUCCUCGAGCCACUUGCACAUUUCCUCUAACUGUUUCGGUAACUCCUCCUUCAUUCUUUCCUUCUCAGCCACUUCAUCAAAGUCAGGAAUGGUAGAGUUAACAAGGUUAUUUUCAGGAUUAGAGCCCGAUCUAGCUUGGAAGUUUGAAACACCAGCUUGAAACUGCUGAGGCAUGAUGGUGACAGUAGAUCUAUGCGGGUCUUCAGCUUGAGUUCGCACAUGUGGAGGAGUAAAUCCUGGAGGAUAGAGUGGUUUAUCCUCAUUACCCUCUUCAACAUCAGCCAUAAGACCCUUUCCUUUAUCACCUCCUCCAGUCAACAGUUUGAUUAGCUUUGCCAUCAUAGUAUUUUGGGAUUCCUGCAUCUUCUCCGACAUAUCCUGUUGCAUCUUGUCCAACCAUUCCUGCACUUGUAGCUGAAGUCGGUCUUGCAUUUCUUUCUGGUACUGCUGCUCGAGCUUUUCCAAUCUCUGAUCCAUGUCUUUAAUCUUUGCUCGAGUGCCGUAUCGGUGUUUGGUUGGUUGGUUGGUUUCCAGGUUAACUGAGCAAUGAUUUAGUUAAUUAGGAUCAUUUAGCGAUGUUUAAUGCAUAUGAUGUAAUGUAAUGCAAAUGCAUAAAAUGAAUGCAAAAAGAGACGUUGAUUCACGUUCAAUUCUUUACUAGAAAACUUCACUAGAAAAUAAAUCUCUUUACAUAAAGCGGAUAUAUAUAUACGGCUUCACCCUUGUACUCCAAGCGAAGACAUCGACCAUUCGGAUAUUAAGAUGCAUCUCGCGAAUUUGAUCUCCUUUUUGUUUGAUUUAGGUCGUAAAUCCUUGCUCAUUCACGUUCAUUAGCUUCUUUAUGAGAUUGGGACCUUUGCUGACUUUUGAAUAAACUUUGACAAUUUGGAUCCUCAGGUCAUGCAGGAAAGUCGUAUACUCCUCUUGUUAGGCUUUUCGUGCCAUGUUUUCUUCAGACCACCGUAUUAUCUUCCACCUUAUAGAGAAACCCAUAUUCCAUAACAAGCUUUCUAAUUUAGUAAUCGAACUCAAAUCAACACCGCUUUUCUAAGAUGCAAAUGUAAUGCAAUCAUGAUGUCAUGCAAUCAAAACAAAAUAAACCCAAGUCAGUAUCACACCAAAAAGAUAUAAUCCAAUACAAACAUAAAAUAGCAAGAACAUUUAUUCAGGAAUCCACUAGGGUUUGGUAUAGCUCUACCUAGAGCAAGUUCCUAAAGCUCACUAUAUGAGGCUUAGUUUCUAAAGUAAGGGUACCCGAACAAGCAGAUUCCUCGAUCCUCACCCAUUAUACGCUCAUGUGGAUCGAGUUCAAUUCAGGGGGAUACAUUUCCCUAUGGCUGCACGGAGAUGAAAAUCUCACGAAGACAUAGGUACGGAUGUAUCCCAAAAGCGGUCCCCUACCCUGCACGGAGAUGAAAACCUCAUGAAGGACUAGUUUCUCGCUCCCACUUAAAGGGUAAAACUAACCAUGUAAUGCAAAAUGUAAAUGCAAAUACAAAGUUGCUAACACCAUGAUGGAAAAAAAAAUCAAUGAGUAUGAAGGGAACUCAUGAAUUUUUUUUAAAAACUUUUGAUUUCCGACACAAAGACAAACAUAAUCAGUUUAUGGCUCGACUCUCUAAAGUCCCCAAUGGAGUCGCCAAGCUGUCGGAACCAUCUUUUUGUAAAACAAAAAUUCAGUUGUCGACCUUAAAAAUAAAACUGGAGUCAUCACCGAUCCUUUAUUAAGGUGUGAUCGGCUCACCUAAAAACAAUUUUGGUCUACGAAAUUUGAGAAAAUAGGUUCGGGAGUCAGUUACGCACGAGGAAGGGUUAGCAUCCUCGUAACGCCCAAAAAUCGGUACCGAAUUGAUUAUUUAAUGUCUUGGUGUUGAAAAUUUGAAAAGAUUUUAAAAGAAAACUUUUUAUUUCAUGAACGCAUCAAAAUAAUAAAAUAUUCUUAUUUCAAAGAAAUAAAACACCGCACCCAGUGAGUUAGAGCACAAUAUUUUUAAAUCUUCAAAAUACCGAAUAUUGCCUUUUGCUUUAGAAAUUCUUAUUUCGAGUUAAUAAAAUGUCAUGACCAGUAAGCUAGGACCCGACAUUUUUGAAUUCCUGAAAAUAAGCUUUUACUUGAAAUUUGUGAAUUUAUUGCAAAAUGAAUACUUGGCUUUCUAAAUUUAUCGAAAAAUAAUCGCAAUCCAGUAAGUUAGGACAUGAUCUUUCUCGAGAAUCAUGAAUGCCAAAUAUUUUGAAAAUUUAUAAAAUAUGAUGAUUUUAAUGCUUUAACAAAACCAAAAUAUAUUUCCCGAAAGGUAUGUUAAAAGUUAAUGUAUAAUAUGAAACAAGACUUUAAUUUAAGACCAAUAUGAAGAAAUAUUCACAAAUAUAUAUAUAAGUACAAUAUACAAGUAAAUUUACAAAUAUGUGCAUGCAUACAUUUGACACACCUAUACAAAAAUACAAAAAGAUGGGAUGGAAUACAUAUAUCAAUCAGAAAAAAAAAUGCAUGUAUGUAUUUGAAAAUCGUGAAAAAUAAAAAAAAUAAAAAAUGUAUAUGUGUAUAUAUUUACAAAAUAAAAUGUAUAAGUAUAUAUAUAAUAUAAAGUAUAUAAAAAUAAGAAAACAAAAUAAGGAUAUAAGGAAAAAUGUAUGUAUAAAUAUAUGCAUGUAUAUAUUAUAUAAAACAAAUGCGUAUGUGUAUGUAUUUUACGAAAAACAUUUCUUGAAAAUGAAAUUCACAAAAUAUAUAUGUUUUGUAAAAAAUAUGAAAGAAAAAAAUAAUAGAAUAUUAUAUAUAUAUAAUGCGCAUGUAAAAAAAACCAAUAUAUGUAUAGAUAUAUAUUAUAUAAAAAACGUGUGUAAAUGUAUAAGAAUAAUAGAAAAACUAAAAAAAUUAAAAUGACUAAUGAAGGAUUAAAUCAAAAAUAAAAUAAUUUUAAGGGCCGAAUUUAGAAUUAGAAAACACGCGUAUGGACCUAAUCAAAGAGCGCGCAACAAAUGAAGGACCCAAAUAGAAAUUAAUCCAUUCUCUCAAAACGUUGCGCAGCAUUACGGGCCAAUUUGAAAUAGAAGUAAAUUAUGCAGCAAAAUUUAAAAACAAUAAAGAAAUUAAUUUAAAAAACAUCAUAAAACAGGAGGACCCAUUGCGCAAAUGUCCCAAUUUAAAGAAAAUGCGCGGAUCCUGAGAAAACGGGUCGAGUCGUCGGGUUUCGGCCUAUACGACGUCGUUUUGAGGCCAUUGAAGUAGACCCUAAACGACGACGUUUCAUAGCCCUUAUAAAAGCCAAAUUUCCCUUUAAAAAAUUCAUUUUCCUCUUUGAUUCAGAAAAAUAGCAGAGAAGCACUGGUAGGGUUCCUCUUUUAUGCCGCCGCCACCAAUCGAGGCAUGCCACAGCCUCCGUCGACGCCCCGGUCUCCGAUAGCGACGGAGAGGGGCGCUAACUCAGCGGUUUCGGCGAAAAAGGUAUGUUCGUCCCUUUUCUUUAUAUUUUAAACAAAAAUAAAUAAAAAUAAAAAGAAACUAUAUAGAAAAUAUAUAUAUAUAUAUGUAUAUAUGAAAAAAAAUAAAAGAAUGAUAAUCCCCAACAAGGUAAAACAGAGGGAAAAAAACACCUUCCUAUUUCAAAAUAAAAUUUGUAUUUCUUCUGGUUUUUUCCUCGGUCUACUCUUUCCCCGUAUUUUAGUAUCUCUUCCCCUCCAAAAAAAAUCCCCCCCUUUUACAGAUUUUCCACGGCUUUAAAUAGCCGAAAUGGAAAAGAAAAGUAAACAAAAUCAAAAAGAGAUAUAUUUUGUUUUUUGUUGGCGUGAUUUUUGCUAUCUUGUUUGUGUUUGUUCCUACAGGUACUGUUAGAGGAGAACGCGCGCGGAGCGGCGGGCACGACAUGCGGGAGUGGUUGCGCGAUGUGCGGCGCUUGCAGUGGGGUGGUGCGUAGGGAGAUGCGGCGCUGGGGCCAAAGCUUCUAACUGCUGAAGGUUCUAGGGUUUAGUUUUGGGCUGGAUCAAUUAUUGUUUGGGUAAUUGGGCUCAGGUGGGUAUUAGGCCUGUAACAUGGGACUGCUUAUUUUUUUGUUUUGUAAGGGCCCGGGUAAAUUGGGCUUAUUACAAAGUAGAUAUAGAAAUUUUUUUAAAAAAAACACAUACUUGUGUUGCAACCGCCAUUUCUCACUUGCUCGUCUGCAAAGCAUCUGGAAUUACAAAAAAAAUAAUAAUAAUGAAAAUUUUAAAAAUAAUGAAAAAAAACACAGUGAAACAGAAUUAACAAAGGAAGUGAGCAAUUAGAGAAUGAUCGCAAAAUGCAGGAAAAAGAAAAAAGAUAGCAAGAAAACAACGAUGGAAUCAAAUCUAAAAUACCUUUGGGAGAUGUUUUCUUCUUGAAGAUCUUCAACAUGAGAUUAACUUCACUGAUUUAUCCUUCAAAAACAAACAAAAACCCUAGGAAACCAAUAGCAAUGUGAGAGCAAUAGCACUUCUAGUGAGGGAGAGACAUGGGCAUCCAUAACCCUGCAACCCAGAAAUAACCAAACAUCUUGCUUGGUUUCCACUUCAAGGAACAAAUAAGCUAAAAACCAAAACCUGCAUAGGAAUAAACUUGAUAGUACCACCAGAAAUACGAAGAGCACCAAGUUUGGGAACAAUUUGGAAUGGAAACUUUUAACAUGUUUCAUCUUCUUAAAGAGGGUCAAACAAUAAUAUAAAAGGAAAUCAAAAUGGGAGUAGAGUUACUUGAGGGACGACUGCUCACAUCGAACCAAUCCGAUUGUUUCUUUUCUCAAGUUUCCACCUCAUACGAUUCGUAACUGAAGGCCUUGUUGAGGGUUGUUAGGGUUUGUCAAAGGGUUGGUCAGGAUAGAAGCAUGAAAAAGAGAGAGAAGGUUGGAAGGAAAUGGGAAGAAGAAUGAAAAAAAGAGGCCACCGAAUUGGGGGAAUGUAUUUUUAUUCCCCCAACCAAACAUGCUGUAAGAGUUUUAGGCACCAAUUAAAUUUUAGCAUAUCAUCACAAUGUAAAGAAACUAAAUUAUUAUUAUACUCUCAUCUAUAGAGAAAUUAUCUUAUUAUCCUUUCCACCACACUAUUCAUGGUCCCUUUCAACAAAUUUUUUCACGUUAAUAACACAUAAUUUUGAUAAUUUUCUUACUUUGAACCUUGACUUUAGAAUCUUGAACCCCAAACUUGAACUUAACACCCCAAAUUCUUAAACCUUAAACACAAACCCAAAUCAUUGAACCUUAAACUCAUACCAUAAACCUCGAAUCUUUAAACCAUCAACCUAAACUUUGAACCCUAAAUCCAAAACCGAACCUCGAACCUUAAAUUUUAAACCCAAAUCCUGAAUCUCAGGGUUCGAGAUUUAAGAUUCAAGGUAAAAUAAUUAUCAAAAUUAUGUGCCAAUGACAUGAGAAAAUUACACAAAAAUUACAAUUUUUUUAAAAUUUGGUUGCAUAAAAAAACGAACUUAUGAAAAUAAAACAAAAUGAUUAAAAUUUUCAAAAAAAUGAUUGUUUAUAAUUAAAAAAUUUAUUACUUUAAAUAAUUUAAUUUAAUUUAAUUUAAUUUAAUUUGAAGAAGAUAUUAAAUAAACAUAAAUAUAUAAUAAUACUUUAUUAUCUUUAAAAUUUAAUGUCGUAAUAUUAUUUUAUUAAUAUUUAAAAAUUAUACUUUUUAGUAUCAUCUAAAAGAAAAAGAGAGAAGUAAACUAAAAAAGGAAAAAUCAAUUGAAGUAAUACACAUCAUGUAUUUUUUUUAUAAAAGGGAGCGUAUAAAAUUAUGAUUUCAUAUUAUUUUAUCUCUUUUUAAUAAGAAAAUAAUAAUUUAUAUUUUUUCUCCUAUUUUUAUAUAUUUUUCUCUUAAAAAAUUUAAUUUAAUUAAAAAAAUUAAAAAUUAACGAGAAAAAUCUAAUUUAAGAAUAAAAAUGACUUGUAAUUACAAUUUCGUACCGAUCCUUAUGCGUAUGGAAUUGGAAAUCUUGAUUUAUGUCUACGAUGAUAUAUAUUAAUAAUUUCUGCAUUCAAGACGGGCGUUUACUCUUUCAAUAAUUUCAACAAUUUAAAGUAAGAGAGUCAGGUUACCUGUCUUUUUCCGCGCAAACCCUGAUUCCAGACCUUGGCCAUUUUUAAUUUGGGUACAGGGUACUUGUAAAAUAAUUUCUUCAUCAGUUCCAAAAAUAGAAGACGGAAAUACAAUAAUUCCUAUGGCAGCCGUGUGGUCUCUUCUCAUGCUCCUUUCUUCAUUCUUUGUGGCUAGAGGAGUUGAAGACGAGCAUUCAAACGGCACCAUUGGGCUGGGAUAUUCGCUUUCCCCCUUAACUCCACCCACCUCAUUGGCUUCGCCUUCUGGUCGUUUCGCAUUUGGUUUUUACAGUCAAGGCAAUGGCUUUUCAAUUGGAGUUGGCUGGAGGGAAAUAGAAAGACAGAUAACAAAGUUGUAUGGACAGCAAACCGUGAUGACCCGCCGCUCCAUGCAACUGCUACUCUGACACUAAACGAGAAAGGUUUGCUUCUUUCGAGCGGUGUGAGCGGAGAAAAUAAAGUUAUUGCUUAUCCAAAUGACUCGGCUGUCAGCGUCUUCUCUGCCUCCAUGCUAGAUUCAGGCAAUUUUGUGCUCUACAACAAUGUCAAUCAUACCAUUUGGGAGAGUUUCGAGCAUCCUACAGAUACCCUUUUAGGUGGUCAGGCUCUAUUAACUAAUCACGAGUUGAUCUCCAGUUCUUCAGAAAAUGAUCACUCGUCCGGAAGGUUUCAUCUAUAUAUGCAACUAGAUGGGAAUCUUGUUCUAUACCCUCUACAAGUCGAUGAUGCUGUUAUAACUGCCUAUUGGGCCACAGCUACUAGUGGUGUGAAUCGUUCACUCCGAUUAUUUCUUAACUCGACAGGCUUCCUACAACUUAUCAACAACACUGAUUCCUCCAUCUACCUAGAAAUUAAUUCUGGAUUUUAUCCAGAGGUGAGCUACAAUGACCACAACGAGAACACCAGCAGCAGCAGCAACGACAGUAUCGUUCACAGUGCAAGCCUUGAUGUUGAUGGAAAUUUCCAGUUAUAUACUCAUCAAUUUGAGCCAAGUGGUGGAUUUCGAACUUCCCUAGUGUCGCGUGCGUUGAAGGAUUACUGUAAAGUUGUAGGCUUUUGUGGUAUCAAUAGCUAUUGCACGUUUAAUGAUGACAGAGCUUACUGUGCAUGCCUUCCCGGCACUGAUUUUAUCGAUCCUCAACGCAAUACCCUCGGCUGCAAGAGAAAUUAUAGUGAAGGACAUUGUAAAGGAGGGAAGGACAAUAUACCCCUUUAUAACAUCACUCCAUUGCAAAAUAUAGUAUGGACUAAAGGUAUAUUUUACAGUGAAGAGCUAAUGUCCAUGAGUGCCUGCAGCCAAACAUGCUUGGAAGACUGUAAUUGUGAGGCAUCACAGUUUAGCGAUGGAGUUUGCAGGAAACAAAAGCUUCCACUAUGGCAUUUGCUACGACAACAAGGUGAUAAUGACGUGAGUUCCACAGUUUUCUUGAAGAUGGGAAUCAGAAGCCUAGAAGCAGAUGACGGUACUGUUCCCCAUGAAUUAAAGCCCCAAAUCAAAGGGAAAGAUCUGACGCUGAAAAUUCUUCUUUUAACUUUCAGUCUUGUCGCAUGUUCAUGUGCUUUGCUUGCAAUCUCUGGUGUAUUCAUUUUUAAAUUUCGAGUUCUAAGAUACAAAAGGCUGUUGGAAAUUGGAAAUUUGGGCCUAACCGGAGAGCUUACGUUGACGUCGUUUUCAUACAAUGAACUCAAGAGAGCAACGAAUGGGUUUAAAGAAGAGUUGGGUAAGGGAUCCUUUGGAGCAGUCUACAAAGGGUCCUUAAACAGAGGAAGAAAUUUGAUUGCAGUAAAGCGAUUGGAGAAGUUAGUGGAAGAAGGAGAAAGAGAGUUCCAAGCAGAAAUGCGAGCAAUUGGCAGAGCUCACCACAAGAAUUUAGUUCGACUUUUGGGAUACUGUGCUGAGGACUCCAAGAGGGUGUUGGUGUACGAGUACAUGGGCAAUGGCUCUCUUGCUGAUCUACUGUUCAAGUCAAGACAGCGCCCUGAUUGGGAUGAAAGAACAAGAAUAGCCCUGGAUGUAGCUAGAGGAAUCCUCUAUUUACAUGAGGAGUGUGAGACCCCAAUCAUUCACUGUGACAUAAAGCCGCAAAACAUAUUGAUGGAUGAUUAUUGGAGAGCUAAAAUUUCAGACUUCGGGCUGGCAAAACUGUUGAUGGGGGAUCAUACAAGGACCUUCACAGUAGUGAGGGGAACUAGAGGAUACAUGGCCCCAGAAUGGCAUAAGAAUGUUCCAAUCUCAGCGAAGGCUGACGUUUACAGUUACGGAAUUGUGCUAUUGGAAACUGUGUUUUGCAGACGAAACUUGGACAUCACUGUAUCAAACCCAGAGGAGAUCAUUCUGUCGAUUUUGGUGUAUAAAUGUCUGGUUGAAAAAAAGUUGGAUAAGCUUGUGCUUGGUGAAGAAGUAGAUAAGAAAAGCUUGGAAAGAAUGGUGAUGGUGGCACUUUGGUGUAUCCAAGAUGAACCUGCACUUCGUCCUUCCAUCAAGACUGCAGUGAUGAUGCUGGAAGGCAUUACUGAUAUAUGCAUUCCCCCAUGUCCAACUGCUUCCUCCAUAUAAUUCAAGUCACGUCCUAACAAUCAAUCAUCUCACUCAGAGUGUUCGUGUAGUUCAUGUUACGUAAGGACUGCGCCAUGUUUGUAUUUCCUCUGGCUUGUAAUAAAUUUGUAAAAUGCUUCCUGCAGCAGUGUUCUCCCAUCAUUUGUAGGUUUAAAAAUUGUGUUCGAGUUAUCUAAUCAUAUAGUAGUUGUAUGUAAUAACUGAGUUUUACUGUAAUUUCUAAUUAAUAAUCUCCUAUUGCUCAAAAUGGUAAAAAACUUGCAAAAGGGUCAUGUAAGCAAAGCCAUUAUGUGUAUGCUAGGACUAAUAAGUCCUUUUGUCUUGGACUUGUUAUGAUCUCAUUAGACAGGAUGUUAGGAAACUGAAUAAUCAUUUUUAAGCAGAGAGAUUGUGCAUUAGAAUAACAGCAUCCAAGAGCAAAACCAGAACUCAGAGGCUGUGACUGUAGAACAUGUUCCGGCAAAGGUACAUGAGAAUUAUCAACUUAGGUGAUAUUGGUAUAUUUGCACAUAUGUGCAGCGCUAUGGUUUGAAAGACGACGACGACGACUACUACUACAUGCCAUACAGCUGAAGCCAUCUUCCUCUUUUUGUGAUCAUAUGAGUAUAUGUACAAUACAAGUUUUCGGUUAAGGCCCAGAAACAAUACCAACAAUGUCCAUCCAUGGCAGCCCAUCUAUAUAACCAGGAAGGAACUAAUGUCCUAGAAAAACGGUUAAAUUUUAAUUUAAUCCCUCUAUUAUGCUUAAAUUUGAGAUUGAAUCUCCAUACUUUGGUCCUUUUAUUUUUGUAAUGUUAUUAAUAAGGUCCAAAUAACUAAUAUAAUUAACUUUUAAUUUAAGAUGAUAUGUGUUUAUAUAUAAUUUAAAUGUCCUAAGGGUAUCAAAGACGAACACAUGUCUUUCCAUUUCUUUUGGAUUUGUCUUCUUUCCUUUUUUGACAUUAUAAGACAAUGAUCAAACUUCAAUUUUAGCUCCUAUAGUAUGUUGAAACUUGAUAUUUGAUUUACACACUUUAAUUUUUUAUAUAAUUUGGUACUUCUAUUUUUAUAAUGUCAUUAGUUAGUUUAAAUACUUAAUAUUGUUAACUUAACGAUAUUAAGUAUUUUAAUCAGAAUGCUUAAAUCAAUUUUUCUUAAGAACAGCAUGCCAACAAAAAAAGUAUUAUUUUAUAAUGAUGAGUUCAAAUAGGUGUUUUUAAGAAAAAAAAAUUCACAUAAACAUUUUCAAUGUUAAUUUUUAUUGUUAUACAACUACCAAGUGAUUUUUUUAAAAAAUUUCAAAAUGUCAAGCCAAUGAAUUUAAUAUAAGAAUUUUAAUUGUGGUACAACUUGACUUAAAAGCUUAAACCCGAAAGGUAUGGGGACACAAUUUUUGAAAAUAAAAGUAGAGGGACUAAAUUCCAAAUGUAUGAAGUGUAUAAAAACUUAGAGUAUAUUUUAACUUUCAAGGUUUUACUCCAUUUUUCUGGUCGAAACCAUAAUAUUUACCAUUGGUAAGCGUAACUAAACUUCCUCACCACAAGUGCUCUCUAAAAAAAUAAACCGUUGGUGAUGAAAUGUGAUUCAUUCACUUUAAAUGCAUAUUUUUUUUACUCCAUUCGAGUAUGAAAUUAAAAGGUAAACUACACAAACUAUAAUAAACUAUAAAAAAAUCAUUUUAGACACAAAAAAUAAAAUAUAUGUAAUUUAGUCACUCGUAUUUUAAUCACUCCCAUUAAAAUGGAAGAUGGACGUCCACGUGGAACUUUUUUAAAAAUUUUAUUAAUAUUUAAUAAUUUCCGACUAAUAAAUUUUUUCCACGUCUGAAAUUCUUUUAGCCUAAACCUAAGCUAAUAGUGAAACUAAGGAAAAAUUUUCUUCAUUCUAGUGCUAGAAAAAAAAUUGCAGUCACCCUUUCCCUUUCUCGCCCAAUCUCAGCCUCAACCACCUCCCUCUCUAGUUUCUCAUGCUCUGCUUUGGCUUCCUUGAUGUGCCUCAUCCCGGCUUGCCACCCCAAGCUUUUUAUAGUGGAGGUCAGUUUGGGGUAGCUCUUUAGCUCCGAGGCUCGGUUUUAAAAAUUUUAAAAUAGUAAAGGUAAAAUUAUAUUUUAGUCUUUUUAAAAAUGAAAAUUUUUGAUUUAAUCUUUUAAAAAUUAUAAAAAUAUAAACUAAUUAAUGGUGAAAAAAAAAUUUUGCUAUCAUAAAAAUUACAAUUUAAUUUUAACCCCUUAAUUUUUUUUCUAAAUUUGACCCUGUUAUAUAAAUUACCUAAAACCUAAAUUAAAUGAUAGGUUAAUUUUAAAAUAUUGUUUAUUGUUAAUACAAAAGGGUUGGGAGGAAAGAUAACAUAAAUCAUACUCCACCUUUGCACUAUAUAUUAUACAUGCUUUCUUUAUCAUCAUAAUUUGACAGAUAUAAUACAAAGCAAGUCAAGUCAAGUCUUGUGAAAUAUUGAUAGAAUAAAGCAGGCUUUGUGGGAGACUUAUUUGGUUAUGGUUUAACUUAACAUAUGCUUUUGGCUUGGAGUGAAAUAACAUAAGAUUGAAUACUGAUAUUUUAUCUUCUUGUGGAUGAUAUUAUUAACCAUAUGGCGUGGACGGUAGGCUAGGGAAUUUUUUACUCUUUAUGUCAUCCAUAUUUACCAUUGAUAACCACAAUAAUUUAUUUUUUAAUAUAAACAUGACUUAUAAAAUUUCAACCACUUCACAUUAAAAUAAAUCUGUGGUAAUUUAAAGAUUAAAAGAUGUUAUAUAUUCAAAUAAGAAUUAAAAGAUAGUGUUGGUUUGAAUAGGUUAUGAGACAUAAGUAAUGUUUGGAAGAAGUGACUAAUUAAGUGGAUAUUUUUUCAAGCUCUGCGUUAACAGGAAUAUAAUAGGAGAUAACAAAAAGUUUGCUUACACAGCUCGCGGAGCCUAGCUCUGUGAGAAGUAUCCGCUAUCUCCAAACAAUUUCAGCUAAUUACCCUAAAUUUAUCACACCCAAGUGACAAUUUCCUCACUUUUGUACUUUUGAAUAUUAGAACCCUCGCCACUAAAUUCACCCCUGUGAACUAAGCAUGUAAAACCACAACCCAAAGGAUUUACAAUCAAAUGCACUCUUACAAAUAAUGCUCUUCACUUGAACAGAUUAAGUGCUCUCGAUUCUCAAACAUAAUCCUAUACAAGUCUCUCAAUUAUAUAGAGUUGUUCGAGACUUGCUAACAUAGAGAAGAUCUAUAACAAUCUCUAUAAAACAAUCACUAUUUAAGUUGAAUAAAAUAUAAUAAUAGCAAACAAGGUAAACAAGAACUGUUGGUAAACAAGAACUGUUGGUAGAUAAGUUGAAUAAAAUAUAAUAAUAAAAUAUAAGUCUUUAAGGGAUUAGAUAAGUAUGAUUCGAUUCGAUUCGAUCCAACCCUCUUUAUACAUUUCCUCAAGUGAUAUAAUCUUCAUUGGUGGGCUAGAUACGAUCCACAAUCUCAAUAUAACCAAAAUAUCCAGCUCAGUAAAUUGCCAACAACUCAAAUAUGGAAAUAGCCUAAUCUGUUGUAGUUGGCCAAGGAGUGGGCACUCUCUCAGACACUUCUUCAGUUUUUCUAUAUUUUCAGCAAUCUCCUCAUUUGGAAAUUUUUUGAACAAAGCACAAACAAAGUAGGAAGCUUAAACAUAAAUUAACAACUCGCUCCCUCUUAUUAUAUUUCCUUUUAAUCCAACAAUAAUGAAUCAUGAAAAAUAUAUGCAACUAAAGUAAUCAUCAUUUAUUCACCAAAUGAAAUCCAACCAUUAGAAGUUGCAAAAUCAAGAAACAAACCUCCAAAAACCAUAAGUUCCAAAAAACAACAGUAGCAUCAAUGAAUUUGAUGCAAAAUAUGAAUCUCCCCUAUCAUCAGUAGCUUCCCCUUACUCUCUUUCUCUCUCUUUUUGAUCAACAAGAUUGCCAACUUAUUCUUUGUUAGGAAGGGAUAUUAGAUUAGCACAAAGAGCCUUUUGCCUAUAUAUGAUCUUCUUCAUAGUCUUGGCUUCAAUAAGGAGUCUGGUAAUGUGCCUAUCAUUAGCUUCAAUAAAAGAUGUGAGAUCUUCAAUCAUCACUUUAUGAAUAUCAUAAGGAAUAACCGUGGGGCUUGGAAAAGUUGGCACUUCUUCUUGCUCAACAUCAUCAUAUCAAAAUUACUUCCCCUCAACAGCAACAUCACAUCUCCCCCUCAGUAGAACCCAUCAUAUUUAGACAAUAACAAUUUAGGGCCUUUCUUAUCAUUGUAGGGCUAACUUCAUACCAUUCUCCAUAUAUAAAUGCCUUUUAAUACAACUUACUAUUUUUGUUACUUAAUACUUUGUAGCAAACUAACAUAAAACUUCAUAACAACAUUACAAACACACGACUUGACAUAACUCAUUGACCUUAACAAACCACUUUUUUCCAAUAAGUACAUCUAUGCCAUGACCAACAAACCCUUCAAAAAUAUGAUAAUAGGUUGGAUGAAAUAAUUUGGUAUCAAAGUAUAAUUGGUAAAUUGUGUAAUGUAUAUGUUUACGUAAUACUAAAGGCUAGAAAUGAGUAUAUGUAACUCGUAACUUUGCUAAAAUGACAUAAUUGAGAUAUUGGCUUGGUUGUUUAGGUGUUGCAAAAUGGUACCAUUUGGAUCUUUUGGAAACAGAAAAUUAUGUCACGAUGAGGAAUCAACAAUAAGUUGCAUCAUGACAUGGAAACCCCAAUCGUGACGUCAACUGAUAGUUUGCAAAUGUUAUAUUUUGGUCCUAAUUAGACUUCAAGUUAGCAUAUGAGCUUUCGUAAACUCGUAUUAGACUCGAAUAUUAUUGAAAAAUAUAUUGUGAAAGCAUAAUGUAGUUAGUAGCAUGUGAAAAAGGUUAAAUUGGAUCGGUGUUGCUCUGACAACAAAAGUGGCAUAUAGAGGGGUGCUCCUAGAGGUUGUACCUUGGAGUUUUAGCCAAACCACAAAAGUAGAAAUUUUAAAUUAUGUAUGUAUUAGUAUCAAUUGUUGUGUUUAGUUAAUUUUCUAGAAAGUGAAUUUUAAAUAAUGUUAACCGGUUAUCCAGAAUUUGUAUCAUUCGGAACCUGGACUCGGUGAACGGGUCAGGAAUUGGGUGUUACACAAAGUCCGUGAUGAAUGCACAAAUAGCAUCCCAUAGAGGUUAAUUGAUGAAAUUGGGCUCAUUCGACCCAUUUGAACUGGCCCAAUUCGUAGAACACAUGGAGAAACCCAUAUACUUAAAGCCUUGGUUGCCUAAUGAAACACUUAAUGAAAAUUAGGGUUACCUUGGUAAAUAUGACAAGUAAUCUUAUAAGAUAUAUAAUCUGAUAAGACUUGAUUAUGUAAUAUUAAAGGAUUGUGUAAAACCUUUAAGAAUCUCAAUUGUAGGUAGGCUGUAAUAUUGAUCGUCGAUGUAAUUUAAUUUGUACCAUAGGAUUUGAGGGAGUUUAAAUAUAAAUAGAGGACUCCCCCUCAUUUGUAAUCACUCAAUUGUAAUCCAUCAUAGUAAUUGACUACUAUUGAGAGCAUUUACUCAAACACUUGACGUUUUUUCUUUCUUGUGACUUUUCUAUUCUUUUGUUGUUUUUUCGUUUUGAGUUGUUUCUACUUUAAUUUCUGUGCGUUGGAGAAUUUUAUCGAGAAUUCUCACUUUGUGAAAGUUUGGCUGACUUAAGCAGAUUUGAAGCAAAGAAAUCUCCUAAGGUUGCAUGGAUUGCCAAACUAAAGUUCUAGCCCCGUGACAAAGACAGAUACCCCAAACAUCCUUCUAAAAGUUAGUGUUACGCCCAUUACCAAUUGAUGAAUGAAUGUUGUACAUAAUAUCAUCUCAAACCCUUGCAAUGGACCGCCAGACAUGAGAAGCAGCUGGUUGAUUAAUGCUAGCUGGACAUGUUUCCACCAUGUUAUAUUUAGAGUGUAAAAUUUGAACCCACAAAGCUUCUUUAUUGGUCAAAAUUGUGAAGCCUAAUUUCAUUAAGAAGGAAUGGUUAUUCAAAUUCAAUUUUCAAAUACCUAAACCCCAUGCUCAUAGGGUUGGCAACAUGGGUUCCAAGACACAAGAGUUGGCUUCUUCGAAUCAAUACCCCCUUAAAUAAAGCUUCUAACAAUGUUAUCAAUUUCCAUACAAAUGCCUAUAGGGAUCUUAGUAAUUCGCAUGUAAUAAGAAGAGAUUAAGAAUAACACUAACUUAGCAAGUGUAACACAAGCCGCUAAUGAAAGAAAUCUAACAUCCCAUCCAUUAACCGCUGAUGAAGUUUCUCAAUAAUAAAGCGAAACGUAUCUUUGGUGACCCUUUUAUGAAAAAGUGAAUACCCAAGUACUUUCUCAAAUGAAACUUGUUGGAAGCCUGGGUACUUCACCAUGUUUUAGUAAAUGAGUUAGCAAUAGACUAAUUUCAAUUGGUAAUUUUUAGCCACUCACAUGGCUUGUUUCGAGAAAAAAGGAAAAAAUUCUGCUUAUUUUGAAUGUCUUUUUUUUACUAGAGUUUUUACUCAUCUUUCUAACUUCAAAUGUAAAUUUGCACUAGCUAUUCUUUAUUUUAUGUCUAACUAUUGUAAUACAUAUGGAAUCAAUGAGCCUUUUCCUCAUGUUCUUACAUGAGAAACCGAACAAGUCAUAAAUGAUUAAUAUACUAUUUGAUACUUUAUUUUGGCUUCAAUGUUCAAUUUGGUACCUCAAAUUUUUUUUAUCUCAAUUUGGUAGCUGAGUUUGGAUUUGAUGUUCACUUUAGUACGUAAAUUUUUCCAAUUUCAUACUUGAGUGUUUUUGUCACACACCUAAAUUGAGCCUAAAAAUUUUGAGGGUAAAUUAGGAAUUUUGGCUCAAAAUAGGUUCAGAGAUUUUGAAUUGUGGUAACCUAAAAUUAUUUUUUACUAUAGUUUCCUUUUAAAUCAAGUCAAUUUUUUAAAAUAAGGUUGAAAAGAUCUUUAAUUUUAACAUAAGGAUUAUUUUGUAAAAUGGUUUGAAUUAGGAGUACCAUUAAGGUAAAUAUCCUAAAGUUUUAAAAAUACCAUAUUUUCCCCAUUCAUAUAUAUAUUAGUCAUGAUACUUCUUCUCCAUCUAUUUGUUGUUGUCACCCAUUAUUUUCCCAAACCCUAUUCCUUCAAUUUUGAUUCCCAAACUUCAUUCCUUUGAUUUCUAUCAUCACCCAAGCCAUAAAUUUCAAUAGAAUUUUAAGAAAAACACCAAAAACACCAUUGAAUUUGGCAUCUUUCAAGUUUGUGGGUUUUCUAAAAUUUUGACUAAGCAUCUAUUUUUUCUUCCAUCGAAGGUAACAAAUCAUUUUCUUAUUAGUUUUUAAUGUUGUCAAGCUUUUGAAACUGAGUUUUUAUACAUUAAAUCGUAUGUUUUGAAUAAAAGCUGAAAAUUGGGUCGUUAAUGUUGGAUUUUGAGAUUUUGAGUAAACACGUGGUUUCAAAAUGUUUUUCAAUUAAUUUUUGCAUGAUUAGAAAGUUUCUAAACAUUAUUUAAAGUUUUGUUAAAGAAUUCUAAUGUUUUAUGGAGUGUUUGUGAAAAUUCCAUUAUAUGUCGAAAUUUUGGAUCUAUGAAUCUGCAUAGUUUUGAGAAGUUUGAAGGUUGAGAAUUAUUCUUAAAUAUAUAAUUAGACUAUUGGAUCAAUUAUAAGUAAUGGGAAUGAGUAAAUAUUAAGAUAUUUUAAUUUCAAGUUUGUUAUAUCGAAAGUUUCGAUUUCAAGAGAAUUUAGCUUAGGCCUAUGUUUUUAGAUUAUUUUGGUGAGUCCUUGGCUGAACGUUGAUUGUGUUGUUGUGUGAAUUAUUUGGUUGAAACUUCGAAAUUGUUAGGACCUUCUACAAGUAAAGAGAAAGGCAAGGAUGUAACACCCCUAACCCUUACCCGUCGCCAGAAUAGGAUUACGGAGUAUUACCAAAAUUUACAGAUCAAAUGACAGAUAUUUCAUAUCAUCUAGCAUCCAUAUUAGAAACUAAUAGGAGCCAUUGAGGCUCAAAAUACACAUUAGUAACAAGUCGGGACUUAAUCGGGUACUCAGAUAAUUUUUCAGAAAAAAUCAAAAGUUUUCAAAUGAGCAGGGGACACACGCCCGUCUGGCCAGGCCGUAUGGCUCACACGAUCAAGAGACACGCUCGUGUCCCAAACCGUGUGGGCAUUCAAAAUUGGGGCACACUUCCGUGUCCCGGCCUAUGUCAAAAUUAGGGUGCUUACUGACUUGGGUCACACAGCCAAGCCACACGCCCAUGUGCUUGGCCGUGUGAGCAUACUGACUUAUAAAAUUAAAGUGCAGGGGUCACACGGCCAAGCCACACGCCCGUGUGCUAGGCCAUGUGAAUAUUUUGAGCAUUCUAUUUCUCAAUUUUUAAGAUGUAGGGGACACACAGCUAAACCACACAUCCAUGUGCUAGGCCAUGUGUCACAUACGGCUGGGACACAAGCCUGUGUCUCUACCCAUGUGGAUGAAAAUAGGCCAUUUUAAGGCCACAUUUCUCACUCAUUUUGAUUUCAACCUAAACACAACAUUUUAACACAUCAAUAAAUCUCAAACCAACAAUCAAAACAAGCUAAAAUCAUGUCUUAAACAUAACAUAACAUCAUAUAUAUACCCAAAUAGCUAAACUUACCUAUUUAAUCCAUCUAACUAGUCUACUAAAGUUAACCACAAAUUGAAUACAAUAAACCUAUAUCAUUCACAUCAACAUCACCAAUAUGUCUCAUUUCCAACCCAACAUAUAUAUAUAAGCAAAAUUAUAAUUAUUAACAUUUAUACAAGACUAACUUUGAUUAAAUCCACACAAACUCUAUACAUGCGAUAUAAACCAUAUUGAACGUACAAAAACUACUAAAAUAGACUGAAUAGUGUGACUUGAUGUGUUGAUCCGAUCUUCCGACCUCACAAAAAUUUACAAAGACAUUAAACCACAUAAGUAAGCUUAAUGAAGCUUAGUAAGUUCGAUGGGUUAAACAUAAAUCUUAUCGAACCUACUAUAACACAUCAAUUAAAUAAAUUCAUUCAAUGUAAACUCCCUGCCAAUCACAACUUCAAUCGAUGAAUACACUUAUUUUAAGUCAAUACCAAUAACAAAACAAUAUGUCUUUUAAUUUCAAUUACAUAGUCACUUACUAAAUAUUCCCAAAUCAGAGAACAACUUACGGAUAAGAGUACAUCAUUUUCAGAAGCCCAAAGGCUGAACAGAAGAUCAUGAGAGCUAAACAGAAACCCAUAAGGGCUGAAUGGAAGCUCAUAAGAGCUGAACGGAAACCCAUAAGGGUUAAAUGGAAGCUCAAAAGAGCUAAAUGGAAACUCAUAUAAGUUAAACAGAAGUUCGUAAGAGCUAAACAGAAAGUAAAACAUGAGAGUUCGCAAAAAAUGUUGAACCUCAGUUUACUUGGGUAAUUUUUUGUCAUUUUUCUCCAAUGUCGUCAUGCGCCACAGAACGAAUAUACUCAAAUCCCGCGUUUUAAUCUAAAUAUCCAAUUCAAAUUUAUAACUUUAACAAUAUUUCAUUUUCAACAAUAGAAUAAAUACAUAAUACCAUUCAUCAAUUCAAUAUAAAUAUUAGAGUUUAACCGUACGAACUUACUUGGGUUAAAUUAUAAUAUUUGCAGGAGUUUAGGGACUAUUCCGCUAUUUUUCCAUUUUCACGAGUAUCUACGGGAUCUUGAUCUAAAAUAUAAAAUUAUUCAUUCAUUAACAUAUAUUUCAGUUUUAAUUCAUUUCACAAUUAAUACCCUUCAAUUUUUCAAAUUUACACAAUUACCCUAAACUUUCACAACUUUUACAAUUUAGUCCUUAACUAAUUAAUCUUAUCAAAUUAACUAUUUCUUCUCAAUUAAUAAUUUAUCUAAAUUUUAUAGGCUAUCAUAUAGCCCUUGAUAAAAUAAAAAUUUAAUACCAAACCCUAAUUCUUUAAUUAUUCACAAUUUGAUCCUAAAAUCAAUAUUUAACAAAAUCACUUUAUAAAAUCAUUAUAAAAAAAAUUAAAGCUCUAAAUCCAUGUUAUUCAUCUAAAACAUCUAAUACUCAUCAAUUUCAACUUUCAGAAUUUUCAAUAAAAUCAAAAACUAAUGUAAUAUUAAGUUGGACUUAAUUGUAAAAGUAUCAAAAACAUAAAAAAUUAUAAGAAAAAGGCAAGAAUUGAACUCACUUGAAGCAAAAAUAUGAAAAUCGGCUUAAGGGAACUCUCCUAUGGCAUUUUGGACAGACAAUUGAUGAAGAAAUUGUCUAGAAACUUUUAGAUUUUCAAUUUGAUAUUUUAAUUUCACUUUAUUUACAAAUUUACCAUUAAAUGGCUUAUUUUAUUAUUUUUUUUCUUACUUAUGCCGCCUCAUCUAUCCCACUUAGGCAUAUUUACUCCUUAAGUCCUCUUUUUUUAAUAAUUAAGCCAUUAAUCGCUAUUUCUUAUAAUUAACAAGUUUUGCAUAUUUUUCAAUUUAGUCUUUUUUAAUUAAUUAACUAUCGAAGCGUUAAAAUUUUCUAACGAAACUUUAAUACUACCUUAAGGACACUCCAUAAAUAUUUAAAAAAAUAUUUACAGCUCAGUUUAUAGAAAUAAGGUCUCGAUACAUUAUUUUCUAAAAUCACUUGACCUAAGAUUUUAUCACUCGAACCUAAUAAUUCAUUAUAAAACUUAAAUUGCCAAUUCAAAAUUUUUCUAAAACCACAUUGACUCAUAAAUACUAAAUAAUAAAAUUCACGAGCUUACUUGUCAGAUUUGGUAUCCUCGAACCAUUGUUUUCGACACCACUAAAAAUCAGGCUGUUACAAAGGAAAAACUAGUUUGAGCUUUCGGUGUAUAGGUGAAAGGGUGAACGGUGAGUGUUUGGAAUCACUGCUUGUAGACACGAUUAAUAGCGUUAAUUGAGAAUUUAGAAGUAGCCUAAACCCCUACUCUAAAUUCCGAGUGUAAGCUUUAUCAUACUAUUGAUUUAAUAUGUGAUUAUGUGUUGUGAAUUUGUGGAUUAAGUUAUGAUAUUGUGACAUGUGAAAUAAGCUUAUGAUGGCUAUUAUGAAAGAGUUGAUUGUGGGCAUGUUAUACAUGCCAAAUGACAAUGAUUAUGUUGUGCUUAUAAUGCGAUUAUGUAGUGAAAAAGUGCAAAAAUGGUAAGUAAUAUGUGUGUUUAAUAAUGAAUAUUUUGGCCUUGUGAUCUUUGAAACCGCUAGAUAUAGUUGGCAUGUCAUAAGAUUGUGAGUACUCACCUAUAUGUGUUGUGUUUUAAGGGUGCUAAGGCCCAGGACAGUUUUGGAGAGAUAAGGAAAUGUGAGCUAAGCUCUAUUCAUCGGGAUAUAUUGGUGUGUUGGAGAGUAUUAGCUAUAUGCUUCACUUUUGGGAUAUGUUCGACUCUACGAGUCAUUUGGUAUAUUGGAGAUCUAUGUAUCUGAUGUAUGGUGAUAGAGCCCACUUUUAUGUUCCAUAGCUUAAGUGCCAAAUUAUCAUUAAAUGUGAUUAUGUGUGAUGUGAUAUAAGCUUAAAUGAGUAUGUGACUUCUAUGUAAAUGAACAUUUGAAUAAUGCAUGAUUAAGUAAUAUGAUGCUAAAGUUGGAAAUGUUGUAAUUAGACUAUAUGAAUGCUUCGUUAAUGCAUGAUGACAUGUUUGCGUAAUAGUUAUUCUAAUCAUUCACUGAGCUUGUUUAAGCUCACCUACUCAUUUUUAAACCUCUGCAGACUGUUAAGCAUUGCGGUGUGAGCGGUGUGAAAUAUUUUCCAAGGGACUGAUCCAAGUAGUUUAGCAUUUGAGUAGGUGAAUUAUAGUAUUAUUUUGAACUGUGGGAAUAAGGCAUUGUAGUAGACUUGUUGCUUGAAUGUUGCCAUGAUGUUUUGGGAUGAUUACUUGGACUUGUUACUCACAAAAUUUAUAGACGUUUGAAAUUGGUUUAUUGGUAUUGCUUAGCUUAAACUAUCAUUGAUGCUUUGAGCUGUAUUUUCGGAUCAUUUUGAAGCUAAACUUUGAGCUUAUAAAUGCAUGAUUAGUUGGUAUAUGUAUGGUUGUGUUAAAUGUUCUAUUUUGAUGUUAUUUUUGUUGAAUUAUGCAGAGGUAUCAAUAACCGGGACAUAUGUAUUGAUACUUGCGUGAUUUAAUCAGUGUAGCAACACCUAGUGCUUAUGUCGCGAUAUCGAAAGCAAUAUGCUCGAUUCCUGGUUCAGCUCCAAGCGUGUGUCACGACAUCUAAUGUCUGUGUCGCGACAUCAAAGACAAUCUUGGUAUAUGUGUGAAGCUUUGAUGUUUGAUGAAGCGUUCUGUUACUCAGGUCCGACGGCUGGGCCGGGUACGAGAUGUUACAUUUUUUUGUCCUGGUUAAGUACCUUAAUUUGGCUUCGAUGUUCAAUAUAGUAUUUGAGCUUUUUAUAUCCCAAUUAAGUACCUAUUUUUUUUUACUAAAGCACACAUGUCAAAUAUUUGUUGGGCCACAUGAUAUUUGGCUUAGGUACCUAAUUGGACAUUGAAGCCAAAUAAGAAAACUCAGGCAUCAAAUUAAAUAUUAAAGUCAAACUUAGGUACCAAAUUGAAAAAAAAACUCAAGUAUCAAAUUAAAUAUUAAAGUCAAACUUAGGUACCGAAUGAUAUUUUAAAGCAAUAUUAAAUCCACGAACUUAAAGUAUUUAUUAACCCAAUUACCCAAACUUCAUUGGUAUUGAAUUUAAAAAAAACUUAGCCCUUAACAUAUAUAUUUUAUAUUUCUUUUUGUCAAUUUGACCUUUAUUUUUGAACUAAAUUUGACCUUCAACCUUUUAAAAAGAUUAGAAUUUGACCAUCAAUAUUUCAAAAAGAGUUGAAUUGUUUUUUAAUGGAAAAAUUGACUAAAACAUUAAUUUUUUAAACAUUGCAGAUUGUAUGGCAAUUCUCGUGUACAUCAUACUAUUUUUUAAAAAUUCAUGAACUUUUUAUAUUCUUUAAUUUUAAUUUGUUUAAUAUUUUAUAAUAUUUAAUUUAUUUGUUGAUGUAACAUAUAAGAUAAAUAUUGUUAUAUUAACAUGUAGUACACAUGGAUUGUCAUGUAGGUUGCCAUACCAAUAUUGUUACAAAAAGUUAAUAUUUUAGUCAAUAUUUACAUUAAAAAAAGUGAGUUAACUCUUUUUGAAAUAUUAAUGACCAAAUUUAGCUAAAAAAUAAGAGUCAAAUUGAUAAAAUAUAUAAACAUUGAGAAUUAAAUUUAGGCAUAAUAAUUUUUUUGGCCUUCCAACUUUACAAAAAAAGUCAUUUUAGCCCUUUAUUUAUUUUUUCGUCUUUUUUAACACUUGAACUUACGGUUUUUUGUGUGUUAAAUCACCUAAAAAUGAAUGGAAAUGUUAACAUUUAUUUAACAUUGUUGACAUUGCAUAUAUGUAGAUUAUCACACAUUAACAUUUUAUUAUUUUUAAAAAUUUUAAAAAAUAUUUUUAAAAAAUUUUAAUUUUUUUAAAAUUUUAAUUUAUGAAGUGGUAUAGAAAGAAACCUAUCUCAUUUGGACUUUAACUUUGCAUGCAAAAUCUUGGUCAAGUCGCCGUACAUAAUUUAUGAAGUGAUUCUUGCUUUUCUUGUUAUUCCAUUUAUUUAGGUUUAUUUUGGACCUGGUUUUUUAAAUCAUAAAAAAAAAUUAAAAUUUUAAAAAAUAUAUCAAAAAGGUAUUAAAAUUAUAUAUAUAUAUAUGUUGACACCAUUUUUUUGUUAAAACGGGGUCGACUUUGGUUUUAAAAAUAAAAACGAAAAUGGGAGUCGCCACCAAUCUUUUUUGAUGAGGUGUGAUCGGGUCACCUUGAAAAAUGGUUGUUUUUAAUAAACGAUUUAAUUUUUAUUAAAACAACGAUUGUGGUCUACGAAAUUCAGAAAACGGGUUCGGGAGUCGGUUACGUACGAGGAAGGAUUAGCACCCUCGUAACGCCCAAAAUUGGUACCUAGUUGAUUAUUUAAUGUAUUGAUGUCGAAAAUUAAAAAAACUUGAAAAGAAUUUAAAAAUACGAUCCCUCUUUCUAUUGUGUUAUUUUAAAAAUACCCGAACAAAUCAAAAUGAAAAAUGCCUCCUUAUCUCGAAGUAACAAGAUGUCACAUCUAGUGAGUUAGGACACGACACCUCGUAUUUUGAGAGUAAGCUUGCCUUUAUUUUUUAUUUAAACCUUACUUAUUUUAGUUUUUAAAGGAUAUUCGGUUAUUUAGGAUCAACGCGAGAAAAAUCGAAGCUCAGUAAGUUAGGGCACGAUCUCUCGAAUUUUCUAAAUACGGAAUAUUACCUUUAUUUUCGAAAAAUCCUCGUAUCGAGAAAACUACGUGUCAUAUCCAAUGCGUUAGGACACAACAUAUUGAAAUCCGAUAAUGAGUUUUUAUUUAUGCUUUUUAUUAAAGAGCAUUCUCGAUUAUUUAGAUUCAACAAAAAAAUUUGAACCCAGCACGUUAGGGCCCAAUUCUCUCGAAGAUCCCAAGUAUCGAGUAUUGCCUUUAUUUCCAAAAUUUUCCUUUUUUACGAAUUCGGGUAAAAAUUGAUGUGACGGAAUAACAAUUACGAUAAUGCUUGUAAAAAUAAUACGAGCAAAAAUAACAAAAAAAAUCAAUUAUACACAAUAACAAGUAAAUAAACAACAUAAAAAAAACUAAAACAUUUUUUAAAAUAAUAAUGGACACAUAAAUAAAUAAAUAAACAUAAAGUAAAACAAUAAUGAUAAUAAAGAAAUGAAUAAAAUUUUAAAAAUUUUAAAAAUGUAUGUAUGAAUUUAAAAAAUUUAAAAUACAAAAAAAACUAUGUAAGUAUAUAUAUAUAAUGAAAAUAUGUAUGUCUAUACGUAUAUAUAUGUGUAUGUAUAAGAAUUAUAAAAAAAAUAAAAACAUAAUUACAUAUAUAUAAAUAACAUGCGCAUGUGUGUAUAUAUAUAUAUUAUAUAAAGACAAAAAAAGAUAUAAAUAUGUAUAUUAUAAAAAUAAAAUAACGUAAGUAUGUACAUACAUUUAUAAGUAUAUGAAUUAAAAUAUGUAAAUAUAUAAGUAUAUAUAUAUGCAUGUAGGGAAUAUGAAAUAUAAAAAAAUAUAUAUUUAAAAUAAAUAAAUAAUAUGUACAUGUAUAUAAAUUAUAAAAAGAGUAUGUAUGAGCAUAUAUAACGACUUAAAUCAAAUAAUACAAAUAAUAAGAAAGAUAUUAGGUAAAUAAUAUAUAUAUAACUUAAAAUAAAUAAUAGAGGAACUCCCCUUUUCUUUUUUCAAAAAAAUAAAUUAAUUAAAUGAACUAAAGGAUGAAAUUAAAAUCAAAUCAAAAUUCAGGGGUCCAAACUGUAAAUAAAUAAAAAAGGGAUCGCCGAUGACUGAAAUGAAACGUGCUCAAAAUCAAGGGACCGAUUGUGAAAAUUCCCCUUCCCUUAUGCGUAUCGUUUUGCGCAGGACUAGGUUGGAAUAGACGCUAAAUUAUAUGGCCAAAAUCGAAAAUAACAAAAAGGUCAGAUUGCACCUCAGCUCCAGAUGAAGGGACCGAAUGCGCAAAUUACCCAUUAGGGCAAAGAGGCCCAGGUCACCCCCUCAAACGGCGCCGUUUUAGCUUCUAUAAAUAGCACAAAAAAAACAAAAAAAACAAAAGAAGUCCCUUCCUUUACUUUUAGAAAGAAAAAACAGAGAGCCAAGGGUCUCUCCCUCUCAGCCUUUCCAGAUCCGGCCAACCAGGCCAUUGCCAUGCACCGCCGCGACCGCCUUGGACGGUGGCCGUCGUUGCGCAUAGGGGCUACUUUAAACCCCGUUUCAGAUCCUGUUCAGAGGCCGAGCUUGCUUGGCCUGAAUACUGAGAGAAAGAACCUUUUGGCCCCGCCUUUAGAGCCGAUUUUGGCGACGGAGAGGGCUCCGACGACGCGGCCAAGGGCGCCCCAGGUAUUUCUUUCCUCCUUUUAUUUUCGUUUAUCAAAAAUAAAAAAAAAACAAUAAUAAAAAAAUAAAGGUAAAAGAAUAUAGAAAGAUUGAAAAUAAAGAGAAUCCUUAAAACUUUGUUUCUUUCUUUUUAUUUCUCCAGAUUCGUCCAAGAGAAGAAGAAGAUUACAAGUUUUUCAUUUUUGGCUUUAUAGCCAAUCCAAACAACUCUUUGAUGUCUACUUUUUGUUGUUUUGCGAUUUGGAUUUUCUCUGUUGUUUUCUUCUUUUGUGUGUUGUAGGUGGUGUCAGACGCGCAUAGAAGGCUGGCGAUUGGCGAUGGUGGCGGUAGCAUGCGUGAGGGAGCUUUGGCAGAGGCAUGCGGCGCUAGGGUGACGUCCUAGGGGUGACAGAUGAUAGACCUAGGUGCGGCGCACCUAGGUUUUUUUUGCUGAAAACUUGUUAAGGUUUAUGGGCUUGUUGGGCUAGGGUUUUUGAUUUUUUGGCCUGCUAAGUGUGCUUUGGGCUGUUUGGGUUUGUUUCUGUUUGCCUGGGCCUGGACGAAAAUCGGGUCUCACAAUAUAUAUAUAUAUAUAUAUAUAUAUAUAUAAGAAAUGGCGAUUUUUGCUUUCUCAGAACAUGUAAAUCCUUUUAUAAUAAAAUUUUAAAAUUAUAAUAUUCAUUAAUACUGAAAAUUGUAUGCCUUACCAUUGCAAUAAAUAAAUUUAUUAUUGUACGUUUCACUUUUUUAUUUUAUGGACAUAUUUAAUUGUAAUUAAUAAGUGUAUUUUUCAACAUUGUAUUUUUGUUUUGGUGAAUUACAUGAGGAGAGCAAAGUCCUAAUAGCAACGCCAGUAACACGACUUAAACUCAGUCUAUACAUUAGGCAAUAAACACUCUAACCAUCAAGCCAAUACAUGAGGUUCUCAACAUUACAUCUUUACAUCUUGUAUUGGAGUUAACAACUGGUUGAAAAAAUGUCCCUAAAAAUAUAUCAAAUACCAAUACUAUAAUUAGCAAAUUAGAUAAAAAAGAUUCUAUAGCAAGAACUAUAAAAAUUUAUAUUUAUCUAUUGUGAGAUAGAAAAAAGAAAGAAGCAAGAAUCACCAUUUCCAUUUUUUAAAAUAAUUUUUACCAUGUUCUAAUAAUUUCUUUUAUUUUUUUUUAUUUUAAAAGAAUUAUGCCUUUAAAUAAUAAUCAACAUGGAUAAAUAAAUGUCCAGAUUUAAAUAAAUUUAGAUGUCUAUUUGUCUAUAUUUAUUUUCAAUUUGAAUUUUUAAUAAUUUUUUAUUUUUUAUUAAAUUAAACUACUAUGUCAAUAUCGUGCUGGUUGAUUCGGUGGAUAUUAAUGACCAUGUUAAUACGGUAAUAAUCAACUGUGAGAUUAAUUAAAAAACAACAACAUGAAGAUAUUUGAUUUUUUUUUUUAGAAAAUUUCAACUUCUUUGACCAUUUAUUUCUUUUUUUUUUCUUGGCGUGGUUGAUUAUCUUUUCUUCUUUUGUUGCUUUAGAGUUGUCUAAAUUUUCAUUUGUUAUCAUAAAAUAGUGUUAUAAUUAUAUUAUCACCGUCAAACAUAGAAUGACGGUCUCUUUUGUCUCUUUUACUAUGUGCAAUUGUCACCCAAAAAUAUAAUAUUUUCAACAAAACUAAAGUCUUUAUUUAAGAAAUACAUUCUCUAGGAAAGGGUUUAAUUUCUUUUUGGAGGGGAGGAUUUCUUUCUAAGAAAGGGUCGUUUUCUUUUAUUAAAAAUUCACCCAUUCCCAAAGACUAUUUCUAGCAUAAAAAAUAAAAUGUCAAUUUAGCCAAGUCAUGUCAAAGUUUUAGAGUGGAUUUAGAUAGAUGAUGUAUUUAUUUAUAUUUAGUGUAAAAAUAAUAAUAACAAUAAAAUAAAAUUAGAUACAAUAAUAUAAAAUAAAAAAUAAAUUAAACACAUCGCAUCGCAUUAUCCACCCAUCUAAACCUAUACUAUAUUAUUAUCAUAGUGAAAUGGGUGAAAUCUGUGUCAAGUUAACAGCCGCAAUACAACCAUAGUUUGGUUUGGUGAUGCAAAGAAGGGAGAAUGAAUAGAAAGAGAAUAUCUGACUGUAGUAAACGAGUCAUAGUUAGGUUUGGUGAUGUAAGGAGACGAGUAAAUGAGUUAAAGAGCAAAUUGGAACACUGUUGCUGGACGAAUCCAAAUGUUCUCUGACUAUUAGAGCUUAGCUUUCCAAUUUUCUCUUUAACUCGUUUAUUCAUCUCCUUACAUCACCAAACCUAACUAUGGCUCAUUUACUACAGUCAGAUAUUCUCCUUCUAUUCCUUCUCCUUUCUUUACAUGUUAUUAUUAUAGCUCAAGAAAACGAGUCGAACAUCAUCCGACCACCUUCUUCACUUUAUGCCGGAAAACACCCUAGUUCAUGGCCCUCAUCUUCAGGGUAUUUCCGAUUCGGUUUCUAUCCGCAAGGCAAUGAAUAUGCGGUUGGAAUCUGGCUUGUUGGCCGGUCAGAAAACACCACUGUCUGGACUGCAAAUCGAGAUGACCCGCCUGUCUCCUCAAAUGCUACUUUGGAAUUCACAACACAAGGCAUUUUGCAUCUUCGGACUGAGGACGGAAUGGAAAAAAUCAUUGCGAAUCUGGCCAGGUCGGUAUCUGUUGAUUCAGCUUCUAUGUUGGACACCGGGAAUUUCGUGCUCUACCAGAACAGGACUGUUGUUUGGGAGAGCUUUAAUUUUCCAACGGACACAAUAUUAGGAGGCCAGAAUUUAAGCGGUUCUCAUAACCAGUUGAUCUCCAGUGUGUCAAGGUCAAACCAUUCAUCUGGGUCAUAUUUGUUGAGAAUGCAGGAUGAUGGUAACCUUGUAGCCUAUGCAAAUAAUCCUGCUGAAGUUGAUCCUAGUGAUGCAUACUGGGACACUGGGACUGAUGGUUGGUAUUUUUCUGUGUUGAAUCUCAAUGAGAGAGGCGUUCUAGCAAUGUAUUCAUCACCAAAAUUCCACCAAGAAAACGUUUUGGCAAACCUCUCCGCAACUGGGAACGAAACAAUGAUUAUCUACAGAGCAACCCUUGAUCCUGACGGAAAUUUCAGAUUGUACUCGCAUCAACUCGAAAGCAAUACUAACUCACACAAGUGGCAGAUUCUGAAUGAUGUAUGUGAUGCUAAAGGUCAAUGUGGGCUGAACAGCUACUGCUCCAGCAGGGGUAAGGAUGCUGAGUGCUAUUGCUAUCCUGGUUUCACAUUUAUCGACGAGAAUAGCAAAUCCCUGGGCUGCUCUCAGAAUUUCACUAUAGAUGGGUGCGUGGCAAGGAAAGAUCUAGUGAUACACUACAACAUCACUACCUUAGACAAUAUGUAUUGGGCUGGUGAUCCUUAUUCUGCGAAGCCUAACUUGGAGAAGGAAGACUGUAUGAAAGCUUGCCAGGAGGAUUGCUCCUGUGGCGGAGUUCUCUAUUCUGACCGAAAAAGCUGCAGGAUGUAUAGGCUACCGCUCAAAUAUGGUAAAAGACAUGGAAAUAUAACAACCACAGCCUUCAUCAAGUGUAUCCUGGGUAGCACCAUUAGCCCCCCACCUGAAACAAGUCAAAUAUUGAUAAGCGAAGGAAACCAAAGCCUCAUUUUAACUAUGGGCCUAGGUUUGGGUUCCGUUACAAGCUUGUGUUUUGUGAUUGCUAUAUGUAGCUUCUUAUUAUACAGGCACCGACUCCAAAAUUAUAAGAAGCUUUUAGAAAAUAAAAGUUCAGUAUUAACCGAGCAGUUUACGCUACGAUCAUUCACUUUCGAUGAGCUAGAUGAAGCAACACAUGGUUUUCAAGAUGAGUUAGGUAAAGGUUCAUUUGGGACAGUUUAUAAAGGAAUUUUGCCAGGGGAUGGUAAAAGUAAAACUAUUGCCGUUAAAAGACUGGAGAAAGUUAACGAAGGAGAAACAGAUCAGAUUCGAACCGAGAUGACAGUCAUUGGAAGAACUAAUCACAGGAACUUGGUCCGAUUGCUUGGUUUUUGUGUGGAAGGUUCAAGGAAGCUCCUCGUUUAUGAAUACUUGGGCAAUGGCUCACUGGCAAACUUUCUGUUCAACAUGAAUAAACGCUCAGUGUGGAAAGAGAGAGCCCGAAUUGCAUUGGACGUAGCUAAAGGUAUCCUUUAUUUACAUGAAGAAUGUGAGGGGUGUAUCAUCCAUUGCAACCUCAAGCCCCAUAACAUACUCUUGGAUGAUUCAUUGACUGCAAAGAUUUCAGAUUUUGGAUUGGCAAAGCUAUUGAGGCCUAAUCAAACAUGCAGUACCCCUAGGACCAAAGGAACAGCAUGGUACUCGGCACCUGAAUGGCAAAGCAGUGGAUUGGUGUCGGUAAAAGUCGAUGUAUACAGUUUCGGAGUGAUACUAUUGGAGAUCAUAUGUUGCAGAAGCAACAUAGAAGUACAAGUUUCUAGUGCAGAUGAGAUACUACUUUCUACAUGGGUAUACAGUUGCUUUAUUGGGGGAGAAUUGAAUAAGCUUGUGGUGGGUGAAGAAGAAGUGGACAUGAAAAUGGUGGAAAGAUUUGUGAAGGUGGGGCUUUGGUGCAUUCAAGAUGAUCCCAAUUUGCGUCCACCGAUGAAAAAUGUGAUCUUGAUGUUGGAAGGGACAAUGACUAUACCAGUGCCUCCAUCUCCAUCACUUCUGUUAUAACUUUGAUUUAGUAUUUACUUCAGUGAUGCUUUUCAUGUAAUGCAUGAUGAUGUGCUUAUUUUUCUUUUCUUUAAUGUAAUGUAAUUAUGUAAGAUAAAAGAGUUUAAUUCUAAAAAAAUAAAAUUUCAGUGGUUAAAAAAAAUAGUGUUAAUUAGGGCAGUAAUUCACCAAAAAGUAAAAAAAAAAAAAAAAAACUUUUGUUGAUUUAGUAUUUAUUUAAGUGUAUUGGUAUCUAAUAAACUUUUAAUAAAUAAUUAAAAUAUUAUUUUUAUUAAAAAAUCUGAUAAAUAUUAUUAGCAAGCGAUUGAAUCAAAUUAUCAAUUUCUAAUAAUAUAAAUGCAAAUAUAAUUAAUAAAUAGUGAACUUGGUGAUCAUCCAAGGCACAUUAGCAUGCUCUUGUUCGAACCGGGGUUUGAAGCCAAAUAUUUCCUCAGUAGGAUAGAUGGGGCGAUUCAGAUGAAAUCUAAUAUAGAUUCAACUUUCUAUUCACUCGUGAGAUCUAGGCGAUCUAGGGAAUCACCACAGCUCAUCUCUUCUCGAUAAUUUAUACAUCUCUUAUUACUAUAUGGUAUAAUUGUGUAUGGUAAAACUUAAACAUAAAUACUUAAAAGAAUUUAAGCCUUUGCCUUAACCAACAAACCAAAAUCGGUUUCCACCAAAAGUCAUGGUAUUCUUUUAAGAGUGAGUUUGGAUGAGCGGUGCGUUUAUCUACGGUUAGUGUAAAAACAGCAGUGACGAUGAGAUUAGAUACUGUAGUGAUACUGUAGCGUGAGACAAAAAAUAAGCUAAACGCACCGCACCGCACUCAAUCGUCCAUCCAAACCCACCCAAGUCUUUUUAAAAUUAUUGAUUUAGCCUGUCUGGUUUCAAUUUUUCAUUUGCAUUUACUUUUUGUUAUUUUCUAAUAAUUCACUUUCAAAUACCAAUUAAAUAAUUUAUUGAUAUUUUUUUAACUUUUAUUAUCUUUUAGACUUCAGCUAUUUAUUAUUUCAUCGUCACUUAAAAAAUAGAAGAGAGAAACACCAUAUUUCCCAUGGCUUGGGUGUGGGCUCUUCUCUUGCUCCUUUCUUCUCUCUGCGUGAAGCAGUCAAGCAGCAUCAUUUCGCUGGGAUCUUCGCUUUCCUCGGCCACUCAAUCCAUCCCAUGGCGUUCCCCUUCUGGUCGCUUUGCAUUUGGCUUUUACAGUCAAGGCGGUGGCCUUUCUGUUGGAGUUUGGUUAGACGGCAGAGGAAAGAACGAUAACAAAGUUGUCUGGACAGCGAAUCGUGAUGAUCCGCCGCUCACUUCGAAUGUUACUCUGAUAUUAAAUGACAAAGGUGUGCUUCUUUCGAUCGCUGUGAGCGGAGAAAAUAAAUUUAUUGCUAAUCCAAACAAUUCGGCUGUCAGCGUCUUCUCUGCCUCCAUGCUAGAUUCAGGCAAUUUUGUGCUCUACAACAAAGACAAUCAUACCAUUUGGGAGAGUUUCGAGCAUCCUACAGAUACCCUUUUAGGUGGUCAGACUCUAUUAACUAAUCACGAGUUGAUCUCCAGUUCAUCAGAGAAUGAUCACUCAGGUGGAAGGUUUCAUCUAAGUAUGCAAGGAGAUGGGAAUCUCGUUCUAUACCCUCGACAGUCCGAAGAUUCUGCUAUAAAUGCCUAUUGGAGCACAAAUACUUUUUGGAUGGGCUUGUCGCUCCGCCUUUUUCUUAACGCUACCGGCCUCCUCCAACUCAUCAACAACGAUGAUUCGUCCAUCUACGAGACAAUUAAUCUUUCCUUUUUUCCAGAGCCGACCUACAAUGACUACAACGAAAGCAGCAGCAACAACAACAACAGUACUGUUUUCAGUGCAAGCCUUGAUGUUGAUGGGAAUUUCCGGUUAUAUGCUCAUCUGUUUGAGCGAAAUGGUGGGUUUCAGACUUAUCCACUGUUGAGGGCGUUGUUAAAUUCCUGUAAAGUUAGAGGCUUUUGUGGUCUCAACAGCUAUUGCACAUUUAAUGAUAACCGACCUUACUGUGCAUGCCUUCCCGGGACUGAUUUUAUUGAUCCUCUUCAGAACAACCUCGGCUGCAAGAGAAAUUAUUCUGAAGCACACUGUAAAGGAGGGAAGGCCAAUAUACCCUUUUAUAAAAUGACUUCAAUGCCAGGUAUUGAAUGGACUACGGGCAGUUUUUACGGUAAAGAGCGAUUGUCCAAGGAUGCGUGCAGCCGAACAUGUUUGGAAGACUGCAAUUGUGAGGCAGCACAGUUCGACAAUGGGAUUUGCAGGAAACAAAAGCUUCCACUCAGGUAUUUGCUACGAGAUCCUGAUGCCCAAGUGAAUUCUACAGUUUUAUUGAAGGUGGGAAUCAUAAGCCUUGAAGCAGACAACGACACUGUUCCCUCUGAAUUAAAGUCACCGAAAGUCCUAAUCAAACGGAAAAAUACGACGGUGCUAAUUCUUCUAACUUUCAGUUUUGUUGCAUGUUCAUGUGCUUUGCUUACCAUCUCUGGUGUAUACAUUUAUAAAUUUCGAGUUCUAAGAUACAAAAGGGUGUUGGAACUUGGAAAUUUGGGCCUAACGGAAGAGCUUACGUUGACAUUGUUUUCAUACAAAGAACUAAAGAGAGCAACAAAUGGGUUUAAAGAAGAGUUGGGUAAAGGAUCCUUUGGAGCAGUCUACAAAGGGUCUUUAAACAGAGGAAGACAGUUGAUUGCAGUGAAGCGACUGGAGAAGUUAGUGGAAGAAGGUGAAAAGGAGUUCCAAGCAGAAAUGCGUGCAAUUGGUAGAGCUCACCACAAGAAUUUAGUUCGACUUUUGGGAUACUGUGUUGAGGAUUCCAAGAGACUAUUGGUGUAUGAGUACAUGGGCAAUGGCUCCCUUGCAGAUCUACUUUUCAAGUCAACAAAGCCCCUAGAUUGGGAUGAAAGAACAAGAAUAGCCCUGGAUGUUGCUAGAGGAAUCCUCUAUUUGCAUGAUGAGUGUGAGACUCCAAUCAUUCACUGUGAUAUAAAGCCGCAGAACAUAUUGAUGGAUGAUUUAUGGAGAGCUAAAAUUUCAGACUUUGGGCUGGCAAAAUUGUUGAUGGGAGAUCAAACAAGGACCUUCACAGUCGUAAGGGGAACUAGAGGAUACAUGGCACCAGAGUGGCAGAAAAAUACUCCAAUAUCAGUGAAGGCUGACAUUUACAGUUACGGAAUUGUGCUGUUGGAGACUGUGUUUUGCCGACGGAACUUGGACACCAAUGUAUCAAAACCAGAGGAGGUCAUUCUAUCAAGUAUGGUGUAUAGAUGUUUGGUUGAAAAGGAGUUGGAUAAGCUAAUGGUUGGUGAAGAAGUGGAUAAAAGAAGCUUGGAAAGAAUGGUGAUGGUGGCACUUUGGUGUAUUCAAGAUGAACCAGCUCUUCGUCCUUCCAUCAAGACUGUAGUGAUGAUGCUGGAAGGGAUCACUGAUAUAUGUAUUCCUCCAUGUCCAACUGCUUCCUUCAUCUAGUUCAAGUGAUGAUCCAACAAUCAAUCAUUUCACUCAAAAGUAUAUGUGUAUAUUGUCAAUAAAUAUGUAAAAUGCUUCCUGUAGUGUCCUCUUAUGAUAGGCUUAGUAUGAAUAUUCAGUUGCAUUAUUAUUACUCAAUCAUAUGUUAAUGAAAUGGUUAAUUUUGAAUGUAAUUUAAGUAUAUCAUUAAACACAAAGUAUGAAGAAUUUACUUACAGGAACUGAUUAUCCAAUCGUAAGAAGCAGUAUUGCAGUAGCCAGUUGAUGAGUUUAUGUAAUAUGUGUAAAACUAUUACUUAUAUAAUGGCCACAUAUAAGGGCAGGUUUACGACCCUAACCCGGCCUAAUGGACUACCAUAAGAUAAUUGGAUAGAGACCUAUUGGACUAAUGGGUCAUUUUGUCACAUAAAAAACUUUUGAGUUGGUAGUCUCUAGUCUGGGCCUUUAUACAUAAAACAACAAUUUUCAGGCCUAAUUGAGUUUCAUUUAGGCUAGAAAAUAAUUUUACUCAAAGCUUGGCCUUAUAAAAUGGAAUAAAUUAUAAAUACAAUAUAUUAAUACUCAAUAGAAAAUUUUAAAUUAUUAUAUACUUUUAUAUUUAAUUAAAUAUAUGUUAAUUGUUAAUUGUUAAAUUUUAAAAUUUAUUUUUUACUAUUUUAAAAUAGAAUUAAUUGUUAUAAUUAAAAUAAAAUAAAAAGGAAUAAAUUAGUAAUAUAAUAAGCUAAUACUCAAUAGAAACAUUAAACUAUUAUACCCUUUUGGGUAUGGAGUGAAUUCAAAACUCAUGACCAACAUUUAUCUUCUUAAUGAGCCUAUAAAAUACGACAAAUUAAUUACUAAACUCGAUCUGAUAGGUAUAUUGAGAAAUUAAAAAAAUAAUUAUUACAAAAUUUCAAAAUUAUUUAACUAUUUGACCCAAAUCAAUUAAUAUCCAAAAUAAUUCAUACAAAAAAACUCAGCCCAUCAACAGGUGUGCUCCCAACCCAGAACAAUAUAAAUCCAAAGAUAAUUCGAUCCGAAUCCGCCAAACCCACCCGUUUGGUUGAAGGAGACCCAUUCUUCUGCAUUGCUUGCUUUGGUGCUUCUGAUCUAUGGCUUUAUUCUCGAGUUGAAGGAAAAGUUAAAUGGCUCCAGCAAAGAAGGGAAAAGUCAAAACCCAGAAAGCUGAAUCAUCGUAGCCCUCUGAAAAUGACUUCAAGUUCCCAUCUUCAAUCCGCUCGGUUCCUCCUUCGUCUGUUGCCUCCUUCGUCUGUUAUUCAAUUUUUGCAUGGGAAAAAGUAAGAUAGAUGAAGAGAAGAAAAACCCAAAAGGAAAAAAUAAGAAAAAGAAAUGAAAAAGACCUAUGCGUAUGCGCCCAAACGUGUUUCUUACACAACCGGGCCUAGGUAGUUACGAAGAAGCAAGAGUCUGAACUGUUCUAUUUAAUGGGUUUCCCCUGUAAUUUAUAUAGUUUAUAUUUAAUAUAAUAUUUGUAUAGUUGCUUCUUUUAGAUACUGUUUUUCGCUACUUGAAUUGCUAUUCGUUGGUUAAUUUAGUUCUUACUGGGUUUUUUCUUCCCCUUAUGAAUGAGCUUCUGAUUGUUGUUUAUGGCUUUUCUACUUGCAGUGAAACUAUCUGCACAGGUGUUUCAAGUUCGAAUUUUCAGUUUCCCUUAAAAGGGUUUGAUUGUUUCACUUUUAGCUUCUUCUUUUUUUCUUUUUUUUUUUAAUUUUAUAAUAUGGCAUCAUCUCAUAGCAAUACUCACAUUGAAGCCGCAAAAUUGGAACAAAUCAUCACUGAAUUCUUCUAUAAGAGUCUUCUAAUUAUACUUGAAUCGAGGUCUCCUUAUGUGUCAUCGCGAAAUUAUAGUGGUGAACAAAUUAUGUCAUCUCCAUCUUCGUCCUCAUCAUCUUCCUCGGGUGUGAGACCAAGAGAUAAAUGGUUCAAUUUAGCUCUUAGGGAGUGCCCUUCAGAACUAGAAAAUUUUGAUCUUUGUCGCCAGAGUAAUUUUGAGCCGGUAGUGAGUGAUGUUAUCUUGGAGCAGAAGCCACUUGAUUGGGAUCCUGUGACCUUUUCCCCCAAACGUGAUCUUGUUAAGCAUUCUUCAUCAAAAGAUAAGAAUUCAUUUUUCUGGAAUUCUGAUCAAGAAGAAUCAGGCUGUGAGGCAAAAGGUGAGAAGGUUAUAGAAAGGUGGUUUGUGCAGCAUGAAAGUAGAAAGGGUAGUGAUUGCAGUUCAGGGAGUAGAAGGUCAAGUAGUAAUAAUUUGAGUGCAUUAUAUAUGAAAUUGAUAUUGCUGUUGAGGUCCUUAUAUGUGACCUUUAGGCUUUUACCUGCGUACAAGAUUUUUCGUGAUCUCAAUUCAUCUGGUCAAAUCCGUGCUUUUAAGCUUGUUCCUAGGGUAUCCUCUUCUGAUGAAUAUUUCACUCAGAAAGACGAGGCUGAAAUGCAGCGAAUUUGGAUCACCCCUGUGGAUACUUCUUGUGGAAGGCUUUGCCUUUCAGUUUUGUACCGUUCAUCAAUCUCAGAUAAAAGCUCCAUGUCAUCAACCCCUAUGUCCCCUCAAUUUAUACCAGAUUAUGUUGGAAGCCCAUUGACAGACCCACUGAGAAGAUUUCCUUCUCUUCCUGUGUCACAGGGCUCUCCAUCAUCUUUGCCAUUCUCAAGAAGACAUAGUUGGAGUUUUGAUCUUUACAAGGCUUCACCGCCUUCAGUUUCUCUCUCACCAUCCCCAACACAUUCAGAAUCACAUGCUUUGGUUUCUAACCCAAGCUCUCGCCGUGCGUGCCGCCACCUAUGAGCUUACCUCCUCAUCCUCCUGGGGCAUCUCUACCUCAUAAGAAGAAUACAAACUUUGAUGAGUAUUGGCCUUCGCCAAAUUUUUCUGCUUCCCCUUCCCCAUCCCCGCCCAUCCGCGUUCCUGGGGGUCAUCUGUCAAAAGCUCUUUUACGUUCUGAAAGUGCUCCUGUUAACAUAUCUGUCCGUAAGCUUGCUGGUACCCCUGCAUUGUCCUGCAAGCAAAAUUUGCCAUCUCCUCCCCUUAAAAUUUCAAGAGCUGAUAUUUCUUGGACUGAUAAUAAUAUGGGUCCCAUGAAAUCUGGCGCAACUAUCGAGAAGGUAUUUCAUAUAUGCCUCAUUGGUAUGAUUUGUGAUUCCAACCCUAUCUUGUUUUUCUCCUUGGAAUUUACUUUCGUUUUGUAUCUUAUAGCUGUUCUCUUUCGGGAAAGGAGACGGUCAGAAAUAUUCUGGAGUGAACUCACCCAGAAUUUCAUUUUUCAGAAGCUCCUAUACAAGAUGAUUUUGAUGACUCUGAGUUUCCUUGUCCAUUUGAUGUGGAGUAUGAUGAUAUGGACCCUGGUAGCAGGUAAUGCACGGAACUCCUCAUAUAAAUUGUAUUUUUUAGAUUAACCCUUUUUGCAUCACUUGUCAAUAGCUCAUACAAUUAAUUUACAUAUUUUGCUUUUUAACUUUGAAGUUAUUUUUAUCCAGAUUUUUUGAGGAUUUGACACUUAAUUAAUUGUUCUUGUGUAUUUGAAAAUGUGGCAUCAUUUUUCUUUUUUUUUUGUAUUAACAUAAUUGGAUCAGGACUUGAUUUGGUUGCUUUAACUUACCCUGGAGUAAUUUGCUAAAGGUUAUGUAAGCAAGCCAUCAUGUGUAUGCGAAGACUAAUAAUUGCCUUUUCUGUUUGAAUUUUGUCUUUGAACUAGUUCUGAUCUCAUAAGACUGGAUGUUAGCAAUUGAUGAACUUUCUAGGAAACUGGUGUUUUUAAGCAAAGAGAUUGUGCAUUAGAAACUACAAUAUCUUGCCGCUAGGAGUCUAAGUAGUGGCAUUUCUGGUUCAAGAAUCGGGAUAUAUCAGUUAUGAAGAGUUUCCAAAUAAAGUUUGUUUUCUAUUUUUGAGCAAGCCACCCUGGCUGGCAUUAAACAUUUUCAAUAUCUAGUCCAGGUAGUACCUGUAGUGAAAUGUCUGUUUCAGGGAUUGGGAUAAGUAGUGGUCUAUCAAUCCAUGGAGAGUUGCCAAUUAAUCUUUGGUUUCCAGUUUUGUGAAAGAAAGUAAGAAACUUCACGGUAUUAUAAAUUUAGAUACAUCAGGUAGUCUGCAAAGUUUGUUUUCUAGUUUUCAGAAAGACAGCCUGGCUGGUUAACUUUAAAAUGUUUAAUAGAUAUGAAGUUGGAUUGCAUAACCAUGCUGAAGUUUCUUGUGCCAGUUGAAUUUAGCAGCAAGCGGUGCUAACUGCUAAUCAUACUUCAGUUGUUUCUUGUAAGGCGCAACCAGUAUCAGUGAAUGAAUCAUAUUUGUUUUGGUCUCUUGUAACUGCUAACUGCAGGAACAUGUCUUUAGGUCACAUGGUAGGAUUGGGGCCGAUUUCUGUGUAUGACUUGGCCCUUAUGUUUGAGGCAGCUGCAACAACAGCUGUCUUACUUUUUAUCUUUUGAUUGGUGAGUAAAUUAAAUUAAUGUAAAGAUGGGUGAUAAAGAGGAGGCUAAAAAACAAAGAUGGUUGAUUAAGAAUGAUUUGUUAAUGACUAAAGGAUAUGGUGGUUGCAGCAACGUUCUAUGCGUCGUUCUUGCUUGUCAGUAAUUUGAUUUGUUCAGUUUCUUGAGUUACCUCUAAAAUUGCAACAAAAUGUAGUCGAAUAGCUUGUCAGUUGCAUUUGCAGUAACUCUGAUAAUCCUUUAUUAAAACAUGGAACUUUUUCAGUCUGUGUUGCUUUCCUGUAAUACCAGACACAACAAACUGCUUGAAGAAUCAAACAUCAUUUUGUCACUUCGAUUUAUUUUAUGGCAUACUCAGAUGUAUACAUGAACAAAGUAUUCAUAUACUAAUUUCUACUAGUUAGCUUCGUAUUUAUAAUUAUUAUAUAGGGUUAUAUUUGGUAUUCUUAUGAUAUUGAGAUUUAGGGAAUAACUUGAAUAUUUAUUUUAGUUUCUAGGAGUUUUUGAAAUUGAGAUGUUGGGAUUAUAGAUAAUGGAGAUUUUCAUAUGUGGGCUAUCAGAGUUGGAUUUUUUCUUCUUUAUUUCUCCCUAAGUUCAUCUAUUUCCCCCCUUCUGUUUUUAUUUGAUUCUCCAGUUUCUCUCUUUCCUCUCCUUCACGUUUUUGAGGUUCCAUGAAAUUACCAUGGGUGAAGAAAUCCAAAAGUUCUAAAGGUAAUUUGAACAUUUGACAUUCUCUUUUCUGCAAUAGUUAGCUCAAAAUGUUCCCUCAAGAAAAUCCUUUAACCAUUGACUUAAGCAGGAUCGUUAAACGAAAAUGAGUCAUGGAAUUCAUAUCCAAAGCCACAAUGAGUCAUUUUAAGAUUUUCUGAUAUUCGAGAGAACACCUUAUACCCUUUGUCACAGUCAUUAUCUUAAUUGUCACGAAAUGAAAUUACUGUUUUUCUUUCCCUGAAUUAUUUGGGUAAACUGAAUUGGCCCGCUUUGCAUACUAUGUAGACCCGAUUCCUAUGAUAGAAGAGGAAAUCCAUCUGAUCCAAACGAGGCAGGGUUGUUUAUGAAUAGAAAAUCCCAAGAUGCUGCGGUUGGUGCUCUUGUACGGAUGCUGAAGAAAGCCCCUCCACUUCGCCAAGACAUCCCGAGUUCGAUAAAUUUUUCGGAAGCCUCGAGGCCAGAAAUGUGGAAUAACAACAUCCAAGAGAAAAACCAGAACACAGAGGCUGUGACCGUUGAACAUGAUGUUUCUUCAAUUAUUACAUCUUCUAGGCUUGUCGCAUCAAUGACAACAGCGGAUGCAUUAGAGGAACUUCGGAGUUACAAAGAGAUGAAAAACUUGUUGCUUAGUGAAGGUGGUAAGUCUUGCAUAUCUGCCAAUUUGACCUCUGGGGCUAAACAUUCUGGCAAAGGUACAUGAGAAUGAUCAACUUAUGUGAUAUUGGUAUAGUUGCACAUAUGUACAGCGCUAUGGUUUGAAAGACUACUACUACAUGCUAUACAGCUGAAGCCAUUUUCCUCUUUUUGUGAUCAUAGGAGUAUAUAUAUACAAUAUAUGUGUUUUUGGUUAAGAUUUAUGUUAACAACAGAAAGGUUAUCUGUUGGCCCCGAAAACUUUGUAAAAAGCACUUUUGUCUCUGAUCCUACAUAACAUAAUUGCACAUAAUUUUAGAUGUUGGGUAAGGGUUGCGCAUGCUUUGAUAUACAGGCUUGCUGAUGCCGUCAUUUCUAUUAUUUUGCUUUUCUCCUUUGUUUCCCCUCCCGCAUAUAGAUUUUCAGUAGAAUGAAGCUUGAGUUUCUAAUACAAAUGGGUUUAAUACGGAUAUAUCUACCUGUUUUAGAAGGGUUUAUUUUAGAAGUUAUAUUUGAAGUAUGAUAACCUGAUAUAUUUGGAAGAUUAUAAUUCUAUAGACAUAGUAAUUUAUUUGACCCUUCAACAUUAUAAAAGAAAAAGGGAAUGACAUUUUAGCCUUCCAUUUAACUUUUUAUCUUUUUCAACUUUUUAAGUUUUUUAUCAAAUCAUUUUAAAGUGGAUCAAAACUAGAAAAGCUAAUGUUUGUUAAUUUUAUUGAUGUAAUAUACACAUGGUUUGCCACAUGGAUGACAAGUUAUCAUUGAAUCAAUUUUUUAAAAAUUCAUAAAAAUUAUAAAUUAUUUUAAAAAUUUUAAAAACUUAACUAAAUGUUGACAUUAAGGGCGAAUCCAGGGGAGUUAGUAGGGACUCGGUCCCCCUAAAAUCCCCAAAACAGAAAUUUGUUCAUUUAGGUCUUUUAAAAUUUUAAAUUAGUAAAGGUAAAAGUGAACUUUGGCCCUCCUUAAAAAUGAUAAUUUUUUUAUUUAAUUAUUUAAAAAUUAUAAAAAUAUAAGUUAUUCAAAUAGUGAAAUUGUAUUUUUAUUAUUGUAAAAAUUAUAAUUUAAUUUCGACUCUCUAAAUAAAUUUUUUGGCUUCGCCUUUGGUUGACAUGUCAUCCAUGUAACAAUUCAUGUAUAUGUCAUAUUAGUAAAGUUAAUAAACAUUAAUUUUACAUCCAUUUUGAGAUAAUUCGAUCAAAAAACAAAUUUAGAAAUUAAAAGAGAUGAAAAAUUAAAUAAAAAUUAAAAUAAUAUUUUUAUAAAUUUGAAGGGCUAAAAAAAUCAUUAUACAUGAAAUGAAGCCCUUGUCUGAAUGUAUGUUUCAUUGAUCCCAUUCCUUUGUCAAUUAAUCUGCCAUUCCCAAAUCUCCUGAUAUCCCCUAUAAAUGUCUUUUUUUUUUUUCUUUUGUACCGUCUAAUAUCUGGGCCAAAAUAUUCACAUUGUCUUUGAAAAUUCCCACCGUAAGGUUUCUCCUUUUUGCAUGAGAUAAUGCCUCGUGGACCACGAAUAAUGUCCCUUGUUCUUGGAACUCCACUGUUGUACCUCCAUCAACGCGUACUAUUCUUGCUCCAGCUCGGCCUCACUUCUUUCCAAAUGGGUAACACUAGUCUCACAAUCCGUAAGUCCCCAAGGAAAUAAUGAUCAAAUAUUUCUUGUUGUCUUAUUUCAUGGAAAUUACCAACGUCGCCAUAGAAAAGUGUGUAGGUGGACUUGACCAAGACUUUUCUUCGCAAGUGGAGUGCAAGGCUAAAAGUGUUAGGUUUCUUUCUAUUUCAUCGGAAUGAAAGCUUCUCACUCUUCUUUGGUAAAUUAACAUUUGGGUCAACUAAUUUUUAAAAGGUAAAUAAUGUAAUAAUGUUAAUGGAUUGUCGUAUUUGAUUACUCGUUAAUUAAUUUUCAUUAACCCCUUGUUAAUGUAAUAAUGUUAACAACUUUAAAAAAUAUAUCCAAUAAAAUAUUAGAACUUAUAAUAAUUUUAGAGAAUUUUAUGUUUAGGUUUAGUUUUUAUUCUUAUCUUUUGUUUUCUUCUUUUUUUUGUUAUUAUAGUAAAAUUAUAUUUGCCCAUUUUUUUUAUCCUCUUUGUAGGUAUUUUUUCACGUUAAAUUUAUGUGUCUAAUUUUUUAAUUUCUUCCGCUAUUUUUACUUGUUUGUUGAUUAAUCAGGUAGAUCCCCAACAAAACCUUAUAGGGAAAAUUAUUUUAUUUUUUAAUUUCCUUUUCUCUAUUUUUAAAAAAAUUAAUUUUAGUUUUUUUUUUCCAAUAACAAGAAGAAAUAGGGAUUUUUCUAGUGAAUUGCUUGGGUUUUUACAAGGGAAAAUAAGAGUUUAUAUAAUGAAUUGAGUUAUAUUGAAAAACUUGAGCUUAUCUCGCAAAUGAAUAACUUAAUUCCUUGUGAAAACUCAAGCUUUUUCGUUGUUAUGAAAAAUAAAUUAUUUUAAAAAAAUUAGUGUUCAAAAUGAAAACUUAUUAAAGUUGGGUGAGUAAAAGUAGUGUAUAAUAACAUUGAAUUAAUUGUGGGUGACCAAAAUGAAAUAGUUUUUAAUGACAAUGCCUAAAAUGAAAAUGGUUUUAAUGGCAAUACCUAAAAUCAAUUUUUUUUUAUUUUUUGAUGGCCAAAAUGAAAAUUUAUGAAAGCUUAAUGACCAAUUGUGAAAUUACCCAAAAAAAAUUUCAUAAAAAAUAAAAGAAAACCAUAAGUAGUUUCCAUAAGAAAGUUGUCUAUCUUCAAUUAAUACAUGGGUAAACUAAGCUGAUUAAAUUAUUAAUAAAUUUAUAUAUAAGUCACUCAAUUUUAAAGAGUUAAAAAUAAUAAUCAUUAAAUUAUUUGAAAAUUUUUAUUUAAGUCAUUGAAUUGUUAACUUUUUCUUUAAAUAUCCGACUAGCAAGUUUUCAAGUGACAAUUUGAUGAUCAGUCAAUACUCAUCACUAAGUAGAAGAACAUAUCUUAAAUUCAAGUUGAUUUGAUGGUCAGCAUCAAAUAUAAAAGAAUCAAACUGUUUAGAUUUUAGUUCGUAGAUUUGUGAUAUUUAAAGUUAUUUCAUGAAAAGAAAUUAAAUUAUAAAAGAGAAGAAGAGUGAAAUGUUUCAAUUGGUGUAGACGAUGUAAAGAAAAGAUCAUACAAUAAUGCAAUGACUUAAAUAAAAAUUUUCAAAUAAUUCAAUAAUUUUUUUAUAAUUCUUUUUCAAAAUUUAGUUAUCAAAACGGAAAUAAAUAAAUAAAAGACCUGAGGAAUUCCUGAUCCAAUUUGAAAAACUAAAAUAUCUAUCGUUAAUAUACCAGAAUCCCAGAUAAUAAUUCACACAAGAAAACGCGGUUCUAAGUGAACCACGGAUUUAGCCUUGCAUAGGUGCGACGACUUGACCAAGACACUAAUGAAAUUAUUAAUUUUAAGGUCUCUGUAUUUGACCUUCUUUUUUCAAACAAAAGCAUCAGCUUUUCUUAACUUACUAGAAAUGCCGCUGGUUGUGAAAUAAUAAAUUUUAAAAACAUUAAAUUAUUAGGUAGGUACAUUUUGAAUGUUUCUUUUGCAUUUUUAUCUUCAAAGCUCAUAAAAAUAUGGGAAAAAUCCAACUAAUUUAAUUAUGAAAUUAAGAAAAUAAUUUUACGGGUAAUUAAUAUUAUUAUAAUUAAGAAUAAAUUAUCGAUACUAUUAUUUUACAGAAAAAAAAAGAACAUAAUUGAAUUUUAGUAUCGAUUUUCAAAAAGGUAUUGAUUUAGUAUUAAUAUCUACUAUGGAUUUGCAUUAUUGAUUUUGAAACUUAAUCCUAUUAUAUGAUUGGAGUUCACAACUAGAUCCUCUUUGAGUCCAAAAUUAAAUUAUAUAUAUUGGUUUAUAUGUGAUUUAUGUUUAAAAUUUAAGAGUUUUGUGUAUAAUAAAGAAAUUAUCAAUUGUUGAGCUUUGUCGUAACAUUGUUUACUCGGGUUUGACAACUGGGUAAGUAAGGGGUGUUACAUUACUCCUAUGUUAUCAACUACAAAAACAAAAUAAUAAUAAUAAUAAUAAUAAUAAUAAUGGAUUCUACAAGCAUUCUAAGAUGCAAAAUCAUUAAUGAUAACAUCAACAUUAGUGUUUUUCAAAAAAUCUUUCUCGCUUGAUAAAAUUGUCAGACCAUUCAACCGUUCUUGUGACAUUGACAACUUCAAGUAGGUUUUGAUUAACUUUAGCUUUGAAAAACUUUUUUCAAAUGAUGCCACAAUCACAAGGACCGUUAAGAAAAUUCUAUAAGCGAUUAAAAGAUUCGGAUAGCAAUCUGUAGAUUUAACAAACUUAAGAAUUUUAGUAGCUGACAUUAAUUCAUUCAAUAAGGUAAAUUGCAACACUUUCAAUCAGGUAACCUACGAAUUUAGCCUAUAAAUAGGCUCUAUUACAACCUUAAAAAAUAUACCCAUUAAAAUAUUAGAACUUAUAACAUUUUUGGAGAAUUUUAUGUUUACAUUUUGAGAGUUCUUUGUUUUCAGGUUUAGUUUUUAUUUCAAUCUUUUGAAUUCUUCAUUCUUUUGCCAUUAUAGUAAAAUUAUAUUUACCUAUGGUUUUUUUUAUCCUCUUUAGAGGGGUUUUUUCACGUUAAAUUUAUGUGUCUAAUUUCUCAAUUUCUUCCGCUAUUUUUACUUGUUCGUUGCUUAAUCAGGUCAAUCCCCAACAAAAACUUAUAGGGAAAUUUAUUUUAUUUUUUAAUUUCCUUUUUUCUCUUUUUAAAAAAAUAAUUUUAGUUUUUUUUCCAAUAACAAGAAAAAAUAGGGAUAUUUCUAGUGAAUUACUAGGGUUUUUACAAGGGAAAAUAAGAGUUUGUACAAUGAAUUGAGUUAUAUUAAGAAACUUGGGCUUAUCUCGCAAAUGAAUAACUCAAUUCCCAGUGAAAACUCAAGUUUUUUUCUUUUUAUGAAAAAUAAAAUUAUUUUAAAAAAAUUAGUGACCAAAAUGAAAACUUAUUAAAGUUGGGUGAGUAAAAGUAGUGUACAAUAACAUUGAAUUAAUUGCGAGUGACCAAAAUGAAAAUGAUUUUUAACGGCAAUGCCUAAAAUAAAAAUGGGUUUCAAUGGCAAUACCCAAAAUGAAUUUUUUUUAUGGCGAAAAUGAAAAUUUAUGAAAGCUUAAUGACCAAUUGUGUAAUUACCCAAAAAAAUUUCAAAAAAAAAAAACCAUAUCGUGUUUCCAUAAGAAAGUUGUCUACCUUUAAUUAAUACAUGGGUAAACUAGCAUUCUUAUUGAGACUCGAACUCAUAUGGAAGAAAAUAGAUUUAUGGAUAGAAUCAAAUAAGUAGUGGUUACAGACAAAAGUAUUCGGUUAUUGGUGAAAAAUUAAUAUACUUCUAAUGUCAAAUCAGGAUCAACAAGGACAGAAAUAAAGCAUUGAGUUGAACUCUUCUUUGGUGUCAAGAUAACAGCUAUGGAUAGUCAUCAACUCCCCAGAAAGGGUAGAAAAGUGGGACCUAUUAUGGGACAUACAAUGCAUUACAGGCUUAUGAUCAUUACGCUUCAACCGGGUUAUUCUAUUCCACCUCUUAGAACAAAAAGAACUUAAAUCAAAAUACUUAAUAGCAUGGCGAUACAUUUAUACAAAACUUCUACCCCGGGCUCACGCAAUGGAGCCGUAGACAAUCAAGUGAAAUCUAAUCUACGAAAUAAUUUGAUCUAUGGACAGCAUCGUUGUGGUAAAGGUCGUAAUGCCAGAGGAAUCAUUACCGCAAGGCAUAGAGGGGGAGGUCAUAAGCGUCUAUACCGUAAAAUUGAUUUUCGACGAAAUGAAAAAGACAUAGAUGGUAGAAUCGUAACCAUAGAAUAUGACCCUAAUCGAAAUGCAUACAUUUGUCUCAUACACUAUAGGGAUGGUGAGAAGAGAUAUAUUUGUCUCAUAUAUUGAACUAUUGAUUUACGUAAUUGGAAGGAACCAAUUAGGUUUACGAUGAAACCUAAAAAUUGAUCACUGAUCCAAUUUGAGUACCUCUAUAGGAUAGACCUCAACAGAAAACUGAAGAGUAACGGCAGCAAGUGAUUGAGUUCAGUAGUUCCUCAUAUAAAAUUAUUGACUCUAGAGAUAUAGUAAUAUGGAGAAGAAAAAAUUGUUUCAUGCACCGACAGAACCAGAAGCGCCCCUUGUUUCAAAGAGAAGAGGACGGGUUAUUGACAUUUCAUUUGAUGGUAAAAGGUGAAUUGAAAGCUAAACUGUGGUAAUUUGAAAGAUUCCCCGGGGGGAAAAUAGAGAUGUCUCCUAUGUUACCCAUAAUAUGUGGAAAUAUCGACGUAAUUUCAUAGAGUCAUUCGGUCUGAAUACUACAUGAAGAACAUAAGCCAGAUAACGGAACGUGAAGACCUAAGAUGUAGAAGAUCAUAACAUGAGUGGUUCGACAGAUUUGAUUUCCUAUAUAUCCACUCGUGGUACUUCAUUGUACAAUACAUAUAAGAAUUAUAUGAUAAGAAUUAUGCGAAUCCAUUUGUAUAGAUAUCAUCAUCUACAUCCAGAAAGUCAUAUGCUUUGGAAGAAGAUUGUACAAUUUGGGAAGGGGUUUUGAUUGAUCGAUCAAAAAGAAGAAUAUACUUCAAUCGGUAUGCCCUUAGGCACGGCCAUACAUAACAUAGAAAUCACACUUGGAAGGGGUGGACAAUUAGCUAGAGCAGCGCGUGCAGUUCAAAACUGAUUGCAGAGGAGGGGAAAUCGGCCACAUUAAAAUUACGUUCUAGGGAGGUCCGUUUGAUAUCCAAAAACUGCUCAGCAACAGUCAGACAGGUGGGGAAUGUUGGGGUGAACCAGAAAAGUUUGGGUAGAGCCGGAUCUAAAUGUUGGAACCCGAGCCCGGCCCGUUUUUUAAUUAAAAUUAAAAUUAUAUUUUUAUUAAAAUUAAAACUAAUUGUUAUUAAAAUUAAUUGUUAUCAAAAUUAAUUAUUAUUAAAAUUGUAUCAAAUUAUAUAUUUUUUGUACCAAUCAACAUUUUGUAAAAUCUAUCAUUUUGUUAGUAAAAUUAUUAAUUGUAUUAAUUGUUACUAAAAUUAUCAAAUUAUUAAUUAUUAAUUGUUACUAACAUUUUGUUAGUAAAAUUAUUAAUUGUUAAUUGUAUUAAUUGUUAGUAAAAUUAUCAAAUUAUAUCAAAUUAUUAAUUGUUAAUUGUAUUAAUUAUUGUAACAAAAUCUAACAUUUUGUAACUUAAAAUAAAACUAAAACUAGUAUAUUUUAAAAAUAAAAAUAUAUAUAUUUAAUAUAUUUUCGGGCCGGGCCUGGGCCAAAAAAAUCUUGCCCGAGGCCCGGCCCAUUUUUUAAACGGGCCUCAUUUUCUGUCGAAGCCCGUAUUUCGGGCCUAUAUUUUUACCCAAACCCUCCCAUAUUUUGGGCGGGCCGUCGGGCCGGGCUGGGCCACCCGGCCCAUGGACAAGUCUACUCCAUACUACCUAAAACCCAUGCAACCUUCAUACCCUAAGUGGUACGAUGCGAACGCCCAAUGCGAGUAUCACGCGGGGACUACAGGGCACUCGAUUGAAAACUACACUGCAUUCAAGAAGUUAGUUGAAAAUUUUAUCAAUAUGGGGAUUGUAAAAUUUGGUGACCCAUCAGGACCAAAUGUGGCAGGGAAUCCGUUACCCAAUCAUGUUGAUAAAGGGGUGAACGCGAUAAUUGAGAAUGGAGGAAAGAGAGUCAAAGCUAACGUAGCAGAGAUAAAGACUCCCCUUGAAUGGGUUUGGAAAUAAAUGAUAGAAGGAGGCCUCAUCAAGCAAGAUUUAACGGAAAGGCCUGAAGGAACAAGGAAGUUUUGUGAGUUCUAUGCGAAAGAAGGCCAUGACAUCCAAAAAUGCACCUAGUUCAAAACCAUGGUGCAAAACUUAAUGGAUAACAAAGAGUUGGAGUUUUAUGAAGAGAUUACGGGACUAGAAGAGGGAGAAGUUUAUGCCUCAGAGGAAGGAUCUGCAGGGAAAGCCCAAAGGGUUAAUCACCCAGUGGUGAUUAUUUCAAAGCCGAGGAGCACAUAAUCUGGAAUGCAAAUAGCACCUAAGGUCAUAAUCCAAAAACCUGCACCCUUUCCCUACAAGGAUAGCAAAAAGGUUCCUUGGAAUUACGACUGCAACGUGACAAUCCGAGGAGAAGAGAGCUUGGUAAAUGCUUCAAAAGAGGAUGUAGAAUUCUAUACGCGAAGUGAAAAACGUUAUGAUCCUGCAAAUGCAGGAGUGGAAUCUGAAAAAGGAAAAGCAUUAGCAGUUGAGCAAGGGAAAGCAAAAACGGACAGGAUUGAAUCGCAUGUUAAUCAGCCCAUAACUGAAAAUAAGGGUAGAGAAUUUCUAAAAUUCUUAAAGUAUAGCGAGUACAGUGUGGUGGAGCAACUUCAUAAGCAACCAGCUCGUAUCUCGGUGCUUGAGUUGCUUCUAAGUUUAGAGAUACAUUGUAAUGCAUUGAUAAAGGUACUAAAUGAAACAUAUGUCGCUAACGAUAUCUCGGUGAACAAGUUGGACCGUUUGGUUAACAAUAUAAGUGCCGACAAUUUCAUUUUCUUUAAUGAUGAUAAAAUACCACCGAGUGGAAGAGUAGCCACCAAAGCCCUACAUAUCACCAUUCGCUGCAGAGAAUAUACGUUGCCAGUGGUGCUAAUCGAUAAUGGAUCGGCCUUGAAUGUCUUACCCUUAUCCACCUUAAACAGGUUACCGGUGGAUAGCUCUCACAUGAAAUCAUGCCAGAAUAUAGUGAGAGCAUUCAAUGGUACCGAAAGGAGGGUGAUGGGAAGAAUAGAAGUACCCCUCUUGAUUGGCUCGAAUACAUACGAGGUGGAUUUCUUAGUGAUGGAUAUCAAGCCCUCGUAUAAUUACUUGUUGGGAAGAACUUGGAUUCAUUCAGCAGGAGCGGUGCCUUCAUCAUUGCACCAGAAGUUGAAAUUGGUAACUGAAGGCCGAUUAAUUACGAUAAGUACUGAAGAAGACAUCAUUGCAUUAGUGACCAAUGACGCACCAUAUUUGGGAAUGGAUGAUGAGGCGAUUGAAUGUUCCUUUCGAUCAUUAGAAUUUGUAAAUGUGACAUUUGUUGUCGAGGGAAAGAAGAUCCCGAUGCCUAGCAUAUCUAGAGCCACAAGGAUGGGACUACAAAUGACAGUUAGGAAAGGAGCUGUGCCUGGGAGAGGACUUGGAAUAUGCCUUCAAGGAAGGAUAGAGACACCAAUGGUGAAAGAUAAACAAUACUACUUUGGUUUAGGAUUUAAGCCAAAUGCUAGGUAAAGAAGGAAAGAGUUAGAAAAAAGACAGGAGAGGAGAAAGGCGCGUUUGAGUGGAGAAGAAGUUGAUUAGGAACCUAUGACUUUCCCCCACAUAUCUAGGACCUUCGUACCAAGGGGAACCAUGUAUUUUGGACUGAUGACACCAAGAAAGGAGACCACGAAGGAAAUGUUAGGAAACCUGAACAUCAAUGCCAUAUUUAAAGAAGACUCCGAAGAAGAAAGUAUAUCAGGCAUCCGUCCCUAUGAACCUGGGAGUGUUCUAAGUAACUGGACUGCAGAAGAAAUACCUGAAGUUUUUAGAGCUUCUCCAGAGUAAUAUUCAAAACAUACUAAUUGUUUUAAGCCUAGAGACAAUGAAAACUUUUUGUAAAAUGGGCAUAUGUUUGAACAUUGUGACUUCAAUGAAAUAUAUCUUCGCCAUUUCUUUUUGAGCAUAUAUUCUUUCAUUCUUUCGUAUGAAUAGUCAUUUUGGAUCCUUUUAUUCCAAAUCAUUCUUUCAUUAAUUCAUGACCAUACUAUAAAUAAGUAUUCUUAAAUUCAUACAUUCCUUGUAUAUUCUUUGGUACCUAUAACAGGUCCCAAGAUAUCAAUGACAUGAGUGACUCUACUAUGGACUCAGAAAAUCCUUUUGAACGGGAUAUGUGUUUAGAGAAAUCUCAUGAUUUUGAAGAUAACAUAGAUUGCAACCUAUCUCCAGACUUGUUGAGGAUGGUAGAACAGGAGAAGAAACAAAUCCUACCUCAUAAGGAGACGGUGGAGACUGUGAUCCUGGAAGAGGGAAAUGUGGUGAAGAUUGGAACAUGCAUAGCUGAAGAAACAAAACAAGACUUUAUUGAUUUACUUCGAGAGUUUAAAGACGUCUUCGCAUGGUCGUACCAGGAUAUGCCUAGCUUAAAUACUGAUAUUGUAGUUCACCAUCUUCCUAUAAAGGAAGAUUGCAAGCCAGUUCAGCAAAAACUCCGAAGAAUGAGGCCUGAUGUUGUACUAAAAAUAAAAGAGAAUGUUCAAAAGCAAUUCGAUGCUGGAUUCUUACAAGUGGUCAAAUAUUCCGAAUGGGUAGCCAACAUUGUACCCGUCCUUAAAAAAGAUGGGAAAGUACAAAUGUGCGUAGAUUACAGAUAUUUGAAUAAAGCUAGCCCGAAAGAUAAUUUUCCCUUACCUCACAUCGACAAACUGGGAGAUAACACGGUAGGACACUCACUAUUUUCUUUUAUGAAUGGUUUCUCGGGAUAUAACCAAAUCAAAAUGCAUCCUGAAGAUAUGAAGAAAACUACGUUCAUAACCAUAUGGAAGACUUUCUGUUAUAAAGUGAUGUCGUUUGGGUUGAAAAAAGCGGGAGCCACAUACCAGAGAGCCAUGGUGACCCUUUUCCAUGAUAUGAUGCAUGAGGAGAUUGAAGUAUAUAUUGACGACAUGAUCGCAAAAUCCCAGACGAAAAGAGAACAUGUACAAGUCUUAAGAAAGUUGUUCUUAAGAUUAAGAAAGUUCCAAGUCAAACUUAAUCCAGCCAAAUGUAUCUUUGGAGCUAGAUCAGGAAAACUUCUGGGGUUUGUAGUCAGUGAAAAAGGGAUUGAAAUCGACCCAAACAAAGUCAGGCCAAUUCGAGAUUUACCUCUACCACGUACUUAGAAAGAAGUUCGAGGUUUCUCAGGAAGACUGAAUUACAUUGCUCGGUUCAUUGCGUAAUUAACUGAGAAAUGUGACCCCAUAUUCCGUAUUUUAAAGAAACACAAUCCCGAUGUGUGGAAUGAAGAAUGUCAGGAGGCUUUUGACAAGAUAAAACAGUACUUGUCCAAUACCCCAGUGUUGUCGCCACCUAGGCCAGAUAAACCAUUGAUCCUGUAUCUAACAAUGUUCAACAACUCCAUGGGAUGUGUUCUAGGUCAACAUGAUGAGACGGGAAAAAAGGGGAAGGCGAUCUAUUAUCUUAGUAAGAAAUUUACUGACUGUGAAAUGAGGUAUUCGCCUAUUGAAAAAUUAUGUUGUGCCCUGAUCUGGACGACACGAAGAUUGAGGCAAUACAUGCUCUAUCAUAUGACUUGGCUAAUUUCAAAGUUAGACCAUCUAAAGUAUAUGAUUGAGUCAACAGCGUUGAAUGGGAGGAUGGCUAGGUGGCAGAUCCUACUCUCUGAAUUGGAUAUAGUCUAUGUAAAUCAGAAGGCUAUCAAAGGGAGUGCGAUAGCAGAAUUCUUGGCCAGCAGAGCUUUAGAAGACUACAAACCUCUGAAUUUUGAUUUCCCGAAUGAAGACUUGAUGUAUGUGGCAACCGCUGAAGAGGAUUCCCACAAAAAUCAUCCUUGGAAGUUAAAUUUUGACGGAGCUUCGAAUGCUGUAGGCAAUGGAAUUAGGGCAGUCCUGGUGUCCCCUAAUGGAGAUCAUUAUCCUUUUACUAGUAAACUGGAUUUUGAUUGCACCAAUAAUAUGGUUGAAUAUGAAGCUUGCAUCAUGGGCAUCCAGGCAGCCAUAGAGUGAAAAAUUAAGAUAGUAGAGGUAUACGGAGACUCUGCAUUAAUAAUUUACCAGCUCAAAGGGGAAUGGGAAACGAGAGACCCGAAGUUAGUCCGCUAUCAAAAAUUGGUUCUGGAAUUGAUUGAGGAGUUUAAAAGUGUCACCUUUUGUUAUCUCCCACGAGACGAAAACCAGAUGGCUGAUGCUUUGGCCACUCUAGCCUCUAUGAUCAGAGUGAACAGACCAGAAGAUAUGAAGCAUAUUCAGAUCAGCAUUCAUGAGACCCCAGCUUCUUGCUACAGUAUUGAAGAAGAGGAAAAUGAUGAUCAUCCAUGGUACCAAGACAUACUACGAUAUGUAAAGAAUCGUGAAUACCCCGACCAUGUGACAGAAAGUGACAAAAGGACAUUGAGGAGAUUGGCUAUUGAUUAUGUCUUAGAUGGGGAGAUUAUGUACAAGAAGGGAAAUGAUCAAGUAUUAUUAAGAUGCGUGGAUGCUGUGGAGGCUAAGAAAAUUUUGGAAUAAGUCCAUGAAGGUAUCUGUGGAACGUAUGCCAAUGGCUUCACAAUGGCCAAACAGAUUAUGAGAUUCGAUUUCUAUUGGUCCACCAUGAAAGGGGAUUGCAUUAAUUAUGUCAAAAAGUGCCAUAAAUGUCAAAUUUAUGGUGACAAAAUGCAUACACCACCUUCACCCCUUCACGUUAUGACCUCUCCAUGACAUUUCUCCAUAUGGGGAAUGGAUGUCAUCGGGCCAAUAUUUCCAAAGGCUUCUAAUGGACAUCGUUUUAUCUUUGUGGUUAUUGAUUAUUUCACUAAAUGGGUUGAGGCUGCUUCAUAUGCUAAUGUCACGAAAUCAACAGUUAGCAAGUUUCUGAAAAAGGAGAUAUAUGUCGAUACGGGAUGCCUGAAAGGAUCAUAUCUAACAAUACGUUGAACUUGAACAAUAACUUAAUAGUGAAAGUAUGUAGUUAGUUCAAGAUCAGACACCAUAAUUCGUCACCGUACCACCCAAAAAUGAAUGGUGCUGUGGAAGCGACUAACAAAAAUAUCAGGAAAAUUGUAGGGAAAAUGAUUGAAACCUACAAGGACUGGCACAAAAAAUUACCUUUCACUCUCCUGGCAUAUCGAACAUCCGUUAGAACUUCUACUGGAGCAACACCAUCUUCUUUAGUAUAUGGGAUGGAGGUAGUUUUACCCAUAGAAGUUGAAAUCCCUUCUCUCCGAGUAUUAACUGAACUAAAGUUAGAUGAGGCCGAAUGGAUUCAAUCUCGAUAUGAUCAGCUGAACUUGAUAGAAGAAAAGAGGCUAAAAGCUAUUCGUCACGGUCAGAUGUAUCAGAAACGAAUGAUGCGAUCCUAUAACAAAAAAGUUCGUCCCAGAGAAUUUCACGAGGGGGACCUAGUGUUGAAAAAGAUUCUUCCUCUACAAAAAGAUUUUAGAGGGAAAUGGAUGCCAAAUUGGGAAGGUCAUUAUGUAGUAAAGAAGGCCUUUUCUGGAGGAGCUUUGAUCUUGAGCGAGAUGAAUCCUGUAAACUCAGAUUCAGUGAAGAAAUACAUUACUUGAAGGAAGAGGGCUAAAAGUGAAAAUCUGUAAAGGGCACUUUAAGUCUAAAAAAAAAGGGAGAGGCCAAGGUGAAAACCUAUAAAGGGCGCCUUGAGACCAAAGGGGAUUUGAGUUGAAAACCUAAAAAAGGCGGCUCAAAUUUUGAUGGGACAUGAAGUGAUUGGGGCAGUUCAAAUUUUGAUUAAGAUCUGGGGCAUGUACUGGUCCCAUUAUACCUGAAUCAACAAGAAAAGGGUAGGCGACAUCUUUAGGCGUCGACAAAGUAAUGUUGAUUUCCUAAACACAUAUCAAAUUCAGAAUGGUCUUUAGAAAGCUUAUGUAGGGAAGCUCGUGCUGCGAUAUCUGGGGCACUUGUCGUCAUCUUAUUUAUUUUGAAUCCUAGCAGAAUUUACUAUCUUGAUUGAUAUAUUCAUUUCUAGCUUUGCUCUCAAUAAAAUUCCAUCUUGUCCAUUGUUUUUCUAAUCUUAUCUUAGCAAAAUUUGCUAUCUUGAUUAACUUAUUCAUUUCGAGAUUUGUUCUCAAUAAUAUUUUGGUUGUCCAUUAUGAUAAUCAUUUUCAAACAUUUGAAAUAAUGAUUGAUGGACUGAAUGUUCAAGCAAAAAGAGUUUUUGCAUAUUACUCUAGAAAUUUCUAAAUAAUAUAGGAACCUGAAACAGGACUGUUGUUUAGAACACACCAAGUUUAAAGUUUGAAAUGUUUAAGAAGAGAAAGUCUAAAUUGAGACUAUCCUUUCAGAUUUUACUGUCCGAACAUUGAUUAAGUAAAACGACAAGAUGUCGUAUUGGUGACAAAGCUUCAUUAAACAAACAAGCAAUGAUCACCGAAUGAUAAGAAGAGGUUUUCUCAGAAGAAAAAGUCUUACAGUUGUGCAUAAACACUUGGUACGACACCUUGGGAAUGGUGUACGAGGCCAAGGAGAUUCAGAUCCUGUAUCCCCAAUUUGCAGUGGGAGAGAUUUGAGAAAGAGCCAGAUCUUAUACUCCUAAAUUACAGUGGAAGGAAGAUGGUUUUGAAUUUUAUAUCCCAGGAUUACAGUGGGGGCAAUCCGAUCAAGUAAGAAAUGAGCAUUACCAACUGGAUAAGAUAGCAUUCUGACAUGUUGGUAGUUAAGCCUUAUUGAACAACGGGCAAUAACAACUCAAACAUUGAGGGAUCAUUUUCAUUUUGCAUGCAUGCAUACAUAUUUAGCCAAGAUAUUUUGAUUCAUUUCUAUCAUAAUCAGUAGGCAUAAAUAGGUUGAUAAAAUAGAUUAUACAGGUCAUGUUACCCAAAGAAUAGAUAAAUGAAGAUGGCAGAUCUGGUCUUCCUGAACUGACAGUAAAGCAUAUCGAAGAAACCAUAGUUUCCAAUUAAAAGAUUGAGGCCACAACGGUAAAUCUUAUUCCCAGGCAGUGCAGCGGAACAUAUUGAAGCUACAAUGGCAAAUUUUGCUUCCCCGAUAUUGCAAUUAAAAAAUUGAAGCCACAACGGUAAAUCUUAUUCCCAGGAGGUGCAGUGGAAUAGAUUGAAGCUACGACAGCGAAUUUUGAUUCCCUGACAUUGCAAUUAAAAGAUUGAGGCCACAACGGCAAAUCUUAUUCCCAGGCAGUACAGCAGAACAGAUUGAAACUACAAUGGCGAAUCUUGCUUCCCCGACAUUGCAAUUAAAAAAUUGAGGCCACAACGGCAAAUCUUACUUCCCAAGCGGUGCAGCGAAAUAGAUUGAAGCUAUAACGGUGAAUCUUGUUUCCCCGACAUUGCAAUUAAAAGAUUGAAGCCACAACAGCAAAUCUUAUUCCCAGGCGGUGCAGCGGAAUAGAUUGAAACUACAACGGUGAAUCUUGCUUCCCUGACAUUGCAAUUAAAAGAUUGAGGCCACAACGGCAAAUCUUACUUCGCAAGCAGUGCAGCGGAACAGAUUGAAGCUACAACGGUGAAUCUUGUUUCCCCGACAUUGCAAUUAAAAGAUUGAAGCCACAACAGCAAAUCUUAUUCCCAGGCGAUGCAGCGGAACAGAUUGAAGCUACAACGAUGAAUUUCAUUUUCCCCGACAUUACAAUUAAAAGAUUGAUGCCACAACGGCGAAUCUUAUUUCCAGGCAGUGCAGUAGAACAUAUUGAAGCUACGACGGCAAAUCUUGCUUUCUCGACAUUGCAAUUAAAAUAUUAAGGCCACAACGGCAAAUCUUACUUCUCAGGCAGUGCAGCGAAAUAGAUUGAAGCUACAAUGACAAAUCUUGUUUUCUCCGACAUUGCAAUUUAAAGAUUGAAGUCACAAUGGUGAAUCUUAUUUCCUAGGCGGUGCAGUGGGAUAGAUUGAAGCUACAACGACGAAUCUUAAUGCCCUGACAUUACAGUUAAACAGACAGAAGAAGCCAAUCCUAUAUCUCUGAAGUUACAGUGGAGCGGAUUAAAACCACAGAUCUUAUCUCUCUGAAGUUGCAGUAGAGCAGAUCGCAUCCAGUCUUAUCUCCCUGAAGUUGCAGUGGAGCAGACAGAAGAAUCCAAUCCUAUCUCUCUGAAGUUGCGGUGGAGCGGAUUGAAACCACAGAUCUUAUCUCCCUGAAGUUACAGUGGAGAAGAUUGAAGAUGAAUCCUAUACCUCUGAAGUUGUAGUAGGUCAGAUUAAAUCUACCAUAACAAGUCUUAUUUCCCUGAAGUGUAGUGGAGUGGAUUCAAGCGACAAGACACAGUGGACUGGAAUGAGGCUACUUGAAGAAGAAAAGCGUCAAAAGAAGUCGAGACUCGGUAAGGCCGGACAAAAUUGGUCUUUCUUAAUCUUUGCUCUGUUCCCGUUACACGACAACAAGUAAAGAUGGGCAGCUGUACAGACCCAUUCUGCCCGGGCCCAAACCCACCUAAACCUAAGCUUAAACCCAAACCCACCUAAACCUAAACCCAAAAUCCAUUACAAACUAAACCCAAAUAAGCCUAGGCCAGGACCAAUUAACCCAAUUACCCCAAAUUCAUUUCUUGUAGCCCAAAAUAAACAAAAGAAAGAAAGAAAGAAAGAAAGAACCUAACCCUAGGUGCACCGCACCUAGGGUAUUCAGUCCCAACUACCACCGCCGCUCCUCUGACCAGCGCCGCGCGGCCUCACCUGCUCACCAACUCCUCUGGCACCUGCAAGGGAGAAUGCACACGCAACAGAAAGUACAAUGACAGUAGAAAAAUAGUAAAAAAUAUUGUUGUAAUGGGCUAUAAAUAGCCGAAUAUCACCUUUGUAAGGGGCUUUUUUUGUUACGGAUUCAAAAAUCAAAAAAGGAAAAGUAAAAAAGGUUUUUUUUUUCUAAUGUUUCUUCUUGGUUUUAUUUAUUUUAGUUUAUUAAUCUAUAUUUUUAAAAAAAGUAUAGACACUAUUAAACACUUAAAAAAGAACAUAAAAAGAGGAAAGGAAAGAAAUUUACCGGAAUUGGCUCGCGAUCCUACCGUCGGUGACCUCUCGUCGGUGUCGGAUCCGGGUUCGGAAGAAGAUUCGGGGCGCCCCUUUUCUUGUGGCCUCUUGGUUUAAAAAGGCUUCGCUUUUAUACGUGCCGAAAGACAGGGCUUAAAAAAACCCAUCGCACGUGAUCUCGUGCGACUCCGGCCACUGGCCACGGAGGCGGUGUAGCGGAGGCCUGGAAGCCCGACGGUCGAAAAGAGGGAGGGGUUCUUAGGAGAAAAACUCUUUUUUUUUCUUUCUGAUAGGCAAAGAAAUGAAAUUUAAAAAAAAAAAGAUUUAUAUAGGCCAACUAAACGGCGUCGUUUAGGGCUGGCCCUGAUAGCCCUAAAACGGCGUCGUUUCACCUCAAGAUCCGCGCAUGUGACCCGACCCGACCCGACUAAGGGAUCCGCGUGUUUUUUAGGAUUGGGUUAUUUACCCUUUUGGUCCUUCUGCUUUUAGCGAUUUUUUAAAUCAAGUAUUUUUAUCGUUUUCAAUCAUGCCCCACAAUUUGUUGCGCUUUCAUUUUGACCCUUUAUCUGAACGACGUCAUUUUGGGGCAUGGGGAUUAUUACCCUUUUAGUUCCCUCAUGCUGCGCGCAUGUUCAGAUUGGUCCUUACCUUUUAUUUUACUUGGAUUUUGCCCCGAAUGUUUGAUUUAAGAUUCAAAUUAAUCCUUUCUUUUACCCUUUUUGUAUUUCUUAUUAAUUAAUUUAGUUAUUGUCUUCUUUAUAUUUUCUUUUUGUUAUUUCUUUAUUCAUUAUUAUUAUUAUUAUUAUUAUUAUUUACCCAUUUAUAUCCUUUAGUUUCAAAUUUUAUUAUAUAUACAUUAGAUUUUUUUAUAUUUUUUGUUAUUGUUAUUAUUGUUUUAUUUGAUGCUUAUUUGUUUAUAUGUUAAUUAUUAUUUUGAAAAAUGUUUUAGUUUUAUUCGUCUAUUUACAUGUUGUAUGUAAUCUAUUUGUCUUAUUAUUAUUAUUAUUAUUAUUAUUAUUAUUAUUAUUAUUUGUUUGUUAUGGUUGCUUGUUCAUAUCAUCGUAUUCAUUAUUUUCGUUUAUUAAAGCGGCAUUUAUUCAUAUAUUGAGUUUAACAUCACAUCAAUUUUACCCAAAUUCAUAAAAAGAGAAAAUUUUGAAAAUAAAGGCAAUACUCGGUAUUUGGGAUCUUCGAGAGGAUCGAGCCCUAACGUAUUGGGUUCCGAUUUCUUUCGUUGAGACUAAAUAGUCGAGAAUGCUCUUUCAAUCGAAAAACAUGAAUAAAAGCUCAUUAUCGGGAAUUCAAUAUGUUGUGUCCUAACGCAUUGGAUAUGACACGUUUUUUCGAUAUGAGGAUUUUCUUAAAAAUAACAAAGGCAAUAUUCAAUGUUUGGAAUGUUGAGAAAUUGUGCUCUAACGUAUUGGGCUGCGAUUUCCUCAUCUGACUUAAACAAUUGAAUAUCCUUUUUAAAUUUUAUCAUAUGAGUUUUUUAAGACAAGCAACUUGUUUUAUAUAAGUCUUUUAAAACAAAGGAUCGUAUUUUUAAAUCUCUUUAAAAUUUUCAAUUUUCGACAUUAAGACAUUGACUAAUCAACUAGGUACCAAUUUUUUGGGCGUUACGAGGGUGCUAAUCCUUCCUUGUACGUAACCGACUCCCGAACCCCUUUUUUUCUGAAUUUUGUGAACCAAAAUCGAUGUUUUAAUAAAAUCAAAUAGUUUAUUAAAAACAACCACUUUUCAAGGUGAUCCAAUCACACCUUAUCAAAAAGGAUUGGUGGCGACUCCCGUUUUCGUUUUCGUUUUCAAAUUCCAAGUCGACCCCGUUUUUAUCAAAAAUAUGGUGUCAACACUACUCAUAGCCCAUCUCAACCUGUAAAUAGGAGGAUAAUAAGCUUCAGCGUACUUGAACCCACCGUCCUCCUGCAUUGACAACAAUGUCCAGGUCAAUCGAGCUAAAACUCAAUCGGCUAUGGGAAAAAUUACAUGACUUGAUAUAUAUAUAUAUUGUUUGAUAUCAUCUAUAGUAUAUAUAAAAUGGUCGACUAAGUUAAUAAUAUGAAUCAAUUCGACACCAACUCAAUUAUGAAAUUAUUAAAAUAUCAUUACUUUAAAAUGUAAUUAAUAUUAUUAUAAUAGUUCUUUUGUUAUUUCAUACUUUUAUAUAAUAAUUAAAAUAAAACAACCUAAAAAAAAUUAUUUAAGAAUCAAAUAGAAGACCAAUAAAUUUAAAUAAAAAUCUCUUAUCACUCCACCCAUAAUCAUUUGUUGAAAUAAUUAUAUAUAUAUAUAUAUUUAAGGGAAAAUAUUUGGUACACAGUUAGUAAAGUUUUUAUACUCUACAAGAUUAGGGGUUUGACAAAUGUCUUAUAUGAAUAUAGUAAAAUAUUAAAAAAUAGAAAUUAAAAAAAAACGUAUAUCAAAAUUUUAAAAUUUCUUAUAAAAUAAAAAAAAUUAUAUUGUUAAUGUACCAAAUAUUUAUCUUACUUUUAAUAUAAAAUAUUUGCUUUAAAUUAUAGGUGUAAAAUUAAACAUGAUAAUAAAACCAAAAACUAUAGCUUUCAAAUUGAAGAAAAUAAAUGACUAUGUGCCCACAACCAUCAGAGACUCUAAGGCAUUAAAGGUAAUGAACAUGGUAGCAUGCAUAGUAGAAGAUGAGGAAUGUCCACUUUCCUUUUUGUUUACAAGUGCUUUUUCUUAUUUUUAUAUUUAAAUAGUAAUAAUAAUAAUAAUAAUAAUUAAAUCUUAGUUUUUAUCUUUAAAUUUAAAUCUUAAUUUUUAUCUUUAAAUUUUUAACAUAAUUAGUCUUUAUAUUUUUAUAAUGUUACUAAUUAGUUGAAAUAGUUAAUAUCGUUAACGUUUUUAUUAAAACAUUAUGUGGUUACAUAUAACUCGAUCUUUGCAGAAUGUCAACUAAGCCCAAAACAUUCUCAAACAUGGAAACCGAAAUUCUCUAAAUAUUCAAUUCAAGGUUGUAUAAUGCAACCAGGGCUAGUGAUACAUGAACGGAUGUCUGCUUCACAUCAGGAAAGAAAACAUCGAGCAAAUCAACUCCCUCCACUUGAUUGUCACCCAUUGCUAAAAACCUUGCUUUAAACACUCUAUUUUAUCCGAAACUACUACAAUCUGAAAUCUGUGAUUCCACCGAACUUCUCGAUAUCGAAUUUCGUUGUCUCCAUUUUUGAACGGGUUGCUUGCAGAAUCUAAACUAAACUCUAAUACAAAUUUGUUGGGGAUUGACCCAUGUAAAUAACGGGAUAGUAAAAGUGGAGGAGAACAAACACAAAUAUUUUACUUGAAAACUGUCAAAGAGGAAAAAACCACGAGCAAAAGAGGUAUCAACUUUUUACUAAACAAGUAAACAAACAAAGAGUACAAUAUGAGGAAAAGAAAUCUAAUUGCACUAAAUGUACAAUCCCAAACCCCAAAAGCUAAGCCCUAACUCUCAUAAAGAAAACUUGAAAAUAAAACCCUAACUCUUACGGAGUUUUCUCAAAAAGAGGUACAUAAUUCUUUCCAUAGUUACCACUAAAACUCUCACCAAAACUUAUCUGCGACUACUACAUCUUGUCGCCCUUCAACAGAAAAGUAUUAUAAUACUACAUCUUUAGUUGUCUUUUUAAUUGGUCUCCCAAAACAGGGAUAUAAGACCCCUCCAAAUAGGCAAAGAUUAGAGAUCUAAUCAUACUAAAAUAUCCCUGGAGUAAUCAGAGUUUAACUGAAAAAAGAUAGUAGAGUUUAAUUGGGAUAAGAAACCCAAAAUAUGUGAGGAACAUGUCGCAACGUUUUCAUUCGCGUCGUCUGUCAUCCCAACGUUAGGAAGUUUCUUGUUGUAAUGAUAUCGUCUGUUCGACCGAAAAUACGAUGCAAACUUAAUAAAUCUCCACCUUGACUCGUAUUUACCAUUCCUUCUUCUCCAUGCCCCGUCACGGGCCAAACUCGAUCUUUAUUGAAUGUUAACCAAGCCCAAACCAUUCUCAAACUUGGAAACCGAAAGACUCCUAGUCUUCAAAUCAAGGUUGUAUAAUGCAACUAGGGCUAGUGAUACACGAACGGACGUAUGCUUCACAAUAAGAAAGAAAACAUCGAGGAAAUAAACUCCCUCCACUUGAUUGCCACCCUUUGCAACCAACCUUGCUUUAAACACCCUACUUUAUAUAAAAUUGCUACAAUCUGAAAUCUAUGAUUCCAUCAACCUUCUCAAUAUUGAAAUUCGUUGUUGCCAUCCUUGAUGAGUUGAUUGCGAAAUCUGAACCAAGCUGUCACACUAGUUUGUUUGGGAUUGACUCAUGUAAACAACGAGAGGGUAAAAGUGGAGAAGAACGAACACAAAUAUUUUAAGUGAAAAACAGUCAAAGUAGAAAAAACCACGAAAAAAAUAUGUAUCGACUUUUCACUAAAUGAGUAAACAAAUGAGAGUACAAUAUGGAGAAAAUAAAUCUAAUUGUACUAAAUCUACAAACCCAAACCCCGAAAACAAAGCCCUAACUCUGAUAGAGCAAACUCGAAAACAAAACCUAAAUCCCAUAGAGUUUUCUCAAAAAGGGUUAGAGAAUUCUCUUCAUAUUUACCACAAAAACUGUCACCAAAACUCAUUUGCGACUACAUAUUGACGCCCCCAAAAGAAAAGCCUUUAAUUGCCUUUUUAAUUGGUCUUCAAAAAUAUAGAUGCAAGUCCAAUUAAAAUAGGCUAAGAUUAUAGGUCUAAUCAUACUAAAAUAUCCCUAGAUUAAUCAGAUUUUAAUUGGAAAAAUAUAGCAGAAAUUAACUGUGAGAAGAAACCUGAUUUAUAUGGGGGAAACAUCGUCACGUCACAACGUACCUAUUUGCAUCGUCACAAUGUUGUCCAUUGUCGUAACAUCGAGAAGCUUCUCAUCGUGACGUAGCUAUUUGUUUGGCCGAAAAUAUAAGGCAUACCCCACUAAUCUCCACAUUGACUUGUAUUUACCAUACAUUCUUCUCUAUACCCUGUCACGAGCCGAACUCAAUCUUUGCAGAAUGUCAACAAAGCUCAAACCGUUCUCAAACUUGGAAAUUGAAAGACUCUUAAUCUUCAAAUCAAGGUUGUAUAAUGCAACCAAAACUAGUUGUCGAAAACAUUUUUAAUUUUGAAAAAAUGGGAUCGACUUUAAAAAUAAAAAUUAGGAGUCGCCACCGACCUUUUAUUGAGGUGUGAUUGGUUCACCAUUAAAAACGGUUUUGAUCUGUGAAAUUUGAAAAAACGAGUUCGGGAGUCGGUUACGCACGAGGAAGGGUUAGCACCCUCGUAACGCCCAAAAUUGGUACCGCAUUGAUUGUUUGGUGUCUUAAUGUCGAAACUUUGAAAAGACUUUAAAAUACUAUUCUUUGAUGAGAAAACUUGAAUAACUAAAUUGAAUGAUAAGGUGCACCCAUUUCACAGAAAUAGAUUGCCACACUCAGUAAGUUAGGGUGCGACAAUUCAAUCUUUGAAAUUAGAUUCGUUCCUUUUUUAAGAAAAUCAUGUGCUUUAAGAAGGAUAUUUGAUUAUUUAAGUCAGUCGAGAAAUCGUAAUCCAGUAAGUUAAGGUUCAAUUUCUCGAAGUUCUCAAACAUCAAACAUUGCCUUUAUUUCGAAAUUGAGAUAACAAAAUGUUGUAUCCAGUAAGUUAGGAUCAAACAUUUUGAAACCUUAAGAGCUUUAUUUUAAUGCUUGUGUGGCUUUAAUAAAAUGGGCGCUUGAUCAUAUAAAUUCAUCGAGAAGAAUCGAAGCCCAGUAAGUUAGGGCUCAAUUCCCUCGAGAACCUAUGUACGUCAAGCCCUUUUUAAAGUUUGUGGAAUAAGACGGUCAUGAGGCUUUAAUAAAAUUCAACUCAAAUGAAACAUGAUUGAAUAACGAUACAUAGAAUAAUUUAAACUUAAACUAGAAGCAAUUAAACUAAUAAUAGGCAAAUACAAACAUCGAUUUAAAGCAUAUUAUGCAAACAUCCAUAUUAACAUUUAAGCAACCCAUGAAUUCACAAUCAAUUAAAAAACAAAAGACAAUAACAACAAUAAAUAAUACAAAUGUAAUAGAACUAAGAAAACAAAUAAAAUGUUUGAAUGAAUUUUAAUGAAAGGUUUAUAAAAAACGAAAUGAAAUAAAACUGAAUAAUCUUAAAAUUAAUACCUACAUCUUGAUUUAUAUAAAUAAAAUCUAGUAUAAAUAAUAGUAUAUACAUAACAAUAAUAGAUGGAAGUUAAAAUAAAACGACAAAUUUAGAAGGAAUACGACUUCCAUACAUAAAUAUAUCAUUUGAAAUUAAUAAGGUAUUAUUAUAUAUAAUUAUAUAUAAAAAUAUAAAUUAACCUCUUAUAAAAUAUAAAGUUAAUUAUAUAUAUAAAUAUAUAAAGUUAAUCAUAUAUAUAAAAAACAAAUACAUAUAUAAAAAAUUUAAAAAUAAUAAUAACAGUAAUACAAUAAAAAAAUAAGUAUGAUAAUAAAAUAAUAAUAGAUUUCCUAAAUAAAAAAAACUAAAUAACAAAAGGGAUUAAAUCAUAAAUAAAAUCGAAUUAACAGGGAAUAACUAAGAUUAAAGAGAAGUAGGGGGACCAUGUUGCAACACGCGUAUUACAUGGGGGCCCGAUUGGGAAAUAUCUCGCUUCCUCAAAACGCGGCGUUGCAAGCUGGGCCGAAAUGAAACAGAAACAAAAAUGUAGAGCAAAAUCGAAAAAAAAAUAAAAAGGGAUCGAUUUAAAUGCGCUGUGAAAAUGGCAAGGACCAUUUGCGCAAAUCGCCCAACGGAGGCCAAAACGCGCGGAUCCUUCCCCGGGUUGGGUCAUUGCGCGGGUAGUUGGGGUUUAGUCGGCCAACACGACACCGUUUAAGGGCCACUGAAACAGGCCCUAAACGGUGCCGUUUUACACGCUAUAAAAGGCCCCUCAUAACCCUAAAAACAAAUCUGCUGAAAAUAGAUCCUGGCCUCCACACUUGCACCGCUUCGACUAGACGUCCCGGAGCCCUCGAACCUCGUCUCAACUCCGAUGAUUGUAGAGAGAACAAGAGCUCGGCUACCAGGUAUGUUUACACUCCUAAAUCUCUUUCUUUUAUUCCUCUUCUACUCAAAUAAAGAACCAAAUGCUCAUAGGAACAAAGAAAUGAAAGAAAAAAAGGAAAAGGAAACCAAAUGCAAAGGAAAAUUUUUUCACCUUUCGAACUUUUUUCUUUUUUAUUUCUCUGAAUAUUUUUCAAUAUGUGUGUGUGUCCCCUUACAAAAGUUUUCGCCUUUUGUUUUAUAGGUCGAAAACAAUGAACAAAAAAUGAAAAAUGAAAAUACAUUUUUUUUGUUUUCUACUGCGUUGUUUGCUCUGUUUGCAGGUCGUUGCAGGUGUGAGGCCGUACGGUGACGUGGCACGACUCGGCGCAGCGCAUGGAGGUUACUGUUGCAGCGGCUGGAGCUGAAUGCUGUUGAAGGCUAGGGUUUCAUUUUGACUCGGGCCAUGUAAACUGGGUUAGAGUAUUUUGGGCUCGGGUUUGGGCUUGGUGUUGGGUAAUACCAUUUAGGCUGGUGGGUUUUGUGUUGCAUUGGGCUUGGGCUAAAGUAAUUUUGAUUUAUUUAGGUCUGUAAUAUUGGACUUUGAAAGUGGACUUUUAAUUUUUUGAUUUGGUUUAUUUAUUUGUGCUUUUGGGCCCGGGCAAAUUGGGCCUAUUACACUAGUGAUAUACAAACAAAUGUGUGCUUCAGAACAGGAAAGAAAACAUCGAGCAAAUUAACUCAUUCCACUUGGUUGUCACCCUUUAAACACUCUACUUUAUCUGAAAUUGCUACAAUCUGAAAUUUUUGAUUCCAUCAAACUUCUCAAUAUCGAAAUUCGUUGUAGUCAUUCCUGAACGAAUUGGUUGAAAAAUCUGAAUCAAGCUUUAAUACCAGUUUGUUGGGGAUCGACCCGUGUAAACAACGAGAUAGUAAAAGUGAUAAAGAACGAAUACAAAGAUUUUACGUGAAAACUGUCAAAGAGGGAAAAACCAUGGGCAAAAGAGGUAUUGACUUUUCACUAAAUGAGUAAACAAGCGAGAGUAUAAUAUGGAAAAAAAUAAACCUAAAUGUACUAAACGUGCAAACCCAAAUCCUGAAAACAAGACCCUAACUCUCAUAGAGCAAACUUGAAAACAAACCCCCAACUCUCACAGAAUCUUCUUAAAAAAGGGUACAAAAUUCUCUACAUAGUUACCAUGAAAACUAUUACCAAUACUCAUCUACGACUACAUCUAGUCGCCUCUAAAAGAAAAGUCAUGUAGUACUACAUCUUUAAUUGUCUUUUUAAUUAGUCUCCCAAAACAGGGAUACAAGACCCCUUUAAAUAGGCUAAGAUUAGAGGUCUAAUCAUACUAAAAUAUCCCUAAAGUAAUCAGAGUUUAACUAAAAAAAGAUAGCAGAGUUUAACUGGAAAAAGAAAUCUGAUUUAUGUGGGGAACACUUUACCACAUCGCAACAUCCCCAUUCAUGUCGUCACGACGUCGUAACGUUAGGAAGCUUCUCGGCAUGACAUCAUCGUCUAUUCGGCCGAAAGUAUGAGGCAUACCCCACACUUUGUAAAUUUGAAAUUUAGUUCAUGUAUUGCUAUUUUUAGGAAUUUCGUGUAUCUACAUUCUAGAUUUCAAAUCAGGUCCAAUUGUUAACAUUGUUAAAGUUUUAUUUGUUAAACUUUUUGGUGUGACAUUUUGAAAUAAAAAAAAUACUCACUUGAUAGCCAUGUAACUAAAACCAUGAUGUUAUGAUAAACCUAAAUUUAAUAAAAGAAAUUAGCAAUGUUAACAAUUAGACUUGUAUUUUUAAAAUGGAAAAUAAAAGACUAAAUUCCUUAAAAUAAAAAGUAAAAGGAUUCAAUUCAAAAUGUAGUAAGAGUAUAAAAGGUUAUAUCACAUUUUAACUUACAUAAAUUUAUUAAAAUCUCCAUAUCAUUAUAAUAAAUUAUGAAAAAUAUAUUAUAAAGCUGGACAUAAACACAAAAUAGAUAACAAUUAUUUUGUAAAAUGAAUUUUAAUAAGAAACAAUGCAAAAAUGUUAAAAAGUAAUAGAAUGAAAUCAAACCCCUUAUCUGAAUAUAUGUUGCAUUGAUCUCAUUUCUUUGUCAAUUAAUUUAACAUUCCCAAAUCUCUUGAUAUCCUCUAUAAAUGUCAUUAAGUUCCAAAUGAAAAUGAUUUUUUUUUCUUUACCAUCUCCUAUUUGAGCCAAAAGAUUAACAUUUUUCUUGAAAAUUCCCACCGUGAGGGCUCUUGGUUGUGAACCAUCGACGCGCAUGCGAUUCCUGUUCUAGCUGGGCUCCCUUCCUUGCAAAUGGAUAACACUACACACAUAUUCCUUUUUGUCUUCUUUCAUGGAAAAUACCAACAUCACUAUUUUAUCGGAACGAAAGAUUCCUAAAAAAAAAAAAAAAAAACAAAUGGUUUUUUUUUUAAUUACAUUGGGUCAACUAAAUUUUAAAAAAAUCAUUACGGGUUUUCAAAAAUUCACUAAAUUAUUAGUAAAUUUACAUUUUAGUCACUCAACUUCAAAAAGCUAAAAUAAUGGUCAUUGAACAAUUCGAAAGCUUUUAUUAAAUCACUGAGUUGUUAAAUUUUUUUUUAAAAGUUUGACUAGCGAGUUACAAAUGAUGAUUUAACGAUCGGUACGAUGGAUCAGUAUCUAUCACUAAGUAGAAGAACAUGAUACUUUAGAUCCAAAUCGAUUUGAUUGUCAAUAUCAAAUGUAAGGGCCCAAUUUUGCCCGGGCCCAGAUUACAAACAAUAAAAUAAAAAAUAAAUAGAACCAAAAAUAAAUAAUAAAAAAGUCCAGUUCAUUUACAAAAAAAAAAGAGGCCAAAAUAGCCCAAAUCAGUAACCUAAUGGCCCAGCGGCCCAAAAAUUAAAAUUUUUCAGAUUUUUUAGAAACCCUAGGGUUUCUGGCAUCGCACCCCCUCCCUUCGCAUGCACGUCGCCCAAGGCACCUCGUCUCGAGGCCUGGCGCGCCCCUCCUGCCAUUUGCACCAAAAUAGCAAGGGUCUCCCUCUCCGUUGACUCCGCCACCUGCAAGAAAAGAGCAAAAAAGGACAGAGACAACAAACGCAAAACAAUAGUGAAACAGAAAUAAACAGUGUAAUAUUGGCUAUAAAGGCCAUGAAAAUAUAUUGUAAUUUUUACCAGGAAGCAAUCAAAACAGAAUAGAAAGAAAAAUUCUAAAAUGUGGUCCUUCUAUUUUUUUACUCUAUUUUAUUUAUUUUUUAAAUAAAUAUAAAAUAAAAAAGGGGUCGAAAACCUACCUUGCCCUUCGUGUUCUGCUGCCGUGAGUGGCCGAGGACCGUUAUCUCCGAUGAAAGAUGACAUCUUUCGAGUAAAAGGGUCUUCGAAACCCAUAAAUCAAAAGUUUUUUUAGGGAUUUAUGCUAUUUUGAUGAGUUCUUUUUUUAAAAAAUAACCCCAUAUUUGGGUUCGGGGAACUGAAAGGCCAAAGAGCAGCCAUUUUUGCGUUUUUCGACUUCAAAACGAGAUAUAAGUAACGAUCAAUUGGUGUUUAUUCUCGUUUUCGAGAUUUAAGGCAUUUCUCGUUUUCGAGGAGGCAUUGUGUCCUAACUUACGGGACGUGAUCAUUUUUCUCGGUUAACUUGAAAUAAACUAUUUUCGCAAAAAUUACUUUAGUUAGAUAAUGCCUUAAUACAGAAAGGAUCAUGUUUUAAACUUUUUUCAGAGUUUCAAUUAACGACACUAAGACAUUAAUUAAUCAACUAGGUACCAAUUUUGGGCGUUAAGAGGGUGCUAUUCCUUCAUCGUGCGUAACCGUCUCUUGAAUCAAUUUCCUGAAUUUUGUGGACCAAAAAUCGUUGUUUUAGUAAAUCAAACCGUUUAUUAAAACGAUCAAAUUACGAGGUGAUCCGAUCACACCUUAUAAAAAGGAUUGGUGACGACUCUCAUUUUUUAUUUUUUAAAAUAAAAAGUCGAUUUAAAAAAAAAGGGUUUCAACAUCAAAGAUCAGAGAAUUGCGUUGUUUGAAUUUUGAUUCGUAGAUUCGUGAUAUUUAAAGUUGUUUAAUGAAAAGAAAUUAAAUUGUAAGAGAGGAGAGGAGUGGGAGCUUUCGAUUGAAAAACAUAUAACAACGAUUUUAAUAACCCAAUGACUUAAAUGAAAAUUUUCAAAUUGUUCGGUGAUCAUUUUGUAAUUUUUUGAAGUUAAGUGACUAAAAUAUAAAUUUACUAAUAAUUUAAUAACUUUAAAUAAAUUUACCCUUAAUAAAUAAAUAAAUCACCCAAGGAAUUCCUGAUCUUAUUUGUGAAAGUAAAAGAUCUACCAUUAAUUUAGCAGAUAAUAAAAUGGUUUUAAAUUCCUGAAAAGAAAAUUGAGCGCCAGAAUUAAUUAAUCGAAGACUUAUUAUAAUUGAAGUCUUCUGUUCCAAUUGGGCGACGACUUGACCAAAACUUUAUUUCAAGGAUUAGUUAGAUGUCUCUUCUUUUUUCAAGCAAAAGUAUUAACUUUUUUUUCUUUUCAAAAAGCAUCAACUUCAUAAUGAAAUGUCGUUGGUCAUGAAAUAAUAUCUGCUUUAUAUUCAUACGUAGCUGUUAAUUUGAGUACAGGCAAUAUUUUUAUAUGGGGAGUGAUUCAAAACCAUUAAGGGAAUUGGAUUUUCGGAUUCAAUCACUUUUUGGAGAUGUGUUCAGUCUUUGAAGUUGAAUUAUGAGACAUAAUUUGAGUCUUUUACAAGAUUAAGGCUUGAGCAAAUUAUCGAUUCACGAGGAUAGUCUGAGUUUUAUAACUAGUUCGAGAUCAACAUUAGUUAGGCGGAUCCAACAGAAGCUACAAAAUUUCGAACAUUUGAGAGAUCAAAUAUGUUCCGAGAGAAGUUAAUUUAGUCGCAAACCGAAUUGCGAAGAUGGUAUCUGUGGAGGUGGAGGGAGUUAAUGUUUUGACUUUUACUCUUACGAAUCUUUUAAAAUUCCUUGAAAGUGAUAAAAUUAAUGGUGCUUUCGAUUGUAUUAAUGUAACAAAAUCAAUUAAGCUUAGUUUAUUUCACCCAAAAAAAUAUUAAACUUUUAAUUAUAGGAUAGGUAAUUUUUGAAGGUUUCUUUUGCUUUUUUAUCUUCAAUAACUCAUAAAAUUAUGGGAAAAAUUACAUUACUUGAUAUAUAUACACACAAAAUAUAUUAUAAAUUUAUUAAAAUCUCCAUAUCAUUAUAACAAAUUAUGAAAAUAUAUUAUAAAGCUUGACAUAAACAGAAAAUAGAUAACAAUUAUUUUGUAAAUUGAAUUUUAAUAAUAAACUAUGCAAAAAUUUUAAAAAGUAAAAAUAAAUAUUAUAAAUAUAAUACUAAUUUACAACAUAAAUAUUUUUUUCAAAAUCAAUAUUUACUCGAAUAAUAUAAUUAAAUUCAAUACAUAUAUAUUACUAAUUUACAAAAAAAUAAUCUAAUAUAAAUUUAACCCUUAAAAGUUAAUAAUUUUAAUUUAUUAAAUAACAGUUUAAUAAAAUCCCCCAACUUUAAUCAAAAUGAAAGAAAAAAAAUAGUAUUUUUUUUUAAAAGGAGGUAUUAUUAGUAUUUACAUUCAUAAUCAUCUAAAUUAUGUUUUCGACACAUUCAAUGAAAGUAAAUAAACAUAUAAAACACAACACCUUCAAUACACCGAUUCUUAUCCAAUAUGAUGAGCAUUUCUUUUAUUCGUUCUUGCAAUGUUAGGAGCAACGACCAAAAUAAUAUCGUCAAUGCUUAAGAGUGUAUGAGAUAUGGCCGGAAGUCUGCAGAAGGGAAAAUGAUGUUAGAAAACGAAAAACUUUCUCAUCCGGACAUGUACUAUUUUUAGUUUACCCUUAGGCUUAGCUAAGCAAAUUCAGAGGAGGGCUUCUUCUCCCUUAUCUCCUUGCUUACACCCCAACCUUAGUUAUGGCACAUGUACCGUCAAAUAUUAUUCUCUUGCUGUUCCUUCUGGUUUCUUUCCAUGUUGAUGUCAUAGCUGAAGAAGAUGAGGCAAAAAUUAUCAAACCCGGUUCUUCACUUUAUGCCGGAAAACAGCCUAGCUCGUGGGCAUCACCUUCGGGGAAUUUUGAAUUUGGUUUCUACCGGCAAGGAGAAGGAUAUGCGGCCGGAAUAUGGCUUGUUGGUCGACCAGAAAACACCAUUGUCUGGACUGCAAAACGAGAUGACCCGCCUGUCUCCUCAAAUGCUACUUUAUUCACUACACGAGGCGUAUUGCUUCUUCGGACUGAGGACGGGGUGGAAAAUGUCAUUGGGAAUCAGUCCGGCGUUGAUUCAGCUUCGUUGCUGGACACCAGGAAUCUAGUGCUCUACGAGAACAGGUCUGUUGUUUGGGAGAGCUUUGAUAUCCCGACCGACACAAUCUUAGGAGGCCAGAAUUUAAGAAAUGACAGUGUGUUGAUUUCCAGUGUGUCAAGUUCAAACCACGCAACUGGCCAUUAUUAUUUGCUCUUGAAGUCUGAUAUUGGGCUUGUAGCCAAUUUAAAUAUUUCUUCUGCAGCUGCUUAUCAGUACUGGGUCUUCCCUAAUGGCUUUUCUUACUCGUUGAAUCUCAGUGAGAGUGGCGUUCUAGCACUGUAUUCAUCACUAAAUUUCGGCCAAGAAAACGUUUUGGCAAACGGCUCGACAACUAGGAACAAAACAAUGAUUAUCUUAGAGCAACCCUUGAUCAUGACGGUGUCUUCAGAUUGUACUCGCAUCAACUUGAAAGCAAUACUAUGUCAAACAAGUGGCAGAAUUUGGAUGAUGAAUGUGAGAUUCCAGGUCGGUGUGGGUUGAACAGCUACUGCUCCACCAGCAGGGGUAACGAUACUGAGUGCUACUGCUAUCCUGGUUUCAUAUUUAUCGACGAGAAUGCCAAAUCCCUGGGUUGCUCUCAGAAUUUCACUGUAGAUGGGUGCGAGGCUAGGAGAGAUGUAGUGAUACACCACAAUAGCACUACCUUAGACAAUAUGUUUUGGGGUGGUAAUCUUUAUUCUGUGAAGCGUAAUCUGGAGAAGGAAGACUGUAAGAAAGCUUGCGAGGAUGAUUGCUCCUGUGGUGGAGCUCUCUAUAGCAAUAACUGUAGCAUGUAUUCAUUACCGCUUAAAUAUGGUAGAAAACAUGUAAAUAUAACAACCACAGCCUUCAUCAAGUUGAUUCUGGGUAGCACCAUUAGGCCCCCACCUGAAACAAGUCAAAUAUUGAUAAGCGAAGGAAACCAAAGCCUCAUUUUAACUAUGGGCUUAAGUUUGGGUUCCGUUGCAAGCUUGUGUUUUGUGAUUGCAAUAUGUAGCUUCUUGUUAUACAGGCAUCGAGUCCAAAGUUAUGAGAAGCUUUUAGAAAGUAAAAGUUCAGGAUUUGCCGAGCAAUUUACACUACGAUCAUUCACUUUCAAUGAGCUAGAUGAAGCAACACAAGGUUUCCAAGAUGAGUUGGGUAGAGGCUCAUUUGGAGCGGUUUAUAAAGGAACUUUGCCAGGGGAUGGUAAGAGUAUUGCCGUUAAGAGAUUAGAAAUGGUUAAGGAAGGAGAAAGGGAUCAGUUUCGAACUGAGAUGACAGCCAUUGGAAGAAAUAACCACAGGAACUUGGUCCGAUUGCUUGGAUUUUGUGUGGAAGGUUCAAGGAAGUUCCUUGUUUAUGAAUACAUGAGCAAUGGCUCACUAGCGGAUUUUCUAUUCAACAGGAAUGAACGCCCGGUUUGGAAACAGAGAGCCAGAAUAGCGUUGGACGUGGCUAAAGGUAUCCUUAUAUUUACAUGAAGAGUGUGAGGUGAGUAUCAUCCAUUGCAACAUCAAGCCCUGCAACAUACUCUUGGAUGAUUCAUUGACUGCAAAGAUUUCGGAUUUCGGAUUGGCAAAGCUAUUGAGGCCUAAUCAAAGAAGCAGUACAAGUGGAGCAGCAUGGUACUCGGCACCUGAAUGGCAAAACAGUGCAGUGUUAUCGGUAAAAGUUGAUGUAUACAGUUUCGGAGUGAUACUGUUGGAGAUCAUAUGUUGCAGAAGCAACAUAGAAGUAGAAGGUCGCAGUGCAGAUGAGAUACUGCUUUCAACAUUUGUAUACAAUUGCUUUGUUGGGGGAGAGUUGAAUAAGCUCGUGGAAGGUGAAGAAGAAGUGGACAUGAAAAUGGUGGAAAGGUUUGUGAAGGUGGGGCUUUGGUGCAUUCAAGAUGAUCCAAAUUUGCGUCCACUCGUGAAGAAUGUGAUCUUGAUGCUAGAAGGAACAAUGAAUGUACCGAUCCCUCCAUUUCCAUCACCUCCCCAUGUUACUAAUUAGUGUUCUUAACUUUGAAGUUGGGUUUAUUUUAAUUAUGUUUUUCAUGUAAUUAAUAAUAAUUAGAGGAGUAAUUUUUAAAAUAAAAUUUUGGAAACUAUCUGGUUGUUACAAAGAAGGACAUUUUAUGUUCUAUGCAUCAAUUAUCAUGUGAUAAGUGAAAGGUCUCUAAUCUAUACAUCAUUUAUAAUAUUAAAAGUAUACAUGGUUUUUUCCUUUGUUUUCACUUAUGUGUUGUGUUGAAAAAUUAAAUGUUAACAUCUUAAAUACUUACAAAAUCAACGUGGUAUGUUUGUUAAAUUUAAGGAACAGUUAUGAUUAAAUUGUUUGAUAAAGGAUAGCUUUAGGUGUGUUUCUAAAAAUUUUAAAAAUAUCUUUCGGUCUCACUUGCCUAGAUAUUCUUUUAGGGGCAUUACUUCCUAAUUUUUUAGGCCUCCUCAAUUUAGUUCAAUUUAUUGCAAUUUAGUCUUUUUUCCAAAAAUCAGCUUACCUACAUUUCCAUCAACCAAAUCCUUUUUUAGGUUUAGCUAUUUAUGCUGCAAAUAAAGAGAAUGGACAUGGAAAUGAAAAGCAAACAAAACAUUGAAGUUUAAGAAAAAAUAUGAAAGUUUAGAAUUUUAUGCAAGAAAACUUAAAGAACAUAAAACUAAAGGCAUUCCACAGGGAAAUCUAAAACAAUAAACAGAAAAAGGAAUAAACUUUAACAAAUUUAAAGUAAAAGAAACUAAAAUGCAUUAAACUAAAGUUAGAAAUGUCUUACAACCAAGGUAUAGGGAUUGGAAGUGCAAAUAAACUUAAGCUAUAGUAAUAACUAACUAACUUAACUACCACUAAGAACAACUAAGAACAACUAAAAUAAGAAAGAAAAUUGUUGGGAAAUGUAAAAUCUACUACUAAAGAAAUGAAAAUAAAAAAAACCCUAGAAAAAGAAGAAGAAAAGCUAAGAGAAAACCUAGAGAAAACUAAGGUAAAACUAAACUAAUGUGUGUCUCCUCUCCUCAGCCAAAUUUGGUUAUUUUAGGCUGAAUGCUAAUAGUACUUCGUUGCCAAAAUUGCCCUUACGUGGGCCUUGGAUGAUUGGUGGAUCGGGUAGAAAUAGACUACUCUUUUUAUCUAAUUUUGUCCCCCUCACAAUGUUGGUGUCACGAUACCUAGAAGAGGAUAUCUCGAUUCCUCAAGUAGUUUCGAACCUUGGGGUCUUCUUUGAGGGUGGAUAUCGUGAUACCACUGAAAAGUGGUCUCCCUUCUUUCCAUACUGUUGGAGGUAUUGUGAUUUCAAGGUAUGAAAAUAGCGAUACAUUUUCUUUUGGUGUCAUUUUCGCUCGUUUUCAACCUCAGCACGUUCUUACACCACUCAACCAAAUGUUAGGUCCCCCAAUAGUACUAUUGGCCAAAUUUGAUCAUAAAAUGAGUAAAAAUAAGGCAUUUACACUUAUCAACUUAAAAUAUAAAAAGUAAGAAAAAGUAUGAAAAAAAUGCUAUUUUGCUUGAGAAUAAGGUCCUUAAGUAUAUUGGUAAAGUCUAAUUUGCCAUAUCAAAUUAUGGUAGAUAAAACUCCCCCACAUAUAACUCUUUGCUUGUACUUAAGCAAACCAAACAUGCAAAAGGAAAGACGACUGUUGGACUAAAUCAGACAAUUAAGUCAUAUAUCUAUAAAACAUCAAACUCGUACGGGAACUGCCUCAUAUGCAACUUAAGAGUGAUAUCUAGAUAACUUGUUUAUUCUUAAUACAAACAUAAUUAGUUCACUAAGUUAUAAUGUUAAUAGAUGUAGAGGCAAUGAAAAUUAAAAAAUGUACAAGUGUUAUCCAUCAAAAUAAAUUAUGCGAAUUGCUCAUAGAUAUUUUAAAAAAAUGGAUCAUAUUCGUUCAAACAAAUGUAGACUAUUUAUGAAUUAUUGUAUUGGUGACAUAGAUUAUGUUAAGUAAUGCUUUUUAGAAGUACUUUUGAUAUGAAAAAUACUUUUGCAGCAAAAAGAACAAGAUAUUUUUUGCUGAAAUUUUUGGCUUUUCAAAAGUACUUUGAAAAAAAAAAGAGAAACUAAAAUUUUUAGCUUUUCUUAUUCCAAAAACAUUUUUAGUGCUUAAUUAUUUUUUCACCUCUCCAAUAAUAUGGUACUUUCUCUCUUUUUUUCUCUGGUGCUUAAUUACAAAAAUGUUAAAAUCAUUAAUUAAAAAUAAAAAUAUAUUUUUAAAAUAAUACAAAUGUGUUAAUAUCUAAUUACAAAUAUUUAAUGGUUAUAUUUAAAUAUUUAAAAUAUAAUUUAUAUAUUCUACUAAAAUUUUAUAAAUAAAUAAUAUUUAUUGUUUAAAAUAUUUAAAAUUUAUAUUUCAUAUAUUAAAAUAUUAAUAAUAAGUUAUAAUAGUUUUUUAUUCUUACUAGAAUAUAAUAAUAUUAACUAAUUUGAACAUUACUUAAAUGCAUAUUUGUUACUUUAUAAUAUUAUGUCUAAAAUAAAUAUUUUAUUUCUCGAAAGUAUAUUUUCAUAAAACUUUUUAAAAGUAUUUUUCAAAAUUAUAGCAACUAACCCUAAUUCGGAUCCCAAAGAUCUUCUAAGUUUGUAAUGUUACAAGGCUUAGGACAGUUCAAAAUUCAAAUGGGUUCAAACACUAGAAACGGUUGAGCACAUGACAUUGUUCCCUACUUGCCUCAAAUUCAUUUACAAGCUCACCUCCUUAUUUCUCAUUCUCUUGCCUACCAUAUUUUCCCAAAAUGUUAGAAGGUAUUAUGGCACAAAAUUUAUAAUUGUGAACCUAAAGAUAUUCAUUUUUGAGCUUAAUUUUGAUUUAGCUAUCAUUUUCUUUAUUUUGCACUUUUUCAUUCACCCUUUCUUUUUUAACAUACUAAUUUGCGUAAUCCCUUCAUUUUCUUUUUAUAAAUACAUAUAUCAGAAUUUAUAAACACAAAAUUCUAAGGCGAUAGUACAAUUUCUAAGGAUCUUUAGAAAUUUUGGUAUUUUGUAAUUUUCUAAUUUUUUUUUCAUAUUAAAAACUUUUUAAAAUUAAAUUGCCAUGAUUACGUUUAUUAACUAAAAUGAUAUAUAUUUUUUGGAUCCAAAUUGACAUUUGCUAACAAAAAUUAUUAGUGGUAGAAGAAGUGGCAAGAUCAGUUUCAACUAGUUCACGCAUGAAAAUAAAACCUCGGAAAAAGCUUGGGAAACCUACAUUAAUUUUAUCACCAUUUUUCCUUAGAAAUGUUGACAGUCCAUAAAGUUGUCUGUAUGUAUCAAAAUAUAAAAGAAUGUUAUUAGAAAUGUCGGUAUUUGAUUAUACAUUUUAGUACAGGAUUUAGGAAUGAGAUUUUGGUAUAUAAAAAAACCUAAUUAUUUUUCAUGAAAAUAUUGAUAUUUCGUUAGAAAUUUUGAUAUAUAACAAGAUAUAACAAGAUAUGUUUUUAGAAAUUUUAAUAUUUCGGCCGGUUGAGUCAUUAUUUGAUUGACAUACACAAUGUUAUUAAUAUAGGGUUCGAGUGUAUUUAAACGCAUUAUCCUCCUAUUUAUGGUUAGAGAGAGGCUAUGGAUAGUUCAAGCUCACCCUAAGAAAUAAAUAUUAUUAAAUUAUCUUUAUUUAUUUUAAUAGUAUUAUAAAUUUAAUAUAUUUUAUUUAAAUAUUUCAAUUAAUUAACUAAUUUAAUUUUUUUAUUAUAUUAAAUAAAUAACUUAAAAUAAAAUUUAAAUGUAAAAACUAAAAAAUUAAUCAUAAUUAAUUUAAAUGAUUUUAAUAUAAUAUAAAUAAAAUUAAAAUAAUUAAAAUCUAACUAUUAAAAUAAAGGAAAUAACUUAUAUUAGGAUGAUCCUAAAAACUAAGGUUUUUAGGCACCAAUAAAAUUUUGCCACAACAUCACAAUGUAAAGAAACUAAAUUAUUAUUAUGCUCUCAUCUAUAGAGAAAUUAUCUUAUUAAUCCUUUCCACCACAUUAUUCAUGGUCCCUUUCAACAAUUUUUUUCACGUCACUAACACAUAAUUUUGAUAAUUUUUUAAACACAUAAUUUUGAUAAUUUUUUUACUCUGAACUUAACUCUAGAAUAUUGAACCCUGAACCCUAAACUUGAACCUAUAACCUCAAAUUUUUAAACUCUAAACACAAACCCAAAAUCAUUAAACCUUGAACUCAUAUCAUAAACCUCGAAUAUUUAAACCAUCAACCUAAACUUUGAAUCUUGAAUUCAAAACUGAACCUCAAAUUUUAAAUUUUAAACCCAAACCCUGAAUCUCAAGGUUCAAAAUUUAAGAUUGAAGGAAAAAUAAUUAACAAAAUUAUGUGUCAAUGACAUGAGAAAAUUGCACAAAAAUUACUUCUUUUUUUUUAAAUUUGGUUGCAUAAAAAAAAGAAUUUAUGAAAAAAAGAUUAAAAUUUUCAAAAAAAGAUGAUUGUUUAUAAUUAAAAAAUUAAUUAUUUUAAAUAAUUUAAUUUAAUUUAAUUUAAUUUGAAGAAAGUAUUAGAUAUACAAAUAUAUAUAAUAAUAUUUUAUUAUCUUUAAAAUUUAAUGAGGUAAUGCUAUUUUAUUAAUAUUUUAAAAUUAUACUUUUUAGUAUUAUCUAAAAGAAAAAGAGAGAAGUAAACUAAAAAAGGAAAUGCGGUGUUCGCAACUAGGGGUGUUCAUUCGGUUAACCGACCGGUUAACCGACCCGAAAUUAUUAUAACCGAAUUAACCGACCUUCCAAAAAUUUUAACCGUUAACCGAACCGAUUUUUUUUUAAAAAAAUUAACCGAACCGAAAUUUUUUCGGUUAAUAAGGUCGGUUAACCGAAUUAACCGAAAAUUAUGUAUUUUUUAUUUUUGGUUAAAAAUUACCCGAAUUACCCGAAUUAACCGAAUUAACCGAAUUACCGCAAAAUACCCGAAUUACCCGAAUUUUUUUAUUUUUUAUUUUUAAAAUUUAAAAAAUUUAUAAAUUAUUAAAGUAAAUUGGGUUUUAGACUUUAGUAAAUUGGGUUGUCUUUUAGUUUUAGUUUUAUUGGAUUGGGUAAUUGGGUAAACUUUAGUUUUAGUUUUAUUGGGUUGGGUAAUUGAGUUUGGGCUGGGUUGAAUAAUUUUAUUUAUUAAUUUUUUCGGUUAACCGAAAAUUUUCGAUUAACCGACCGGUUUUGAACCGAAUUAACCAUUAACCGAAAAAUCAUAAAAAAAUUAACCGACCCCCGACCGAAAAAAUUCGGUUAACCGACCGAUUAACCGAAUUCGGUCAGUUAACCGAAUUUUUUCGGUUUUACCCGAAUUAUGCACACCCCUAUUCGCAACUACAUCCUCCCUCCCAUUGAAAAGGAAAAAUUAUUAGAUGGAGCCUGGGAGUUCUCACCGCCUAAAUUAUAAGUCUAAUCAAUUGAAGUAAUACACAUUUUUUUUUUAAAUUUUUAAUUUUUUUCUCUUAAAAAUUUUAAAUUCAAUUAAAAGUAUUAAAAGUCAAAGAGAAAAAUCUAACUUAGAGAUAAAAUAACGUGUAAUUAUAGAAUUGGAAAUCUUGAUUUAUGUCUACGAUGAUAUUAGACGUAUAGUUUAAGUGGAGAGAAGGAUUUAUGUAAUAAUUUAGUCAGGUUACCUGUCUUUUUCUGCGCAAACCCUGAUUCCAGACCUCGGCCAUUUUUAAUUUGGGUACUUGUAAAAUAAUUUCUUCAUCGGUUCCAAAAAUAGAAGACAGAAAUAAAUACAAUAAUUCCUAUGGCAGCAGUGUGGUCUCUUCUCAUGCUCCUGUCUUCUUUCUUUGUGGCUAGAGGAGUUGAAGACAAGCAUUCAAACGGCACCAUUGGGCUGGGAUAUUCGCUUUCCCCCUUAACUCCACCCACCUCAUUGGCUUCGCCUUCUGGUCGUUUCGCAUUUGGUUUUUACAGUCAAGGCAAUGGCUUUUCAAUUGGAGUUUGGCUGGAGGGCAAUAGAAAGACAGAUAACAAAGUUGUAUGGACAGCAAACCGUGAUGACCCGCCGCUCCAUGCAACUGCUACUCUGACACUAAACGAGAAAGGUUUGCUUCUUUCGUGCGGUGUGAGCGGAGAAAAUAAAGUUAUUUUUUAUCCAAAUGACUCGGCUGUCAGUGUCUUCUCUGCCUCCAUGCUAGAUUCAGGCAAUUUUGUGCUCUACAGCACAGUCAAUCAUACCAUUUGGGAGAGUUUCGAGCAUCCUACAGAUACCCUUUUAGGUGGUCAGGCUACUACUCAGUCGUUGAUCUCCUGUUCUUCAGAAAAUGAUCACUCAUCCGGAAGGUUUCUUCUAGGUAUGCAACCAGAUGGGAAUCUCGUUCUAUACCCUCUAGACGUCAAUUUUGCUGUUACAACUGCCUAUUGGGCCACAAAUACUGAUGGUGUGAAUCGUUCACUCCGAUUAUUUCUUAACUCGACAGGCUUCCUACAACUUAUCAACAACACUGAUUCCUCCAUCUACCUAGAAAUUAAUUCUAGAUUUGUUACAGAGGUGAGCUACAACGAGAACACCACCACCACCAGCAACGACGGUAUCGUUCACAGUGCAAGCCUUGAUGUUGAUGGAAAUUUCCGGUUAUAUACUCAUCAAUUUGAUCCAAGUGGUGGAUUUCGAACUUCCCGAGUGUCGCGUGCGUUGAAGGAUUCCUGUGAAAUUAUAGGCUUUUGUGGUAUCAAUAGCUAUUGCACGUUUAAUGAUGACAGAGCUUACUGUGCAUGCCUUCCCGGCACUGAUUUUAUCGAUCCUCAACGCAAUACCCUCGGCUGCAAGAGAAAUUAUAAUGAAGCACAUUGUAAAGGAGGGAAGGACAAUAUACCCCUUUAUAACAUCACUCCAUUGCAAAAUAUAGAAUGGACUACAGGUAUAUUUUACAGUGAAGAGGUAAUGUCCAUGAGUGCCUGCAGCCAAACAUGCUUGGAAGACUGUAAUUGUGAGGCAGCAAAGUUUAGCGAUGGAGUUUGCAGGAAACAAAAGCUUCCACUAUGGCAUUUGCGACGACGACAAGGUGUGAGUUCCACGGUUUUCUUAAAGAUGGGAAUCAGAAGCCUAGAAGCAGAUGAUGGUACUGUUUCCCAUGAAUUAAAGCCCCAAAUCAAACGGAAAGAUCCGACGCUGAAAAUUCUUCUUUUAACUUUCAGUCUUGUCGCAUGUUCAUGUGCUUUGCUUGCAAUCUCUGGUGUAUUCAUUUUUAAAUUUCGAGUUCUAAGAUACAAAAGGCUGUUGGAAAUUGGAAAUUUGGGCCUAACCGGAGAGCUUACGUUGACGUCGUUUUCAUACAAUGAACUCAAGAGAGCAACGAAUGGGUUUAAAGAAGAGUUGGGUAAGGGAUCCUUUGGAGCAGUCUACAAAGGGUCCUUAAACAGAGGAAGAAAUUUGAUUGCAGUAAAGCGAUUGGAGAAGUUAGUGGAAGAAGGAGAAAGAGAGUUCCAAGCAGAAAUGCGAGCAAUUGGCAGAGCUCACCACAAGAAUUUAGUUCGACUUUUGGGAUACUGUGCUGAGGACUCCAAGAGGGUGUUGGUGUACGAGUACAUGGGCAAUGGCUCCCUUGCUGAUCUACUGUUCAAGUCAAGACAGCGCCCUGAUUGGGAUGAAAGAACAAGAAUAGCCCUGGAUGUAGCUAGAGGAAUCCUCUAUUUACAUGAGGAGUGUGAGACCCCAAUCAUUCACUGUGACAUAAAGCCGCAAAACAUAUUGAUGGAUGAUUAUUGGAGAGCUAAAAUUUCAGACUUCGGGCUGGCAAAACUGUUGAUGGGGGAUCAUACAAGGACCUUCACAGUAGUGAGGGGAACUAGAGGAUACAUGGCCCCAGAAUGGCAUAAGAAUGUUCCAAUCUCAGCGAAGGCUGACGUUUACAGUUACGGAAUUGUGCUAUUGGAAACUGUGUUUUGCAGACGAAACUUGGACAUCACUGUAUCAAACCCAGAGGAGAUCAUUCUGUCGAUUUUGGUGUAUAAAUGUCUGGUUGAAAAAAAGUUGGAUAAGCUUGUGCUUGGUGAAGAAGUAGAUAAGAAAAGCUUGGAAAGAAUGGUGAUGGUGGCACUUUGGUGUAUCCAAGAUGAACCUGCACUUCGUCCUUCCAUCAAGACUGCAGUGAUGAUGCUGGAAGGCAUUACUGAUAUAUGCAUUCCCCCAUGUCCAACUGCUUCCUCCAUAUAAUUCAAGUCACGUCCUAACAAUCAAUCAUCUCACUCAGUGUUCGUGUAGUUUAUGUUACGUAAGGACUGCGCCAUGUUUGUAUUUCCUCUGGCUUGUAAUAAAUUUGUAAAAUGCUUCCUGCAGCAGUGUUCUCCCAUCAUUUGUAGGUUUAAAAAUUGUGUUCGAGUUAUCUAAUCAUAUAGUAGUUGUAUGUAAUAACUGAGUUUUACUGUAAUUUCUAAUUAAUAAUCUCCUAUUGCUCAAAAUGGUAAAAAACUUGCAAAAGGGUCAUGUAAGCAAAGCCAUUAUGUGUAUGCUAGGACUAAUAAGUCCUUUUGUCUUGGACUUGUUAUGAUCUCAUUAGACAGGAUGUUAGGAAACUGAGUAAUCAUUUUUAAGCAGAGAGAUUGUGCAUUAGAAUAACAGCAUCCAAGAGCAAAACCAGAACUCAGAGGCUGUGACUGUAGAACAUGUUCCGGCAAAGGUACAUGAGAAUUAUCAACUUAGGUGAUAUUGGUAUAUUUGCACAUAUGUGCAGCGCUAUGGUUUGAAAGACGACGACGACGACUACUACUACCUGCCAUACAGCUGAAGCCAUCUUCCUCUUUUUGUGAUCAUAUGAGUAUAUAUACAAUACAAGUUUGCGGUUAAGGCCCAGAAACAAUACCAACAAUGUCCAUCCAUGGCAGCCCAUCUAUAUAACUAAUAAGGAACUAAUGACCUAGAAAAAUGGUUAAAUUUCAAUUUAAUCCCUCUACUAUGCUUAAAUUUGAGAUUGAAUCUCCAUACUUUGGUCCUUUUAUUUUUGUAAUGUUAUUAAUAAGUCCAAAUAACUAAUAUAAUUAACUUUUCAAUUAAGAUGUUAUGUGUUUAUAUAUAAUUUAAAUUUCCCAAGGGUCUCAAAGACGAACAUAUGUAUUUCCAUUUCUUUUGGAUUUGUCUUCUUUCUUUUUUUGACAUUAUAAGACAAUGAUCAAACUUCAAUUUUAGCUCCUAUAGUAUGUUGAAACUUGAUAUUUGAUUUACACACUUUAAUUUUUGACAUAAUUUGGUCCUUCUAUUUUUAUAAUGUCAUUAGUUAGUCUAAAUACUUAAUAUUGUUAACUUAACGAUAUUAAGUAUUUUAAUCAGAAUGCUUACAUCAAUUUUUCUUAAGAACACCAUGCCAACAAAAAAAGUAUUAUUUUAUAAUGAUGAGUUCAAAUAGGUGUUUUUAAGAAAAAAAUUCACAUAAACAUUUUCAAUGUUAAUUUUUAUUGUUAUACGACUACCAAGUGUUUUUUUUUUUAAUUUCGAAAUGUCAAGCCAAUGAAUUUAAUAUAAGAAUUUUAAUUGUGGUACAACUUGACCUAAAAGCUUAAACCCGAAAAGUAUAGGGACAAAAUUUUUGAAAAUAAAAGUAGAGGGACUAGAUUUUAUGUGUGAAGUGUAUAAAACCUUAGAGUAUAUUUUAACUUUCAAGGUUUUACUCCAUUUUUUUGGUCGAAACCACAAUAUUUACCAUUGGUAGCCGUAACUAAUCUCCCUCACCGCAAGUGCUCUCUAAAAAAAAUAAACAGUUGGUGAUGAAAUGUGAUUCAUUCACAUUAAUUAUGCAUUUUUUUUACUCCAUUCGAGUAUAAAAUUAAAAGGUAAACUACACAAACUAUAAUCAACUAUAAAAAAAAUCAUUUUAGACACAAAAAAUAAAAUGUAUGUAAUUUAAUCACUCGUAUUUUAAUCACUCCCAUUAAAAUGGAAGAUGGAUGUCCACGUGGAGCUUUUUUAAAAUUUUUAUUAAUAUUUAAUAAUUUCCGACUAAUAAAUUAUUUCGACGUCUGAAAUUCUUUUAGCCUAAACCUAAGCUAAUAGUGAAACUAAGUAAAAAUUUCCUUCAUUCUAGUGCUAGAAAAAAAAUUGCAGUCACCCUUUCCCUUUCUCGCCCAAUCUCAGCCUCAACCACCUCCCUCUCUAGUUUCUCAUGCUCUGCUUUGGCUUCCUUGAUGUGCCUCAUCCCGGCUUGCCACCCCAAGCUUUUUAUAGUGGAGGUCAGUUUGGGGGUGGCUCUUUACCUCUGCGGCUUGGUUUUAAAAGUUUUUAAAUAGUAAAUGUAAAAUUGUAUUUUAGUCUUUUUAAAAAUGAUAAAAUUUUGAUUUAAUCUUUUAAAAAUUAUAAAAAUAUAAACUAAUUAAUGGUGAAAUUAUUUUUUUACUAUCAUAAAAAUUACAAUUUAAUUUUAACCCCUUAAUUUUUUUUCUAAAUUUGACCCUGUUAUAUAGAUUACCUAAAACCUAAAUUAAAUGAUAGGUUAAUUUCAAAAUAUUGUUUAUUGUUAAUUUCAAAAUAGGUUAAUUUUAUUUUCUUGUGGAUGAUAUUAUUAACCAUAUGGCGUGGACGGUAGGCUAGGGAAUUUUUUACUCUUUAUGUCAUCCAUAUUUACCAUUGAUAACCACAAUAAUUUAUUUUUCAAUAUAAACAUGACUUAUAAAAUUUCAAAUAGUUUAUGAGACAUAGGCAAAGUGUUUGGAAGAAGUGACUAAAUGAGUGGAUAUUUUUUCAAGCUCUGGGAUAACAGAAAUAUAAUAGGAGAUAACAAAAAGUUUGCUUACGCAGCUCACGGAGUCUAAUUCAGUGAGAAGUAUCCACUAUCUUCAAACACUUACAGCAAGUGACCCUAAAUCUAUGAGACCCAAGUGACAAUUUCCUCACUUUUGUGCCUUUAAAGACUAGAAUCCUUGCCACUAAAUUCACCCCUGUGAACUAAGCAUGUAAAACCACAACCCAAAGGUUUUACAAUCAAAUGCACUCUUACAAAUAAUGUUCCUCACUUGAAUAGAUUAAGUGCUCUCAAUUCUCGAACAUAAUCCUAUACAAGUCUCUCUAUUAUAUAGAGUUGUUCGAGACUUGCUAACAUAGAGAAGAUCUAUAACAAUCUCUAUAAAACAAUCACUAUAUAAGUUGAAUAAAAUAUAAUAAUAGCAAACAAGAUAAACAAGAAUUAUUGGUAAACAAGGACGGUUGGUAGAUAAGUUGAAUAAAAUAUAAUAAAUAAAAUAUAAGUCUUUAAUGUUACAAACCAAUCCAACUUCCUUAUCUAAGGGAUUAGAUAAGUAUGAUUCGAUUCGAUUCGAUUCGAUCCAAACCUCUUUAUACAUUUCUUUAAGUGAUAUGAUCUUCAUUAGUGGGCUAGAUACGAUCCACAAUCUCAAUAUAACCAAAAUAUCUAGCUCAAUAAAUUGCCAACAACUCAAAUAUGGAAAUAGCCUAAUCUGUCGUAGUUGGUCAAAGAGUGGGCACUCCCUCAGACACUUAUUUAGUCUUUCUGUAUUUUCAACAAUCUCCUCAUUUGGAAAUUUUUUGAACAAAACACAAACAAAGUAGGAAGCUUAAACAUAAAUUAACAACUUGCUCCCUUUUAUUAUAUUUCCUUUUAAUCCAACAAUAAUGAAUCAUGAAAAAUAUAUGCAACCAAAGUAAUCAUCAUUUAUUGACCAAAUGAAAUCCAACUAUUAGAAGUAGCAAAAUUAAGAAACAAACCUCCAAAAACCAUAAGUUUCAAAAAGCAACAGUAACAUCAAUGAAUUUGAAGCAAAAUAUGAAUCUCCCCUAUCACCAGUAGCUUCCCCUUAUUCUCUUUUCCCCCCUUUUUGAUCAACAAGAUUGCCAACUUAUUUUUCAUUAGGAAGGGAUAUUAGAUUAGCACAAAGAAGCUUUUGCCUAUCUAUGAUCUUCUUCAUAGUCUUAGCUUCAAUAAGGAGUCUGGUAAUGUGCCUAUCAUUGGCUUCAAUAAAGGAUGUAAGAUCCUCAAUCAUCAUUUUAUGAAUGUCAUAGGGAAUAACCUUGGGGCCUGGAGAAGUUGGCACUUAUUGGGUCUAAGGUGCUUCUUCUUGCUCAACAUCAUCAUAUCAAAAUUACUUCCCCUCAACAGCAACAUUACCUCUCCCCCUCAGUAGGACCCAUCAUAUUUAGACAAUAACAAUUCAGGGCCUUCCUUAUCAUUGAAGUGCUAACUUUAUACUAUUCUCCACAUAAAAAUACCUUUUAAUGAAACUUACUAUAUUUGUUACUUAAUACUUUGCAGCAAAUUAACAUAAAACUUCAUAACAACAUUACAGACACACAACUUGACACAACUCAUUGACCUUAACAAACCACUUUUUCCAAUAAGUACAUCUAUGCCAUGACCAACAAACCCUCUAAAAAUAUGAUAAUAGGUUGGAUUAAAUGACUUGGUAUCAAAGUAUAAUUGGUAAACUGUGUAAUAUAUAUGUUUACGUAAUACUAAAGGCUAGAAAUGAGUAUAUGUAACUCGUAACUUUGCUGAAAUGACAUAAUUGAGAUAUUGGUUUGCUUGUUUAGGUGUUGCAAAAUGGUACCUUUUAGAUCUUUUGGAAACAAAAAAUUACGUGGUGACGAGGAAUCAACAAUAAGUUGCAUCAUGACCUGGAAGCCCCAAUCGUGACGUCAACUCGAUAGUUUGCAAACUUUUCAUUUUGGUCCUAAUUCGACCUCAAGUUAGCAUAUGAGCUUUCAUAAGCUUGUAUAAGACUCGAAUAUUAUUGAAAAACAUAUUGUGAAAGCGUGAUGUAGUUAGUAGUAUGUGAAAAAAGUUAACUUGGGUCGGUGUUGCUCUGACAACGAAAGUUGCAUAUAAAGGAGUGCUCCUAGAGGCUGUGCCUUGGAGUUUUAGCCAAACCAUAAAUUAUUUGAGAUUUUCAGUCAAAAUUGUAAAUGAGAUUGUUAAGUAGAAAUUUUAAAAGAUGUAUGUAUUAGUAUCAAUUGUUGUGCUUAGUUAAUUUGUUGGAAAGUGAAUUUUAAAUAAUGUUAGUCAGUUAUCUAGAAUUUCUAUCAUCCAGAACCUGGACUCAGUGAGCGGAUCAGGAAUUAGGUGUGUAAUGGCCCAUUUUCAGUGAAAUCAGAAUAGUGGUUUCGGGACCACAAAUCCAGAGUCAAAAGUUUUACUUAACAUUUUUUAUGUGGUAUAAAACAUGUCAGAAGUAUGGUAUAAAAAUUUCGUUAAGAAAUUUUACCGUUUGUUUGCUAAAUUUGUGAAAAAGGACUAAAUCGCAUAAAGUGCGAAAGUUGUGUUCUAUUAGCUAAAUGUAUUAAAUAGAUAUAGAAUGUUAAAUUACAGGUCCUUAUUGAGUAAUUAGACCAUUAAAGAAGGUAGUGGAUGUACAUGGGGUGAAGUCAUAAAUAGUCAAAGUUGGUAAGGGGUUAGUAAAUUGUUGACUAAUGUUAAAGUAAAUAAAAUAAAAACAAAAUGGCCAUCUUCUUCUUUCUUUUUCAACCAAAAAUACCAUCAAACUAAGAGCUUGGAAAGCUUGAAUUUUUCAGCCGCAAAGUCCCUUGCAUGUAAGUGAAAUUGGUGUUUGUUUUUGUUUAUUGUUAUUUUUGUGGAACCCUUGUAGCUUAAGCUAGCUAAAUAGGGACAAAUUUGCAAAAUGGUUGAAACUCUAGGGUUUUUCCAAGAAAGCAUGAUAGUUUUUUUAAAAUUUUAAUGGAAUAAAAUGAAAAUUUGGGUGUUAAACACUUUUUGUUAAGUGAUUUUUGACAUAAAAUUCAAUUAGGGGUUAAUUUGUGAAGUAUGAAGAUUUUGAGUUAUAUGUGUGAAAUUAGGGCUUAUGUGGGCUUCUAUGAGCACCUAGAUAAUUCGGUCAAGCUUUGAUAUGGAUGAAAUUGCAUAAAUUUCGUUUUACGAGCCUAGGGACUAAUUUGUAAAAAAGUUAAAAGUAUAGGGGUAAAAUGGUAAUUUUUCCCUAAUAUGAAACUGGAUUGAAUUGAAUAGAAUAAGCAUUGAAUUAGUUAAAUUUGAUUAUAUAGAUCAAGAAAAGCAACAUUUAGACAUAAAUCGAGGCAAAGAUAAAGUGGUAGAUUGAUCGAUCGAUUUAAUCCGUACAAUUACGAGGUAAGUUCGUACAAUUAAACAUUUAAUGUUUAUUUAUUUAAUUGAUGAAUGAUAUUAUGCACUUGUACACAUCUAUUGUUGAACUUUGAAAUGGAAUUAAAUGUUCAAACAAGUAAAUCGCAUGAUUGAGUAUAAAUGUUUUAUGCAAAUGAGGAUUUUACGGAUAAGACCAUGGUUGGACCAUGGCAACAUUAGUAUGUAAGACCAUAGCCGGGCUAUGGCAUUCUGAUGAUAAGACUAUAACUGGGUUAUGGCACUACGAAUGUAAGACCAUGGUAGGGUCAUGGCAUUUCGCGUAAAAGACCAUAGUUGGACUAUGGCACAAGGAAAACAAUGUACUCAUAUCCGUAAGCCGAUCUUAGAUUCAGAAUGAUGAGGUAAAUGCAUUCAUCGAUAUUUAAAUAAUCCAAUGAGCUCAAUAAUAAUACGAGUUGAGUCGAGUUAAAGUAAAUCAGUGUAGGUAUUCGCAAGAAUUACAAAAAAUAAUUCAUAGUGGAGGUAGCUAUACAACAUUAACCUAAUUACGAUUAUGUGAUAAGCUUUGAGUCGAAUUGUAAAUUUCCUGUGUAUUAAUUUUGAUAAGUUAAAUUGUGGAUGCUUUGGAAGGUUUUUUUAAUAUUCAUACGAACUUACUAAGCUUAAUUACUUACUCGAUUUAUGUUUCAGUGUUUUAUAGUGAAUUGGAAGCUCACUCGAUUCGGAAGUCGUCGGAGAUCGCGUCACACUAUCAAACUCUCAUUUUGGUAUUUUAAACUUUGUAUAUUUUGGGUUAAAUGGAACGUAUAAGUGUUUUGGUUAAGGUAGCCUAUAUGUUGGUUGUAUAAUUAGCUAAGUGAGUUGGCUUGAGAAUGAUAUAUGUUUUGAUAUGUAAGUAUGUAUAUAUAUGGCCUUUUGAUAUGUUAUGUAUAGUGGCUUUGUGAAUGCCUUGUUGUGGAUUGGUAUCUUGUGUAACAAAUGGUUGGAAUUGAGAUGAGCAUGUAUGCUAAGUUAGGCAUAAGGUUUAAAGCACGUAAUUGGCCAUUUAGUUAUACUUUACAAUUAUCUUUGGUAUGUUUAAAAGUGGUCAAAUGAAUGUGCUUGUGGAGAUCAUGUUGUAUGUGUGGUUUGUGUAUGGUAUAAACUUGAUAUUGGUUUGCUUAAAGUGCCUAUUUAUGCCAUGGUUGUAUGUACAUUAUUGAGUUUAGGUUGGCACCAGUUUGGGUGAGGAAUAUGGCUUGGAAAAUAGCCUAUUUUUGUCCACACGGGCAGAGACACGGGCAUGUGUCUCGGCCGUGUGUCCCCUGAUACUAUUCAAAAAUCAAAGUUAAUGGCUUCACACGGUCUAGCACACUAGCGUGUGGGUUAGCCGUGUGGCACAAGUCAGUAUACCCUCUAAUUUUAGCACAGCCGAGCACAUGACCUGAAUAUGGGCGUGUAUGGCCAUUUCAUGAGGCACACGGCUUGACACACGGGCGUGUGGUUUGGCCGUGUGAGCCAAGUCAAAGAGUUGUACGGGGUCGGACAUGGACAUGGCCAUGUGAUCCCAUUUCGAAUGCGCAUACGGCCUGAGACACAGGUGUGUCUCUUGGCCAUGUGAGAGUCACGGUUGGGGUACACAGACGUAUGACCUCUGUACUUUGAAAAUUUUCAAUAUUUUUUCAAAACUUUCCUGGGUUAUCAGUUUAGUCCCGAAUCACUUCUAAUGCUUAUUUUGGGCCUCUAGGGCUCGUGUUAGGGACUAUAUGAUUGUAUUUGAAUGGUUUUUGUUUGGAUUGAGAAUUAAACACAAAAUGUAUGAUGGUUUGAGUUAUAAGUCCAGUAAUACUCUGUAACACUGUUUCGGCAUCAUAUACGGGUUAAGGGUGUUACAUUUAUUGGUAUCAAAGCUACGGUUUAGUUGAUUCUAGUACUAACGCAGUGUGUGUGAGUCUAGCUAUACAUGCCAUUUAUUAACCUUUGAUAUUGUGACAUCUCUUAACAGUUUAAAAUCGUGUUUUCUAAUAGUAAUGGAUCUAAAUUGAGCAAAUUUCGAUGAAGUUAAAAAUAACGCGCCAGCCUCAGUUUGGGGGGUAACAUUAUCUGACUAUUUACAUGCGUCUGGAAGUCAUGGAGGAGAAGCUAAGGAAACCUUCUUCCAAAUGAUGAGCGAAUGGUACACCAAGUUUGUACGGACGAACUUGGCUAUUCAACAACCGCCACCUAUUCCCUAACAGGUUCCCGUAGCUCCUCAAGGUUUGGAACCUUUACGUAUGAAUAGACCACAUGUUGAUAAAAUUCGAAAGUAUGGGGCUGAAGAGUUUAGAGCUAUAGUUGAUGAUGAUCUCGAGAGAGCCGAGUUUUGGCUUAAGAAUACAAUUCGAGUUUUUGAUGAACUGUCUUGUACACCGGCAAAAUAUCUUAAAGGUGCUGUAUCAAUUCUGAGAGAUACUGCCUAUCAGUGGUGGAACACCUUGAUAUCGGUAGUACCGAGAGAACGAGUCACGUGAGAAUUCUUUCAAGCCGAGUUUAGGAAGAAAUACAUAAGUCAAUGGUUUCUAAAUCAAAAGCAUAAAGAGUUUCUAGAAUUGAAACAAGGCCGUUUGACUGUGACAAAGUACGAAAGAGAAUUUGUAAGAUUAAGUAUGUAUGCUCAGAAGUGUGUUUCUAUUGAAGAAAUCAUGUGUAAGCGAUUCGUAGAUAGUUUGAAUGAAGACAUUAAGCUUUUAGUCAAAAUUUCAGAAUUGAAAGAGUUUGUUGUCUUGGUCGAUAGAGCUUGCAAAGCUGAAGAGCUUGGUAAAGAAAAGAAAAUAGUCGAUUCUGAGGCUAAAGAUUCAAGAAAGACGGGAAAAUCUUAUCACUCAUUGUCAAAGAAAUCAAAGGAUUUCCACAAUCGUUCAACCGCUUUAGUGGGAUAUUCUAACCUAGACCGUGGUAAACAAUACGUAGGUUCAAAAAAUGAAGCCACUUCAAUAACAAGCGUUGGUAGUGUUAAAGCCAAUAGACAAGAAUGUCAGCGAUGUGGAAGACGACAUUUUAAAGAAUGUCAAUUGAUUGACAGAGCCUGUUUUAGAUGUGGCUCGCUUGAGCAUUUCAUUCGUGACUGCCCUGAAUUAUCUGAGAAAGACAAACUUCAGACCGCUCGACCGAGCAAUACAUUUGCUAGAGGGCGACCACCCCAAAAUACUGAAAUAUGAGUGGUAGUUGAGGUACAACGAGAGACUCUACUGUAAGAUCUGAGGCAUGAGCACCAACUAAAGCUUAUGCCAUUCGCGUUCGAGAGGAUUCAUCGGCACCAGAUGUUAUCACUGGUACAUUUUCUCUUUGUAACACUGAUGUAAUUGCUUUGAUUGAUCCGGGAUCAACUUAUUCUUAUGUAUGUACAAAGUUAGUGUCUAGUAAGAGUUUACAUGUCGAGUCCACUGAAUUUAUGGUUAAAGUAUCGAACCCCUUAUGUCAGUAUGUAUUAAUUGAUAAAGUCUGCAAGAAUUGUCCUUUGAUGACUCGGGGUUACACUUUUUCGGCCGAUUUGAUGAUUUUACCGUUUGACGAGUUUGAUACGAUAUUCGGUAUGGAUUGGCUGACAAUGCAUGAUGCGAUUGUGAAUUGUAGAUGAAAGACCAUUAUAUUAAAAUGUUAGAACGGUGAUACUCUUCGUAUCGAAUCCGAUAAUUUUAAUAGUUUGCCUAUUGUGAUAUUGGCUAUGCUAGUAUAGAAAUAUGUGAGGAAGUGUUGUGAUGCUUACCUUGCGUACGUGCUCGAUAGAAAAGUGCCUGAAUCGAAGAUUAAAUCAGUACCAGUGGUUCCAGAUGUGUUUCCGGAAGAGUUACCUAGGUUACCACUGAUCAGAGAGGUCGAGUUCACUAUUGAGUUAGUACCGGGAACAUCACCAAUAUCGAUAGCUCCGUCCAGAAUGGCUUUGACCGACUUGAAAAAAUUGAAAGCUCAGUUGCAGGAGUUAACAGAUAGAGGUUUUGCACGAUCGAGUUUUUCGCCUUGGGGUGCACUGGUAUUAUUUGUAAGAAAGAAAAAUGGAUCAAUGAGAUUGUGUAUCUACUAUCGAGAGCUUAAUAAGGUUACGAUUAAGAAUAAGUAUCAUUUGCCGAGGACUGAUGAUUUGUUCAAUCAGUUGAAAGGAGUAGUAGUAUUUUCAAAGAUUGAUUUAUGAUCCGACUAUUAUCAGUUGAGGGUUAAAGACUCUGAUAUGUCGAAAACUACAUUUAGGACUAGGUAUGGACAUUAUGAAUUUCUUGUUAUGCCAUUUGGAUUAACUAAUGCUCCUGCAGUUUUUAUGGAUUUGAUGAAUAUAAUUUUUAGACCUUAUUUAGACAGAUUCAUGGUUGUAUUCAUUGAAGAUAUUCUGAUCUAUUCGCGAGAUGAGUCUGAACAUGCUGAGCACUUGAGGAUUGUGUUACAAACGUUGAAAGAUAAGCAACUAUUUGCUAAAUCUAGCAAGUGCAAGUUUUGGCUCCGAGAAGUUGGAUUUUUGGGACACAUUGUUUCGGCUGAAGGCAUUAGAGUUGAUUCGAGCAAAAUUUCAGCAAUUGUUGACUGGAAACCACGGAGAAACAUAUUCGAAGUCAGAAUCUUUCUGGGUUUAGUAGGCUAUUGUUGGAGAUUUUUUUAAAGGUUUCUCUAUUAUAGCUACACCAAUGACUCGGUAAUUAUAAAAAAGAUGUGAAAUUCGUGUGGUCUAAAAAAUGUCAAUAGAGUUUUCAGCAGUUGAAAACAUUGUUAACUGAGGCACCAGUUCUAGUUCAACCUAAGUCGGGUAAAGAUUUUGUGAUUUUCAGCGACGCGUCAUUGAGUGGUUUAGGUUGUGUUUUGAUGCAAGAGGAAAAAGUGAUAGCUUAUGUUUCCAAGCAAUUGAAACCGCACAAAAAGAAUUAUCUGACGUACGACUUAGAGUUGGCCGCUAUUGUUUUCGCAUUGAAAAUUUGGUGACAUCAUUUAUACAGUGAAAAGUGCCAUAUCUUUACCGACCACAAGAGUUUGAAGUAUUUAAUGACUCAGAAAUAUUUGAAUUUGUGACAACGAAGAUGGCUCGAGUUGUUGAAAGAUUAUGAAUUGGUGAUUAUCACCCGGGGAAAGUGAAUGUAGUAGCAGAUACCUUGAGUAGAAAAUCUUUAUUUGCAUUGUGAGCAAUGAAUGUGCGAUUGAGCUUGUCCAAUGAUGAUUCGAUUUUACCUGAAUUAAAAGCUAGACCGAUGUUCUUACAACAAAUUUGUGAAGAUAAAAAAUGAGAUAGCAAAUUGCAAGUUAAAAGAGUACAGUGUGAGUCGAUUUUUGAUUCAGAGUUUCAGAUCAGAUCCGUUGAUUGCUUAUUAUUCCGAGGUAGAGUUUCAGAAGUGCACAGUGGUAGCUUGUCUGUUCCAUUGGAAAGUACUAAGAUGUGUAGUGAUUUGAAACAAAUGUACUGAUGGACGGGUAUAAAAUGUGACAUUUCUGAGUUUGUGUCGAAAUGAUUGACUUGUUAGCAAGUCAAAGCUAAACACCAAGUACCUUCGGGGCUAAUAAUAAUAUCCCCAAACUGAUGGUCAGUCUGAGAGAGUGAUUCAAAUUCUCGAGGAUAUGCUUCGUUGUUGUGUUUUGGAGUUCGAAGGUAAUUGGGAAAAAUAUUUACCUUUGGUUGAAUUCGCGUAUAAUAAUAGUUUUCAAUCGAGUAUUAAGAUGGCAUCGUAUGAAGCUUUGUAUGGUCGAAAAUGUCAAACUCCAUUGUAUUAGACUGAGCUUGGUGAGAAAAAGAUACACGGGGUUGACUUGAUCCGAGAAAUCGAAGAGAAGCUGAAAGUGAUUCGCGACAGCUUAAAAGCUGCUUCAGAUAACUGAAAUCUUACGCGAAUUUGAAGCAUAAAGAUAUUGAAUUUCAGGUUGGCAAUAAAGUGUUUUUGAAAGUAUUUCCUUGGAAAAGAAUUCUUUGAUUUGGUUGCAAAGGAAAGUUGAGUCCACGAUUUAUUGGACCGUAUGAGAUUAUCAAGAGAAUUGGGCCAGUAGCUUAUCAACUUGAGUUACCGUCUAAGUUGGAAAAGAUUAAUAAUGUAUUCCAUGUAUCUAUGGUACGACAGUACCGAUUGGACCCUUCGCUUAUAAUUUCUCCAACCGAGGUUGAGAUUCAACCAAACAUAUCAUAUAUGGAAGAACCGAUCUGAAUUUUGGCAUAUAAGGUCAAUAAAUUGAGAAAUAAAAGAAUAGCCUUAGUGAAAGUUCUUUUGCAUCGUCAUGGGAUUGAAGAGGCCACUUGGGAACCCGAGGAAACUUUGAGAAAAUAAUACCCUAACCUAUUUUCGGUAAAAUUUUUUAGGACGAAAAGUCCUAAGGGGGAGAGUUAUAACGGCCCAUUUACAGUGAAAUCGAAACAGUGGUUUUAGGACCACAAAUUUGAAAGUCCUAAGGGGGAGAGUUGUAACGGCCUAUUUACAGUGAAAUCGAAACAGUGGUUUUAGGACCACAAAUUUGGAGUCAAAAAUUUUAUUUAAUAUUUUUUAUGUGGUCUACAACAUGCUACAAGUAUGGUAUAAAAAUUUCGUUAAGAAAUUUUAACGUUUGUUUGCUCAAUUUGUGAAAAAGGACUAAAUCGCAUAAAGUGUGAAAGUUGUGUUCUAUUAGCUAAAGGUAUUAAAUAGAUAUAGAAUGUUAAAUUACAGGUCCUUAUUGAGUAAUUAGACCAUUAAAGAAGGUAGUGGAUGUAUAUGGGGUGAAAUCAUAAAUAGUCAAAGUUGGUAAGGGGUUAGUAAAUUGUUGACUAAUGUUAAAGUAAAUAAAAUUAAAAAAAAUGGCCAUCUUCUUCUUUCUUUUUCAACCAAAAAUACCAUCAAACUAAGAGCUUGGAAAGCUUGAAUUUUUCAGCCGCAAAGUCCCUUGCAUGUAAGUGAAAUUGGUGUUUGUUUUUGUUGAUUGUUAUGUUUUUGGAACCCUUAUAGCUUAAGCUAGCUAAAUAGGGGACUAAUUUGAAAAAUGGUUGAAACGCUAGGGCUUUUCCAAGAAAGCAUGAUAGUUUUUUAAAAUUUUAAUGGAAUAAAAUGAAAAUUGGUUGGGUGUUAAAUACUUUUUGUUAAGUGAUUUUUGACAUAAAAUUCAAUUAGGGGUUAAUUUGUGAAGUAUGAAGAUUUUGAGUUAUAUGUGUGAAAUUAGGGCUUAUAUGGGCUUCUAUGAGCACCUAGAUAAUUCGGUUAGGCUUUGAUAUGGAUGAAAUUGCAUAAAUUUUGUUUUACGAGCCUAGGAACUAAUUUGUAAAAAAGUUAAAAGUAUAGGGGUAAAAUGGUAAUUUUUCACUAAUAUGAAAUUGGAUUGAAUUGAAUAGAAUAAGCAUUGAAUUAGUUAAAUUUGAUUAUAUAGAUCAAGAAAAGCAACAUUUAGACAUAAAUCGAGGCAAAGAUAAAGUGGUAGAUUGAUCGAUCGAUUUAAUCCGUACAAUUACGAGGUUAGUUCGUACAAUUAAACAUUUAAUGUUUAUUUAUUUAAUUGAUGAAUGAUAUUAUGCACUUGUACAUAUCUAUUGUUGAACUUUGAAAUGGAAUUAAAUGUUCAAACAGGUGCAUCGCAGGAUUUAAUACAAAUGUUUUAUACAAAUGAGGAAUUUACGGAUAAGACUAUGGUUUGACCAUGGCAACAUUAUUAUGUAAGACCAUAGUUGGGCUAUGGCAUUCUCAUGAUAAGACCAUAACUGGGUUAUGGCACUACGAAUGUAAGACCAUGGUAGGGCCAUGGCAUUUUGCGUAAAAGACCAUAGUUGGACUAUAGCACAAGGAAAACAAUGUACUCAUAUCUGUAAGCCAAUCUCAGUUUCAGAAUAAUGAGGUAAGUGCAUUCAUCGAUAUUUAAAUAAUCCAAUGAGCUCAUUAAUAAUAUGAGGUGAUUCGAGUUAAAGUAAAUCAGUGUAGGUAUUCGCAAGAAUUACAAAAAAUAAUUCAUAGUGGAGGUAGCUAUACAACAUUAACCUAAUUACGAUUAUGUGAUAAGCUUUGAACUGAAUUGUAAAUUUUCUGUGUAUUAAUUUUGGUAAGUUAAAUUGUGGAUGCUUUGGAAGGUUUUUUUUAGUAGUCAUACAAACUUACUAAGCUUAAUUGCUUACUCGGUUUAUGUUUCAGAGUUUUAUAGUGAAUCAGAAGCUCACUUGAUUCGGAAGUCAUCGGAGAUCGUGUCACACUAUCAAACUCACAUUUUGGUAUUUUAGACUUUGUAUAUUUUGGGUUAAAUGGCACGUAUAGGUGUUUUGGUUAAGGUAGCCUAUAUGUUGGUUGUAUAAUUAGCCAAGUGAGUUGGCUUGAGAAUGAUAUAUGUUUUGAUAUGUAAGUAUGUAUAUAUAUGGCCUUUUGAUAUGUUGUGUAUAGCGGCUUUGUGGAUGCCUUGUUAAGGAUUGGUAUCUUGUGUAGCAAAUGGUUGGAAUUGAGAUGAGCAUGUAUGCUAAGUUAGGCAUAAGGUCUAAAGCAUGUAAUUGACCAUUUAGUUAUACUUUACAAAUAUUUUUGGUAUGUUUAAAAGUGGUCAAAUGAAUGUGCUUGUGGAUAUCAUGUUGUAUGUAUGGUUUGUGUAUGGUAUAAACUUGGUAUUGGCGUGCUUGAAGUGGCUAUUUAUGGCAUGGUUGUAUGUACAUUGUUGAGUUUAGGUUGGCACCACUUUGGGUGAGGAAUAUGGCUUGGAAAAUAGCCUAUUUUUGUCCACACGGGCAUAUAUCUCGGCCGUGUGUGACACAGGGCCGUGGUACACGGCCGUGUGUCCCCUAAUACUAUUCAAAAAGCAAGUUAAUGGCUUCACACGGUCUAGCACACAGCCGUGUGGGUUAGCCAUGUGGCACAAGUCAGUAUACCCUCCAGUUUUAGCACGGCCUGAACAUGGGCCUGUGUGGCCAUUUCAUGAGGAACACGGCCUGACACACGGGCAUGUGCUCUGGCCGUGUGAGCCAAGUUAGAGAGUUAGACGGGGUCGAAAACGGGCUGGGACACGACAUGUGAUCCCAUUUCAAAUGCCCAUAUGGCUUGAGACACUGGCAUGUCUCUUGGCCUUGUGAGAGACACGACUGAGGUAUACGGGCGAGUGACUCUUGUACCUUGAAACUUUUUAAUAUUUUCUCAAAACUUUCUUGAGUUAUUGGUUUAGUCUCGAAUCACUUCUAAUGAUUGUUUUGGGCCUCUAGGGCUCGUGUUAGGGACUAUAUGAUUGUAUUUUUGAAUAGUUCUUGUUUGGAUUGAGAAUUGAACAUGAAAUGUAUGAUGGUUUGAGUUAUAAGUCUAGUAAUACUCCGUAACCCUAUUUCGGCGUCGAAUACGGGUUAAGGGUGUUAUAAGGUGUUACACGAAGUCCAUGACGAAUGCACAAAUAGCGUCCCAUGGAGGUCAAUUGAUGAAAUAGGGCUCAUUCGACCCAUUUGAACUGGCCCAAUUCAUAGAACACGUGGAGAAGCCUAUAUACUUGAAGCAUUGGUAGUCUAGUGAAACACUUAAUGAAAAUUAGUUACCUUGGUAAAUAUGACAAGUAAUCUUAUAAGAUGUGUAAUUCGAUAAAACUUGAUUAUGUAAUAUUAAGGGAUUGUGUAAAACCUUUAAGAAUCUCAAUUUUAAGUAGGCUGUAAUCUUGAUCGUCGAUGUAAUUUAAUCUGUACCAUGGGAUUUUGGGGAGUUUAAAUAUAAAUAGAGGCCUCCCCCCUCAUUUUUAAUCACUCAAUUGUAAUUCUUCAUAGUAAUUGAAUACUAUUGAGAGCAUUUACUCAAACACUUGACGUGCUUUUUCUUUCUUGUGACUUUUCUAUUUUUUUGUUGGUUUUUUGUUUUGAGUUGCUUCCACUUUAUUUUCAAUGCGUUGGAGAAUUUUAUCAAGAAUUCUCACUUUGUGAGAGAUUGGUUGACUUAGGCAAAUUUGAAGAAAAGAAAUCACCUAAGAUCGCAUAGAUUGCGAAACUAAAGUUCUAACCCCAUGAUAAAGACAAGUACCCUAAACAUCCUUCCAAAAUUUAGUGCUACACCCAUUGCCAAUUGAUGAAUGAAUGUUGCACAUAAUAUCAUCUCAAACCCUUGCAAUGGACUGCCAAACAUGAGAAGCAACUGGUUGAUUAAUACUGGCUGGACAUGUUUCCACCAUGUUAUAUUUAGAUUGCAAAAUUCGAACCCAUAAAGCUUAUUUGUUGGUCAAAAUUGUGAAGCCUAAUUUCAUUAGGAAAGAAUGGUUAUUCACAUUCAAUUUUUGAAUGCCUAAACCUCAUGCUCAUAGGGUUUUGGCAACAUGGGUUCCAAGACACAGGAGUUGGCUUCUUCGAAUCAAUACCCCCCUCAAAUAAAGCUUCUAACAAACCCCCCUCAAAUAAAGCUUCUAACAAUGUUCUCGAUUUCCAUACAAAUGUCUAUAGGGAUCUUAGUAAUUCGUAUGUAAUAAGAAGAGAUUGAGAAUAACACUGACUUAGCAAGCAUAACACAAUUCGGUAACGAAAUAACUCUAACAUCCCAUCCAUUAACUGCUCACGAACUUUCUCAACAAUAAAGCGAAAUGUAUCUUUGGUGACCCUUUUAUGAAAAAGUGGAAUACCCAAGUGCUUUCUCAAAUUUGAAACUCGUUGGAAGCCCAGGGUACUUCACCAUGUUUUACUAUAUGAGUUAGUGAUAGACUAAUUUCAAUUGGUAAUUUUUAGCCACUCACAUGGCUUGUUUCGAGAAAAAAGGAAAAUUUUCUGCUUAUUUUGAAGAUGCAUUUUUUUACUAGAGUUUUUACUCAUCUUUCUAAUUUCAAGUGUAAAUUUGCACUAGCUAUUCUUUAUUUUAUGUCUAACUAUUGUAAUACAUAUAGAAUAAAUGAGUCUUUUCCUCAUGUUCUUACAUGAGAAACCAAACAAGUCAUAAAUGAUAAAUAUACUAUUUGAUACUUUAUUUUGGCUUCAAUGUUCAAUUUGGCACCUCAAUUUUUUUUGUCUCAAUUUGGUAUCUAAGUUUGGAUUUGAUUUUCACUUUAGUACGUACUUUUUUUUAAUUUCAUACUUGAGUUUUUUUUGUCAUACACCAAAAUUCCAUUAUAUGUCAAAAUUUUGGAUCCAUGAAUUUGCAUAGUUUUGAGUAGUUUGAAGGUUGGGAAUUAUUCUUAAAUAUAUAAUUAGAUUAUUAAAAUCGAUUAUAAGUAAUGUGAAUGAGUAAAGAUUAAGAUAUUUUAAUUUCAAGUUUGUUAUGUCGAAAGUUUCGAUUUCAAGAGAAUUUAGCUUAGGCCUAUGUUUUUAGAUAAUUUUGGUGAGUCUUUGGCUGAAUGUUGAUUGUGUUGUUGUGUGAAUUAUUUGGUUGAAGCUUUGGAAUCGUUAAGACCUUUUACGAGUAAAGAGAAAGGUAAGGAAAAGAUAGUUUGAGCUUUCGGCGUCUAGGUGAAAGCAUGAAUGGUGAGUGUUUGGAAUCGCUACUUGUAGACACGAUUAAUUGCGUUAAUUGGGAAUUUAGAAGUAGCCUAAACCUCUACGCUAAAUUCGGAGUGUAAGCUUUCUCAUACUAUUGAUUUAAUAUGUGAUUGUGUGUUGUGAAUUUGUGGAUUAAGAUAUGAUAUUAUAACAUGUGAAAUAAGCUUAUGAUGGUUAUUGUGAAAGAGUUGAUUGUGGGCAUGUUAUACGUGCCAAAUAACAGUGAUUAUGUUGUGUUUAUAAUGUGAAUAUGUGGUGAAAAGUGCAAAAAAUGGUAAGUAAUAUGUGUGUUUAAUAACGAAUAUUUUGGCCUUGUGAUUUUUGAGAUCGUUGGAUAUAGUUGACAUGCCAUAGGAUUGUGAGUACUCACCUAUAUAUGUUGUGUUUUGGGGGUGUUAAGGCCUGGGACAUUUUAGAAGAGAUAAGGGAAUGUGAGCUAAGCUCUAUUCACUGGGAUAUGUUGGUGUGUUGGAGAGUUUUAGCUAUAUGCUUCACUUUUGGGAUAUGUUCAACUCUACGAGUCAUUUGGUGUGUUGGAGAUCUAUGUAUCCGAUGUAUGGUGAUAGAGCCCACUUUUAUGUUUCAUAGCUCAAGUGCCAAAUUAUCAUUAAAUGUGAUUAUGUGUGAUGUGAUAUAAGCUUAAAUGAGUUUGUGACUUCUAUGUAAACGACCAUUUGAAUAAUGCAUGAUUAAGUAAUAUGACGCUAAAGUUGGAAAUGUUGUAAUUGGGCUAUAUGAAUGCUUUGUUAAUGCAUGAUGACAUGUUUGCGUAAUAGUUAUUCUGAUCAUUCACUGAGCUUGUUUAAGCUCAUCCACUCCUUUUUAAACCUUUGCAGGCUGUUAGCAUUGCGGUGUGAGCGGUGCGAAAUAUUUUCCAAUGGACUAAUCUAAGUAGUUUAGAAUUUGAGUAGGUGAAUUAUAGUAUUAUUCUGAACUGUGGGAAUAAGGCAAUGUAGUAGACUUGUUGCUUGAAUGCUGCCAUGAUGUUUUAGGAUGAUUACUUGGACUUGCUACUCACAGAAUUUAUAGACGUUUGACAUUGGUUUAUUGGUAUUACUUAGCUUAAACUAUUGUUGAUGCUUUAAGUUGUAUUUCCGGAUCAUUUUGAUGCUAAACUUUGAGCUUAUAAAUGCAUGAUUAGUUGGUAUGUUAGAUGUUCUAUUUUGAUGUUAUUUUUGUUGAAUUAUGCAGAGGUAUCGAUAACUCGGACAUAUGUAUUGAUACCUGUGUAAUUUAGUCUGUGUCGCAACAUCUAGUGCUUGUGUCGCGAUACUGAAGACAGUAUGCUCGAUUCCUGAUUCAGCCCCAGUAGUGUGUCGCGACAUCAAAGGCAGUCUUGGUAUAUGUGUAAAGCUUUGAUGUUUGAUGUAGCUUCCUGUUACUUGGGUUUGACAAUUGGGCUGAGUACGGGAUGUUACAUUUUUUUGUCCUGGUUAAGUACCUUAAUUUGGCUUCAAUUUUCAUUUUAGUAUUUGAGCUUUUUAUGUCCCAAUUAAGUGCCUAUUUUCUUUUUUACUAGAGCACACAUGCCAAAUAUUAGUUGGGCCACAUGAUAUUUGGCUUAGGUACCAAAUUGGACAUUGAAGCCAAAUUCUAGUACCAAAUUGAAAAAAAAAACCUCAAGUGUCAAAUUAAAUAUUAAAUUCAAACUUAGGUACCAAAUGAUAUUUUAAAGCAAUAUUAAAUCCAUGAACUUAAAGUAUUUAUUAACCCAAUUACCCAAACUUCAUUGGUAUUGAACUUAAAAAAACUUAGCCUUUAACAUUUAUAUUUUAUAUUUCUUUUUGUCAAUUUGACCCUUAUUUUAUUUUUAAACUAAAUUUGACCUUCAACCUUUUAAAAAGAGUAAAAUUUGACCAUCAAUCUUUCAAAAAGAGUUGAAUUGUUUUUUUAAUGGAAAAACUGACUAAAACAUUAAAUUUUUAAACAUUGUAGAUUAUAUGGCAAUUCACGUGUACUUCAUACUAUUUUUUAAAAUUUUAUGAACUUUUUAUAUUCUUUAAUUUUAAUUUGUUUAAUAUUUUAUAAAUUUUAAAUUAUUUGUUGAUGUAACAUAUAAGAUAAAUAUUGUUAUGUUAGCAUGUAGUACACAUGGAUUGUCAUGCAGGUUGCCAUUCCAAUAUUGUUACAAAAAGUUAAUGUUUUAGUCAAUAUUUUUGUUAAAAAAAGUGAGUUAACUCUUUUUGAAAUAUUAAUGACCAAAUUUAGCUAAAAAAUAAGACUAAAAUUAAUAAAAUAUAUAAACAUUGAGAAUUAAAUUUAGGCAUAAUAAUUUUUUGGGCCUUCCAACUUUACAAAAGAAGUCAUUGUAGCUCUUCAUUUAUUUUUCGUCUUUUUUAACACUUGAACUUGCGGUUUUUUUUUUGUCAAGUCACCUAAAAAUGAAUGGAAAUGUUAACAUUUAUUUAACAUUGUUGACAUUGCAUAUAUGUGGAUUACCAAGUGGAUAACACAUUAACAUUUAAUUAUUUUUUAAAAUUUUUAAAAAUAUUUUUAAAAAAUUAUAAUUUUUAAUAAGUUUUAUGAUUUUAAAUUUAUAAGGUGAUAUAGAAAGAAACCUACCUCAUUUGGACUUUCACUUUGUAUGCAAAAUCUUGGCCAAGUCGCCGUACAUAAGUUUAACAGUAGGUUAAAAUAACGAUCUUGGAAGACUAGUAACUUGUUGUCAUUAAGGCAUAUCUUGAAAUUUUAUGGAUAUUAUUAAGAUUUCAAUAAAGUAGGCAAAACAGUACAAUAUGACACAUAGUUUAGAGUCGUCCAAAGGAAAUUCUACAGAGCUUAGGGAUAUUUUAGGAAGAUAUGGGAAUGAUAGGGUCGCUAAUCAUUAGGCUUUUAAGUUGUUAGUUUAGUUAGUGUUUUUUAACAUUAUAUUUCUGUUUUGGUGAAUUACAAGAAGAGAGUAAAGUCCUAAUAGCAACGCGACUAACACGAUUCAAACCCAGACCAUACCUGCGGCAGUAAACACUUUGAUCAUCAAGUCAACACAUUAGGUUCUCAACAUUGCAUCUUUACAUUUUGUAUUAGAGUUAACAAACUGGUUGAAAAAAUGUCCCUAAAAGUAUAUCAAAUGCCAACACUAUAAUUAGUAAAUUAGAUAAAAAAAUUUCUAUAGCAAGAACUAUAAAAAUUUAUAUUUAUCUACUGUGAGAUAGAAAAAAAAAGCAAGAAUCACCAUUUCCAUUUUUUAAAAUAAUUUUUACCAUGUUCUAAUAAUUUCUUUUAUUUUUUAUAUUUUAAAAGAAUUAUGCCUACAAAUUAUAAUGAAACAUGGAUAAAAAGAUGUCCAUAUUUAAAUAAAUUUAGAUGUCUAUUUAUCUAUAUUCAUUUUCAAUUUGAAUUUUUAAUAAUUUUUUUUUGGUUAAAUUGAACUGCUAUGUCAAUAUCAUGAUGGUUGAUUAACAACCAUAUUAAUGUGGUAAUAAUUAAUGGUGAGAUUAAUUAGUCAACGCGCCUAAUGAAGAUAAUUAAUAUUUUUUUAGAGAAAAUUUCAACUUGUAGGACCAUUUACCUUUAUUUUUUUCUUGGGGUGGUUGAUUAUCUUUUCUUCUUUUGUUGCUUUGACUUGUAUAAAUUUUCGGGUAAUAUACAAAUAAAAGCCCUUUUUUUAAAAUUUACUAAAAUAGGUCAGGUAAAAAAUUAAUUACUGGAAUUACUCUAUUUCCCCGAAAACGCGUCCACGUCAACGCGCUGUCAGGGUUUUGGGUUUUGGGUUUAGGGUUUGGGUUUUUGGGUUUUUAGGUUUAGGUUUUUAAAGAAAAAAUUAAAUAAAUAAGGGAUUAGGGUUUAGGGUUUCUUAAUUAAAUUAAUUAUAAAUUUUUCAAAAUUAGAUUAGGGUUUUGCGUUUAUGGUUUUUAAAGAAAAAUCAAUUAAAUUAGGGUUUAGGGUUACUUGAGUAAAUUAAUUAAAAAAAUUUUAAAAAUCAGAUUAAGGUUUAGUGUUAAGGGUUUUUAAGGAAAAAUCAAAUAAAUUAGGGUUUAGGGUUAUUUAAGUAAAUUAAUUAUAAAUUUUAAAAAAAUUAGAUUAGGGUUUAGUGUUUAAGGUUUUUAAGGAAAAACUCAAAUAAAUUAGGGUUUGGGGUUUAAGAUUACUUAAUUAAAUAAUUUGUUAAUUUAGAAAAGCUCCCACGUGGACGCUCUUUUGCUACAGUAGCUCCUGAAAAAAUAAAUUCGAGGAGACGUUUUUGAGCAAAUAGUGUCAAAAACGCUUUAAGCAGGAUGCAUUGUCAGCAAAAGUAUUGAAAAAAGCUCCCACGUGGACGCGCUUUUACUACAGUAGCUCCUGAAAAAAUAAUUUCGAGUAGACGUUUCUGAGUAAAUAGUGUCAAAAACGCUUUAAGUAGGAUGCUUUGUCAGCAAAAGUAUUGAAAGAAGCUCCCCCGUGGACGAGCUUUUGCUACAGUAGCUCCUGUUUGGCCUGAGGCUAUAAAUGAGGCAAAAUUUUUUCUCAGAUUGCAUAAGUUACAGCAAAAAAAUUAGAGAGCCUAAGAAGGAUAGAAAUUGAAGAUGAGUGAAUGUAUUAGUGUUGUUAUUUACUAUGAUGGUGAGGUUCGUCACACUGAGAACGGUGUUAUUUUUUUAUCGGAGAAUACAGUGCGACUGGUUUUUAACCAGAACAUAGAUUUGAUAGAACUUCAUAAAAGAAUUAGGCGUAAAAUAUUAGAAACGACGUCAAUGAAAGUUUUAUCUAUUACGUAUCAGUUUUGUUCUUCUGUUGAUCCGGUGACAUAUGACUCGUUCGACAUAAAAUGUGCUCGUAGCUUGGAGGCAAUGGUGUAGACACAUCUCGCUAGUGGAGCACACUAUAUUGAGUUAUAUGUACAAUUUACAUCGCCAAAUGAUGCACUUGCGACUGCUGUUCGAGAGGUAUACACGACUCCUGCCUGACACUCGGUUAGUGGGUUACAAAACACGAAACAACCCAUGUUUGGCAGCGGUAUGGUAUACACAACCCUUGUUUGACACCCUGUUAGUGGAUGGGACAUGCACCACGGUGGGUCGAUGUUUGAUGCUGGAAAUACGUACUGGGGAACGGCAUCAACUUCUAGUGGUUGGCAAUCUACAUUCAAUUGGGGACGUUAUGAAAUGUCCAGAAGAAUGGAUAAUAUACUCCCUACGAUGUCCACCGGUGAGGGGACCUCGUACGUUGCAGAUGAUGGUGGGUUAGAAGAUGACUCCAAUGUGGAUCCACCUUAAGAGCCCGGGGUUUGCGAUCGAGACAACUUAUGGUUUCGCGUGACAGAGUUUGACAGACCGCACCAAGGUGUUAUUGGCAGGCAAUAUCGUGUACACUUGCGAAAUAGGACUUGCGACUGUGGGAUGUUUGACGCACUUCGUUAUCCAUGCGCUCAUGUAAUUGUAGCUUGUCAUAAUCUCCGUCUGAAUUCGAUAAGUUAUGUCGACGAAGUGUACAAAUUAGAAAACAUGUACAACGUCUGGAGACACGUAUUCCAACUGAUCCCAGAUGAACGUAAGUGGCUGUCUGUAUUGCUUGCUCCCUUUAAGCUGUUACCGGAUAGAGAAUUGCGUCGCAAACCAAAGGGUCGAUCUUGCUCGACAAGAAUACGUAACAAUAUGGAUAUUCGAGAAACAGCCAGUCAACAGACGUUGUGCGGAUGGUGUAGGAACCUAGGCUAUUCAUGCCGAUCAUGCCCAAAUCACAAUAGUUGAACGUUAUUGUAAAAAACUUUGUAUUAUAUAUAUUUUUUAAAUCAAAUAAUAUAGAAAUAUUCAGAAUACUGACUUAUUUAAAAGAAAAUCUAUUUUAUUAAAAAUAAUAAAGUAAAUUACAAUUACUUUAUUCAAAACAAUGUUUUAUUUUAUUAAAUGAAAUAAUAUAGAAAUAUUCAAAAUAUUGUGUUAUUUAAAAGAAUUUCUAUUAUAUUAAAAAUGUAAAAGUAAAUUUCUAUUUUAUUACAUGAAAUAAUAUAGAAGAAUUUCUAUUUUAUUACAUUAAAUAAUAUAGAAGAAUUUCUAUUUUAUUACAUUAAAUAAUAUCAAAAUAUUCAAAAUAUUUGUACAAAUAUAUUAAAAUAAAAAUCAAUCUCCGUGCCCACCGAAUUCAGUGCCACAUGGUGGCCGUCGAUGGUUACGCGCUGGAUUCCUCAUUUGUCUAGCUUCCGGUGGGGGUUAUGGUUGUUCCCGCGGGGAUUCUGGUUCCUCCGGUAGGGGAUAUGGUUGUCGGUGUUGGGAUGAUGAGCCACCUUGAGAGAAUAGUGAUUGUGGAGGUGUUUGCAUCACCAACGGCAAAGCUGUUUGAAACCCAUAUGGUGAUGGGGAUUGGUAAAAAGAAGAGCUCCCCGACGGCCCCUCCUACGAUCCCUCGUGCGACGGUGGCCUAUACAUCGGUGGCCCACUCGGCGUAAUCGAAAAUGGAGAUGAACCGGACCAUGAACUUUAACCUGUCAUAGGACUAAAAGAAGGAAACAUAUAAGGGUUAGGAUAAAUAAAAGGGCUAGGAUACGCACCUGGCAUCAUCUGAAAAGGUUGUGCUGUGGGUGUCGUCAGUUGAAGUGUUAGGCUGGUGACUGUGUGGAUGCUGUUGUUGGGCCUGGUGAUGGGCCGUGUGAUUGUGAUAGACCUACGUCGUCAUCCCUUCUUCUUGGAUUUAAAGGGCCACGUCGUUCCCUUUGCACACGUAAUUUCUGCUGCCUUUCCUCUAUCGACAGUAAAUACGGCUUGCCAUAGAUUCUAAACCAUUGCAUGUAUUCUGGCACGCACGCUAACUCUAGAAGGAUGAUCGGUUCUCAAGUAGGUAUAUAAUCAUAUUGAUCUUCCUAUAUUUGGAUGUAGUAUGACCAGAAUCUCGGUCAAACCGUAUGCAAUUGCCAUAGGUAGAUUUUGUGAUGAUUAUCCAACACCUCAGGUGCCACGGGAAUCGGUUGUCAUAAUCCAAAUUGUUGUAAUACUCUGUCCGACUGGUGUAUCUCCACGGUCGCAAAGUUGACCAAUGAGACUUUUACAUACCAAGCGUUUGGAUUUUGGAAAUACUCAUCCGGAAUUACAGCCCGAAUUGCCGGAUCCUUGUAUGGUGUCCAUUGGAACUAUAUGAACAUGAUGGAAAUAUUAGUUAUAUACAUAAUACUAAAUACUAAAUACCAAAUACCAAUAGACUAUCUCAUGAUGGAAAUAUCUAUUUGAUUUAAUACUUACUUGUGCUUCCGACAGUUGGUCUAAUAGAAGCCGUAUAUCUUCAAGAAAGGUAGGUAAUCCAACAUAACUUGCCGAAUAGUUCCACCUAAUUAAAUAAAUUUUUAGCAUACGAUUAUAUUUUAAAUCUACGUAAUAAUUGUAAAAUAUAAUAUAAAAUUUACCUCGUUAUGAGUGCGAAUGUAUAUUGGUGGUCCACUUGAGGACGUAAAAGUGAUAGGCAACCUCCAAUUUUCAUUUUAUUCGGUCGCGUCGCCCCGCACAUCUUCCGGUACAAUGUUGCCUACAUGGUAGACCCCCGACUAAAUUCACCAGCUGCUCUAAAAUCAACGAGUUUUAGCAGCCAUCUCAGAUGUACAAGGCUCCGUGACAAGUCCGGUAUCAGAUAACCUCCAAUUAUCUGAGGAAUGUUUGCCCGAGCAUAUCAGAUUCUUUCUAGUUCGGUAGAAUUAUCAUUCGGCUCCGGAAAUGUGUCUCGUAGCCUGCCCAUCUCAAUCCGACCUCUGUUAAUAUUAUCCGGAAUAGCACCCAAAAGCUCGUAGCAUACCGCUCCCCAAUCACCAGAUUGAACAGACCCAGUGACUGCGUACCCGUCCACCGGCAAUCCCAAUUGCAAAUUUACGUCUUCCAAAGUAAUAGUACACUCUCCACAUGGAAGAUUGAAUGUGUGCAUCUCGGGUCUCUACCUCUCAAUCAACGCACUGAUAAGUUUUGGGUCCAACUUGCAUCCCUAGUCUACCGUCGCCACGUGCCAAAAACCUGCUUCCCAUAGGUAAUUCUCUACCAACGGUGAUGGAGGACCAUGCAUAUUACGAAUAUAGCAUUGCAAUAUCCGAUCUAUAGACUUUUAUAAGAAAUAAUAAAAUAAAAAUUAUUUAAAAUUGCAUAAAUCAAAAAAAUCUUAAAUAAUUUUUAAAAAUUAAAUUUAACACUUACCAUUUUCAUUUGUUCAACGGAUAUGUGAUUGUUAUCGAGACGAAUUAAUUUUCUGGCCAUUGCUAACACGAUCAAAUUUUUAUGAUUUAAAAAAAUCAAAAAAAAUAAAACUAAAUAUUUUUUAAAAAUAAUUAAAAAAUUAAAGUUUUUUUUAGAGGAAUUUGAGAGAAUAUUGGAGAGAAAUUGAGAGAAAGGAUUUAGGUGUGAAAAAAAUGGAAGGGGGUUUUAUAGUUUUUUUUACCGUUGGGGGGUCACCAACAGUCAAAAAAGUAGCCGUUGGUACUGAUCACGCGCGGGCAAGGACGCGCUUUCUGUCCACGUGGACAAAGCGCUUCCUUGAAGAAGUGUUUUCCUGCCUCGUCACCUGACAACGCGCUAACGUAGAUGCGUUUUCGGGGUUAUUUCGGUAAUUAAUUUUUUACCGGGCCCAUUUUAGUAAUUUUUUAAAACAUGGGCUGUUAUUAGUAUUUUGCCUUAAAUUUUCAUUUGUUAUCAUAAAAUUAGUGUUAUAAUUAUUUUGUCACUGUCAAACAUAGAAUGGCGGUCUCUUUUUUCUCUUUUACUAUGUGCAAUUGGGGCAAAUUACCAAUAAAAGUCCUUUUAUUUUUAAAAUUACCGAAAUGGGCCAGGUCCUGAAUUAAUUAUCGAAAUGGGCCAUUUCCCCCAAGAAUGUGUCCACGUCAGCGCGUUGUCAGGGGAUAAAGCAGGAAAACACUUCCUCAAGGAAGCGCUUUGUCCAUGUGGACAGAAAACGCGUCCACAUGGAUAGAAAACGCAUCCUUUAGGGCGCGCUUUGUGUCCACGUGGACAAAGCACUUCCUUAAGGAAGCGUUUUCCUCGUGUCUGCUACAGUACCAACGGCUAUUUUUUUUACCAUUGGUAAUCCUCCGAUGGUAAAAAAAAACUAUAAAACCCCCUUUCUUCUUUUUUCACACUUAAAUCAUUCCCAUCUUCAAUCUUUCAAUAUUCUCCCAAAUUUCUCUCAAAUUUCUCUCAAAUUCCUCUCAAAGCUCUAUUUAAUUUUUUUAAAAAGCUCUAAUUUUAUUUUUUUGGAUUUAUUUUUUUAAAUAAAAAAACUUGAUCGUGUUAGCAAUGGCCGGAGAAUUAAUCGUCUCGAUGAUAAACACAUAUCCGUCGAACAAAUGAAAAUGGUAAGUGCUAAAUUUAAUUUUUAAAUAUUAUUUAAGAUUUUUUUCAUUUAUGCAAUUUUAAAUAAUUUUUAUUUUAUUAUUUCUUAUAAAAGUUUGUAGAUCGGAUAUUGCAAUGCUAUAUCCGUAAUAUGCCUGGUCCUCCAUCACCGUUGAUAGAGAAUUACCUGCGGGAAGCGGGUUUUUGGCACGUGGCGACGAUAGGCCAAGGGUGCAAGUUGGACCCAAAACUCAUUAGUGCAUUGAUAAAGAGGUGGAGACCGAGACGCACACAUUCCAUCUUCCAUGUGGAGAGUGUACUAUCACGUUAGAAGACGUAAAUUUGCAAUUAGGAUUGCAGGUGGACGGGUACGCAGUCACCGGGUCUGUUCAAUCUGGUGAUUGGGGAACGGUAUGCUACGAGUUUUGGGUGCUAUUCUGGAUAAUAUUAACGGAGGUCGGAUCGAGAUAGGUAGGUUACGAGACACAUUCCUGGAGCUGAAUGAUGGUUCUACUGAACUAGAAAGAAUAUGAUAUGCUUAGGCAUAUAUUCUUGAGAUAAUUGGAGUUUAUAUGGUGCCGGACUUGUCACGAAACCUUGUACAUCUGAGAUGGCUGCUGAAACUCGUUGAUUUUAGAACAGCUGGUGAAUUUAGUUGGGGGUCUGUCGUGUUGGCAACAUUGUACCAAGAGAUGUACGGGGUGACGUGACCAAAUAAAGAGAAAAUCGGAGGUUGCCUAUCACUACUGCAAUCAUGGAAAUGAUUUCACUUUCUAUUUUUACGUCUUCGAGUGGUCCACCCUAUACAUUCCCACUCAUAACGAGGUAAAUUUUAUAUUAGAUUUUACAAUUAUUACGUAUAUUUAAAAUAUAAUCAUAUGCUAAAAAUUUAUCUAAUUAGGUGGAACCAUUCGGCAAGUUAUGUUUGAUUACCUACCUCUCUUGGAGGUAUACGGCUUCUAUUAGACCAAUGGUCGGAAGCAGAAGUAAGUAUUAAAUAAAAUACAUAUACAUAAUGAGAUAAUCAAUUCGUAUUUAGUAUAGUCAAUUCGUAUUUAGUAUUUAGUAUUUAGUAUUAUAUAUAUAACUAAUAUUUCCAUCAUGUUCAUAUAGUUUCAAUGGACACCAUACGAGGAUCCGGCAAUUCAGGUAGUAAUUUUGGAUGAAUACUUGCAAAAUCCGAACGCUUGGCUUGUGAAUGUCUCAUUGGUCAACUUUGUGGUCGUGAAGAUGCACCAGUCAGACAGAGUACUACGAUAAUUUGGAUUUUGACAACCGAUUCCUGCGGCACCUGAGGUGUUGGAUGAUCAUCACAGAAUCGACUUAUGACAAUUGCAUGCAGAUUGGCCGUGUAACAGCCCGAUUCUGGGCCUAGUCGGAACAGUGGUUUCGGGACCACAAAUCCAACGAGGGAAAAUAUUAUUGUCAUUAUAUUUUUAUGGUCUACAAUUUCACAGAAAAACUUCGUAAAAAUUUCGUUCGAAAAUUUCGACGUUUGGGCACUCAAUUUAGUCAAAAGGACUAAAUUGUAAAAAGUGCAAAAGUUGAUUUCUACAUGUUAGAAGUGUCUAAUUGUUAUGAAAUUAUAAAUUGGGGGUCCUUAUAUGGUAUUUAGACCAUUAGUUAAUUGAUGGACAAAAAUAGACAUAAGAAAUGGGUGAAAUAGAUUUUUUUUAAAUGGAGGCAUUUUAGUCAUUUUGUAAUAAAAAGAAUAAAAAGGGAAAAAGAUGGCAAAAAAUCAUCAUCUUCUCCAUAAGUUGCUACCGAAACUUGGAAGACACCAUAGCUAGGGUUUCUUCACUUUCUCAAGCUCAUAGUAAGUGCAUCCUAGCCCCUAUUUUAAUGUUCUUCUCAUUUUUGAUAUCCUCGUAGCUCGGUUUAGCUUAUUCUACCAUUAAUUCAUGUUAGGGUGCAUAUUUGGAAAAAUACCCAUAGGUGAAAUAUGUUUAUUUUACUGUUUUAUGGUAGAAUAUGGAGCUACAAAUUAUGUUAAACAACUUUUGCUAAGCGAUUUUAAGUAAAAACGGGUAAAUUGACAUAAUCGGUAAAAAUAUUUAUUGUUCAUAAGUGUAUGUUAGAGUGAGAAUUUGAUGUUGCCAUAGAAGGGAAAAGUGUUCAGAAUGUUGUAAAACAUAAGAAUAAAGUGUGAAAUUUAAUUUUCGAGCCUAGGGAUGAAAAUGGAAAUAUGCAAAAUUUUGGGGGUAAAAUUGUAAUUUUUCAAAAAGUUGAGUGGAGGACUAUUUUAAUAAAUGUGAACAUUAAAUGAGUUAAAUUUUUUAUUAUAGAUCAAGAAAUACGAGAAGAUAAUCUCAAACGGGGAAAAGAGAAGGUUGUGGAGUAAAUUGCAAAAUUACGAUAUUUUGCACCGAGGUAAGUAAACAUGUGAAUUAAUGUAUUAUUUUGUUAUGAUUUAAUAUAUGUUGAGAUUUAAUUGAACAUAGAAUAAAUAUUUGGCAUAGAUCCUAAAAAUGUGGUUAAGUUGGGAAAGGUGGCAAAGUAUUGAAAAAUGAGGUUUCCGGUUAAACACUCGGAUUAAGCCGGAGUAUAUUGAAUAUAAAGGGGGUUGAUAAGUGCUGAUUCCCCCAAGGGGUUGCUAAGUGCUGAUUCCUCGAACCAUUGGUGGUUGUUAAGUGCUGAUCCCACCGUAUCUUAAAUGUGAAAGGGGUUGCUAUGUGCUGAUUCCCCGAAUCAUUGGUGGUUGCUAAGUGCUGAUCCCACCAUAUCUUAAAUGUGAAAGGGGUUGCUAAGUGUUGAUUCCCCGAUUCAUUGGUGGUUGCUAAGUGCUGAUUCCACCGUAUUUUUGAAUGUGAAAGGGGUUACUAAGUGCUGAUUCCCCGAAUCACUGGUGGUUGCUAAGUGCUGAAUCCAUCGAUAACGGAUAACAUUCCGAGUGUUCAAUGGGAAAUUGGAAAGGUGAAUAUUUAUAUAUGGUGGACAAGGUUAUGUGAGGAAUAUUGGGUUUGAUACUUAAUCAACCCAUGUGUAAGGUGAAAGGAAAUACCAAAACUUCAAAAGAACAAAUUUAAAUAUAAAACUGUUUUGUAUAAUAACAGUUGGGAAAAAUUUGAAAAAUCACCAUAAAUGGUGGAAAAUGAAUUAGAGGCUGGAUAAUAUAUGAAAUUGAAUCUGAAUAAGUCUAUUUUUGUAUGAAAGAAACAUAGCAAGCAAAAGAGUUCUGUAUUUGGGGAUAUUUAAAUUUUAUUGAGACAAGAUUAGAUUGAUUUCGAAAUCCCCUGUUUCAACUUUGGAAAAUCACCAAAAAUUGUAAAAAACUUAUUAUGGCUUGAAAUUUACAUGCUUGAACUCCUUGGUGAUUCUUUUUUUAAUAGAAACAAACAAGAACAUUGUUUGAAUUUUUUACAGAUAGUUAAGUGAAUUUUAGUAAGGAGAGGUCAGAAUUGUUAGGCACUGAAAUAGGGGAAUAUUUAGAGAAUAAACUGUACUAAUUGGAUUAACUAAAAAUUCUAAAAAUUUUAUGGUGGAAAUAUAUAUGAGUCUAGUUUUGGGGAAAAUUUACGGAAUUCAAUUUGGAGCCUUGUAACUCCAGAUAAAAAUAAAGUAGUGACCAUGACGCAGAAAAACAGUUUGCUUGAAAUUGAACAAACAAUGAAAUUUAUGUGUGAUAAAAAUUAUGUCACUAUGUAAUCUUGUGAGAAAUUUAUUUAUUUGUCAUAUGUUUACUUACUAAGCUAUAUGCUUACUCAUCUUUAUUUUUCCCCUGAUUAUAGUGACAUCAGCCAGCUCGGAAUUUGAACGAAGUUUAAAAUCAUCCACACUGUCAUCAACUUUUUGGGGUAUUUUGGCAAUCAACACUUUUGAAACAUGACAUGUAUAGAUGACUUUAUGUAUUGUGGUAUAAAUAUGUAUAUAUAGUAAUGUUCGGUUCAAUAUGUUGGUGUUUAUUAAUGGAUAAAUUAUGUCUGAUUAUAUAAUUGUAAUUGGUUAGAAAUAUUGAAGUUAUUUGAAGUUGUCUUUGGAAAUUUACAGGGGGUUUUAUGUAAAAAUAAGCAGAAAUACUGCCGAAAUUUUUAUAAAAAAAAUUUAUAAGUAUUUGAGUUCUAGUAAUACUUCAUACUCUGUUUUGGUAAGGAACAUGGGUAAGGGGUGUCACAGGCCGAGAUUCUGGUCACACUAUAUCCAAAUGUGGGAAGAUCAGUAUGAUUAUAUACCUACUGGAAUACAUGUCAUAGUAUAGGAUCCAUGGCAAGCCAUAUUUACUGUCGGAAGAGGAGAGGCGGCAACAAUUGCGUGUCCAAAGGGAACGACGUGGCCCUUUAAAUCCAAGAAUCCAGCGCGUAACCGUUGAUGACCUCCAUGUGGCACUGAAUUCGGUGGGCACGAACAUUGAUUUUUAUUUUAAUAUAUUUGUACAAACAUUUUAAAUAUUUUUAUUUUAUUUCAUGUAAUAAAAUAAAAGGUUGUUUUGAAUAAAGUAAUUGUAAUUUACUUUUAUAUUUUUAAUAAAAAUAGAAAUUCUUUUAAAUAAGGCAAUAUUUUCAAUAUUUUUAUAUUAUUUCAUUUAAUAAAAUAUAAAUAAUACAACAUAGUUUUUUACAACAACUAUCAACUAUUGCGAUUUGGACAUGAUCUACUUGUAUAGUCUGGGUUCCUACACGAUCCGCACAACUUUUGUUGAUUGGUUGUUUCUCGGAUAUCCAUAUUGUUACGUAUUCUAGUCGAGCAAGGUCGACCCUUUGGUUUGUGAUGCAAUUCUCUAUCCGAUAACAACUUAAAGGGAGCAAACGAUACAGACGGCCACUUACGUUCAUCUGAGACUGGUGGGAAUACGUGUCUCUAGAUGUUAUACAUGUAUUCUAAUUUGUACACUUCGUCGACAUAGCUCAUGGGAUCCAGACGGAGAUUCUGACAAAUUGCAAUUACAUGAGCGCAUGGAUAAUGAAGUGCGUCAAACAUCCCAUAGUCGCAAGUCCUAUUUUUCAAGUGUACACGAUAUUGCCCGCUAGUAAUACCUUGGUGCGGUCUGUCAAACUCCGUCAAACGAAACCAUAAGUUGUCUCGAUCGUGACACACUGUGUGCAUGGUGUUCACUCGCGCAUUCGCCUUGUUAAUUUCUUGCAAUCCCUUCCUGCACCAUACAUGGGCUCCCUGUAUUUGGCUUGCAUAACUCGCUGCUCGCUUUGGAAAUAGCACUGCUAAACGAAAAUAUAUCUCUCGCACAAUCGAUGUUAUCGGUAAAUGACCCGUUUUUUUUAGAACAUAAUUUAUGCAUUCAGCCAGGAUUGAGGUCAUAUGACCAUAUUGUAGGCCGCUGUCGUAUGCUAGUUUCCAUUGUUCGAAAGGUAUGUUACAGAGGUAGUCUGCGCCUUCGUCGUUAACUGAACGCAAAAUUGCCAACAUCUCAUGAAAACGGUUUUUACUUAUUUCAUACCCUGCCAAUAUAAGUUUAUAGCAAAUAUUACAUACCACUUUUUCAUUUAGAAUAAAUUCAAAAUGACAAAAGAUAAUUAUAUUAAUAGAGACUAAAUACCCAUGUUGGUCACUUGUCGUUAUUCACUUUUAGAUGGAUAUUGCCUAUAGUAGUUGGAAGCAACGUGCCUUAGGCAAUACCGAUGGUGUGUGCACUGCCAUAGGCUUUCCUGUCGCUCAAUAGCAGCUAGUAUUUCGGUGCCCCGAUCUGAAAUAACACAGAUAUCAGGUUGGGGGCACACAUGUCUCCUUAACCUAGAUAGAAAGAAAUUCUAGUCAUCAGCUGACUCUCCCGGUGUUAUUGCAAACGCAAUUGGAAGAAUUCUCCUACUACCAUCUUGUGCCACUGCUAGCAAUAGUCGAUGGGUAUAUCUACCAAACAUAAAGGUACUGUCAAUUUGUACCAAUGGCUUGUACUAAAGAAUUACGUCUCGGCAUUGCUUAAAGGUCCAUAACAGAUGUUUGAACACUUGGCAUCAAUAGAACAAUCAGUCGUUGUAGUACGCACGUUUCGUUUCAAGGUCUGUUAUGCAACCUGGGACGUAUCUCUCUAGCACUUGACACCACUGCCAUAUUUCAUUAUAUGAAGCGUCCCACCCACUAUGCAUCUUCUCCAACGCCUUCUGCUUAACUAUCCAAGCCUUGCGGUAAGAGGGCGUGUACCCCAUUUGGCUACGAAUAUUGGCAAUUAAGACCGACACUGAAGUCCUAGGAUCUGCCUUCAUCGUGGGUAGUAUUAAGCUAGCUAACAUAGCUGAAUCCAUCUUGGGAUGAUCUUGUGAAAUACCUGUCAACGAAGUACAUUAAUUAAUACAAUAUUACAUAAUAACAGUAUUAUUCAAAAACCCUAAAUACUAUACCUGUAGCACAUAUAUGUAGACCUUUGUACUUUUUUAUCUCCCACAAACUUGUCCUUUUCCUCAACGAGGCAUAGAUUUUCCAUGAACAUGUACCGUCUUACACUACACACUUCGCCUCAAACUUAUCAGAUUUGGAUUUAACCACGUGGUAGUUAACGCCAUUAUUGAUGAUAUGUUGUUUCAAUGCACCAAGAAAACUAUACUUAUUGGAAAACUCCUUACCAACUUCAAAUUCACCCGAAUCCAAUAAUGAACUUGUACGAUCACGCAUUUUGUGUUGUAGAUCUGGAAACUCCAACGCAUCAUCUGCAGAUAGAUCGACAUUAUGCAUGUGGGCUGGAUACGAGUAUGCCCUGAAUCGUGGAUCUUCUUCUUCAUCUGAACACCUUUCAACAUCUUCAGGUUCGGUUGGAAUAUGCUCCGGUUCAAAAAAUAAUACAACUUCUGCACCAUCAGGGCUAGGCUCUCAAGGUGGAUCUACAUCAGACUCAUCUUCUAACCCACCAUCAUCUGCAACGUACGAGGUCCCUCACCGGUGGACGUCGUAGGGAAUACAUCAUCCCUUUUUCUAGGCAUUUCAUAACAUCCCCAAUUGUAUGUAGAUUGCCAACAACUAGAAGUUGAUGCCGUUCCCUAGUACGUAUUUCCAGCAUCAAACAUCAAAAAUCGAUACCUAGUGUCGAAACCAUUUUUUUUGUAAAAAAGGGUCUACUUUUAUCUUGAAAAUGAAAACGAAAAAAGGGGAGUCGCCACCAAUCCUUUUUAUUUAGGUGUGAUCGAAUCACCUCAUAAUUUAACCAUUUUAAUAAAAGUUUAAAUUUACUAAAACGAUAAUUUUUGGUCUACAAAAUUCAUAAGACGGGUUCAGGAGUCGAUUACGCAUGACGAAGGAUUAGCACCCUCGAUACGCUCAAAAUUGGUACCUAGUUGAUUACUUAAUGUCUUAAUGUCGAAAGUUAAAAUUUUGAAAAAGAUUUUAAAAUAUGAUUCCUUUUUUUAAUGAUGUUAAUUUUAAAAACGCUUGAAUUAAAUCGAAACGAAUGUCAAAGACCUCUCGUCUCGAGAUAAUAAAUGUCACAUCCUGUAAGUUAGGACACGACACUUGGAACCCUCGAGAAUAAGCUAGCCUUUAACUUUUAUUGGAAUUUCAUAAACUUUGAAAAUUAGAAGGAUAUUUUUCUAUUUAGGUUCAACAAGAAAAUUAAAACCCCGUAAGUUAGGGUAUAAUUUCUCGAAUCUCCAAAACACGAAAUAUUGCCUUAUUUUAAAACUUUUCCUUUUUUGAGUAAUUGCAAGUACAAUACUUGAACGAGGUGAAUUUGUUUUAUUUGUGACAAAAUAGAACGGUUUAUUAUGGUAUUUACAAAUCGAACGAAACUUUUUAAAUGAUGCAAUGAAAUGGAACGAUAACAUAGAACAUAAAAUAACAAUUUGUGAAUAAAAUGUUACGCUAAUGAGUGGCAAUAAUAUGAGAAUAAAUAAACAAGUUAUGGUACACAUAAUGAUAAUAACCACACAACAUGCAUCAUUUUAAAAAUACCAAUAUUAAUAAUCAAAGUAAACGAAGCAAAAUAAUAUAGAAAACAAUUUCACGUAAAUAAUAGUCUAAAUAAAUAAUUUACGAGAAUAAUAAAUGAUAAAAGAUUUCUAAUAAACGAUAUAUAAAAACUUAUAAUGAAUAAUAAUACAAUAGUUUAAAGUAAAUAAUCAAGAAAAGAAAAAAAAUAUAAAACAGUUUUCCUUAAAACAAAUAAAUAAUAGUUUAAAAUAAAUAAUAUAAUAAAAACAUAUAUAAUAGUUUAAAAUAAAUAAUAUAAUAAAAACUUUUAAACAAAUAUUAAGUAAAACAGUUUAGAAUAAAUGAUAAAUAAAACCUUAAAACAAAUAAUAGUAAAAGAGUUUUUUUUUAAAUAAAAUAAACAAAUAAAUUAAAUAUACUAAGGAUGAUACUGAAAUCGAUCCAGAAUUUGGGGUUCAAAUUGCAAAUAAAUAAAAAAAUGGGCUACUAGGGACUGAAAUAGAGCGCGCUUAAGGAAUGAAAGACCGACCGGGCAAUAUUUCCAGCCCUCAUGCGCAGUAUUUCAGCGCGGACUAAAAUCAAACAAACUGAAAAUUAUGCAGCUAAAAUAAAAGGAACAAAUGGGGUCAAAUUGCACCACGUCAAACAAAUAGAGGGACCUAUUGCGCAAAUAGCCCCUUUACUGCAGAAACACACGGAUCCUGAGGGAAAACAGGUCGGUUUUCGGGUCUGAGGCCUAAACGACGUCGUUUUGGCCUCUAAGCUCACUCCUCAAAACGGCGCCGUUUCAUGUUGCUAUAAAGGCCAAAUAUUUUUAAAAAUCCUUCUUUUUUCCCUUCUCUCUAAAAAAACAAAACAGAAUUCUCUCAAGCCCUUUUUCCCUUCCCAGAAUCUAGCCAGGGGUCUGGCCAUCGGCCACCGUGCCGGCCGCCGAUCGCCGACAAUGGCACCACCAUCCGCGGUGGCCAAAAAAAGCCAAAGCCGCCCCUUUCGCUCCUCUUUUCGAGUAGAGCCCGGAUUUGGAGUUAAAAUAACCCAAAAGACCCUUAAAGUUCGAAAAAAAGAAGAGAAAAGGAAAAAAAAGGGACUUUUCGGUUUCCCAUUACUGCCGGUGGGGAUUCGGCGAGCCCACUGGCUCAAUCACCCUCAACACCGGAGAAACCUCCGACUACGGCCACAAAGGUAACAAAUCUCGCUCCUUUAUUUAUUUUAUAUUUUAUAUUAUUUAUUAUUUCGAAUAAAAAUAAAUAUAUAUAAAAAGACCUUGAUUUUCUCUGUUUCAAACUCCUUUUUGUAUUCAGAAUUAGUGUGUAACCGAAAAAAUUACAAAGAUGAUGCUCGGGCUUUUAUAGCCGAAAUACAUGAUUCGUUUUUGUUCUUUUUCUUUUGUUUGCUUCCAUUUCUUUUUUUUUCGUUGUCCUCUUUUGGUUGCAUGUUGCAGGUGGUGGCAGAGGGCGUCAGACGCGUGAGGGAGCCUGGUGCGCAUGUGGUGGUGGCAGCGUGCUGACGUGGGAGGAGCGGCGGCACUAGGGGGCUAGGGUUUCUUUUUUUUUUUCCUGAAAGUGUGUUUAGGCUAUUGGGCUUAUCGGGCCAUUAGGGUUUUUUUUAUUUGGGCUUGAUGUUUUAAAAUUGGACUUGUAAUGGACUGUAAUUUUGGACUCUUAUUUUAUUUAUUUGGUUUGGUAUUGGGCCCGGGUAAAAUUGGGCUAUUACACCUAAUAGACAAAACUUUCAUUGGCGUCGUUCUGAAUAUUUUACGCCUAAUUAUUUUACGAAGUUCUGUCAAAUCUAUGUUCUGGUUAAAACCAAUCGCACUGUAAUAUCUGGUAAAAAAAACAACACCGUUCUCGGUGUGACGAACCUCACCAUCAUAGUAAAUAACAGCACUAAUACGUUCACUCAUCUUCAAUUUCCAUCCUUCUUAGCCUCUCUAUUUUUUUUUGCUGUAACCUAUGCAACCUGAGAAAAAAAUUUGGCUCAUUUAUAGCCUCAGGCCAAAUAGAAACUACUGUAGCAAAAGAGCGUCCAUGUGGGAGCUUCUUUCAGUACUUUUGCUGCCAUUGCAUCCUGCUUGAAGCAUUUUUGACACUAUUUGCUCAGAAACAUCUUCUCAAAAUUAUUUUUUCAGAAAUUACUAUAGCAAAAGAGCGUCCACGUGGGAGCUUCUUUCAGUACUUUUGUUGACAAUGCAUCCUACUUAAAGCGUUUUUGACACUAUUUGCUCAGAAACGUCUUCUUAAAAUUAUUUUUUAGGAACUACUGUAGCAAAAGAGCGUCCACGUGGAAGCUUUUUUAAAUUAACAAAUAAUUUAAUUAAGUAACCCUAAACUCCAAAUCCUAAUUUAUUUGAUUUUUCCUUAAAAACUCUAAACACUAAACCCUAAUCUAAUUUUUUAAAAUUUUAUAAUUAAUUUACUCAAGUAACCCUAAACCCUAAUUUAUAUAAUUUUUUCUUAAAAACCCUAAACACUAAACCCUAAUUUGAUUUCUUUAAAAUUUAUAAUUAAUUUACUCAAGUAACCCUAAACCCUAAUUUAUUUGAUUUUUUCCUUAAAAAUCAUAAACUAAUUUUCUAAAAUUUAUAAUUAUUUUAAUUAAAAACCCCUAAACCCUUAUUUAUUUAAUUUUUUUCCUUAAAACCUUAAAAUCUAAAAACCCUAAAAUCCUAAAACCCUAACCCUAAUUGUAAAAAACCUAAGCCUAAAAAAUGGAGAAAACGCUUCCUCAAGGAAGCGCUUUGUGCACGUGGACACAAAGCGCACCCUCAAGGACGCGUUUUCUAUCCAUGUGGACAAAGCGUUUCCUUCAGGAAGCAUUUUCCUGCUUUAUCCCCUGACAAGACGCUGACGUGGACUCAUUUUGGAGAAAAUUGGCCCAUUCCGGUAAUUAAUUUAGGAGCUGACCCAUUUCGAUAAUUUUGAAAAUAAAGGGGCUUUUAUUGAUAAUUUUUCGGUACAAUUGUCACCCAAAAAUAUAUUAUUUUCAACAAAACUAAAGAUUUUAUUUAAUAAAUAUAUUAUUUUAAAAUUGUUAGUUAAAAAACUUAAUUGAUCCAUUCUCUAAGAAAGGGUUUAAUUUCUUUUUGGAGGGGAGGAUUUAUUAAUAAGAAAGGGUUUUUUUUAUUAUUACAAAUUUACCCGUUCCCAAAGACUAUUUUUAAUAUAAAAAAUAAAAUGUGAAUUCAAUGAAGUCAUGUCAAGGUUUUAGAGUAAGUUUAAGUAGGCGGUGUAUUUACUUAUAUUAAGUAUAAAAUUAAAAUGAUAAUAAAAUAAAAUUAGAUAUACGAUAAUAAAAGAUAAAAAGUAAACUAAAUACAUGCACUGUCCACCCAUCCAAACGCACGCUAUAUUGGUAUCAUAGUGAAAUCUGUGUCAGGUUAACAGCCGCAUAACAGCCAUAGCUAGGUUUGGUGAUGUAAAGAAAGGAGAAUGAAUAGAAAGAGAAUAUCUGACUGUAGUAAAUGAGUCAUAGUUAGGUUUGGUGAUGUAAGGAGACGAAUAAACGAGUUAAAGAGCAAAUUGGAACACUGUUGCUGGACGAAUCCAAAUGUUCUGUGACUAUUAGAGCUUAGCUUUCCAAUUUUCUCUUUAACUUGUUUACUCAUCUCCUUACAUCACCAAACGUAACUAUGGCUCAUUUACGAAAGUCAGAUAUUCUCCUUCUACUCCUCCUUUCUUUACAUAUUAUUAUAGCUCAAGAAAACGAGUCGAGCAUCAUCCAACCAGCUUCUUCACUUUAUGCCGGAAAACACCCUAGUUCAUGGCCCUCAUCUUCAGGGUAUUUCCGAUUUGGUUUCUAUCCGCAAGGCAAUGGAUAUUCGGUCGGAAUCUGGCUUGUUGGCCGGUCAGAAAACACCACUGUCUGGACUGCAAAUCGAGAUGAUCCGCCUGUCUCCUCAAAUGCUACUUUGGAAUUCACAACACAAGGCAGGUUGCUUCUUCGGACUGAGGACGGCAUGGAAAAAAUCAUUGCGAAUCUGACCAUGUCAGUAUCUGUUGAUGCAGCUUCUAUGUCGGACACCGGGAAUUUCAUGCUCUACCAGAACAGGACUGUUGUUUGGGAGAGCUUUAAUUUUCCAACGGACACAAUAUUAGGAGGCCAGAAUUUAAGCGGUUCUCAUAACAUGUUGAUUUCCAGUGUGUCAAGGUCAAACCAUUCAUCUGGGCCAUAUUUGUUGAGAAUGCAGGAUGAUGGUAACCUUGUAGCCUAUGCAAAUAAUCCUGCUGAACUUGAUCCUAGUGAUGCAUACUGGGCCACUAUGACUAAUGGUUGGUAUUUUUCUGUGUUGAAUCUCAAUGAGAGAGGCGUUCUAGCAAUGUAUUCAUCACCAAAAUUCCACCAAGAAAAAGUUUUGGCAAACCUCUCCGCAACUGGGAACGAAACAAUGAUUAUCUACAGAGCAACCCUUGAUCCUGAUGGAAAUUUCAGAUUGUACUCGCAUCAACUCGAACGCAAUACUAUCUCACACAAGUGGCAGAUUCUGAAUGAUGAAUGUGAUGCUAAAGGUCAAUGUGGGUUGAACAGCUACUGCUCCAGCAGGGGUAAGGAUACUGAGUGCUAUUGCUAUCCUGGUUUCACAUUUAUCGACGAGAAUACCAAAUCCCUGGGCUGCUCUCAGAAUUUCACAAUAGAUGGGUGCGUGGCAAGGAAAGAUCUAGUGAUACACUACAACAUCACUACCUUAGACAAUAUGUCUUGGGCUGGUGAUCCUUAUUCUGUGAAGCCUAACUUGGAGAAGGAAGACUGUAAGAAAGCUUGCCAGGAGGACUGCUCCUGUGGCGGAGUUCUCUAUUCUGACACAAAAAGCUGCAGGAUGUAUAGGCUACCGCUCAAAUAUGGUAAAAGACAUGGAAAUAUAACAACCACAGCCUUCAUCAAGUUUAUCCUGGGUAGCACCAUUAGCCCCCCACCUGAAACAAGUCAAAUAUUGAUAAGCGAAGGAAACCAAAGCCUCGUUUUAACUAUGGGGGAAACCAAAGCCUCGUUUUAACUAUGGGCUUAAGUUUGGGUUCCGUUACAAGCUUGUGUUUUGUGAUUGCAAUAUGUAGCUUCCUGUUAUACAGGCACCGAGUCCAAAAUUAUGAGAAGCUUUUAGAAAAUAAAAGUUCAGUAUUAACCGAGCAGUUUACGCUACGAUCAUUCUCUUUCGAUGAGCUAGAUGAAGCAACACAUGGUUUUCAAGAUGAGUUAGGUAAAGGUUCAUUUGGAACAGUUUAUAAAGGAAUUUUGCCAGGGGAUGGUAAAAGUAAAACUAUUGCCGUUAAAAGACUGAAGAAAGUUAACGCAGGAGAAACAGAUCAGAUUCGAACCGAGAUGACAGUCAUUGGAAGAACUAAUCACAGGAACUUGGUCCGAUUGCUUGGUUUUUGUGUGGAAGGUUCAAGGAAGCUCCUCGUUUAUGAAUACCAGGAUUGAACAGGAUAUAUCCUUUUUGGACUUGAGAAUAACCCAUAAAAAUGGAUGGUGUAGCUUUGGGAGAAAAUUUAUCAUGCAGAUUGGUUACUGUGGCAUAGCAAAGACAACCAAAAAUUUUAAGGUGAGAAAGAUUUGGUGGCGUAUUAUACAGCAGCUCAAAAGGUGUUUUCCAGCGAAGUACUGCAGAAGGUAACCUAUUAAUUAAGUAACAAGCUGUUAAAACACAUUCCCCCCAAAACUUAACAGGUACAUGCGAUUGAAAUUUUAAUGCUCGGGCAACAUCUAAAAGAUGGCGGUGUUUGCGUUCGGCCACACCGUUUUGCUGAGGUGUGUGGACACAAGAUGAUUGGUGAAUGAUUCCAAGGGAUUGAAAAAAGAAAGUACCUUCUUUAGUAAAAAAUUCAUGACCAUUGUCACUGCGAACAGUUUUAACAAUUCCAGAAAAUUGUGUUUUGGCUAACAUAAUAAACUGCUUAAGGUAAAAAAGGGCAUCACUCUUAAGUUUUAAAAGAUAUAUCCACGUCAUUCGAGUAUGGUCAUCAACAAUGGUUAAAAAAUAUCUAUGACCAGAAUGAGUUGAAGUGCGAUAAGGACCCCAGAGAUCGACAUGGACAAGAGUAAAAGGUUUUGAUUCUCGUGAAGUACUUUGUGGAAAGGGUAAGCGUGUUUGUUUUGCUAAUGGACAGACAGUGCAUGUUUGAAUGUUAUGAGAAUGCACAGAGCCAUUAUGUAAAAAGUGUAUUUUAUUCAUCUUUGAAAAAGAUGUGUGACCAAGUCUAGCAUGCCACAGAGGGUAAUCAACAUGCUUAGAAACAGAUAAAGAAGUAACAUUUGAAGAAUGUACAGGAAGAGGUACGGGUAGGGAAGUGGGAGUUGAGGAGGGUUGAGGGAGGAGUAGAUAAAGACCAUCUUGUUCCUUACCAAUCCCCAUCAUCUUUCCACUGCAAAGGUCCUGUAAAACACAAAAUGUAGGAUAAAAGGAAACAAAACAAUUGAGAUCUUUGGUGAGUUUAGAAAUGGAGAGAAGGUUAAAAUUGAAUGAGGGAAUGUAAAGAACAUCUUUAAGAGUGUGAUGAGGUGUAAGAUUAUGAGUACCAAUAUGAGUGAUGGUGGUUGUGUUACCAGUAGGCAAUUUAACAAAAGUGUUGUUAGCACAUGCAACAGGUUGAAUUAAAGCAUUAAAAGCAUGCGUCAUGUGAUUAGAAGCCCCAGUAUCAAGAAUCCAAUGAAUCGGAUCAGAUGCAUAAGAGAUACCUGCCAUGUGAGCUACAGCUUGCACAGAAGAGUUCUUGUGUAAUAGGUCCAAGAUCUAUUGAUACUGUUCAGCAGUAAAUGUAGGAGCCGAAACAAUAGAUGGUGAAGAAGCAGGCAUAGCAGGAGAAUCAGAAGAAGGAACAACAACUUGAUUGACAGUUGGUGAUUUCUUCUUGGUGAACUUGAAAUCAGCAGGAAAGCCAUUGAGGCGAUAGCAGUCGGUUCGAAUGUGACCCCGUUUUUGACAAUAACUACAAGACAAAUCAGAACGCUUCUUGGAAACCGAAGAAGUUGAUGAUUGCUGACUAAGAAGAGCAGUAGGUUCCGAGACAGGUAGUGGAGAAGCAAGUUCUCGUUGAGUUUCAUCACGCAUGACAAGCGAGUAAGCCUGAUUAACUGUGGGCAAAGGUUGCAUCAAAAGGAUCUGGGAUCGAACAUUAGAAUAUGUUUCAUUUAAACCCAUCAAAAACUGAAAAAGACGUUGUUGUUGAAGUUGAGCAUUUCGGCGAAUAAGAUCACAAUUGCAGGUAGAUGAAGGAACAAGAACAUCAUAUUCAUCCCAAAAUAAUCGAAGCUUAGUAAAGUAAGUGGAAAUAGAAUAAGCUCCCUGAGUGUGAGUGGAAAUAGCACGAUGGAGAUAGUAAAUACGAGAACCAUCAACCUUGUCAUAUCGUUCCUGAAGAUCCUUCCAAACAAUGGCAGCAUUAGACGCAAAAACAAUUCCAGCAGAAAGUUCCUGAGUAACAGUGUUAAGGAUCCAAGAAAGAACCAAAGCAUUGCAUCUAUCCCAAUGAGGCAUUAGAUCAGCAUCAAAGUCAGCACGGGAACAUGAACCAUCAAUAAUACCAAGCUUAUUCUUGGCAAGAAGGGCGAUACGCAUAGACCUGCUCCAAACGCAAUAGUUUUCAGUUCCAGUGAGCUGAUGAGAAACCAAAAGCAUUCCUGGCAUGUCAGAAGGAUGCAAAUAAAGAGGAUGGCCAAAUGGCAAAUUGAAAGAGGAAGGAUUAGCCAUGAAGAAAAAAAAGAAAGAAGAGAAGAGAAGAAUGAAGAAGAAAACUAGAUCAAAGAUGAUCAGGAAAAAGGUUUAGCCUGAUACCAUGUUAAGAAAAGAAGCUUAAAGAGUUGAAUGAAUAACUGUUAAUUCCUUUGAGUAAAAAUGCAGUAAAUAUAUACAGAAAAUGUAACUAACACUAUAACUAAUUACAUACUGUUACUUAAUUUCUAACUAACUAUACAAAUGCUGGUACAACAGUUUUACACUCUCAACAGUUUUCAAGAUGAGUUAGGUAAAGGUUCAUUUGGAACAGUUUAUAAAGGAAUUUUGCCAGGGGAUGGUAAAAGUAAAACUAUUGCCGUUAAAAGACUGAAGAAAGUUAACGCAGGAGAAACAGAUCAGAUUCGAACCGAGAAGACAGUCAUUGGAAGAACUAAUCACAGGAACUUGGUCCGAUUGCUUGGUUUUUGUGUGGAAGGUUCAAGGAAGCUCCUCGUUUAUGAAUACUUGGGCAAUGGCUCACUGGCAUACUUUCUGUUCAACAUGAAUAAACGCCCAGUGUGGAAAGAGAGAGCCCGAAUUGCAUUGGACGUAGCUAAAGGUAUCCUUUAUUUACAUGAAGAGUGUGAGGGGUGUAUCAUCCAUUGCAACCUCAAGCCCCAUAACAUACUCUUGGAUGAUUCAUUGACUGCAAAGAUUUUAGACUUUGGAUUGGCAAAGCUAUUGAGGCCUAAUCAAACAUGCAGUACUCCUGGGACCAAAGGGGCAGCAUGGUACUCGGCACCUGAGUGGCAAAGCAGUGGAUUGGUGUCGGUAAAAGUUGAUGUAUACAGUUUCGGAGUGAUACUAUUGGAGAUCAUAUGUUGCAGAAGCAACAUAGAAGUACAAGUUUGUAGUGCAGAUGAGAUACUACUUUCUACAUGGGUAUACAAUUGCUUUAUUGGGGGAGAAUUGAAUAAGCUUGUGGAAGGUGAAGAAGAAGUGGACAUGAAAAUGGUGGAAAGAUUUGUGAAGGUGGGGCUUUGGUGCAUUCAAGAUGAUCCCAAUUUGCGUCCAUUAAUGAAAAAUGUGAUCUUGAUGCUGGAAGGAACAAUGACUAUACCUGUCCCUCCAUCUCCAUCACUUCUGUUAUAACUUUGAUUUAAUAUUUACUUUAAUUUUGCUUUCCAUGUAAUGCAUGAUGAUGUGCUUAUUUUCCUUUUCUUUAAUGUCAUGUAAUUAUGUAAGAUAAAAGAGUUUAAUUCUAAAAAAAUAAAAUUUCAGUAGUUAAAAAAAAUAGUAGUGUUAAUUUUCUUACCUUCAAAAAAUAUUUAGGUGUUUCUUCACAAAAAGCUUCCAUUCUAGUCUUAAAAAAAAGUGUCUUUUGUUGAUUUAAUAUUUAUUUAAGUGGAUUGGUGUCCAAUAAAUUUUAAUAAAUAACUAAAAUGUUGUUUUUAUUUAAAAAUUUAAUAAAUAUUAUUACAGGAUUCAAUCAAAUUGUCGAUGUCUAAUCAUGUAAGUACAAUGAUAAUAUUAGCGACUAAAAUCGGUUUCCACAAAAAGUGAUGGUAUUCUUUUGAUGGUGGGUGGAAGAUGUGGAUCAUGGGCUGCGGCUUUGCUUUCGGGCAGUCACCAUAUGAUCGGCUGUCGUUCAGUCUUCAAAACUUACUAAGUUUCUAACAUUGAAUCUAAAGGAUUGGAUUGUUAUUAAUAUGUCUAGGCCUGAUUCUUUUCCCAUGGUAAGCGAUAAUUGGGAAGUGCUUUUGGGGGUUAAUUGUUGGGGACGAUGGAAUCGACGUAAUAGAAUUUUUAUGAGGAUUUUGAGGGUUUUUUUACAGAUAUAAGUUAAAAAAAAUAUUUAAUACUGAAAUAGAUUGUCAGAUAGAUUAAUUAUUAAAAUAGGUUGUUUUUUUUAAUGGCGCCUAUCUGAGAGGCGCUAAUAAAUAUUAUAUAUAUAUUUAAUGGUGCCUAUCUGACAGGCGUCAAUCAAUAUUUUAUAUUAAAUUUUUUAAUAAAAUAUUAUUAAUUUUUCCCGGGUCAGUACAUGACCCGUAUAGAUAUAGAGUUGUUGCGCCUAUCUCAGAGGCGCCAAUGGUGGAGCCUAUCUGACAGGCGCCACUAGUUGUGCCAUGUUGAGAGGCCCCAAUGGUGGGGCCCAUAGCUAGUUAUUUUUUCUUUAUAUAUACCCCCGAAACACAGACAUAAAUUUGAGCAAAGGAAUGGAUAUAAGAAGAUAGAAAGAAGAAAAAAAGAAAGGAAAACAAGAAAAAGGAUAAGGUAUUUUGGUUUAUUUCUUAUUAAAUAGAAUAUAGAGUCUUGUUAGUAAUUUUAUUAUUUAAAAGUUAUUUUGUUAGGUUAUUAAUUUUGUUAGCUUCUGAAUGAAAAUUUUUGAAUUAGAAAUUUUAUGAAAAUUUUUUGCAUUUCGAAACUGUUUUAAGAAUUUUAAAAAUUUUUUAACAGAUCUAGUAUUGAAGAUGGAAAAUUAGUUUUUUGUAUGUGUUUAUUUCGAUGGAGAAAUUUUGACAACAACCGUGGGAUGUAUUUUUGAAUGUCGCAAACAAGUAGUAAUGAGAUUUAAUAGAAAUAUCUCGUUUGAUGAUAUGAAGGAAAAAAAUUAGUGAAAAAUUUAUAGACGUUGUGGGAGAAGGAUAUCAAAACUUUUCUACAAGUUUCCAAUUUCGACAGAUCCAAUAAAAUUUACCGAAAUGGAACUUGUAGACGAUGAAGACGUGGAGACAAUGGUCGCUCUUUAUUGUGGGACUCGGAGCAACCAAAAUGCACCGAUUCAGUUAUUUGCUAAGUUAGCCGGUGUAGAGGCAAUUGAAGAUCCCACUCCAUUAGGUGAAGAAAAUGGAGUUCAAGCGCCAUGUAUGGUGGUUCCAGUAUCGUAUGUUGAUAGUCAAUCAACUAUACACGGGAUCGAUAUUGAUCUUAAUGCUGCACCAAAGACUGAUGUGGUUGGUGAUGAUGUAUACUAUAGUAGUGAUCCUGUUGAUCACGAAGUUGAUAGUGUGAGUGAUCCCGACGUGGACGAGGUCCCGGAUGAUAUUGACGACGAAGGUGUGAAUGAGGAUGGAAACGUUAACGCAUCUUCUGUUGGAAACCAGAUUCGUCGUAUUGUGAUACACAAUAAUCCUGGGGCACACAUGUCUCGAAUAGACCCGAUGCAGCGCGGGAAGCUGAGUUUUCAGAGUACCCUAAAAUACUACCUGCUCAUCAAAUGGCCGUAUAUUCUGAUCCAAAGGAGUUGUUCGUAGGCCAGAGAUUUGAAAGUAAGGAAGAAUGCAUAUUUGCCAUUAAGCAGUAUAGCAUGAAUAUAUCAAUAGACUACAAAGUCGUCGAGUCUAAACCAACAUUAUAUAUUGGAGAAUGUUGGAGGCCGGCAGAAGGCUGCAAUUGGCGGAUAUAAGCUGCAUUUAUCCAGAAGUCGCAGAUGUGGGAGAUACAAAAAUUUGUUGGGCCUCACACAUGCAUUUCAACACGUAUGACAGAAGAUUAUCAAAAACUUGACUCCAAAACUAUCUAUGCAUGCAUCAUGCCAAUGGUGAAAGACAUGCCGACCAUUAAAAUUUUGGUACUGAUUGUCGAAAUACAAGCACGAUUCCAGUAUCAAGUAUCAUACCGGAAGGCAUGAAUAGCUAAACAGAUGGCAAUGGAGCAAUUGUACGGAGAUUUCGAUGCAUCGUACAAUAAGUUACAGCGAUAGAUAGCCGCUAUGAGGGAACACGUGCCAGGGAUUGUCAUUGAGUUACAAAAAUGACCUUAUUACGGAUCGGAUAACCAACUAUAAUCGAGAAAAAAAUUUUCAUCGGAUGUUCUGGACGUUUGAUAAAUGUGUGCCUGCAUUUCCCCACUGCAAACCGUUUGUGCAAGUAGAUGGAACCUGGCUAUAUGGAAAAUACACACAGAUCCUACUUCUUGCGGUUGCUCAAGACGGCAAUAGGAAUGUGCUUCCGAUAGCAUUUGCCAUCGUCGAUAAGGAGAACAUGAAAUCGUGGGAGUUCUUCCUUACAAACCUGCAGAAUUAUGUUAUUAGCAACGAUAAUAUUUGCAUCAUCUCCGAUAGAGGGAAAUGAUUAAUUGCAGCCAUUAGUCGUUCCGGUGUACCAUGAAGAUCUGUUUACUACAUUCGGCACAUUGCGACUAACUUCCAGCAAGAUUAUAAGAAUGCAGACUGGAAGAGACAAGUUGUGAAAAUGGGUAAAGAAUUACCUUAUCUUUUUAAUAUAAGUUUUAAUAUUUUAGAGCAAUACUGUAACUUAUAUUUUCUUAAUACAUAUGCAGCACACGAGCUAAAGCCAAACAUUUUUUGUCAAAGAAUGGCCCGACUUGAGAGUGACAUAAAGGGUCAAACCAACACAGCUUUUCGGUAGUGGUUGGGUACCAUGGAGCCGUGGCAAUGGGCUCAAAGUUUUGACGACGGCUUUCGUUAUGGUCAAAUGACCACAAACUUGGUGGAAGGGAUCAACGCUGUGUUAUUAAAAACACGGCAUCUUCCAAUUUCAUCUGUCUUCUCGACUACGUUCUACAGGUUGGCUACCUUGAUGCCAAGAAUGGGUCAGCAACAAGUCAACCAGAUAGAGGCGGGACACGUCUUUGUCGAAGAUGUUAGGGAUGUAAUGGUUGCAAACUGUCGAAUAGCGAGAUCGAUGACAGUAGAAAUAUAUUCACGACAUAAUGAAACGUUUCGAGUUACAGAGACCAUCGGUCGUCGACCCAGUAUACCACCUAGGUCCUACGAGUUGAUAUCUGAAACAGACGGUGAAACUGCAAGAGGUUUCAAACACUUCAUUAUCCAUGUGCACAUGUCGUGGCAGCUUGUGCUAAAGUUGGGCUCAAUGUAGAACAAUUUAUCGAUGAAGUGUACACCAUCAAACGCACGUUGCGUGUAUGGGAAAACAAGUUCCCCGUGCUUCCUUACUUAUCUACUUGGGAGGUACCUCCGAUGACCUUCGAGCUUGUCCCAGACAAAAGAUUGCGUAGGAACCUAAAAGGUGGUCCACAAUCAUUCAGAAUCCAUAACGAAAUAGACAUUAGGGAGAAAUCCGACGGGAAGCUGUGUGGCGUAUACAGAUUAGCCAGUCAUAAUCGGAGUAAAUGCCCGCUCCUAAACUACCAUGUUGGACAAUCGUCUCAAUCGGGUAGAAAUUGAUAUGUAGUUCAUUACAUGUUAAGAGGAUUGAAUCACAAAUUUGUCUAUAAUUUGUUGCAGUUAAUCUAAUUUGAAAUUGCAAAAUAAAAAAAAACCAUAAUUAUAUAAUUUUUUUAAAUAAUUAAAAAACCAAAAUAAAAAAAACCACAUUUUAUAACUUAAUCCUAAAUUACUAAUAAAUUAAUUUUAAAAUAAUUACAAACACAAAAAUUUAUAACAUAAUCCUAAAUUACUAACAAAUUAAUUUUAAAAUAAUUAUAAAAAGCAAAAAAAAUUAUAAUAUUCAUACAAAAUACUAAUCCAAAACUAUAAACGCUAAACAUAAAUAAUUUAUAAUUAAUAAUUAAUAACAAAAAAAAUCACAAUAUCUUAAUUAAACUUUUUAAAUAAUUUAGUAAACUGCCAUGGUCAUUGGCGCCUCCCUAUGAGGCGCAAUUAGUGGCGCCUAUCUGACAGGCGCCACUCAAAAACUCAUUUCUCACCCGUAUUUUGACCUAUUGACUGUAUUUUGACCCGUAUUUAUAUUUAAAUAUUUUUAAUAAAAAUAAAAAAUUAAUAUUUAUUCAAAACAAAAAAAAAUAAUAUAAAAUAUUUAUUAGCUCCUGUCAGAUAAGCUCCAUUAAAAAAAAAUAUACCAUUUUGAUAAUUAAUCCAUCUGACAACCUAUUUUAAUAUUAAAUUUUUUUUAACUUAUAUCUGUAAAAAGCCCGGAUUUUGAGGAGAAGUUGUUGCAAUGGUGUUUUUGGUUUGCUGACGAUGUUAGUGCGAUUGGGUGGUCACAUCGACAGGAGUUAGUGAAUGCAAACAGAGGAGGCGAGGGAGUGAGGUGGGAGGUGCAUGAAGGAAGGUGGGUCAAGGUGAAUAUUGAUGCGAUUGUGUGUGAUAAUUCGUCAGUUGUCACGAUCAAAGAGUGGCCAGUAAUAGUGUUGGAUGAUGACUUAGGGGUUCUCUUGCAAGGUAGGGGUCUGUCGUGUGUUUGAAGAUGAGCUAUGGUGGGCUCUUGAGGGCCUUAAGCUAGCAUAACAGAAGGGUGUUAGUAAGGUUGUCCUUGAUAUGAACUGCAUAAAUAUGAUUAAUUUUUUAAAUGGUUAAACUCUGGAUCAAAGUUUAUUAGGGAAAAUAGUGAAGAAUUAUUUGCAGCCGAUGGAGGACUUUCGUAUGAAUCAUAUCUUGAGGUAGAACAGGGUUACAAAUGGUACUGCAUGUUUAACUAUGAAAAUGGCUGUCGAAUAAAGGAUUUUUUAGGAACGUUAUGACUACUGAGGUUCCUAGCUCAAUGCCCAAAACUGGUUGAUACUUUUCUCUUAUAUUAUGUUCUUUUCUUUUGAUAAAAUUUUGUUUAAAUCGUACUAAAAUUGCAGAUUUUCUCCAUUUGCAUCUACUUUUUGUUAUUUUCUAAAAGUUCACUUUCUAAUUCCAAUUAAAUAAAUUAUUGAUAUUUUUAAAUUUUUAUUAUCUUUUAGAUUUCAGCCAUUUAUUAUUUCGUCAUCACUCACAAAAUAGAAGAGAGAAACACCAUAUUUCCCAUGGCUUGCGUGUGGGCUCUUCUCUUGCUCCUUUCUUCUCUCUGCGUGAAGCAGUCAAGCAGCAUCAUUUCGCUGGGAUCUUCGCUUUCCUCGGCCACUCAAUCCAUCCCAUGGCGUUCGCCUUCUGGUCGCUUUGCAUUUGGCUUUUACAGUCAAGGCGGUGGCCUUUCUGUUGGAGUUUGGUUAGAUGGCAGAGGAAAGAACGAUAACAAAGUUGUAUGGACAGCGAAUCGUGAUGGUCCGCCGCUCACUUCGAAUGUGACUCUGAUAUUAAAUGACAAAGGUGUGCUUCUUUCGAUCGCUGUGAGCGGAGAAAAGAAAUUUAUUGCUAAUCCAAACAAUUCGGCUGUCAGUGUCUUCUCUGCCUCCAUGCUAGAUUCAGGCAAUUUUGUGCUCUACGACAAAGACAAUCAUACCAUUUGGGAGAGUUUCGAGCAUCCUACAGAUACCCUUUUAGGUGGUCAGACUCUAUUAACUAAUCACGAGUUGAUCUCCAGUUCGUCAGAGAAUGAUCACUCACCUGGAAGGUUUCAUCUAAGUAUGCAACUAGAUGGGAAUCUCGUUCUAUACCCUCUACAGUCCGAAGAUUCCCCUAUAACUGCCUAUUGGAGCACAAAAACUUUUGGAAUGAACUUGUCGCUCCGCCUUUUUCUUAGCGCCACAGGCCUCCUCGAACUCAUCAACAACGAUGAUUCGUCCAUCUACGACACAAUUAAUCGUUCCUUUUUUCCAGAGCCAACCUACAAUGACUACAACGAAAGCAGCAUCAACAACAACAACAGUACUGUUUUCAGUGCAAGCCUUGAUGUUGAUGGGAAUUUCCGGUUACAUGCUUAUCUGUUUGAGCGAAAUGGUGGGUUUCAGACUUAUCCACUGUUGAGUGCGUUGUUAAAUUCCUGUAAAGUUAAAGGCUUUUGUGGUUUCAACAGCUAUUGCACAUUUAAUGAUAACCAACCUUACUGUGCAUGCCUACCCGGGACUGAUUUUAUUGAUCCUCUUCAGAACAACCUCGGCUGCAAGAGAAAUUAUUCUGAAGCACACUGUAAAGGAGGGAAGGCCAACAUACCCUUUUAUAACAUCACUUCAAUGCAAGGUAUUGUAUGGACUACGGGCAGAUUUUACAGUAAAGAGCUAUUGUCCAAGGAUGCGUGCAGCCGAACAUGUUUGGAAGACUGCAAUUGUGAGGCAGCACAGUUCGAGAAUGGGAUUUGCAGGAAACAAAAGCUUCCACUCAGGUAUUUGCUACGAGAGACUGAUGCCCAAGUGAAUUCUACAGUUUUAUUGAAGGUGGGAAUCAUAAGCCUUGAAGCAGACAACGGCACUGUUCCCUCUGAAUUAAAGCCACCCAAAGUCCUAAUCAAACGGAAAAAUAAGACGGUGCUAAUUCUUCUUUUAACUUUCAGUCUUGUUGCAUGUUCAUGUGCUUUGCUUACAAUCUCUGGUGUAUACAUUUAUAAAUUUCGAGUUCUAAGGUACAAAAGGCUGUUGGAACUUGGAAAUUUGGGCCUAACGGAAGAGCUUACGUUGACAUUGUUUUCAUACAAAGAACUAAAGAGAGCAACAAAUGGGUUUAAAGAAGAGUUGGGUAAAGGAUCCUUUGGAGCAGUCUACAAAGGGUCUUUAGACAGAGGAAGACAGUUGAUUGCUGUGAAGAGACUCGAGAAGUUAGUGGAAGAAGGUGAAAAAGAGUUCCAAGCAGAAAUGCGAGCAAUUGGUAGAGCUCACCACAAGAAUUUAGUUCGACUUUUGGGAUACUGUGUUGAGGAUUCCAAGAGACUAUUGGUGUAUGAGUACAUGGGCAAUGGCUCCCUUGCAGAUCUACUUUUCAAGUCAACAAAGCCCCCAGAUUGGGAUGAAAGAACAAGAAUAGCCCUGGAUGUUGCUAGAGGAAUCCUCUAUUUGCAUGAUGAGUGUGAGACUCCAAUCAUUCACUGUGAUAUAAAGCCGCAAAACAUAUUGAUGGAUGAUUUAUGGAGAGCUAAAAUUUCAGACUUUGGGCUGGCAAAACUGUUGAUGGGAGAUCAAACAAGGACCUUCACAGGCGUAAGGGGAACUAGAGGAUACAUGGCACCAGAGUGGCAGAAAAAUACUCCAAUAUCAGUGAAGGCUGACAUUUACAGUUACGGAGUUGUGCUGUUGGAGACUGUGUUUUGCCGACGGAACUUGGAAACCAAUGUAUCAAAACCAGAGGAGGUCAUUCUAUCAAGUAUGGUGUAUAGAUGUUUGGUUGAAAAGGAGUUGGAUAAGCUAAUGCUUGGUGAAGAAGUGGAUAAAAGAAGCUUGGAAAGAAUGGUGAUGGUGGCACUUUGGUGUAUUCAAGAUGAACCAGCUCUUCGUCCUUCCAUCAAGACUGUAGUAAUGAUGCUGGAAGGGAUCACUGAUAUAUGUAUUCCUCCAUGUCCAACUGCUUCCUUCAUCAAGUGAUGAUCCAACAAUCAAUCAUUUCACUCAAAAGUAUAUGUGUAUGUUGUCAAUAAAAUAUGUAAAAUGCUUCCUGUAGUGUCCUCCUAUAAUAGGCUUGGGUUAUGUACUGGUUUGUUAGUAUGAAUAUUCAGUUGCAUUAUUAUUACUCAAUCAUAUAUUAAUGAAAUGGUGAUUUUAAGUAUGAUCAUUAAACACGAAGUAUAAAGAAUUUACUUACAGUUACUGAUUAUCCAAUCGUAAGAAGCAGUAUUGCAGUAGCCAGUUGAUGAGUUUAUGUAAUAUGUGGAAAACUAUUACUUGCCUACAGUAGAUGAGUUUAUAUAGUAGCUCGACUUAAAUAGUACAAAAGCAAAUACAAUAUUGAUAUAUAUACUAAUGGCCACAUAUAAGGGUGGGUUUACGACCCUAACCCGGCCUAAUGUACUACCAUAAGAUAAUUGGAUAGUGACCAAUUGGACUAAUGGGUCAUUUUGUCACAUAAAAAACUUUUGAGUUGGUAGUCUCUAGUCUGGGCUUUUAUACAUAGAACAACAAUUUUCAGGCCUAAUUGAGUUUCAUUUAAGCUAGUACUCAAAGCUUGGCCUUAUAAAAUGGAAUAAAUUAUAAAUACAAUAUAUUAAUACUCAAUAGGAAAAUAUAAAUUAUUAUAUACUUUUAUAUUUAAUUAAAUAAAUGUUAAUCUUUAAAUUUUAAAAUUUAUUUUUUAUUAUUUUAAAAUAAAAUUAAUAGUUAUAAUUAAAAUAAAAUAAAAAGGGAUAAAUUAGUAAUAUAAUAAGUUAAUACUCAAUAGAAACAUUAAACUAUUAUACCCUUUUGGGUAUGGAGUGAGUUCAAAACUCGUGACCAACAUUUAUCUUCUUAAUGAGCCUACAAAAUACGAAAAAUUAAUUACUAGACUUGAUCUAAUAGAUACAAUGAGAAAUUUUAAAAAAUAAUUAUUACAAAAUUUCAAAAUUAUUUAACUAUUUGACCCAAAUCAAUUAAUAUCCAAAAUGGAUAAAAUAAUUCAUACAGAAAAACUCAGCCCAUCAAUAGGUGUGCUCCCAACCCAGAACAAUAUAAAUCCAAAGAUAAUUCGAUCCGAAUCCGCCAAACCCACCCGUUUGGUUGAAGGAGACCCGUUCUUCUGCAUUGCUUCCUUUUGUGCUUCUGAUCUAUGGCUUUAUUCUCGAGUUGAAGGAAAAGUUAAAUGGCUCCAGCAAAGAAGGGAAAAGUCAAAACCCAGAAAGCUGAAUCAUCGCAGCCCUCUGAAAGUGACUUCAAGUUCCCAUCUUCAAUCCGCUCGGUUCCUCCUUCGUCUGUUGCCUCCUUCGUCUGUUAUUCAAUUUUUGCAUGGGAAAAAGUAAGAUGGAUGAAGAGGAGAAAAACCCAAAAGGCAAAAAUAAGAAAAAGAAAUGAAAAAGACCUAUGCGUAUGCACCCAAACGUGUUUGCCUAGUAGUUAUGAAGAAGCAAGAGUCUGAACUGUUCUAUUUAAUGGGUUUCCCCUGUAAUUUAUAUAGUUUAUAUUUAAUAUAAUAUUUGUAUAGCUGCUUCUUUUAGAUACUGUUUUUCGCUACUUGAAUUGCUAUUCGUUGGUUAAUUUAGUUCUUUUUGAGUUGUUUCUUACUGGGUUUUUUCUUCCCCUUAUGAAUGAGCUUCUGAUUGUUAUUUAUGGCUUUUCUACUUGCAGUGAAACUAUCUGCACGGGUGUUUCAAGUUCGAAUUUUCAGUUUCCCUUAAAAGGGUUUGAUUGUUCCACUUUUAGCUUCUUCUUCUUCUUCUUCUUCUUUUUUUAAUUUUAUAAUAUGGCAUCAUCUCAUAGCAAUACUCACACUGAAGCCGCAAAAAUGGAACAAAUCAUCACUGAAUUCUUCUAUAAGAGUCUUCUAAUUAUACUUGAAUGGAGGUCUCCUUAUGUGUCAUCGCGAAAUUAUAUUGGUGAACAAAUUAUGUCAUCUCCAUCUUCGUCCCCAUCAUCUUUCUCAGGUGUGAGACCAAGAGAUAAAUGGUUCAAUUUAGGGAGUGCCCUUCAGAACUAGAAAAUUUUUAUCUUUGUCGCCAGAGUAAUUUUGAGCCGGUAGUGAUUGAUGUUAUCUUGGAGCAGAAGCCACUUGAUUGGGAUCCUGUGACCUUUUCCCCCAAACCUGAUCUUGUUGAGCAUUCUUCAUCAAAAGAUAAGAAUUCAUUUUUCUGGAAUUCUGAUCAAGAAGAAUCAGGCUGUGAGGCAAAAGGUGAGAAGGUUAUAGAAAGGUGGUUCGUGCAGCAUGAAAGUAGAAAGGGUAGGGAUUGCAGUUCAGGGAGUAGAAGGUCAAGUAGUAAUAAUUUGAGUGCAUUAUAUAAGAAAUUGUUAUUGCUGUUGAGGUCCUUAUAUGUGACCUUUAGGCUUUUACCUGCGUACAAGAUUUUUCGUGAUCUCAAUUCAUCUGGUCAAAUCCGUGCUUUUAAGCUUCUUCCUAGGGUAUCCUCUUCUGAUAAAUCUUUCACUCAGAAAGACGAGGCUGAAAUGCAGCGAUUUUGGUUCACCCCUGUGGAUACUUCUUGUGGAAGGCUUUGCCUUUCAGUUUUGUACCGUUCAUCAAUCUCAGAUACAAGCUCCCAGUCAUCAACCCCUAUGUCCCCUCAAUUUAUACCAGAUUAUGUUGGAAGCCCAUUGACAGACCCACUAAGAAGAUUUCCUUCUCUUCCUGUGUCACAGCCCAUUGACCGCCUUCAGUUUCUCUCUCACCAUCCCCAACACAUUCAGAAUCACAUGCUUUGGUUUCUAACCCAAGCUCUCGCCGUGCGUGCCGCCACCUAUGAGCUUACCUCCUCAUCCUCCUGGGGCAUCUCUACCUCAUAAGAAGAAUACAAACUUUGAUGAGUAUUGGCCUUCCCCAAAUUUUUCUGCUUCCCCUUCCCCUUCCCCAUCCCCGCCCAUCCGCAUUCCUGGGGGUCAUCUGUCAAAAGCUCUUUUACGUUCCGAAAGUG
rnacentral:lncRNA from 1 species